rnacentral:lncRNA from 1 species
AGCUCCUGACAGUACAGAGCUUGCAGAAUACUGAAAUCCAGCUUUGCAAGCUCCAAAAUGGCCUCAUUCCUUGUACUCAUUCUCUCAUAAACUGAGAUGAAGUGUCGCACUUCAACUCUUUGAGGCCUCCUGAAAAGAGGUGUUUCCAGCGCGCGCCGCACCUGAUCGAGCAAUAUUGAUGGUGGAAUUGUUUGUUGCUCCACCGCACGCUGGAGAUGGUCUGUUGUGUAAGCCAUCGCACUGCUGAGUGUUUCUUCACCAUGGGUUCGAAUAUGGGCAGCGUUGUACAUGGCCAAAAGGCUUCUUGUGUCGUUGCAGGUAAUAUUUCAUUUGGCAUCUAUGAACUUUAAGAAUACAUCUGCGGCAUUGUCAUGUAUAGUACAUAGUUCUAUUAGGACAAAUAUUUAUAGAAAAUCACACCUGUCCACCUCUUUGAGAUUUUAGUUAUGUUUGUAAUACCUGGUGAAACAUUGAAUCCCUGUUUCCUGAGCAAAUAAAACCGAAGGGCCACUGUGUGAAGAUCGCUGGCGUCAUCGCCGGCAUCAUGAAUCCCACACAGCAAAUCAUUGAUCUCCUUCCCAUAGUGAUAAUCCAAACCAAGCUGCUGUAAAGUAUCGACAAGCUCAAGCUUCUGAGGCAGAUCAACAGAACGCGAAUCUACUAUCGUUGUCCUCAGUUCUUCUUUCAUUACUUCAGCCUUGUUUUUCAUGAGAAGACACUGCAAGAGCAUGUAACAUUAGUACUUACUUGGUGUUCCAAUGCAUGUUGUCUUAGACAUUUAGACCUGCACAGUGUCCGAGGUUACUCUUUCACAGUCCAUUUUGCAUGAUGUGUGUUAUAUUGUACGUUAAAACUUAAGUUGUUUAACUUAUGCAUAUCGUACAUCUAUUUAGAGUUGUGCAAUGGAAGUAGUGCUAGUUCAUUUGAUGCCAGCCUCCAACAGGAAAGUACAAUACUGGUGUGUGCUAAUUAAAUUUAGUUCACCUGCGUCGGAGUGAAUGGCCUGAAACCAAGGAAGAAGUCCCCCCAGACAGUGGGGUGGUGAAACCGGUGGCUGCCCUGGUUGUCGUUCAUCACAGGCUGCGAGUGUGGGCAGCGGCGAAUCUCCACAGAGGCUGCCAUUGCUGGAGUACGAUGGAGCUCAGCUGAUCACUUGUCUAUGAUAAUGCUAAGGUUAGUGAUGCAUGCCUUGUGAACUGGUUGGCUUUAUAGAUAGAACAGGAGAGGCCCCUAAAUGGCACACGUGUAUAAUACUGGAGACACACAGGAACACUGAAUGCAAGAUUCACGUGAUAUUGUAACUGUCACUUUCAGUAGUGUGACACAAAUGUGCUCAUUAAUUUAAAAACAAUAUUCAAGAAGUUAGGUAGAGGUUUGAAAAUUCUAAGACAUGUAUCUCUUUCAUAGUACAUUGUUCCCUUUUGGCAGGCCACCCAAAAAGAUUCUCCAUGCAUUGCUAUCUUAUAUAUCUAGUAACUGGAGGCACUCGGAGAGACACCAUGUUAAGUCAUGUAAUCUUAAGUCUUUAGAUGGUUGGAUCUCGAAAAUGCAAUGGUGAAUAUGGUUCCAUGCACCAGCUAUAAGCAGUAAAAUAAAAUAAAAAUGUAAAUAAGUCAAACAGUUCUAAAACUCAAGGUUACCAAACAAGAUCGGUUGUUCUAUUCACAUGUGAAAUUUAGCAAAGAAAUGACACCCAUGAUAUUAUUAACAGAGAAUAAAAAAUCGGACCUCCAAAUUACUUCAUGGAUAAAACAAAUCAGAAUUGUUUGGGGGUAGCGAGGGUCUGAGUUGCAAUAGGCAGACCGAGUCCUCAUCCUCGUCGAAGCUGCUGGAGGAAAAGUGAGAAGAGGAGGAGGUCAUUGUCGGAGGGAGGGGUAGAAAGCAGCGGAAGUUUUGGAUCUAGAUGGUUGAUUGCAUGAUAGGUUUGUGCAACUCUGCCCAUUCAUUGAUCGACUGGGUACCGAGGCUCAACUAAAUCACACAUAACCAGCCUAUAGACUAGGUCCGGAUGCGUCUGCUUCUCCUUCUCCCCCUUCCCUCGUGUUCGGCGGGGAGCUCGGUUGGAGGGAUGGGUGGCCUCGAUGCAGUCACGUCACCUAUCGCCGACACGAGGGUGUAUCGGUCUGGAUUCGUCCACUCCCCUUUCUCACCAUUUCCUUGGCAGCGGACGGAUUGGCGCAGGUCUUCCAGUGGAGCGCAUGCAGGUGGUUAUAUCGGACGAGGGCCGCUGGUUGGUCUAAAGUCGGGGCCUUUGUGUAGAUCUCGGGGUUGUCUGGUUGCAGGGCGGCGGCUCUAGCUGCGGGAGGCAUGGCGUUUGGGGCGGAGCAUGUGUCUCAGGUGCGGGCGUGCAACCAUGGUCGUGCGGGUGGCGUGGUUGCGGGUGGUUGACGUAGCUAGGGUGCAACGGAGGGGGUGAGCGCCGGGGUACACCCCUUGCCUAGUCAUUUGACUUCCCGACAGUGGUGACGGCGGUUGACGUUGUAUCCUUCCUGAAGGCCCCGUCGCGGAGUUCCCACUCUUGUCGUAUUGCUCCGGGUGAAAACCUGAUCUUCACGAUCGGGCGAUGAAGACUAUCCAUGGUCGCACCCUUACGUGAGGCACCGCUUUGGAGGGUUAGUUUCAUGGUUUGUCCGUUUCACCUCUCUAUUGUCAAUGCUCAUGGUGGAGGUCUCCAUCGGCUCCAAGCGAUCCACCUCGCUCAUCUCUAGUUUGCUUGGUUAUCGGUAGGGGAGAUGUCGGUGCCCGGCACCUUUGUAUCUAGCCCUAGGUGUGUGCGAUGUGGGUGAUGAUGGCGCGUGUUUGUUCGGUCUCUUAUUCUAUUUCGUGAUGAUUGUUUUAUAAUAUAAAGCGGGGGAACCCUUUUUGGUAAGAAUGUUUCAACUGGAGAACCAGUUGUUGGCACACAGCCCGGAGAACUUUUCAUGCACUGCAUGCAACCAAGCCUUUCCCUUACUUUGUUUCUAGGUCCAUAGUUAUAAGCAUAUGCGGAAAUUCUAAGACAUCUACUAUAUAUGUAAUUAUGCGUGAAUAGAAGUAUGUCGAAAGGAUUAUUCAAGUUCCACACACACUCUACAAGGUUGGGAUGGUGAGUUCAAGUAACUAAUAUGUGUACCACCUGAUAUGAGUUAUUUACUUUCAUGCAGAAUUAAGGAAGAGGCCACAAUGGUGAUGAUUUUAUAAUAAUGUGAUGAUGAUAAACGGGAAAGAACUUAAUUUUCAUAAGAGCAUUGCCGGUCAUGAAUGAAAACUGGGACUACAAUUACAGGAGUCAUCUAAAGUCGAUGAAGUUGCAGGAGUCAUCUAAAGUCGAUGGUGAAAUAACUAAGUGUAAAGGACACAAAGGUUCUCAAUGAUAACUUCAUGAUGGCAUAUUCGUCAAUGUGGAUUUUGUUGGAAUUGUAAGAAAUAUGCAUACGACUUCUAUUACAGGUAGGCUUUGUAUUUAAAGGUGGAUUAGAUCUUGGAGUUGAAUAUCAACUCACUUUGGUUGCCAUUGGUAGUUUCAAUUAUUUACUGAUGUGCUCAGUGUGUUUUCUUUUGAGUUGGAAUCAUAUGUUGUGCCUCAAUCUUUUUUAUAGCGGGAUAAGAAAGGGCCAGGAAAAAGAAAAGACAUGGUGCGAUUGUUCUUAUCCUCUGGACAAACCAUCUUCAGUUGUACCCUUUGUAAUAUUCAUUUCUUUAGUGAUGUGCCUACUGUUUGUUAUUUUUCUUUGGGGUCAUAGACUAUAGUCCUUCUUUUACACCAAAAUAAAAUGAGGAAUUGUCGAUUAUGUUCUUGCAAAGUGAAACUGUUCUUACCUCUCGAUUAUUUUCAUAAAAACCUACAACUAUCUUUCAUUGUACAUGUCGUUUUUUUUGGAGAUAAAUAAUGCACUGAUACAUGCAUACAUCUCAAUUUUUAUUACACAACACAACCCCUAUAUCAUAUCCUAUAACAACAAUUUGAUCUGGACUAACUAUAUUUCCUUCCCAUGUGAACUUCAUCACAAUUGGAAGGGUCAUCGACUCUCCGUCUCCUCGCUUCACUUCCUAUUUAUGAUGUGUUUUAUCUACACUUUGGCUUAGAGGGUGUUUGUUUACAAAGACUUUUUAGUUGGGACUAAAAAAAGUCCAAGGACUUUUUAACAAACAGGGCCUUAUUCUAUUGAUUUUGUUUGCUCGAUAUAAUCAUCGCAAAUAAUAAUAAAUUUUAUCAUGAUUAAAAUGUUAUCUAUGUGGAUUGGUACCUCUGUUUGAUCAUCCAAUUGUUCCUAGAUAUAACAUAAUACAUUUAGAAUUAAUAAAAACAAAAUACAUUUCAUAUUGCAACUAUUGCACUAUGCAUCUUAAAUUCCCCUUUAUUUUACUUUUUUGUAGAUAACUUUCCUUUGUUUUUCAACUUAGAAUUUUCAUAUAAGUUCUCAAGGAUUCAUGUCGCAACGCGUGGGGUAUCUUCUAGUUUCUAAAUAAAAUGAGUUAGGCUUAUAUAUAAUUCAUGCUUAUAUAGGUUUCUGCUCUUCUCAUACUUGGUAUAAAUGUAUGAAAUGGAAAAAAAAUAACAGGGGUGGAGGGAGUACCUAUCGUGGCGGCGGCGGGGCAGGGCAAGGGCGCCGGAGCAGCGACGUCGGGNNNNNNNNNNNNNNNNNNNNNNNNNNNNNNNNNNNNNNNNNNNCACUACUAAAAAAAACCUUAUACACAAAACAUUAGCAGUACCGCUGGAUAAAAGUGGGCUUGUACAGUUUUUUUAGUUAUACAUUGUUUCCUUGGCAAAUGUAUUUCCCUAAACAUAUGUGCAUGGACAUGUGUCACGUAAAUCCUUUGAGGCCCACCAUAUUGUAUAUGUUACGUAGAUCGAACUAUCAUGGAAUCUUAAUUUUAAGAUAUAUACCAAUCGACUACUGAUAUCUUCUAGUUAAUGUCAAUGUGGAAUUUUCUAACAUAGUAUUUCUCUUGCUCCUGGUUCACCUUAUAUUAUUUUUAGUAUAUAAUAGUAUAGAAUAGAAAAUAGAUAGAAUAGAUAGAUAGACUUCAGCACAAUUCACUUAACUUCGUUGACACCAGCUAAUAAAAGCUUCAUUAGUCCGCUGAAGCGCUGCAGCCGACAACGAUGUAUGUCAUGGUCAACUAUAAAGCCGCUGUAACAGUGAUACUGUUAACGUGAUUGUGAAAUAACAGUAUUGAUUGAACAGGAAAUUAAAACUAAAAAAAUGACAGUACAUUUAGGACCAGAAAUUUCAUCCAAUUGUGUGGCCGAUAAUUGCUUUUGGCCGCAGGAAACGCAUUCUUCACGCAGUGAUGCCGACCUAACAUGUACCUCCUUUAAAAAGAAUGUAGAAAACGUGGGCCAAAACGGCUAUGAAGGAGAAAGGAAACAAAACACAGGAAACACAUUUUUGGCGCGAGAAACACAUUUUUUUCACUCAAUAAUGACGAGCUAACAUAUGUCAUCUUCGUCAAAACGUUCUACGGUAGCCUUAUAGCAUAGGUAUGGGCAUAUGGCUCUGUACCGACAACGGAAAUUCAAGAUCUAUAAAGAUAGAUUAAAAACGCUUAAUAAUAUUUUUAAAUGAAUACAUACCGUGAUAAAAUUUUAAAGGAGUUUAAAAUAGAUCGGCAAAGAAGGAGUUUUUGGCUGUGUUAUAAGGUGUGAGUAUUGAGUAAGACUCGAAACCUACACACGGUGAAAAAGAUGGGUAUAGAUCCGUCAAGGAUCAAGCCCAGCAACACUACCUUUAAAGGAGUGAUCUCGGGCGUCGAGGCCUGCUAUUCCGGUACCAUAACGCUGAAUGUAGUGUUCGGCUCGCCACACAACUUCCGUAGCAUCAAAUGGAAGUUUUCACUUCAGCCAAAAAAUAAACCGUCUAGAAAAUGGAAAUACAUUUCUUUAGAAAAGGAAGAUUACCUCCUGCAUGCGUCCCUUUUAUAUACUCACAAAGAUUAUACAAAGUAGUACAUGAGGUUGUCUGAAGCCAUCAUCUUAGCAACAACUUCCGCUACUCCUAUCUACUUGAUGAAGUGGUGCCGAUAUAGUCCGAGUCUAAUACCAUACAGACUUCGCACAAAUGCCUAACAUUAAGGCCGAAGACCCCAAGCAAGCCGCAUGCUGGGUUUGGACACAAACCGGUACGACGCACUUUCAUGUGUCGUCGCUGUCAUCUUCCACCAAUCCAUCUUUAGAGCAGAAACUACUGCACCGACCUUGUCAGGCCUCUCUGCCAUUGACGUCACCAUGACGCCAGACAGCGUCCUCCUGUUGCGCUAGUCCAUCUUCGCGCAUCGGGCGUCCAGUCUCCACUGCGCCAUGCUGUCGAGAUCCAUCGCCAUCAAUGUGUAAGAUGAAGCACCACUCCAUCGAAGAAGCAGUCCUCUCAUCCCUUGAGUCCAUGUACACCUCCAAGAAUAACGCCCCCAAGGGGGAAAACGACACUAGAACAUCGGCGCCAUCUGAUCUAUUGAUCUAGGGUUUUCCUCCAAGGUAGCACAGAGUGGCCAUGAACUUCUCCACGGUGAUGCCUUCAAGAAAGGAACGACGCAGACAGGACUGCCACCGCCGGCCUUGGUAGUAGCCGAUAGCAAGUUUUCACCCAGAUCUAUUCGAAGGGCCUCCAUCAACCAUCUCAUGCAUAGACCGCAGCCAUCUUAGCCGGGGACCGGACGGACGCUGUUGCCUGGCCGACCGUCGCGCCACCAUGAUGCCUACAUCUGGCGUCGUCAGGCCCACCACACUCGCGUUUAGAUGCACACAAGAACCGCUGGCCCGCCCAAGCACAUCUGGGCAAGGCGAGACCCACGAUCCCCGUCGGCACCACAGGGGCGACUAUGCCACGGGCAGUUCGCGCCUCCGCUGUCGCUGUCGACACGCGCGUCAUCGGGAUCCCGCCGCUCCUUGCCGCUGGAUGCCUGUCGUAGCAUUCACCGCCGCCGCUAGGAUAUCUCGCCACGAUGAUGCGAGGGAGAAUACCCCACCGUCGCCACCAGGAUAUCUCGCCACCAUCACGCGAGGGAGAAUACCCCACCGCCGCCACCACAGGCUAGGCUUCGUCGGCGCGACCUCAGGCGGCGGCAGGAAAAAGUAUGUGAGGAGAGGAGGCCUAAGACCAGCGGCGCGGUCGCCCCCCGUGUUGCCUAGGGUAGGCGAUGCGGGGACGGGGAUGAGUUUUGUUUUCUGUUUGGGAACCGCCUACAGUAUGUGUAGCAUGGAAGAGGGUAAAAACUCUUGGUCAUUGCGUUGACAAUGAAAGCAUGCCACCCGAAAUUAUUUAUCUCUGUCUUCAAAGCUUGAGCUCUGGCACCUCUGCAAAUCAAUGCUUCCCUCUGCGAAGGGCCUAUCUAUUUAUGUUUCUGUUGAGUCAUCCUCUUCUUAUAAAAGCACCAAUUAGAGAGCAUAUAUCUCUAUAUCAUAGUAACCAUAGUGAUUCAUAAUCAUAAGCAUAUAUCUCUAUAUGAUGGUAUAUUGAAUGAUUAUUUCUUAGUAAGUUAAGCAAGUAUAAUGCAUGAAUAUGUGAGCUAUGCUAUGCAAAACUACAUCACAUGGAUAUGAUGGCUUGCCUUGAUCGGUGGGGUUGUUCAAACACUCCUUGUCUUCAAAGUUUCCCUCUAAAAAUAUGUUUGAAAUAGCAAAAGAAAAGGAAAAGCAUUAAAUACCUUUUUAUUAACUAGAAAUUCUAUGAGUGUGGGAAAAAUACCAAAUUGUAAAGAAUUUCAAUACCAACCCAAUGCAAAAAGAAUCAAGUGAUUUGGACUUGUAAAUAAAAAUAUUUAAAUGGUCAAAGUUUCUGUUUAAAUCUGAAAUAAAUAAAAGAAAUAGAAAUCCUGGGAGGGGCCACGUGGAAGGUGUAAAGUGGAGGGGCGCCUCACUUAACGCUUCGGCCGCAGGCCGCAGACCCUGGCAGGUGGGGCCUGCCCCUUUUAAACAGAGAGGGAGGAGGGGGGACAGAGGAGGGCGGCUCACCGGCGACGCUCACCAGCGAUAGAGACGGCGGCGAGGCUGGGAGAUGACGGGAAUGGAUCGGGCGCUCGACGGCGGUCCUCCCUGUACCCGUAGCUCCUCCGGAGGUGGACAGACGGUGUCGCCCCGUCUUCUCCGGCGGGUGGAGGCUACCGUGGUCAUCGCUGGCGACGGUUCCGGCAGGGAUUCAACUCACCGACGGCUCAAGGAGCACCAGAGGGACCCAAGGAACACACUGGUGGCCUUGGAUUCGAUUGGGCACGGGCGGAGGAGGCUGGCGACAGAGGGGAUUUGGCGACGGAGCUUUUCGAUGGAGCUGAGGGAGACGAGCUCCCGGCUCUUGCUGCGGGUCUGUAGGGCUAAUCCAGAGGUGGAGGAGAGGGGUGAGAGCUAGGAGGGGUUCGAGCAGCGCCUUAUAUAGGCCAGCGACGAGCGCUGUCGAGCUCUCCUGAAGUGGCGAGGCUCGGGCUUGCCACUGGAGCAAGGAAAGUGAGCUGGCUCUCGUGGCGCGGUGGUGAGGUGAUGGAGGAGGUCAAGGGAGCGACGGGACGGGUCUGGAGCCAUUAAUGGCGUGCGGACGACCACAGUGGCUGAAGCCCACUGUGUUGCUCGUGGCGGAGCUUGGCCGGGAGCGACGACGGCCUUCUCCGGCGAACCAGAGGGUUCGGGAGGUGCCACGCGGCUACCAGGGACCUCGUCGGCGCUUAGGACAAGGGGGGCAUGGUUUGACGGCUCGGGGCGGCUCGGCUGUCACUGGAGUUGCGCAGAGCGUGCUCUGUGGCAUGCCGGCACCGUGAUCACCCCGGUUGCGGCCACCCUGAUGCCAUGCAAGCCUUGAAUCCUUGUCUAUUACAUCGACCAGCCUUCCAUCAGUCACCAUCCACUACUUGCCUAAACACACAAGCUCUGCUGCGACUAGGAACAUCAACAACAGGUUCUGCCAGCAGACUUUGGGAGGUUCUAGACCUCAACAGGGUUGGGAUAAGAGCAAGAUAGGAUGUCUAGGAGAAUCAGCAUAGAAAAGACUCUAAACUGGCAAAAAUUGGCAAGGUUUGAAGAUCAAAUGAAUAUAGUUCCUUUGUAAACCACCUUUAUGGUCCAGAACACAAAUGAUCUCCUAGCACUCAAUUGCAAGCUUUGCUACCAGUGUCAUUUGGUGGGGAAGUAUCAUUUGGUAGUGCACACAUGCCCAAAAAAUUGUAGCUCCAUUGUGCACUCCUAGCUAGCACUUCCUUCACAAAGGUUCUGUUUUAGCAUAAACUUAGCAGAGUGUUUUUGCUCAAAAUUUGUACUGGACCAUGGGAUGUUUUUACAUAUUGGAACCAUAUAUGAUCCCUAGUAACUACAGCAAUUUAUUUGGAAUUUUGCAAAAUAGGAAUCAUAGGGUUGCUUCACAAAGGGAUAAUUCUGGUCAGAUAAUAAAUAAUUAUUCUGGCCAUAAUUAUCCAUUGGACAAAGAAACAUUUUUGAAUAUUUUAAAAUCAUAUGGCAUUGAGAAGAUGUUGCAAAAGUUUUGGGUCUUAAAGCUCAUCCAAGCUAUAGGUUGCUUCACAACCCAUAGUGAUGGCAUAAUUCCCAAAAUAGAAAAAGAUAAUUAUUUAGUAGAAUAAAAUAUUGCAAAUAAAUCUCAGAAAGGUUUUAGUAAGAAGCAAAUGGUUUUCGGUUGUUUGAGACAAGAAAUCGGAGAUUUCAUAAUCCAACUUGCUUUGAGAAUUUGAAAAUCCACCAAAUUGCAAGUGAUCUUCAAAAAUAUUUUAAAAAGAAAAGGUUUGAAAAAUCAGGGUGUUACAGAUAUGAUCAUAGAGAUGAAUGUCUGAGUUGCGAGUUUUGGUACAUGGUUAAGAAAAUUUGGAAAUUGUUUUGCAAUUCAUGCCACCUAGAACACCAUAGUGUGAUGGUGUGUCCGAACGUCCUAGCCGCGCCCUAUUUGAUAUGGUGCAUACUAUGAUGUCUCUUAUCGAAUUACCACUAUCGUUUAUGGGUUAUGCAUUAGCGACAACCGCAUUCACUUUAAAUAGGGCACCGCGUAUUUCCGUUGAGAUGACACAGUAUAGACUAUGGUUUGGAGAACCCUAUGCUGCCGUUUCUUAAAAGUUUGGGGCUUCAAUGCAUAUGUGAAAAAGUUUCACUCUGAUAAGCUCGAACCCAAAGCGGAUAAAUGCAUCUUCAUAGGAUAUCCAAAAUAGUUGGGUACAUCUCCUAUCUCAGAUCCGGAAGCGAAGUGUUUGUUUCUAGAAAUGGGUCCUUUCUUGAGGAAAGGUUUCUCUCGAAAGAAUUUAGUUGAGGGUGGUGGAACUUGAUGAGAUUAGUGAACCGUCACUUCAACCAGUGUGUAGCACGGCGCAGGAAGUUGUUCUUGUGGCGCCUACACCAAUUGAAGUGGAAACUGAUGAUGGUGAUCAUUGAGCUUCGGAUCAAGUUACUACAAACCUGGUAGGUCGACAAGGCCGCAUACUACUACAGAGUGGUACGGUAACCUUGUCUUCGAAGUCAUGUUGUUGAACAACAAUGAACCUACGAGCUAUGGAGAAACGAUGGUGGGCCCGGAUUCCGACAAAUAGCUGGAGUCCAUGAAAUCCGAGAGAGGAUCCAUGUAUGAAAACAAAGUGUAGACUUUGGAAGAACUACUUGAUGGACGUAGGACUGUUAAGUAAAGAUGGAUCUUUAAAAGGAAGACAAACGAUGAUGGUUAAAAGUCACCAUUAAGAAAAGCUCGACUUAUCACAAAGAUGUUACCGACAAGUUCAAAGAGUUGACUAUGAUGAGACUUUCUCACUCGUAGCGAUGCUAAAAAUCUGUUAGAAUUAUGUUAGCAAUUGAUGCAUUGUUUGUGAAAUAUUGCACAUAGGAUGUCAAAACAUUGUUUCCUUGAGGAACGGUUGUAUGUGAUACAACCAGAAGGUUUUGUCAAUCCUAAGGAUGCUAACAAGUAUGAAAGCUCCAGCAAUCCUUCUAUGGACUGAUGCAAGCAUCUCGGAGUUGGAAUAUACGCUUUGAUGAGAUGAUCAAAGAUUUUGGGUUUGUACAAGGUUUAUGAGAAACUUGUAUUUACAAAGAAGUGAGUAGGAGCACUAUAGAAUUUCUGAUAAGUAUAUGUGGUUGACAUAUUGUAGAUCGAAAGUAAUGUAGAAUUUCUGUGAAGCAUAAAGGGUUGUUUGAAAGGAGUUUUUCAAAGGAAAACCUGGAUAGAGCUACUUGAACAUUGAGCAUCAAGAUCUAUAGAGAUAGAUCAAAACGCUUAAUAGAACUUUCAAUGAAAUGCAUGCCUUGACAAGUGUUUGAAGGAGUUCAAAAUAGAUCAGCAAAGAAGGAGUUCUUGGCUGUGUUGUAAGGUGUGAAUUUGAGUAAGACUCAAAGCCCGACCACGGUAGAAGAAAGAGAAAGGACGAAGGUCGUCCCCUAUGCCUUAGCGUAGGCUCUAAAGUAUGGCAAGUUGUGUACCUGAUACGUCUCCAUCGUAUCUACUUUUCCAAACUCUUUUGCCCUUGUUUUGGACUCUAAUUUGAAUGAUUUGAAUGGAACUAACCCGGACUAACGUUGUUUUCAGCAGAAUUGCCAUGGUGUUGUUUUUCCGUAGAAAUAAAAUUUCUCGGAAUGACCUGGAAAUUUACGAGGAUUUUUUGUGGAAUAUAUAAAAAAUACUGGCGCAAGAAUCAAUCGGAGAUGUGGAGCGAGGAGCCCACAAGCCCACCAGCCCCCCCCCCCCCCCCNNNNNNNNNNNNNNNNNNNNNNNNNNNNNNNNNNCCCCAAACCCCCCCCCCCCCCCCCCCCGGCUGCACCUAGCAGGCUUGUGGGGCCCUCAGGGCUCCGCCGCCUCCAACUCCAACUCUAUUUAGUCCCUUUCGUCCGGAAAAAAAUCAAGGAGAAGAGUUCAUCGCGUUUUACGAUACGGAGGCACCGCCACCACCUGCUCUUCCUCUGGAGGGCAGAUCUGGAGUCCGUUCUGGGCUCCGGAGAGGGGAGAUCGUCGCCAUCGUCAUCACCAACCUUCCUUCAUCGCCAAUUCCAUGAUGCUCUUCACCGUUCGUGAGUAAUCUCAUCGUAGGCUUGCUGGACGGUGAUGGGUUGGAUGAUAUCUAUCAUGUAAUCGAGUUAGUUUUUGACGAGGAUUGAUCCCUAGUAUCCACUAUGUUCUAGAUUGAUGUUGCUAGUACUUGGCUAUUCUUAAUGCUUGUCACUUGGGCCCGAAUGCCAUGAUUUCACAUCUGAACCUAUUAUGUUCUCGUCAAUAUAUGUGUGUUAUUAAUCCUAUCUUGCAAGUUGUAGUCACCUACUAUGUGUUAUGACCCGGCAACCCCGGAGUGACAAUAGCCGGAACCACUCCCGGAGAUGACCAUAGUAUGAGGAGUUCAUGUAUUCACUAUGUGCUAAUGCUUUGUUCCGGUUCUCUAUUAAAAGGAGAACCUUAAUAUCCCGUAGUUUCCAUUAGGACCCCGCUGCCACGGGAGGGAUGGACAAGAGAUGUCAUGCAAGUUCUUUUCAUAAGCACGUAUGACUACAUAUGGAAUACAUGCCUACAUUACAUUGACGAGCUAGUUACAUAUCUCCCCAUGUUAUAACUGUUGCAUGAUGAAUGUCAUCCGGCAUAAUUAUCCAUCACCGAUCCAAUGCCUACGAGUUUUUCCUACUGGUCCUUGCUACAUUACUUUGCCGCUACUGCUGUCACUGUUGCUACUGUUACUCUGUCGCUACCGCUGUCACUGCUGCUACUAUUACUAACGCUACUAUUGCUAUCACACCACUUUGCUACUGAUACUUUGCUGUAGAUACUAAGUCUUUCAGGUGUGGUUAAAUUGACAACUCAACUGCUAAUACUCGAGAAUAUUCUUUGGCUUCCCCUUGUGUCGAAUCACCAAAUUUGGGUUGAAUACUCUACCCUCGAAAAUUGUUGCGGUCCCCUAUACUUGUGUGUUAUCAAGACUAUUUUCUGGCGCCGUUGUCAGGGAGGCAUAGCUCUAUUCUCUGAGUCACUUGGGAUUUACGUCUGUUGAUCACUAUGAGGAAUCCGAGAGAUCCAAAAACUAAAGUCUUGCCCUCAACUACGAGGACAGGUAAGGAACUGUCAUCUAGCUCUGCACUUGAUUCACCUUUAGUUAUGAGUAAGUUUGCGACAUCACCUCCUGCUAGAAAUUUUGAUGUGUCGCUUGUGCUUGAUGAUGCUACUUCUGCUAUCCAUGAUGCUUGUGAUGCUUUGCUUGAUACUGCUUUGCCACUAGGUGCAUUCCUAGAUGCACAAAUUUCUAGAGUUGCUCCUAGAUGUGAUGAUACUUCUGAAACUGCUGAGAUUAUUGAAGUAGAACCUGCUAUUUCACAUGUUAGAACUAGCUCUCCUAGAUAUGAAUUGCCUGAUAUGCCUAAGGGUUAUGUUAUGGAGGGAGAGAUAGCUGAGGACUUUCUUGCUUGUAAGGAUAGCUAUGAUCUUGAGAAUUACUGCGCAAGUGGAAAGAAAAAUCUUUGAACGCUAGGAUGAAAUAUGACCCGAAGUUUGCUGCUUCGCCUAUCUUUGUGACCGAUAAGGAUUAUGAAUUCUCUGUCGACCCUGAGUUAAUCACUUUGGUCGAAUCUGAUCCUUUUCAUGGUUAUGAGUCUGAAACGGUUGUAGCACAUCUUACUAAGUUGCACGAUAUAGCCACCCUAUUCACGAGUGAGGAAAAGAUCCGCCACUACUAUAUCCUUAAGUUGUUCCCUUUCUUGCUAAAGGAUGAUGCUAAGACUUGGUUCACUUCUCUUGCUCCUAGUUGUGUGCGUAGUCCCCAGGAUAUGAUCUACUACUUCUCUGAGAAAUAUUUUCCUGCCCAUAAGAAGCAAGCUGCCUUGCAGGAGAUAUAUAACUUUGUGCAAGUUGAAGAAGAGAGUCUCCCACAAGCUUGGGGGAGGCUCGUCCAGCUACUGAAUGCUUUGCCUGAUCACCCUCUUGAGAAGAAUGAAAUACUUGAUAUCUUCUAUAAUCUACUAACUGAUACUUCUAGGGACCACCUAGAUAAUUGUGUCGGUUGUGUUUUCAGGGAACGAACUGUGGAACAAGGUGAGAUUCUAUUGAAUAAUAUCUUGUGCAAUGAGAAUGCUUGGACUAUUCCCGAACCACCUCUGAAGCCAACUCCGAAGAAAAGAGGUAUUCUAUUCCUCAGUCCUGAAGAUAUGCAAGAAGCUAAGAAAUCUAUGAAAGAGAAAGGCAUUAAAUCUGAAGAUGUCAAAAAUCUACCACCUAUCGAAGAGAUCCAUGGUCUUGAUAACCCGACACAGGUAGCAGAGGUAAAUUCUCUUCGUAGAUUCAAUGAGAGUGAUAUUCCUUUUGAUAAACCUGCUAGCUUAUGCCUGGAUGAAUUUGUUAACUUUGUUGCCAAACAACAAAGUUUUAAUGAUUAUGUUAGCAUACAAUUGGAAAAGUUGCUCGUGUGCUUAGUCAUUUAAGUGUUUGUGUGGAUAGAAAUGUCAAUGAUCUUAAGCUUUUGAGUAAACAUGCCUCUAUGGUUACUACUCAAGUAGAACAAGUAUUUAAGGCUCAAAAUGACUUGCUCAAUGAGUUGAAUGACAAUUCUGUCAGAGUCGUCACUAGAGGUGGUAGAAUGACCCAGGAACCUUUGUAUCCUGAGGGUCAUCCUAAGAGAAUUGAACAAGAUUCUCAAGGAGUUAGCACUAAUGCACCUAGUCAUCCUAGAAAGAAAAAGAAAGAUGAUAGGAAUUUGCACGCUAGCAACCCUGUUGUUGUUACACCCGAGAAUGCAAACAAUGUCUCUGUUUCUGAUGCCGAAACACAAUCUGGUGAUGAACAUUAACCUAAUGAUAAUAUCGAUAGUGAUGUUCAUGAUGAUUCUCAACCUAGCAAUGAUAAGGAUGUGGAGAUUGAACUAGUUGAUCUUGAUAUCCCACUACCUAAGAAUAGGAGAUACGAUAAGAAUGACUUCAUUGCUAGGAAGCAUGGUAAAGAAAGGGAACCAUGGGUGCAGAAACCCAUGCCCUUUCCUCCCAAACCAUCCAAGAAAAAGGAUGAUGAGGAUUUUGAGCGCUUUGUUGAAAUGAUUAGACAUGUCUUUCUGCAAAUGUGUUUGACAGAUAUGCUCAAAAUGUCUUUGUAUGCCAAGUAUAUGAAAGAUAUUGUGACUAAUAAGAGGAUGAUACCUGAGGUUGAGAUUUCCACCAUGCUCGCUAAUUACACCUUCAAGGGUGGAACUCCUAAGAAACUAGGUGAUCCUGGAGUGCCCACUAUACCUUGCUCCAUUAAAGGCAACUACGUUAGAACUGCUUUAUGCGAUCUUGGAGUCGUUGUUAGUGUUAUGCCUCUUUCUCUUUAUCGUAGACUUGAAUUGGAAAAGUUGACACCCACUGAAAUCUCUCUGCAAAUGGCCGACAAAUCAACUGCUUUCCCUAUUGGCAUUUGCGAGGAUGUGACUGUUGUGGUUACUAACGUUACUAUCUUAACGGACUUUGUUAUUCUAGAUAUUCCCGAGGAUGAUGCCAUGGUGGUCAUCCUUGGAAGACCCUUUUUAAACACAGCAGGGGCUGUUAUUGAUUGCAACAAAGGCAAUGUCACUUUCCAUGUCAAUGGUAAUGAGCAUACGGUGCACUUUCCGAAGAAACAAUAUCGAGUACAUUGCAUCAAUGCUAUUGAAAAAACUUCAUCGAUUCUUAUUGGGAGCUUUGAAUGCCCUAUACCUACUGUUGAGAUGAAGUAUGAUUUGCUUGUUGGGAUAUGCACAUCCCCAUUGAGGUAACCUAGUGACUAUUCGAAAAUUCUCCGUUUUUACGCGAUUCGAAAAAAGUUUGUCAACGAGACUUGAUCAACCUCAUUGACGGAUUUCUUUUGAUGACCAUGAGAUGGAUGAAUCUGAGAGUCACAGCCCUCUGUUCCAAACCUUUACCUUCGGUUGCUUAGAAGAAAAAUGAUAGAUUUAGCUUUAGUUUUUCCUGUUUUCUGCUUUUUGCGUCCCGUAGAAAAGUGUGCCGAAAAUAAAAGUUCUCCGAAUGCCCUGAAAAUCAAGUAUGAUUUUUUCUGGAAUUUUUGAAAAAUUCUGAGACGGAGAGCUAGUUAGGGGGAUGCACCAGUGGGCCACAAGCCCAGGAGGCGCGGGCACCCCCCCUGGCCGCGCCUACCAGGCUUGUGCGGCCCACGUGUCCCCCCUCCACUUAUUCCAGCUCCCAUCUCCUUCUCCUACCUCCAGAAAAAAUUCAUUCUACAGCUCAAACCCGUGUUCUUGCUCUUCUUGGUGCGAUUUUCGAUCUCCUUGUGCAAAGCCCCAUUCAACAAACUGUUUUGAGGAAAUUGUUCCUUGGUAUGUGACUCCUCCAUUGGUCCAAUUAGUUUUGCUCUAGUGCCUUAUUCGUUGCGUAUUUUUGCUGCCUUGGUGACCCUGUUCUUGAGCUUUGCAUGCUAAUUUUAGCUGGUCCCAAGUAGUUUUGAUGCAUGAUAUGGCCUCUAGGCACUUGUAGGGGUAGUUGCUAUGAGUUUCGUUGAGCCUUGUUUACCUUUCCUUUGAGUCACCAAAGAUUUCAGAAAAAGAAAGAUGUUCAGGAGAAACUAUCAUGGUGGUUCCUCAAGCAAGAAGGGUCCUCGUCUCGCGAUUCGGGAGCCCGAUCCUUACCAACCGAGGAACGCAUAGGUACAACCAUGUGAAUGGUCUUCUGAUGAAUUCAUGAUUGAUGCAGGUUUCAAAGACGAGUUUGAUAUAUUUGUUCACAACGCCCGGCUCAAAGAAUUCAUCUCCGAUAAAUGUGAACAGUGUACUACUCUAACUGCCUCUUUUGUUCGUAGAUUCAAAUUUUCAGCUGGCCGUGACACAUCCAUACUGUUUGAUCUGUAUGACAAAUCGUAUACCAUGGAUUUAGAGAAUUUCAAUAGAAUUUGCAAGAUACCCGAUUGGGGUAGUCUCAAUGAUCCUCCUAAGUCUUCGGUUAGAGAUUUUAUCUCUAGUAUAACUAUCGGAGAAACUAGAUAUAUUACGCAGGCUACCAUGGGGAGCAUUCAUUUUCCUGUCUUGCAUUACUUUGCCCUCUUCAUAGGUAGAUACAUUAACGUCAAGAUCGAGCAUUGUCACCUCUGCGCACCUGACCUUAACAUUCUUAAGAGCGUAGUAACGGGUGAUAGAAGUUCCAACAUGGGAGUUAUAAUAGCAAGGAGGUUGAAUAAUAAUGCUAAUGAAGGGGAUUUCUUUGGUGGGAUCUAUGCCACUCGCAUAGCAAAUUUUCUUGGAGUACCCAUCCGCGAAGGAGAUCCCCCGCUCCAUACAGCUUUCCUUGAUCACGCCGCUUUGACACGCAAUCAGUUCCUUGAGAGGGAUAAUGAAUCCCUCCUAUACCGGUUAAUAUUUAACCGACAGCGUGUUUUCCAUAUUACCCUUCCUGCUCUUGCGUUCUUUGACUUUUAGGUAAAACAGAGAUAUUACAUAACCAGAGGAGAGGCAGAGGAGUAUGAGAGGGAGGCAAAGGUUGCUCGCCUCCGUGAGGCAGCUAUUCAGGCGGUAGCUGCCGCGCUCCGUACAACCCCCAUUAUGAUUUUGGAUAUCGCCGGACCAGCCAUGGGAGUAGACCAACUUAGGCCAAAAGCCUAAGCUUGGGGGAGUACGUGUUUCUCACCGACUUUAUAUUCAUGCUCACACUUUCACUUUGAUAGUCGGUGUUCACACUUUGCCACUGUAUCAUCCAUGCUAGUUUAUUUUUUUUUCUCGCUUUCUUCUCGUGUGUUUGUCUAGUUUGAGAAAACCCAAAAAGAUUCCAUUUUUUUCUUUUUCUUGUUGGGAGCUUUCCCGUGUAAAUAGUUUUCUUUUUCUUUGGGUCAAGGUAGAAGACCAUGGUUACAAUGUUUAGUGGCUCUCGCAUGCAUAUCUGUUUAUCUGUCAAAGAGCCAUAUUUCUUUGUCUUCUCCUUUGUGUUUGAUUGCAGAUUCCAGCGUAGUCCAAUGCACGAACUCUCUUAUUAUUGUUCACAUCAUUUGGUCGUGCAAGUGAAAGGCAAUAAUGACGAUAUAUGAUGAAGUGACUGAACCUGUAAAAGCUGGUAUGAACUCGAUCUAUUUUGUUUAUGUAAAUAUGACUAGCUCAUCGUUCCUAAUUCAGCUUUGUUGUGAGAGAAACAUGUUUGCAAUGACAACUUAGAGAUCAUAGUUUCUGAUGCCAUGCUUAAUUAGCUAGGAGCUUAUAAUGGUUUGUCUUGGAUGCCAUCAUGAAUUUUGAGAUGAUUAUGAUGUAGUAUGAUAGGAUGGUAUCCUCCUUUGAAUGAUUCAACUGGCUUGACUUGGCGCAUCACGCAUGUUUACGCAUAUAGUUGAAACAAAAUCAACAUAGCUUCUAUGAUAUUCAAUUUCAUGGUGAUUUAUCUCCUACUCAUGCUUGCACUCAAUGUUGGUUAAUCUCAAUGCAUUUUGAUGACUGUUGUCGCUCUCUAGUUGGUCGCUUCCCAGUCUUUUGCUAGCCUUCACUUGUACUAAGCAGGAAUACUGCUUGUGCAUCCACUUCCUUAAACCCAAAGUUGUUCCAUAUGAGUCCACCAUACCUACCUAUAUGCGGUAUCUACCUGUCGUUCCAAGUAAAUUUAUAUGUGCCACCCUCUACAUCUUUAAGAAAUAAUCUGGUUUGUAUGCCCAAACCACUCAUGUGGUGACAAGGGGCGAUCAGUAUCUUCCAUGCUAGGCGUGUUAUCCUCGAUAUGUGUUUAUUCACUAUCAUUCACGGGAAAGGGGACGGUAAUUGGAAUGCCCAGUUCCAUGCUCAAAUCGAAAAGAUAAUUGCAAACAUAACUCCCCCUGGAUUGUUGUUGGUAUGGAUGGCACCCGAGUAUUCGGCUAGCCGUGGAGUGUGAUUGAUCGGUGGUGUGGGAGUCAAAACUUUUCUUUUCUAUUUGGGAACCGCCUAUAGUAUGUGUAGAAUGGAAGAUGGUGAAAACUAUUGGUCAUUGCGUUGACAAUGAAAGCAUGCCACCCGAAAUUAUUUAUCUCUGUCUACAAAGCUUGAGCUCCGGCACCUCUGCAAAUCAAUGCUUCCCUCUGCGAACGGCCUAUCUAUUUAUGUUUCUGUUGAGUCAUCCACUUCUUAUAAAAGCACCAAUUAGAGAGAACCUCUGUCAUUUCUAUGCUUUGCUUUUAAUUGUUAAUGAGUAUGACUGUGACUGGAUCUUCUUUGCCAUGAAUUACAAUGUUCAGUCAACCCUUGGUCUUUGAAGGUGCUCUACAUUUAUGUUUUGCGGUCUCAGAAAGAGCUAGCGAGAUACCAUCUGUUCAUAUUGCUUCAUGAUUGUUUUGAUUGAAGUGUUGACGUUUGAAACUUAUUAUUAUUGAUCGCUAGUUGAUUAUGCCAUUGAUAUGAGUUCCUCUUGAGACCUAAAUGUCAUUGCUUAUGUGGUUUGCUCAUGAUCUUGCUCGAAAUCUGAAUAUGAGUUAGACAUAAUUACAACAACAAGAUCAAACAGAGUUCGUAAAAGUUUUUCUUUUGUCUCUUUCAGUUUGUCAAGUGAAUUGCUUGAGGACAAGCAAGGCUUUAAGCUUGGGGGAGUUGAUACGUCUCCAUCGUAUCUACUUUUCCAAACUCUUUUGCCCUUGUUUUGGACUCUAAUUUGCAUGAUUUGAAUGGAACUAACCCGGACUAACGCUGUUUUCAGCAGAAUUGCCAUGGUGUUGUUUUUGAGCAGAAAUAAAAGUUCUCGGAAUGACCUCGAAAUUACGAGGAAUUUUUGUGAAAUAUAUAAAAAAUACUGGCGCAAGAAUCAACCGGAGACGUGGAGCGAGGAGCCCACAAGCCCACCAACCCCCCCCCCCCGGCUGCACCUAGCAGGCUUGUGGGGCCCUCAGGGCUCCGCCGCCUCCAACUCCAACUCUAUUUAGUCCCUUUCGUCCGGAAAAAAAUCAAGGAGAAGAGUUCAUCGCGUUUUACGAUACGGAGGCACCGCCACCACCUGCUCUUCCUCUGGAGGGCAGAUCUGGAGUCCGUUCUGGGCUCCGGAGAGGGGAGAUCGUCGCCAUCGUCAUCACCAACCUUCCUUCAUCGCCAAUUCCAUGAUGCUCUUCACCGUUCGUGAGUAAUCUCAUCGUAGGCUUGCUGGACGGUGAUGGGUUGGAUGAGAUCUAUCAUGUAAUCGAGUUAAUUUUGAUGGGGAUUGAUCCCUAGUAUCCACUAUGUUCUGAGAUUGAUGUUGCUACUACUUUGCCAUGCUUAAUGCUUGUCACUAGGGCCCGAGUGCCAUGAUUUCAGAUAUGAACCUAUUAUGUUCUCAUCAAUAUAUGUGUGUUCUUGAUCCUAUCUUGCAAGUUGUAGUCACCUACUAUGUGUUAUGACCCGGCAACCCCGGAGUGACAAUAGCCGGAACCACUCCCGGAGAUGACCAUAGUAUGAGGAGUUCAUGUAUUCACUAAGUGCUAAUGCAUUGUUCUGGUUCUCUAUUAAAAGGAGAACCUUAAUAUCUAGUAGUUUCCAUUAGGACCCCGCUGCCAUGGGAGGGAUGGACAAUAGAUGUCAUGCAAGUUCUUUUCAUAAGCAUGUAUGACUACAUACGGAAUACAUGCCUACAUUACAUCAAUGAACUGGAGCUACUUACAUAUCUCCCCAUGUUAUAACUGUUGCAUGAUGAAUGUCAUCCGGCAUAAUUAUCCAUCACUGAUCCAAUGCCUACGAGUUUUUCCUACUGGUCCUUGCUAUGUUACUUUGCCGCUACUGUUGUCACCGCUGCUAUAGUUACUCUGUCGCUACUGCUGUUACUGCUGCUACUAUUACCUUUGCUACUGUUGCUAUCACACCACUUUGCUACUGAUACUUUGCUGCAGAUACUAAGUAUUUCAGGUGUGGUUGAAUUGACAACUCUACUGCUAAUGCUCGAGAAUAUUCUUUGGCUUCCCCUUGUGUCGAAUCAACAAAUUUGGGUUGAAUACUCUACCCACGAAAACUGUUGCGAUCCCCUAUACUUGUGGGUUAUCAGUACCGCACCUGAUGUGUGCCUUGCCAUGCUGUGUCAAGGGGUACAAAAGGUGAUCCAGGAUUGAAUCACUAAAACAACGGUCAAAGUUAUCCUUAGUAGCUAGUGGACUAAGGAAUUUUUUCUUGAUUAUGGAGGUGAUUAAAGAGUUCGUCGUAAAGGGUUAUGUCGAUGCAAGCUUUGACACUAAUCUGAAUAACUCUCAGUAGUAAAACGGAUUCGUAUAGUAGAGUAGAUAUUUGGAGUAUUUCUGAAUAGCACGGAGUAGCAGCAUCUAUAAAUGACAUAAAGAUUUGUAAAGCACACACGGCUCUGAAAUAUUUAGAACCGUUGACUAAAACCUCUCUCACGAGCAAGAUGUGAUCAAAUCCGAGAACUGUAUGGGUGUUGGAUUCGUUAAAAUCACAUGGUGAUGUGAACUAGAUUAUUGACUCUAGUGCAAGUGGGAGACUGUUGGAAAUAUGCCCUAGAGGCAAUGAUAAAUUAGUUAUUAUUAUAUCUCUUUGUUCAUCAUAAACGUUUAUUAUCCAUGCUAUAAUUGUAUUGAUUGGAAACACAAAUACAUGUCUGGAUACAUAGACAAAACAUUGUCUCUAGUAAGCCUCUAGUUGACUAGCUCAUUGAUCAAAUAUGGUCAAGGUUUCCUGACCAUAGACAAGUUUUAUCACUUGAUAACGGGAUCACAUCAUUAGGAGAAUCAUGUGAUGGACAAGACCCAAACUAUGAACGUAGCAUGUGAUCGUGUCAUUUUAUUGCUAUUGUUUUCUACGUGUCAAGUAUUCAUUCCUAUGACCAUGAGAUCAUGUAACUCACUGACAUCGGAGGAAUACCUUGUGUGUAUCAAACGUCACAACGUAAAUGGGUGACUAUGAAGGUGCUCUAGAGGUAUCUCCGAAGGUGUCCGUUCAGUUAGCAUGGAUCAAGACUGGGAUUUAUCACUCCGCGUGACGGAGAGGUAUCUCGGGGCCCACUCGGUAAUACAACAUCACACACAAGCCUUGCAAGCAAUGUGACUCAAGUGUGAGUCACGGGAUCUUGUAUUACAGAGCGAGUAAAGAGACUUGCCGGUAACGAGAUUGAAAUAGGUAUGGAGAUACCGACGAUCAAAUCUCGGGCAAGUAACAUACCGAAGGACAAAGGGAAUGUUAUACGGGAUUCUAUGAAUCCUUGGCACAGAGGUUCAACUGAUAAGAUCUUCGUAGAAUAUGUAGGAUCCAAUAUGGGCAUCUAGGUCCCACUAUUGGAUAUUGACCGAGAAGUGUCUCGGGUCAUGUCUGUAUAGUUCUCGAACCCGCACGGUCAGCACAUUUAAGGUUCGAUGAUGUUAUAGUAUAGUUGAGUUACAUGUGUUGGUGACUGAAGGUUGUUCGGAGUACCGGAUGAGAUCACGGACGUCACGAGGGUUUCCGGAAUGGUCCAGAAAUGAAGAUUGAUAUAUAGGAAGUUGGUGUUUGGAUUCCGGAAAGUUUUUGGGCAUUACCGGCAGUGUACGGGGAGUGACGAAUGGGUUCCGGGGGCCCACUGGGUGGGCGCACCACGCCCCAAGGGGUCCACGUGGGUUUAUUGGAUGUACAAUAAGGUAUAAUGGGCUGACAAAGUCAUCCAAGGAAAGCCCGUGAGGAAAAAGUGGAAAAACCAAAAGGGGUGGGAAAAUAAGGAAGGAGUCCUAAUCCAAGUGGGAUUGGAGAAGGACUCCUCCCUCCCACUUCGGCCAACCCAAGGAGGGUUUCCUUGCGGCGCCAAGGCUGCCCAAGGCUUCCUCUCCCCUCCUCCUAUAUUUACUAGAAGUUUAGGGCUUUUGAGAAACAACUUUUGCCACGUGCAACUCAAACCUACACCACGUAGUUCUUCCUCUAGAUUAGAUUUCUGUGGAGCUCGGGCGGAGCCCUGCAGGAAUAGAUCAUCACCAACACCGGCGCGCCGUCACGCUGCCGGAGAACUCAUCUACUUCUCCGUCUCUCUUGCUGGAUCAAGAAGGUCGAGAUCGUCAUCGAGCUGUACGUGUGCUGAACGCGGAGGUGCCGUCCGUUCGGCGCUAGAUCGGAACGGAUCGUGGGACGACGGUGAUUUGAAUCACGAAGUUGUACCACUACAUCAACCGUGCUUCUUAACGCUUCCCGCUGAGCGAUCUACAAGGGUAUGUGGAUCAAAUCACCCUCUCGCAGAUGAACAUCACCAUGAUAGGUCUUCGUGUGCGUAGGAAAAUUUUAUUUUCCCAUGCAACGUUCCCCAACAUAUUAUAUUUCCUGUUUCAAGAUAAUCGUUUAUUAUCCAUGCUAUAAUUGUAUUGAAUGAAAGCAUAGAUACAUGUGUGGAUACAUAAACAAAACAAUGUCCCUAGUAAGCCUCUAGUUGGCUAGCCAGUUGAUCAAGGAUGGUUAAGGUUUUCUGACCAUAUGCAAGUGUUGUCACUUGAUAACUGGAUCACAUCAUUAGGAGAAUGAUGUGAUGGACAAGACCCAAACUAUGAACGUAGCAUGUGAUCAUGUCAUUUUGUUGCUAUUGUUUUCUGCGUGUCAAGUAUUCAUUCCUAUGACCAUGAGAUCAUGUAACUCACUGACACCGGAGGAAUACCUUGUGUGUAUCAAACGUCACAACGUAACUGGGUGACUUCACUGACACCGGAGGAAUACCUUGUGUGUAUCAAACGUCACAACGUUACUGGGUGACUAUAAAGAUGCUCUACAAGUAUCUCCAAAGGUGCCCGUUGAGUUAGCAUGGAUCAAGACUGGGAUUUGUCACUUCGUGUGACGGAGACGUAUCUCGGGGCCCACUCGGUAAUACAACAUCACAUAUAAGCCUUGCAAGCAAUGUGACUCAAGUGUGAGUCACGAGAUCUUGUAUUACGGAACGAGUAAAGAGACUUGCCGGUAACGAGAUUGAAAUAGGUAUAGAGAUACCGACGAUCAAAUCUCGGGCAAGUAACAUACCGAAUGAGAAAGGGAAUGUUAUACGGGAUUAUAUGAAUCCUUGGCACAGAGGUUCAACCGAUAAGAUCUUCGUAGAAUAUGUAGGGUCCAAUAUGGACAUCCAGGUCCCGCUAUUGGAUAUUGGCCGAGGAGUGUCUCGGGUCAUGUCUGCAUAGUUCUUGAACCCGCAGGGUCUGCACACUUAAGGUUCGAUGAUUUUUAAUAUAGUUGGGUUAUAUGUGUUGGUGACCAAAGGUUGUUCGGAAUCCCGGAUGAGAUCACAAACUUCACGAGGGUUUCCGGAAUGGUCCGGAAACGAAGAUUGAUAUAUAGGAUGGUUUCAUUUGGUCAACGGAAAGAUUUCAGGCAUUACCGGCAGUGUACCGGGGGUGACGAAUGGGUUCCGGGUAUUCACCGGGAGGGGCCCACCCACCCAGGAGUGAGCCCAAUAGCACUAUGGUGGCGCACCAGCCCUUAGUGGGCUGGUGAGGCCAGCCCAAGUGGGCUAUGGCGCCACAAGGAGAAAAAACCAAAGGAAAGAAAAAAAAAAGGAAAGAGGAGGUGGGAAGGAAGGAGUGGACUCCCCCCCCCCAAACCGAAUUGGGGUGGGAGUCCACCUCCUCCUCUCGGCCGGCGCCCUUGGGGCUCCCUUGAGCUCCAAGGCUAGCCCCUCCCCUCCUCCUAUAUAUAUUGGUAGUUUUAGUGCUUUUGAGACCCAACUUUUGCCACGUGCAACUCAAACCUAUACCAUGUAAUUCUUCCUCUAGAUUAGAUUUCUGCAGAGCUCGGGCGGAGCCGUGCAGGAAUAGAUCAUCACCAUCACCGGUGCGUCGUCGCGCUGCCAGAGAACUCAUCUACUUCCCCGUCUCUCUUGCUGGAUUAAGAAGGCGAAGAUCGUCAUCGACCUGUACGUGUGCUGAACGCGGAGGUGUCGUCCGUUCGGCGCUAGAUCGGAACGGAUCGUGGGACGACGGUGAUUUGAAUCACGAAGCUCUACCACUACAUCAAUCGCGUUUCUUAACGCUUCCCACUUAGCGGUCUACAAGGGUAUGUGGAUCCGAUCUAACUCUCGUAGAUGAACAUCACCAUGAUAGGUCUUCGUGUGCGUAGGAAAAAAAUUGUUUCCCAUGCAACGUUCCCCAACAUGAACUACCCAUCAGGUGUUUGUCAACGUUGAGUUGACCUGCAUUUACUCACUUCGAGGAUUUUCUCCUCGAUUUCCUUUGUUGCUUGAUAGAAGCUAGCUCCAGGUCACAGGCCAUACUACUCCCCCUCAUUUUAGGAACAUGGAGUUGAGGGGUUUUUAUUGGUACCUCCACUCUUUGUGGCACGUUUCUGGCCGGAUUUAAGGAUUUUGUAACACCUUUCAUAUCAGUAAAUGAAUCUGGCAGAUUAUUUGCAAGAUGUUGCAAAUUAAUGAUCUUCCGAACUUGAAGUUCGGUCUCAUGGGUACGUGGAUCAGAGGAUGAAAUGGCAUGAGCAUUCCAAUCAAUCUCCGGGCAUUCUUUCUCGUACUUGAAAUCUCCCCCGAAUGCCGGAAAAUGUUCCUCAUUAAAUAUGCAAUCAGCGUGACGGGCUCUGAACAGAUCCCGAGUUAGGGGUUCUAGGUACUUGAUAAUCGACGGCGAUUUGUACCCCACAAAGAUCCCCAACCUUUUGUGUGGGCCCGUAGAUGUCAGCUGUGGUGGUGAGAUUGGGAUGUAUGUAGCACAUCCGAACUUACGCAGAUGGGAAAUGCUUGGAGGAUUUCCACAUACCAAUUCCAGAGGGGAAGAACUCUGAUAUGCACUUGGCCUCAAUUGUAUCAAGUCAGCAGUGUCUAAAACAGCGUGACCCCAACAAGAGGUUGGCAAGUUGCAAUUCGUCAACAAAGUAUUGCAAUGAGUUUAAUCCUCUUAAUCAACGCUUCAGUCAAACCAUUUUGUGUAUGAACAUAUGGAACAGAGUGAUGAACUUCAAUCCCCAAGGCCAUGCAAUAAUCAUUGAAAGCACGUGAGGAGAAUUCUGCAGCGUUGUCCAUUCGAAUUGUCUUAAUUCGACCUUCAGGAUAAUGGGCUUGCAACUUAAUGACUUGCCUCAUUAUCUUGGCAAAUGCAUGCUUCCGUGUGGAUAAAAGACACACAUGUGACCAUCGUGUAGAUGUGUCAAUCAGAACCAUGAAAUACUUGAAAGGUCCAGAUAAUGGUUGAAUGGGACCACAAAUGUCGCCUUGAAUACGUUCAAGGAACUGAAGUGGUUCAGCUUGUAUUUUGAGAUGCGAUGGCCUCAAAAUUAGCUUUCCCGUGGCACAAGAUGUGCACACAAAAUCAGAAGAUUGAGGAAAUUUUGACUCAAGCAAAUUAUGACCAAUGGAAUUGCUAGUAAUUUUUCUCAUCGUCCCGAUUCCGGGAUGGCCCAGGCGAUCAUGCGAGGUUUGGAAUGUGUCAACAUUCUAAAAAAUUACUUUGUAUGCAACAUGUUCCACGGUUUUGAUGUACGUACGUAUAGUACAAACCAGACGAUAGAGAAGGAAUUUUGUCAUGUACCUUUUUGCCAUAUCCGUGAUCUUUGGUAAAGAGUAAAUACUCCUCUUUGUUGUCUUCAUGGGUUUCAAUAUGAAAAUCAUUCUUACGGAUAUCUCGAUAACUGAUCAGGGUGCGUGAUGAGUCAGGAUACAAUAAAGCACCCUCUAUCAUCACUUGUGUACCACUUGGGAGGGUGAAUAUGGCACGUCCUGUACCAACAAUCACUGUAUCGCGUCCAGCGAUAGUUAGAAUAUCUCCAUUCAUCUUUUUUAGAGUUUGGAAAUAUUUUAUCUCCCUCGGUAUGGAGUUUGUGGUACCACUGUCCACAAGGCAUAAUUCAUCUUCCAUUGUAUUGUCCCCGUAGAAAAACUAUAUAAAACGAAAGAAUUUUCAAUAAGAAAACAUUAUGUUAAUACAUAGAAUACAAUCUUAUUAUAUCAAAUGUGUUGAUACAAUAUAAUAUAAAGACAACAACAAACUUAUGUUCUUAUUACAAUCAUCACAAAUGGACAUAAGUAAGUAGAUCACUAAGGAGGUCGAGGGACUAGUCAAAGUCGUCGAACAUGCUGUUUGAGGUGUACUCAAUCAACAUAGCCUCCAUUUCAGCUGGGUCCUCAACGGGAUAAGGAAUCAUGGCGUUGCUAGGUCCAGGAAGAACAUCGUGCGAAGCACCAGCUCCAUUUUCGCCAUGCGGAUGGAGAUUGAAGUCGGCUUCAAACCUUUUCCCUUGAGGUGCUUUGCGUCCCAGAGGUUGCUGGUACAGCAUGACCACAUGCUUGGGCAUUGAGCACUUUUCAGUAGAAUGCGAGUAGCAUCCACACUUGUUGCAAAGUUUAGAUUUAUCAAACUUGCUUUGUAGUGCCUUUUCCCUUGCCCAUGUUUCUGAAUUUUCUAUUCCCGUUGCACUUGUGCCUGUGCUCAUGAUUGGAAUGUUUACCUCGAAAGGUACCAUUAAACUUUUGUCUAUUCGCGACAUUCAGAUGAACAUCAGGUAAAGGUUGUGCCCUAACUGGGCGCUGAGAGCUAUUCUUAGCGAAUAGCUCAUCAUACUUUUUAGCCUGAAGUAGGAUGUGAAUAAGCUCAGAAUAGACAGUGUAGUUGCGAGCACGGUACUGUUGUUGGAGGAUCCUGUCUGAAGGGAGCAUGGUAGACAGAGUUUUUUCUAUCUUUUCCCCCUCGGUAGGUUCCUUACCACAGAAGCGCAGUUGGGAACAUAUCUUAUGAACAACAUGAUUGUACUCAGUAAUGGACUUGAAAUCCUGAAGGCGGAGAUGAGUCCAAUCAUGGAGUACCUCUGGCAGGACUAUUGUCUUCUGCUGUUCAUACCUCGUUUUUGUUAAGAAUAAUUAAGAUAUUUAAUUAGGGGAAAUCCCUGUUUAUAUUAACCGUCGACGGAUGCUAUUUCAGCAACAGCUGCGCCGGUUCAUGUACAGACCCCUCUCCAAAACGAGGCGUCUUCCCUGUACCUAUAUAUGCAGAAGCAUCCAUGGAAGAGAGUAGAUUUUUGAUCUCUAACACGUUAUCAGCACCUAGUGUCUACCGAGAGCAAAAUAGACGAGAACCGAAGGAGAAUCGAGUGCCGGUGAGGAUGACUGCAGCGCCAAGCCGUGGUCAGCCUCGCCCGCGCCGCACCAAGCCCCGUGCCCGGCCGUUCGCUGCGCUUCGCCCGCGUCGACGCCUGGCCGUGGCAGCGCCAAGCAGUAGCCGACCCCGGUCGCAUACGCCGCGCGAGGCCGUGGCCGGCUCCGCUCGCCCUCACCCACCCGCGCCUGAAGCUGCCCCUCUGCGCGACACCAUCAAGGAUAGAAUCUGCUCGGUGCCCUUGUGAUGGAUAGAAUCAAUCAAUCGAUUCGUAUCCACACACAACACCAAGAGAUUGGAAACCUUAUCUCUUCCCAGUUUUGUAUUUAGACCUCGUUGUUUUGCGUAUUUACGGAUUGGACGCUCCUAUUUGUUCUCACAUUUUUUUUUGACUUAUUUCAGUAUGCAGAAUAAUCCUUGACUUAUUUGUAUUUCACAUUUAAGUCUCCGUAAAUUACAAACUAAUGGACAGGUUGUUUGUACAAUGCAGAUAUUUAGUACGGAAACAUAAUGUUUGCACCUAAGAUUUUUAUCUCUUGCAGAGAUAAAUUCAGUACAUCUAAAGUACUGAUUUGAAUUGAGAAUUUUCUUCUCUCGCAAAACAAUCUCAUUGCAAUUGAGAUUAAUUUUUUUUUCUCAGAAAAUAUUAAUUCACUUUGCUAAAUUAUCUUGCAGUUUGAUAUAAAAUCUUCUCAUUUAAUUUGAGGUCUAUACAAUUCAAGUUUUUCACUUGAACAUCAAGUUUACAACAUCAUUACUAUUCAUUACAAUAAUAGUGUAUUUCCGUUGAGUACGAUGUAUUUCAGAAUGUAUGUAUCUCCAUGUUCGCUACAUGUCGAGAUUAAUACGUCUAUUUGCAAUUGAGAUUUUAAAUUUCUUGCAGAUACAGAUGUAAUAUUCAAAGUGUUUUCUUUAAAUUGAUGUAUUGAGAUCACAAUGUAGUCAUAUGGAUCUACUGCCUACGCAGAUUAUCGAUGACUACUGAUAAAGCCUACAUUUUGUCGUUUCGACAUUAUGAUUGCUUUACAAAGUGCUCUCCCACACAUUUUACUAAGUUAUGACAUAAGGCAUUACAAGUGAGUAUCUACUGAUUUUAUCAGAUUAUACUCCCUAGUGUUGUGAGAUCUACUCCUUUUUGGAGAUUAUCUUCAAGGUGUCAUACCUAGCAAUUUGAGAUUCACACUAAUGGUUUCAAGAUAACUUCUUGAAAUACCCAUUAAUUUUGCUAAGUUCAUUGCAACAUCAACCAUGAUGGUCUUUAAUUUACUGACCGUAAAUUGAUUAUCUCUGGUUUACCCAUAGCGGUAUAAUAUGGCUAUAGAAUUUGAGGCACUCGCCCUCAAUGGCCACCACUGCCUUAUCUGGGCCAUCGACAUCAUGAUCUUUCUUGUCUCUCGUGUGAUAAAGUGUGUAAUCCAGGAUUCAUCUCUGGUCAGAUCACAUCGCUAACAGAAAAAUGGUGUCUUAUAUAUCAUAAGGCAUUAGAUUCAGAUCUCAGCAUCUGGUUAUUUUGUAUUAGCAAUUCCUGGGAUACAAUAAACUCGAGGGCAAAGGUUUGAAGCCCACUUCAACCUUCAACCCGACAUCACCACUGAUGACGGAAUCCUAUGGACAUAGAGAACGACAUGUUUAACCGUCAUGUUUGGAGACUAUGAGUAGUCUCUCAAUCUCUUGAGUGGUCAAUAUUUAUUUAUGUCCAUUUACGAUGUUGUAUUAACAACAUAAGUAUUGUUGUCAUCAUAUAUUGUAUAUCACAAUAUAUUGUAUCAACAUUUGGUACAAAUACAUUUAUAUGUAUUAUACAUAUAUAUAUUUGACAGUGAUUAUCAUAUUGAGAAUCUUCAUAUCUAUAUAUAGAUUUUUACGGGAGUCGAUCCAAUGAAAGAUGAUAUGUGCCUUGUGGACAUAUGCAUCACAAACUCUAUACUUAGGGAAGCCCAAUUUUUCCACUCUCUUUGAGAGAAAUGAGAUAUUUAAAAAUCGCUAGACGCGAUGAGGUACUUGUUGCUCCUGGUUUAACUCAUAUUUAAUAUCCCUCUGGGUACUCGAGUAAUGUCAGGAUGAUUUAUUGCUCCUGGUUUAACUCGUACCCUACUAAACUAUAGAGGUGUUCGUCAAAAUAGUUUCCAUAGCGAAACUUAUGAUGAAAACAAAGAGAAAUAACUUCUCUUUACCAUAUGCAGCGGAUAUGGAAAGCACAUUCUUUAUGUAUCAUCUGGAUUGUACUACACAUACUACAAAACUCGUAGCACAUGUUGCGCCCAAAAUAGUUUUCCAUAAUGUCUUGUACAUGACAAACUUGGCAUACUCGCGUUGGUCAUCCACACAUUGGGCUGAAACCGAAACUAUCAGCAAUUCCAUUGGUUUAUGAUUAUGAUGAUGCUAGAUUCUAGCAAUAUUUGGAUUUUAUGUGCACUACAUGUGACACGAGGAAGCUAAUUUUAAGGCUUGCGCACCUUAAAGUCUAUGCUGAACCACUUAGACUCCUUGAAUGCAUCAAGUUGAGGUAAGUGACUCUUCCCAUCCAUUGACUAGACUAUUCAGACAUUCCAUGGUUCUAAAAGACAUAUCUACAUGAUGGUCUUGAGUGUGUGCUUUACUCACACAAAACCAUUUGCUCAUUAUCCUGACAUUGAUUUCACGCAAAUUGAAUGGAUAAUAUUGCAGAAUUCUCCUUGAGUCCCUUCUCUAUGGCCCUUGGAUUGAAAUUUAGCAAUUUUUCCUAAUGUCUAGACUCAAAAUGGUUUGGUAGAAUCCUAUAUCCAAAGAAUUAAGCUCAUUACAUGAUCUUUAUUUUGAAAUUGCAACUUACCAACUUGACGUUGGAGUCAUGCAGUUUUACACGCUCAUGACAGAACUUCAUAACAUUACUCCCCUCUAUCUUUGAUACGUGGAAAUCUACCAAGUAUUUCCCAUCUGCGAUAAUUCGGUUGCAUACCGACAUCACCACCCGGCAUACAUCAUUGGCCCCUCAAUAUAUAGUUGGGAUCUAUGUGAGGAAUAACUGUAUUUCCGUCAAUACCUCAAGCCCCUUGCAUGGAGAGUUAUUCAAGGCCAGUAUGCUGAUUCAUGAGGAAUAUUUCCACGCAUUAGAGGGAGAAUUCAAGUACCAUAGAUAAUGCCAGGAAAUUAGUGGAAUGUUCAACACAUUUCUGCCUCAAAUCCACGUACUCAAAGGUCUGAACCAUGCGUUCAGAAUGUUUGCAACACAUUGCAAAUAACCUGCCAGAUUCAUUUACUUAUAAAGGUGUCACAAAUCCUACAAUCCUACAAAAGUACGCCUGAAAGAGUGGAGGUACCAACAAAAACCACUCCACUCCUCGUUCGAUGCAACGGGGGGAUGUGUAUGGCAUAAGUAUAUCAGGAUUCAGCUUCUCGCAAGCAAGGAUAUCAAGGCCUAUGAAUCAGUAAAUGCAAGUCAACUUCACGUUGACAAACACUUAAUGGGUAGUAUAUACCCAGUAGAUGGGAAACUUGCAUCAACCCAGGUCAUAAUGCACACAAUGACCGGGACAUCGGAAUACCCGACUCAAUCGCAUUGGGAAAUCGCAAUCAGUCACCAUGGGUAACGAUAUUUCCAUCAACUAUAUAUUUAUAUAUGGAUUCUGGAGAAUCAUAUAACCGGAAGUCUACAAUUGUCGACAUACAUUUCUCAACUAGAUUGCAAAACCUUUCGCAUGAUUGAGGUCCAAGACCAUGGCCAUGGCAUAGUGUGAACAACACUGGGACUGAACUCAAACAAAGGAUAUAAUCUAGGUAGAAAUAAUCUUGCUCAAUAAUGGAAAGGUAUUCAUAAGUAAUACCUACACCAGUUUUCUUCUCGAAAUAGAAUUGAGAACAACAAGGUGGUGAAACAUAGAGCAAGUAUUGUAGCACAAGGGUUCACGCAGAUACCCAACUAUUCUCCAGAGGUGGAAUCUCUUUCUGAUAAUUUCUAUUAUUGGCAGUACAAAAUCAUCUAUCUGUGCAGUUGAUAGAUGUAGUGAUCACAUAUCCAUGAGGAUCACUAGAUUCAGACAUAUAUGAUUGAUUCCCAAUGAAAUCUCACUUCUGAAUCGAAAUGCAAAAUGCAACAUACAUUGUGUAAAAUUAUUGUUGUCGGUACAUAUGGUACAACUGACAUAGUGAGAUCCUUAUACAAAAGGAUUACUCCUGCAAUGAUGAUUAUCCAUGUUUGUGUGUUUGUAAUAACGACACAUGUAAUCAUCCAAAUGACGGAGUAUAAAAUGAAGGAUUUGGGUAAACCAAAAUACCGCUCGUUACUACAACUUGAGCACCUUCAUUCAUACAUUAUGGUAUACUAUGUUGUCUAUAUCCAUAAUAUAUUAGAGAAAUUCAUUGUGGACAAAUCUUAUCCAUCCAUAACCCUCAUGGUAGUUCAUUCUCUAGACUUAGAGACAGAUCUAUUUAGACCAAGAGAUGGUGGAAAUAAGAUAUUGGGACUGAACGUUCCAUAAUGCCAUUGGAUCCAUCAAACACAAUUGGUUGGUACUGAAGAAUAUCUUUUGAUAUCUCCAAGGCAUCAAACAUCUUGUCCUGGUUUUUCAGUUCCAUUAUACUCUUUUUUCCUUCAUGAGUUUACUUUACAGAUUCUCAUAAAGAUUUUUAAUGAGGUAAUAUCAACAUGAUAUCAUGUCAUACUUUCUGUUUUCCCCACCGGGGUUUUAAGAAAGUAUAUACGACAUAUUUAUUGUCAUUUGAACUCUAUGGGUGUUCACGUAUUUUGAGUUAAAAAUGGAUAAUAACCAUUAUAUGUUGCAUCAUUUUCUUCUUAUUUUUCUCAUUGUGUUUGAAGGAGUUUUGGCAACAUAUCAAUCAAUAUACUCAUGUUUUUCCCACAGGGUUUUUAGAGGAGACUAUUUCAAGAUGAUGAUGCUACCUAUACAAGCAUGGAUUAGGAGGGGUGUUAAGAUUAAUUAAGAUAUUUAAUUAAGGAAAAUCCCUGCCUGUAUUAACCGCCGACGGAUGCUAUUUCAGCAACCGCUACGCCGGUUAAUGUACACACGUCUCUCCAAAACGAGGCGUUAUCCCUGUACCUAUAUAUGCAGAAGCAUCAAUGGAAGAGAGUAGAUUUUUGAUCUCUAACAGUUUUGAGGGCCAAAAACAGAGUACUAGGAGAUUCCUCCUGUAAAUACUCAUACUUGAGAUCUGGAUGAAUAUGGUGCCUUAUGACGAAUACCCUAUAUGGGAAACCAGUGAUAAUCACUAAACCAUCAUGGUUGAGUAAUAAGAACGCAAAAUUUUAAUACUAAGUGUAAACUUGAAAAAUUCCCAAUCUAAAUUGUGUGAACAUAGAACUCACAGUAAGAUCUCACAGUAAUAAGCUACAUGGCCAUUACAUGUGUAUGCUACAAUUUAGAUAUAAGGAAUACACGUUGAAGGUAAUUAAUUAUCAAGAUAGACAAAGCAUAGAACUCACAGUAAGAGAGGAUAGUCAGCACAUAUAUAGUAGAUCACAACUACUUUGUGAUUCCAAAUAAGACGAGGGAGAAAUAAGACGAGAGAAGCUGAUCUCAAUCGCAAUAAGAAAUAUGUUCAAAAAGUAUGUUGUAAACACAUGAAACACGUUAUUCUUCCUAAAUGAAAUCCGGUACUUUAUGCAUAUCAUCAAUCCAUUGCAUAAUAUAAACACACUUAUAAUUACACAAAUCUUAAACUAGAGUAAAACAGUACUAAACAUAAUCUAAAACUAUACUAUAUACAAUAAUUAAUACUAACUAGUAAACAGAAAAAUAAGAAAAAAGAAAAAUAAAUAGAACAGCGGCCCGCCGAAGCAACACGUGCGGUGCCUCGGCAGCACACUGCAGCACCCCAUAUAAGAGAGGAGGUGGGAUCGGUUUGAAUAAAAGAUCCAUCGGACCAGCACCCCUCCCUCCCCACCUCCUGGCCAUCCCCACCACCGCACGAAGCCAUACCCACCACAUGUGCAAGACAAGAGGAAGCCCGCCGGCGGGAUCGUGGGCUGCUGCCUCCCUGGCUUCUCCGGUGAUCACCAGCGCAGCACACUCAGAAGAAGAGGAGACGUCGUGCCGAGGACAAGGCUCGCCGGAGCCCACAAGCCAGCACGGCACCCGAGCCGACGGUUGAUGGCAGCGACGACCCGCUUGAAGAGGCGGCCGACGGCACGGCUGCUAGUGCAUGACGCCGGAGGCACCGGUCGACGAAGGCGAGCGCCUCCACCGUGGUCACCUCCGCACACAUCGGCACAGGUAAGAAACAGGGCGGGCGGUGACUUAGGCCAGCGUCCUCGGCAACAGGGGUAAGCAUGUGCGAAGGCAGCCAAUGCGCCGGCGGAGGCGGGUCCGCAUGAAGCAUCUGCACAGCCGAGCCGGCGAGCAGCCAUGGCAUGCUGGCGACCCGUCGUGUGUCCAGAGACGCGAUAACUACCGCCCCGGGCAGCGCAACCAGCUGAGCUCUAGCCAUGUCCAGCGACGACAACGGGCCAGGAACCGGUCCUGGCGGUUGUCCUCACUAAUAUAUAUCGCAAUCCUUCAUUACUGUUUACAGAGAAUAUAUAUCGCCUGACACUCUACAGACGCGGCACAGGUUCCACGACGAGCGGGUUGUGGACAGAGCCGCCAGACGUUGGGAAAAGUAGAUUCCCUAAUUACAAUAUGGUAGGUUGGAUGAUUAAGCAGACUUCAUACACCCAAAAAUAUAAGGGACCUCAUACACAGUAGAUUAUAACUACACCCCACAUGCAACCAAAGCCGCAGACGGAUGGUCAUCAACGACUCCAUAGAGGCCGGUUGGUUUGUAAAACUUUGUCAAGGGGACUUCCAAGCCUUCAACCCUUCCAUUAUCGCCUUCCCAUCAAUAAUUAGCAUAUAAAUUCAGCUUGAGAGAAUGAAACAUGGCAGAGCAAAAACCAGAGAAAGCAAAAUGUUUGAAAAACAAGCCAAUGCAAUUAAACAAGCAGCAAAAACAAUAAACUAAAAUUGAUAUAAAUAUGAAAUGGGGAGGAGAUGUGAACGAGGCUCAGACAUCCAAGGAAGGAAUUAGCAGCAUUAGCUCUCUAGCCUGGCAGGGCGAAAGCUCUUAGGCGGCAACUGCGAAUGUUUUGAGAAACAAGCCUUAAAUUUAUCAUCACUGCCACAUAACAUUUCCCCAAUCCAUCGGAUCAAAUGGACUAUCAAGACAUGCAAAUAGUUGAAAAAAACAGAGUAAAGAAACCAGCAGACCAGACAGCUGAACCAAAUAGGGUGCAAAUGAGGAUUUAAGCCAAGACCAUUUCCAAGAGACUAGCAGUAUAAAACUUCAGAAAGCCGCAAAAUAUAUCGUCAUUGGCUAUCUGACGGUAAUUCCAACAUAAAAGCUAAUCAUCAUUGGCUUCAACUGCAUUAAUGACCUAAUUUGACAAAAUUAAUAACUACAAAAUUUAACAUCAUCGGAGAGCCAACCCUAGGAUAAGUGUUAGAUCACGCAUCAAUACCUCGGCACAACCCACACAAAUAUUAAAACUGGAAGGUAAAGACGCAAACGAUCAAUAACAGCAAAAGGAGAUAUAAAAUGACAGCAAAAAGAGAUAUAAAGUUGCUCAGUGGUGGCAAUAUUUAAUAGGUUCGAUUCUGCCAGCAAUUUCGUCAAUGCUUUCAGAAGAGGGAGCUUGUUAUCCUCAUCGCAACUACAUCACCAAAUACAACAAACAAAAUCAAACACAAAAAGAGAAGAACAAGGAAUGGCAGACCAAAAAAAUCAAGUGGGAGAUGGCUCGGUUCAGCGGGAUAAUCGGCAUACAUAUCAACUCCUGAGAGAAAACCUGUGAUUUGGUCUGUUGAGCUUGAAUAUUUGCAAAUCGUCACUGCCAUCACAGGAAAAGAAGUAUAUAUUGAAAACAGAACCAACUGGAAGACAGGACUGAAACAAAUCUGUGAAUGUAUAGGAGGGAUAAGAGGACUUCACAAUAUGAUAUCAACUUCCACAGAGUCAGAUUCAGAAAUGUCAAUCAGCACAGAUCCAACAAUGCAGACCAUAAGACUGGGGCGACAAAUAUGAAAUCAUCAUCCUCAAAACUGGAUUGGAAAAUCAUUACAACCAUCAAUGUACUUAUUGUAUGCAUGAUAAAAAAAUUCCUAUUGCAAUCUAACAGAAUUUAAAUGGCAAACGGGAUAUGAGCUCAGGAAGAACGUAGCGUUUGAUAAUCACACCUGGAAGAUCAUAUUUAUAGAAUUGUCUCAUCACUGCUCACAUCCCGGCAAAUAAACAAAUAAGAUAUUUAUUAGUCCAAUAGAAGGUGAUUCAAAUACUUUAGUUCAAACAAAGGACAGAUCCUGAAAAAGAAUUAACAUGUCAGUUUCCAAUAUACAAAGUAAUAAGAGGACUCAGAAUAUGGGUGGUGAUAUAGCAGGAUGGUCGGCAAGGCAAAUAAAUGCCAGUUACGACGAACGAGACCAAAUAUCAAUCUUCACCGUCCUCGAAGGAAAAUCAUAGUAAAUUAAUUGUUUUGAUUUUCAAAUAAAAAGUGUUAGGAAAGAUGAACGAAAUUGUUUGAUUCUGCUGCAAAAAGGGUUAGGUUUAAGGGUCAUCAGAUAGGAGCGAAAGACUAUUUUCGUUCAUGUAAUCAUGAUUUUAUCAUAUGAACUAUGCACUUGUAAUCAUCAGUUGACCUCGGGCAAACAACAAUUCAAUGAAAAUAAAAACAAAAGAAAAGAAAAACAGAAAUAGAACACCAGGAAUCAUGAUGCCUCAGAAGGAAGGCAGUAGGUUAUGUAAUCAUUUGUGAUUUCAUUGAGAAAGGUUCACACUAAUCAUCACCAGCACCAUGAAGACAUAAAACACAAUAAAUGUAACUGCAGAUACAUAAAUGAGCAAGAUCAUUAGCCUCAUAGAGAAGAUUAGAUGAUUCCACAUAAAGAAAAUUCAGACAUAUGCUUGUCUAUUAAAUUACUUUAAUCAUUGGCCACCAAUGAACACGCCACUUACAAAAGCAAAACAUCUUCAAAAAAAAACAGACUGGUCAAGAUCAAAUAUUAACCUUAACCGUCCUCAAAACAAAAUGGUUUGAGAAAUAAUAGUUGACCAAGGCCGAGUUUACUGGUGCUCAGAUUCUAUGGGUGUAUUAGGAGUCAUUCAUGUGGUUCUCCCAUCAGUACGAGGAAUGUUUUAUAAUCACUGCACAAAUGAAACCAGCAGCACAAGAUUUAAAACAUUGAAUUACGAAAAGAGAAGUUAAGACAAGUAAAGUCACCCAAACAUUUCCUCUGAAAUUGACAAAUUUUCAAAUAAUUCAACACAAUACUAUCUAAUGAAAAUGCAAAACAAACCGCAGAACAAAUAAACACAGAAAACAAGUAUCCAACAAAUCCAGUAGAAUAGUGGUUUGGUAAUGCUCAGAUUCUAUGGGUGUAUAGGAGUCGUUCACGUGGAUCUCCCAUCAGUACGAGGAAUGUUUUAUAAUCAUUGCACCACCACAUGUUUCUACUCUAAAUCAGAUGAACCACAAGGACUUCAAUUACACUAGAUAAAAAGCAAAAAGAAAACAAUAGAAUCACAGAUGGUAAACUGGAAUUUCAGGUUGCACAUAGGGCAAAAUCCAACAGAAUUCAGGGAUGCAUCAGAUCUCCAAGGUGAAAAAGCUGUGACAUCAUAGAAUGCCUCAGACGCAAAUUACCCAUAAAACUUGUGUCUCCUCAUCUGCAUCAACAUUGCCGGUUGUUUCGAAACCAAUCAAACUCAAUUUUAAAACCAAUAUACAGGCAGAGCUGCAACCUUUCAAAACUAGAAGCUAAAAUCACAUUUUUUUUAUCAAACCAGGGAUGGUGAUCAGACUCGGUUCAGUAUUUAGGCCAUCAUGUUGGCCAAUCAAACCAAUAGGGAAAUUAAUCAUUCAUCAUCUCACCUCCACCGAUUAAAUUAGAAAAUGAUUAGAUCAAAUUGAUGAAACAAUGUUAAAGCAAGGCAAGAAAAAAACAGAUUGGACUUUAUCAUUGAGAGUUGAAAGCAAGAUGAUCAGAUUCGGUUCAGUAUUUUAGGCCAUCAUAUCAGCCAAUCAAACCAAUAGGGAAAUUAAUCUCAUUCAUCAUAUCAUCUCUCGCUUACUAAAGGCAAAAAUGAUUCUUUUAAAGAAAAAUAUACUAGCAAGUAGAAACACAAUAGUGAGGGCAGAUGCAUCAGAUCUCCAAGGUGAAAAAGAGUGUGACAUCACAGAAAUGACUCAGAUGCAAAUUACCCAUAAACUCAUGUCUCAUCAUCUGCAUCAACCCAUUCUAUCUAAAUUGAUCUAACACUGCUUUUAUCAUUCUGCAACAAACACAAACAUAUCUAUCAACUAUAAAUGCUUUCUCUCCAUAUCACAGAAGGCAGGAUGAUCAGAUUCGGUUCAGUAUGUAGGCCAUCAUGUCAGCUAAUCAAACCAAUAGGGAAAUUAAUCUCAUUCAUCAUCUCAUCUCUCAGACUUGAAAACACAAAACAAAAGAAGAAAUGAGUAGAGCGGAUGCAUCAGAUCUCCAAGGUGAAAAGAGUGUGACAUCACUGAAAUGCCUCAGACGCAAAUUACCCAUAAACUCGUGUCUCCUCAUCUGCAUCAACAACGUUCAUUUUUUAAAGACAUGAAACAGCAAAUUCAACAAGAGAAACUAGACAGACUGGCAAAGUUUUCUACCUUAGAUAAAUCAGUGUGGGGUAUGAUCAGAUAGAGCUAAUACAUGAUUCAUUGGACAUCAUACCAUCCAUCAACAAUGUAAUUAUAUCCUCAUCUCACCCCAAACGAAUCAGAAACAAACAAAACCAAACGAAGAGGGUAUUAUCAGAUACGCAUCAGAUCUCCAAGGUGAAAAGGGUGUGACAUCACUGAAAUGCCUCAGACGCAAAUUACCCAUAAAACUUGUGUCUCAUCAUCUGCAUCAUCAAUAAUCCUCCAAGAAACAAAAGUAAGAACGAAAUACCAUCGCCUAAAAGCUGCUACAUACACACGCUCGUGCGACAUCUGCAUAAUCAUAGCCCUAGUAAUAGUUGCUUAUGUCUGAAGGUAGUAACCAAACACCAGCGCCUAAUCAGAACAGAGACCUCGUCAUGUAGCUAGUGUGAUGUCUGAAGGUACUAACCAAACACCAACGCCUAAUCAGAACAGAGACCUCGCCUAAUCAGAACAAACCCCUGAUAAAUCUACAGAAUCGCAAGUCAACUCGGCAGUGUACGACAACACCAUCACCUACUCGACCACAGCAGGCUAAAUCCAUUGCAAAUCUAAAGAACCGUACUGUAAUGUAGCCUACGGAGUCGUAAGGGGGCCGUGCAAUGUACACCGCCGUCGCCUACUGGCCCACCACGGAGGUGGGUGAGGCCAUGUAGGACGGCGACGGCGGGGCGGGUCGCUGUGGCAUCGUCUCAUACGCGGCGGCCAUGAGAUCCGCCGGUAAUCAGUUUUUGCGAUGCGCGAGGGACAAAUCUACGAGCAACGCUAAAACAAAUCUACAGGUCAUCCACUAGCACAUAACUCGGACAACCCUAGAAGCAGAACAAGAACCAGGGCAAGGCGGUGCGGCCGCUUACGGCUGCAGGUCCUGAGGAGGAACAGGGUCGUUACCGAGUUCUUCGUCGAGACCACGGCGGCUGCGCCCCCUGGAGAAGUAGGGGCGGCGGAGGCUGAGACAGGGGAGGUGGAGGUGGAUGAGUUGGUUGGGGCUAGGGUUUGAGUUAUAUAGACUCGGGAGAGGGGGGGGGGGGGGGGGGGGGCAAGGGGUUCGCUGAGUUGGUUGGGGCUAGGGUUUGAGUUAUAUAGACUCGGGAGAGGGGGGGGGGGGGGGGGGGGGCAAGGGUUUCGCCCGGUGUGGGCUUUGGUGAGUUCGGGCCUAUUUGGGCCGAAUUGAGGGUUUGUCUGCUCCAGUGGCCCCAUUUGGGCCGAAUUUGUAUGUUUGAAGACAAAUUGUUCUAAAAAAAAAGAUUGUUUGACAAAAUGAUUGAAUAUCCACGUAUCUCUUGACGCAUGCUUUUUGACGUGUCCCGUAAAGGAAAAAAAAGAUUUUUAUUUAUGUGGGAAACAUGUGCCGGAAAACAUCGCUUGGAUGUUACUACAUGUGCCUUCAGUGCAAAAGUCUUGUUGGAAUUCUGUGAGCAGUCCAUUUUCCCGUCACGCCCAUAACCAUGCUCGCAUCGUGCACGCACUAAACGAGCUCGUGGUGCAACUGAAGCACAAGUGCAGAUUUCUGUCAUUGUGGUUGCGCCAACUUAUACGAUAGGCGUGACAAGUCCUCUCGUGCACUAGUUACAUAGCAUGGACUCGAGCGUAGAACCUUCACGCGCUCAAAUGGGGAAUUCAGGUGUCCGUUUACGCAAGCUCGCAACACACCUUGCGUCGGUUUAUGGGCAAGACCAACCUAAAUGGGGUUUGGCGCUGGGAAUGUGCCCAUGACAGCAUAUCAUUGUUGGUGUAAUCAUCCCAAUGCCUCGCAUGCCUACUGGUGUUAAAGUAGCAGCAAGGCAGUCUCAUGAUGCGAUAUGAGAAAGGCAGAUGGUGUUGCACGAGAGGCAUAUAUAGAGUGACAAUGUCAAGCAAAGAACCCAAAGUAGUAUACAUAUAAGGAUAUUUGAACCAUUGGCUAACAUAAAGCAAUAAGUAAGGUAGGUGGCAAAAAAUUCAUCGUACAUAAGGUGGGUGAAUUGGACACAAAGAAAACUCAUUCAGUAAUUUGGAAUCUAGCCUAUUGUACUUUCCACAACAGGAGCUCGGGACAAUAGUCUUGACUUUUAAAAAUAACCACGCUCUUGUUGACAAAUUCCAUUUGCGUCCAUAGAGCAAACAGAAGUAACAACACAACAUCAAAGAAUUUCACAUAGUGUAGCGUGAAUGAAUACCUACAACAAAAUCAGUUGGCAUGCAUCAAAUGACUAUCUAUAGCAUGGAUCAAGCCAAUGCUCACCGAUGCAAAAUGCAAUAAUGCUAGAUUUUGACCUCAAGUUUUUUUGUCGAGAUGACACCGAAAAUGACCUGCAAGACACCAACACAGUCUAGUACAUAUGAGAUGUACAAAUCAGACUCCAUUUGGUAUACAGAGGUAGCUACAUAUCAUCAACCUGAUCAUUUUGGUGCUGCUUGUCGAUACUACUCACCAAGAGAACCAACAACAAUACGAAGCUAGCUAAGACUAAUGCAAUCGUUGGAGUUGAAUGUCGUGUUACCAAGUGAUUGUCAUGCUUCUCGGUCCUGGUUCAUAAUCUGGUGCAAAAGUACAAUGCCUCAUUUUCAAACUUGUUUGGAUGUAUAAGAUGAUGAUGCAUCAGUUGCAAUUCAUGUUAGAACAUACUAAGAAAAUUUUGUUUCCCUCAAAGAAAAAAAAACAAGAAAAAGUAUACCAUGAAAAAUAAGCAUUCGUUACACUAAAAAAAUACUACAUUAAGCAUUCACGCUUGGACGAAAUGCUAGAAUACCCUCAUAUCUAUUGUCGCGACAUGCUUUUUGAUGUGUCCUGUAAAGAAAAUAAAAAGAUGACAUGUUUUUGAUUUACAGAACAUGCACGGGAAAACAUUGCACGAGAUGUGAUAUAUUGUGACGAAAAUGCUCGUGACAAUGACUCGUAACGUCACCGAAUACUGAUAACAACAUGCGCGUCGGUGGCCUCCGUGGCCAUUGGAUCUAUCUUAAUCGAAUGGUUUGAGGGUAACUAAGUCGUUGUUGCAAAAAAAAUUACAACACCUAGUCUGUUGCAUUUUUUUUGCAACAACUAGUCUGUUGCAGUAUCUGAAUCUAGUGUGAAUCCUUGAUCACAUUCACCUAUUCUUUAUCAUUUCAUCCCGAGGCGGCAGCAACAACACAAAUAGGCUGGUCAUGGUUUGUCAUGAGCCAAAGGUCCGAUACGGUUGCUGCUGUAUUUUUUUUUCUGCAACAAUACCUUUGUUGCAAAAGUUCCGUAACAUGAACUCUAUUACAAAUGUUCGAACGUAACUUAUCCUUAUUGCAGAGCUCGCAGUUGAAUCUGACGGCUCCCCGCAUUGAAUCAUAUGGCUCGGCACGCAUUGGAUCUUUCAAAAACAUCCAUCGGCUGACAUGUAGCAUUAUAUUGCCUAAUUUUUUCCGCACCGAAAUAAUUAUGGAAGCCACUUGUUUUCUGAAAAUAUUUAUAUGUUUACGCCAAAAAAAUAUAUUUUCCCUCCACCAAAAAACAUGUUCCCUCCAUUUUUGGAAUUUUUUGGCGUCCUACCACACCUGUCGGUCACCCCAAAAAUUUCAGCCCCCACGAUCUAUUCCCGCGCGUAGCAAUUUACCUUUCCCUCGUAUCCUCUCGUGGCCCUCUCCUCUUCCCCCAUUAUCGCCACAAACAGAUCGGAGGUCCUUCGAUAAACCCGCCCCACGCAGGUCGUGAGCCGCCCCCUCCUCAUCUACGGGAUUCCAGCCGUCGCCUCACUCGCGAGCUUCUCCUCCGGGCCCCAGUACACGCGAGCGCUACCGCCCUUCUCACCGGCGGGAUAGGAGCCGCCGGUCUCACCCACGAGAACGCCGCCGCAUGCACUAGAGAGUGUGCCGCCACCGGCCACAAGUUCGUCGAUCUCGUGAGGUACGUGAUUUGUUAACUAUCCCCGAUCUCACCAUUCUUUCCGCAUGUGUUCCACGCCAAUCGCUUUGUUGUACACGUGAAUGUACAAUCUGCUCGUGCUCGGUGUGGACUCUAAUAGACAGGCCAUGUGAAAGACUGAUAUAAGAUGAGAUAUGUAGACAAGGUGUAUUUAUUCCGUUACCAACUGAUCCACAUUCUGAAAGGUGAUGUGUUGAUCGAUUCAUUCAUGUGGGGCUGGGGUUGAUUAUACUACGAUCAUUGACGGGUGAGUAUAGUGCUUUUAGUUCCAGUAUACUACACUACAAUCAAAUCAGAAUGUUGUGUGCCUGCACCCUGACUCGCCUUGAGCCCUAGUAGCUGCUUUGGUACGAUUAUCAAAUACAUACAUGUUUAAUUUAUGAUCUUAGAGUAGUUACUAAAAUAAUCUGGUUCAUAUGCAUUUUAAUUACAUCUGCUUAGAGUUGAUGCUCUUCAGUGUUUGUGUUGGUUUUCUUUGGGUGCCGAGUUCUUGUAUUUUGCUUGCCUCAUCUAUCUGAAAUAUGGGAGCAUCUAUUAGUGUUUUAUGUUGUUGUUUAUUUGGGUCGAAUUUUUGACAGGUAUAAUCUAACGAAGCUAGCUAGAGCGUAAUCUCUCAAAUCUGACAUAUGCAGUUUGUUGAAAAUGGGAACACAGAAUAGUAGCUCUGCCUACUAGAUGAACUGAAGGGAAAGUGACCAAGGUGAGGUUAAUUUAUUUUUGCAUGCUAUUGUAGAGUAUCUUGGAAUUUGAUAUGUACUUUCCUCAAGUUGUGAAACACCAGAUUAGCAAAUCACUUAUUCUCUAGAAAAACUGACUUUGCCCCUCGCAUGUUGUUGAAUAGUAUACUCUGUAAAACACAUAUUUUCCCCCUUGCAUGCUGUUAAAGACACUACUCAGCCGAUAUUCCAAUUGUUAAUCUAUAUAUUACAUCGCUUGAUAUAAGAUAUGUGACAGUUUUAAUACAGAAGUUUAUUUUGGCUUGAAGAGACUACACAACAGAUAUUCCAAUUGUUAAUCUAUAGAUAACACCGCUUGAUAUAAUAUAUGUGGUAGUUUUAUUAUAGAAGUUUAUUUUGGCUUGAAGAGACUACUCAGCAGAUAUUCCAAUUCAGCUUGCAACAAAAUAAAUGUGCAUUUUAUUUAGCCUCAUUCCAUAAGCAGCAAGUAAAAUGCAUUUUAUUUAGCCUCAGUUGGUAAGCAGCAAUCCAACUUACCACUAUAAAUCACACAUCUAUAUAACAUCAUCCUAUCGCAUUUUGAGCUUACUGCUUAUCUUUUCAACUACGGGUGGACAAACCAGUUCAAAUGGACAACCGAGACAACAGGUGCUCCUACUGAAAUUAGUCUGCUCUAUAUUUUCAUUUUAUUUCUUUCCCUUAUUUACAACAUACACAUAUCUUUCUUACCCUUAUUGACAACAUACACAUAUCUUCUCCAGGAUACCACCUAAUUCUGCAAACAAUAAUUUUCCAUGUUCUACCGUUGGUUCAAUAAGAGAAGCUCAGAAGAAAUUCAUGAGUGCAAUUGUAAAUAUGACGAGCAUAAAAGACCCAAUAUUUAUAACUUGCAAACGCGAGUCCAAGCCUCAACACAAAACAAACCCAUUCUUAUCUCUUGGAUACAUUGUUGAAUAUGAAAAGAAUGGGAUGUCAUAUAUCCAUGUCACACUAACUGAAGAAGGAAAACCUACAAACAAUAUCUAACAGCUCCUGUAAUAAUAUGGUUGGUGCUACAAACUACUAUAGUUGUUACUAUUCAUGCUUUGACUGAUAUAGAUUUUUAUCACAUGUUACAUAUUUGUACUGACAAUAAAAAUUUCAGACAUUGCCUAUGUAUGAAAUCUAUCUAUCAUUUUAUUAAUUCAAAUUAUUUUCUUCUUUGAGAUUUCCAUGUUACUCCGAUAAUCUGCAACAAAUUUCCGCAGCAACACGCGGGGCAUCAACUAGUCCUAUGAAAAGAAGCAAGAGGAAACAGACAACCUUAUCAGUUUUAUCUUACAGAAAUAUGCAACUCAAAACUAAGUAACAUGCGUAAUGGUUCUUGAAGGCCAUCAUUACAUGGUGGUGAUAUCUAGAAAAUAGUUUGCUUUUCUUUAGUUAUGUUACUUUCAUUACGUGGGGGUGAUAUCUAGAACAUACAUAAUUUGUCUUUUUUAAUUAUGUUAGUUUAACAUUCCAAGUUACUUAUUGUCAUUUUUUUUGAAUGUACGAUGAUAUUUGGUUGUGUUAAAUAUAUAUUGUUAUUUGGCAGUUGAGUAUAUAUUGUUGUAUGUAUUGAAAUGAAUUUUUAACUCAAAAUGUAUAGUAAAGUAAAUUUGGAAGUGUUAUCAAAAAUAAUAUGAUAUAAAAUUAAAUAAAAANNNNNNNNNNNNNNNNNNNNNNNNNNNNNNNNNNNNNNNNNNNNNNNNNNNNNNNNNNNNNNNNNNNNNNNNNNNNNNNNNNNNNNNNNNNNNNNNNNNNCAAAAAUAAUAUGAUAUAAAAUUAAAUAAAAAUAAUAAUUAAUAUUACACUCACAAAAUAAUUCUACAAAACUAUGUGAAAAUAUUUGGGAAAAAAAUAUUUUUUAAUGAAAAUGUAAUUGUCAAAAGUAUUUCGAAAAUAAAUAUUUAUUUUUCUAAAAAUGGGAAAAUAAAAAAUACAGAAAAAUAAGAAACAAUUUCAAUUUCUUAGAGAAAUAAAUUCUAAUAAAAUAACAUGACAUCAUAAAUGAUGUCAUCCACACUCGGUGACGCUAAUCAAUGAUGUUUUAGGGCCACGGGAUGGAUUCCUAGGUGUUAUGCCAGUGACGGUACAACAUGUGCACCGUCACUGAAGGUCCCAUAUUCCGUGACAGUCUUUCGUGCGCCGCGUCACUAGGAGGAAUCUGUGACGGUGAUUCCGUGACGAUGCUCGUGACGCUCAAAAAACGACACGACGAGGUUUUCCAUGACGUUUUUGGAUAUUGCAUGACGAUAGUAGCUCGUCACAAUAUACCAGAUCCCUUGUAGUGAGUAAUUUGGAAUCUAGCCUAUUGUACUUUCCACAACAAGAGCUUGGGACAAUAGUCUUGACUUUUAAAAUAUCCACGCUCUUGUUGACAAAUCCAUUUGCGACUAUAGGGCAAAUAGAAGUAAGAACAAAACAUCAAAGACUAUGACAUAGUGUAGUGUGAAUGAAUACUUACAAGAAAAUCAGUUAACAUGCGUCAAAUAACUAUCUAUGUCAUGGAUCAAAACAAUGCCCCUGGAUGCAAAAUGCAAUAAUGCUAGAUUGUUGACCUCAAGUUGGGGUUUGCUUUUGCCGACAUGUCAUCGAAAAUGACCCACAAAAGACCAACACAAUCCACUUAAUAUGACAUGUACAGAUCACUCCAUCUGGUAUACAGAGGUAGCUAGAUAUGGAUUGAUCAGCUUGAUAAUUUUGGUGAUGCUUGUCGAUACUACUCACCAAGAGAAACCAGCAACAAUACGAAGCUAGCUAUGCUGAUGCAGCUGUUGGAAUUGAAUGUUGUGUUAUCAAGUGAUUGUCAUGCUUCUCGGUGUUGGUUCAAAAUCUGAUGCAAAAGUAUAAUGCCUCAUUUACAAACUUGUUUAGAUGUAGAACAUUAAGAUGCAUCCCUUAGAGCAUCUCCAGUCGUUUGUCCCCCAUCGCACCUUGACGAAAGCCUUUUUGGCGUUGAGCCGACGCUUUUCUUGCCCUCGGGGCGAGCGAGUUUCCAGCCGUGCCCCCAGGUUUGGGUCCCGGGACGCCAACGGUUUCAAACUUGUCUUUUUCCGGCACCACAAAGUUUGACGAUCGUGCCACAAGUCGGCGAUCAGCAUGCCAUAGUUCGGCGAUCAACACACCCAGUAGUUCGACGAUCAAAAAGGAAAGGAUGAAACGAAUCAAACACGCGUCUCGGCACGGUGUGGCUCCUCUCCCGUGGGACUGGCCGGGGUAGGUUCUGUUGGGGUAGUCGGGCUCGUCGGCGGCGUAAGUUCUGCCGGGGUAGUCGGGGUCGUCGGCGUGGUUUCUGUCGGGGUCGUCGGCGUGGGUGUUGUCGGGGUCGCCGACGUGGUUGGAGUCGUCGUUGUCGUGGCUGCCACUGCAGUCGCACCGGCACCGUCAUCUAGUUCAAGAUUAGAUCGCGCUCCACGAAGUACCACGCCUUCACCUGUUCGUCCAUCAUCGACGCGUCUGUCCUCAUCAAGAAUGCCAGGUUGGUGUUCCUCUUCUUUGCGACGACGUUGGUCCUGAGAAGGUCAAGCUUGACGUGCUGAUUCGCCAUCAACGCUGACCAUUGUGCGUCGGAUUUCUCCUCCCUCAUGGCAGCGCUGCUCUUCGGCGGCAUGGUGGCUGGAUGGCGGGAAAGCGGGAGAAGAAUGGCGGGAGGAGGCACAAAAUGGAGGGAAAGGGAGGAGGAAGGGGGAGAAAACGGAGGGAAAGGCCGGCUGUCGCCGACAGAGCUGGCCCGCUUGGUUUUUUUGCGUCGACUGGCGCUCCCAGGCGCCCCCCGGGGGGUUGGGUUCGACUCGGAUUCGCCAGCUAUUAUUUUGGCCAAAACCGACGCUAAACAAGCUAUUGGGGACGCGACUCGGGCGAUUUUGCACCGUCGGCGCUAAAAAAGGCGCCCUCGGGGGGGUGUUGGGGGGCAAGUGGAGAUGCUCCUACAAUUCAUGUUCUAGCUAUGAGAUAUCAUUGUCACUUUCGUGUCCACGCCCAAUCAUUUUACAUGUUCAUGGAGAUUUGUGGGAUGCAUGUGUAAGGGAAUUUUGUGCCACCAAUUAGGGGGUGCCCUUGGAUAAAGUGAGGAGUAAUCAUAGAUAAAAAAGAUGGAAUGUAAAUAGUUUGACACUCAAGUAUACUUUUGUGUGGAAUCAUAUAUCCUAUAUUAUUUCGUCAAAGAGAGUCAUCCCCACUGAUUUAUUUAUAUCGAAACACACAACUAUUUAUCUUGAAAUACACAACAUGCCACCUCAUCAUAUAAUUAUGAAUGCGAUAAGAUCUACCUUUGUAUGCAAUCAUGCAUGAGAAAAAUCCCACCAUAACAUUCAGCCAUGCAUGGGAAAAUGGUUUCCAUUUAAUUAACAUACUUAUAUUCAAUAAAUAUUUUACAAUCAUACACAAUCAAAUAAAUAAAUAAUAUGUAUUUUAAAUUUUGUUCUCAUGUUAUCAACUCAACUCCAUGGACCACAUAGCGAUGACCACAACCACUAGAGCAAGCCUAAGACACGCCAAGUAACAAAUAUUUGUUCCAUGGACCACAUAGUGAUGAUCACAAUCAAAUAAAAUAAAUAGUACGUAUUUUAAAUUUUGUUCUCAUGUUAUCAAGUCAACUUUUUGCCAACCAACUCCCGCAACAACGCAUGAGGUAUCCUCUAGGUUUAUAUGUAUUUUAUCAUAUUUCUAGAUGCGAGAGUAUUUGGUUAAUUACGGAGUACACGCAAUUUUUGUGGUUGGUUAGAUUAGAUUCAAUUUACACCAAGACGGUCGUUCAACUGCACAGAACUUUGGUUAAUUCAUUUUUUGUUGAGUGACUAGUGCUUGCUCACAAGUUGUCCCUGCUCCUCCAGUCUCACAUGGACAUGAAAAAAUGGGGGUGCAACACGGACUCCCUCACCCUUUGUUAAUUUUGGCUGAAUAGCUAACCCAUGCAUGAUUCCAGAAUGAGAGGAAUUGGUGGAAAGGGAGCAACCGCUUUGAGAUUUACAACAUAAGGUUUGUUCUAAUCUCUACAUUGAUUUGCAUCGAUUUUUUUAAAACUUUUAUUUGGGAGGGGGGCUACCGAAGCAAAAGCGAAGACAUGUGGACAUGUUUUUUUUCGAAAUGGAGGCUGAGCCCCGGCCUCUGCAUCAAUAGAUGCAUACAACCAUAUAUUAAAAACAAAAUCAAGUUUUCAAUAAGUACAUGAAGUGUGCAGCAAAAAUAAAAUAAAGCGAUACAAGGCAUCUUUCUUGCCCAAGCCGGAGAUGACAAAAUAUAUAGAUGACUAAACACCUAUCCUAUUAACAUGACACCAUCCAAACCGGUUGAAGAUACCCUGUGCUACCAUCUCCCAGCGGACACAUCCAGUAACCAUAUGCUCCCUGGCUUCCACAGGAGUGAGUAAUGACCACGUGCGGAUCACUGCGGUAACCCUGAAGAUAACCUGCAAGAAGUGAAAGUCGCGUUGUCUGUUAAACACUAAGUCAUUUCUGCAAUUUCAUACAGCCCACAACAGUGCACAGGAACCCACGCGAAUAAGUUUAGCAGUAUGUACAUCAACCCCGUGUAACCACAUCCCAAAUAACGUGCUUAUACUAUUAGGAGGAGUGAUGUUAAAAGCAAUGUGCAACGAGCGUCAAACCAGUUUAGCCAUAGGACAAUCGAGAAAGAGGUGCUUAAUACUUUCUUUAUUCGGACAAAAGUUGCAUCUAGUAUUACCAUUCCAGUUUUGCUUGGCAAGAUUAUCCUUCGUUAGAAUAACCCCCUUGUGAACAAACCACAUAAAGAUUUUAAUUCUAAGAGGAACUUUGAUCUUCCAAAUAUGCGCUGAUUUUGGAAUAGGUGUUGAAUCUAUGAGAUGCAUGUACAUAGAUUUUACCGUAAAUACCCCAUUCGUGGUCAGCUUCCAAUGAACACGAUCGGGUCUGUGAGAGAGGUUGAUAUCCAUCAACCUUCUCACGAGAUGCAACCAACUAGUCCAUCUAUCGCCGAUAAGAGAUCUACGAAAUUGAAUAUUUAGAGGGAUCUCACGAAGAAUUGACGCAACGGACGCUUGUCGACGUUGUGCAAUAUGGUAGAGCCGCGGAUAUUGAAAAGCUAAAGGCGUCCCCCUAACCAAGUGUCUUCCCAGAAACUAGUGGAUUCACCAUUGCCUAUGAUGAACCUAGUUCUGCUGAAGAAAGCAUUUUUUUGUCCGCAUCAACCCCUUCCAGAAAGGAGAAUCACUUGGUCGUGUUGUAGCCUGAGAUAACGUUUUGUUUUGUAAGUACUUGUUCUUUAUAAUUUGUACCCAUAAACCUUCAGUUUCCGAAGAUAGUCUAAACAACCAUCUGCUUAGUAGACAUUUGUUUUUGGUCUCUAAAUUUUCAAUUCCUAAUCCCCCUUGAUCUUUGGGUCUACACAAAAUAUCCCAUCUAGUAAGUCUGUACUUUGUCUUGAGCUCAUCGCUUUGCCAGAAAAAACGGGACCGAAAGAAAUCCAAUCUUUUUCGCACCCCCACAGGGACUUCGAAGAAGGAUAGGAGAAACAUAGGCAUACUAGUUAAUACCGAAUUAACCAGAACUAACCAUCCUCCAUAAGACAGCAACUUGCCCUUCCAGCAACUUAACUUCUUUUCAAAACGAUCCUCAAUGCAUUUCCAUUCCUUGUUGGAUAAUUUUCGGUGAUGGAUAGGAAUCCCUAAUUAUGUGAAGGGCAAGUUCCCAGUUUCACAACCGAACAAUUGAUUGUAAGAGUGUUGUUCAUUUUUGGCUCUACCAAAACAGAAUACCUCACUCUUGUUAAAAUUAAUUUUCAGCCCUGAUAGCUGCUCAAACAAGCAAAGAAUGACCUUCAAAUUUCUAGCUUUGACCAGAUCGUGCUCCAUAAAAAGUAUAGUGUCAUCUGCAUACUGCAAUAUAGAGACACCCCCAUCCACGAGGUGCGGGAUAAGACCCCCUAUCAGAUCCUUCUCGGUUGCCCGCUUAAUCAUAAGGGCCAACAUAUCAACAACGAUGUUGAAUAAAAUAGGAGACAUCGGGUCCCCUUGUCUAAGACCCUUCAGUGUCUGGAAGAAAUGACCUACAUCAUCGUUUACCUUAAUCCCGACACUUCCCUUUUUUUAUAAAACAAUCGACAUGCUUUCUCCAAAGCUCGUCGAACCCCUUCAUGCGCAGGGUUUGCUGCAAAAAGGACCAUUUAACUUUAUCGUAUGCCUUUUCAAAAUCCACUUUGAAGAUAACGCCAUCAAGUUUCUUCGAAUGGAUUUCAUGCAACGUUUCAUGCAGAACAACGACACCUUCUAGGAUAUUCCGCCCAGGCAUAAAGGCCGUUUCCGUAGAUUGCACCACCGAAUGUGCCAUUUUCGUUAGUCUAUCCGUUCCCACCUUCGUGAAAAUCUUGAAACUAAAAUUUAGCAAACAAAUUGGGCGAAACUGCUCAAUAUGAGUCGUCCCUUCUUUCUUUGGUAGCAACGUAAUGGUACCAAAAUUCAAAUGAAAGAGUUGUAGGUGACCAUCAUAAAGAUCGUGAAACAUUGCCAUACGAUCCUUCUUGAUAAUAUGCCAACAUUUUUUGUAGAACUCUGCUGGAAACCCAUCUGGCCCAGGAGCUUUACCAUUCUUCAUCUCCCCAAUUGCCUCCAGCACCUCUUUCUCCGAAAAUGGGGCGGAUAAUAACUCAUUGUCCGCCUCGCCAACUUGAGGAAUAUCUGCGAUUUGAUGUUCAUCCAUAGUCACGAAACUAUGGUCAAAAGCACCAAAUAACUUUUUAUAAUAGUUUGAAAUAUACAAUUUUAGGUUCUCAUGACCCACUAUUGUACCCUCAUCUUGCUCGAGCUGGAGAAUUUUCUUUUUCCUAUGCUUGCCAUUUGCAAUCAGGUGAAAAAAAUUGGUAUUAUUAUCCCCAUAAAUGAUUGCCCGUACUUUAGCUCUAGUAGCCCAUUUCGAUUCCUCCUCUCUAAGGAGCACUCGUAGGCGUUGUUCAGCUUCAUUCUUCAAAGAUCGCUCAUUGAGAUCCAAGACAAUGUUCUCGGCCUUACGGUCAAGAUCAUCUAUAAGUUUGAUAAGCCUAUACUGCUCAUCCUUAUUGAUCCCCGAAACGUUCUUAGCCCAACCUCGAAGGUAUUUUCUAAGAUGCCUAAUUUUAUUUUGCCAUCGAUCCACGUUGGAUAUCCCACCCAACUCUCUAUUCCAUUCCCGGGCAACCAUAUCUGUGAAACCCUCCCGUGAGAACCAACUUGACUCAAAGGAGAAUCUACACUUGUUUCCCAUAUGAAUAGCACUACCAGAAUCCAGCAACAAAGGUGUGUGGUCAGAAAUCGCUCUGCGGAGCGCUCGCACCGUCACUAGAGGGAAUUUAUGUUCCCAAUCAAUACUGGUAAGGACCCGGUCCAACUUUUCAAAAGUCUGGUUUUGUAGGGAAUUAGCCUAGGUGAAUUUCCUACCAGAGAGCUCUAUCUCCCUAAGGUCCAGGCUCUCGAUAAUAGUAUUGAACAUAAAUGGCCAUCUGCCAUCAAAAUUGUCAUUGCUCUUUUCGUCAGCUCUCCUAAUAAUAUUGAAAUCACCCCCAAUCAAAAGCGGUAAUCUCUCAUCGCAGAUCCUCACCAGAUCGGCGAGAAAAUUAGGUUUAAGCUCUGGCUGAGCAGCCCCAUAUACAGCUAUGAGGGCCCAUUGGAAUCCAUCCUCUUUAGACGUAAUACUGAAUUUAACUGCAAAAUCUCCUAAAACCACUUCUGUAACUUGAAGGGUAUCACAUCUGACUCCAAGUAAAAUUCCACCGGAUCUUCCUCUUGGAGGGACACAAUGCCAGUCAAACUCUACUCCCGCUGAUAGAGAACUCAGAAACUUAGAAGUAAAAUUAUCUCUCCCAGUCUCCAUGAGCGCUAUAAAAUCAAGGUGAUGCUCUAAAGUUGCCUCAGCUAGAAAUCUUGUUUUUAGCCAAGUCCCGAAGACCUCUGCUAUUCCAAAAUAUUCCUCUCAUCUUUCAUCAUAAAAAAAUUUAGCAGUCUUAAAUCUAGCACUCCUUCUAACCGCAGAAACCGGAUAUACUUUCCGUUUCCAAGGCUGUUUUGGUUUCUCCACAAAACCCCGAUCCAUAUAACCAGGUGUUUGGGAGUCAACUACAAAAUAUUGUGUCUCCUCGGAACUUUGCUCAAGGGUGUUGUCCUCUCCCACCUCUGGAUCGGCCAGUAUGUCCAAAUUCUCACAUAGAGUAUUCAGACCCCCCAUCUCAUUAAUAUCAGAGUCAUUCAUAGGUUUGACGGCAGCUAAAUUACGAAUAAUAUCAAGAGCUCUAUCUACUUCUAAGUCUAGAAGGUCAUUAAUAGAUUUUGAAAUUUGUGUACCAGUAUUACCCAAAGACACCCCAACAGCAGCAACAUUAUCAAUAAUAUCAUGCGGAGAAAAAUGAAGGAUGGAAUUGUCUUUGUUAAAAGCCAUACCUGUCGCAAUUUCCGCAUCCUUCAUCUUUGCAGCUCUCAUUGCACGCCCCAACUGCAAGUCAUCCGCGUCCGGUUGAUCCUGAAUACGCUGACUAGACCGCCUGUCCUGCGUCAUCGGAUCCGGGAGCCCCCCAAACGCUAUAACAUCAUCCACAGAGAAAUGUGCACCGUCAUGCACUAUCAUCCCAUCAAAAGAGCACUCGGUCCCCGUUGACACAACCGGAACUGAAACCUCCACUGCCACAGCCGUAGGUAUCUCAUUAUCGGUCGGACUCUGAUCAUGCACCAAAAGCGAACCCUCCUUCCGUGCUUCUGCAAGAUAUGUGUCAAGAGAGACAGCCGGCAAUCCCACCGUAGGCGAGACUGGCCCCUGCGCAUCCUCGAUGGGCAGCUUCCGAGGAAACAAGAUCUUACGCCGCUGCCCCUCGAAGCUUGCCACUAAGCGGCCACCACCAAGCUUGGCCGGAGUCGAGGCCGGACCAAAAGAGCCAAACCGAAGCUGCGCCAACGGAGCUGUAACAGAAACAGCACCUCCAACCGCCCCCGUCACGUGUGAAGCCGCUGGUUCCUUAGCGUUAGCAGGCUUGUGGUCGCUCUUAUCGGCCUCCUUUGACCCCGACUCAUCAUCCCCAUCAGUCAUAUCCACAUCCUUAUCCGGCACUCCUUCCUCAAAUAAAGGAGGACUCGCAAUCUCAAGCUGGAGGGUAUAUCUCAUCCCCGCGUGCAUCCAAACCACCUCAUCCGGCACCAGUGCGAUGUCAAUGACACUAACAAGCACACGAGCAACUCCUUUAGCUCGGGUAAACCUCAUGUCUACCUUUUCUGUCUUGCCAAUCAGAGAUCCUAAGCUCCAAGUAACCAGAAAGUCGCUAACCGCCGUUGACAUGUAGCCUUGCAAUACACACAUCGCUUGGACUGCUCAAGUACUCGCACUCACCUCUAUUGCUUUCUCCUCCAAAUCUUGUGCAUACAAACCACCUUGCAUUGGUGUAUGGUUAAGAGUGUCUAGUCUUGACAAUAUGAAGAAGUUAAAUUAUUCGAUGCAUUCCCGGGCCUAGCAUGCAGACCACCGAUGCCAAUAAUAUAACUUAUACACGUAAAGGAUAUUAAAGCCCUCAAAAAGUACGACAGAUGCCAACAAUCGCUGAGCUUAAACUCUGAUCAAUAUAUUCUAUUCCAUCGGUUGGUAGGAAAGUGAUAACUGAAGGUUUUCUUUAAGGAAACUACAAUUAAGACGUAUGAUGAACUAAGCUAGAAUAUACAGUAACAGAGGCUUGUAACGGAUAAAGCGAAAGACUAUGUCUAGGCUUUCGGUCUGACUAAUACUAGAGGGGCGACUAAGUGGCAGCGACUUACUCCACUAGUGGGGACAGAGCCUAUAGUCCCGGCCCGUAAGGGGCUUUAGUCCCAGUUCACCAACCGGGACCAAAGGGGCGGGACUAAAGGCCUAACCUUUAGUCCCGGCCCUGUUCCAAGCCGGGACCAAAGGUGCUCCACGUGGGCGCCUCGGAGCGCCCUCAGGGGCAGGCCCUUUAGUCCCGGGUCUUAACACGGACCGGGACUAAAGAGUUUCUGCAGAUUUUGUUUAUUUUAGGGUUUUAGGGUUUAGGUGUUCGGGAGAUUAACGUGAUGCCUCGUUUGGUGUUCGGGAAUUAGUUUUCAUAUAAUUCUAAAUAUACAUGUUUAUGCAUAUGUAUAUAUAUAAGAUUAACUUAUCUUACAAGCGAGCAUAUAUAUACAAUUAUAUGGAGAUCUGAAUUAUCGGGACUAGAGCCCGUCUAUUCGAUUACAUGGACCAACAUCAGUAAUGGCCCCUAGCUACACUAAAUCGUCCUUUGUCAUCUAUAGCUUCUGUCCUCAGAAAGGUCGCAAGCUCCUCUGCAACAGCAAUCGCGCGUUGCUCUGGUAGGGACUUCUCCCUCAUGGCCGUGUACUAUAUAAGAAGAGGAGAUGAAUAUGAAUAUCAAUCAUGAUAACAAAGAAUGAUGGGUAAAAAUAGAGGUGUGAAUGUUCAUUUCUUACGUCGUAUCUGUAAUCCUUGUGCUCAGAGGUAAACGUGCGAAUGGUCUCGCAAACAUAGUAUUCGCAUAGAUGCGUCCCCCGUGGCUGCUGGUCGCACUUUACGAGAAUAUAAUAUAUAUAAUCAAAAUAAUAAUCUAGCAUCAUAAAUGUAUUGAAAAUAGAAGUAUAUCAUACUACUACUUACAUGAGUCGCUCUAAAGGUCAGCUUCUCAUGCUCGAUAGAGGGAGUCACGCACUUGAACCGCUUCUAAACCCUGCCCGACAAGGAAAAUGAUUUGCUAAGUUUUUCAUUAAUUGAUAUAUCAGAAAAUCAUCGAAAGAGACCGAUAGAGCGCAAGAAUGAUUGAAAUUACCCUUGAAGCAUGUCCUGCAGGCUUUGGAACUGUUCCAAGGGUCUCGAUAAUGGGUCGAAGGCAUCAACUCUUCCCUUAUCAAUUUGAAUGUCCAACAAAAUCCAAUGGAAGUUGCACAUGUAUAUAUAUAUGUGUGUCAGUAACUUAUCAAUUACACUUAUAAGUGAAUGGACACAACAGAGUAAAGACCCUCACUUGAAGUUGUAUGGAAACAGUAUGUGGUCACAGAAAUUUUGAUCUGUUAGAAACCUUAGAAGGUUUUCCUCCGUCUCCUUGGGUUUAUCAGUUAGCGUCGCUAUAUGUAUUUUAUCUGGGUCAAUAAACCCAAUAUUUAGGAUGUUCAUUAGCGGAUUUCCCAAGACCAAGAAAGGAAACAAUGCUAUCUUUGUGGUCAUUGACCGUCUUUCCAAAGUGGCUCAUUUUCUUCCUGUUCGUGAGAGUAUAACAGCUAGCCAGCUAGCAGAGUUAUAUAUCUCUCGAAUAGUGUCUCUUCAUGGUGUUCCCCUGGAAAUUAACUCGGACCGUGGAAGUAUCUUUACUUCUCGCUUCUGGGGAAGUUUUCAGAAUGCCAUGGGGACUCACCUAUCUUUUAGCACUGCUUUCCAUCCCCAGUCAAGUGGUCAAGUAGAAAGAGUGAAGCAAAACUUAGAAGAUAUGCUCCGAGCUUGUGUUAUUUCGUUCGGUAUGAAUUGGGAGAAGUGCCUUCCAUUCGCCGAAUUCGCUUAUAACAAUAGUUAUCAAUCAAGCUUGGGCAAAGCCCCUUUUGAAGUUCUCUAUGGACGAAGAUGUCGAACACCUCUUAAUUGGUCAGAAACCGGAGAGAGGCAACUCUUUGGCCCGGACAUGAUCCAGGAUGCAGAAGAGCAGGUUCGCAUUAUUCGUGAAAAGUUGAAAACAGCCCAGUCUCGUCAAAAGAGCCAAUAUGAUCGUCAUCAUAAGGCUGUGACCUUUGAAUUUGACGAGAAGGCUUACCUUCGGGUUACACCUUUGAAGGGUACCCAUCGUUUCGGUAUCAAGGGCAAGUUGGCUCCUCGUUACAUUGGACCUUUUCGCAUUCUUGCCAAACGAGGAGAAGUUGCCUACCAGUUGGAACUUCCUCCGCAUCUUUCCAAGGUUCAUGAUGUUUUCCACGUCUCGCAACUCAGGCGUUGCUUUUCGGAUCCUAUCCGUGAAGUGGACCACGAAACGCUUGAUCUACAAGAUAACCUUUCUUACCGAGAAUACAUUCUCAUGCCAUGCUCAUGCAUCAUUUUGAUUGCAUAUGAUUGUUAUUGAAUGUUGCCGUUCAUUUCGGUAGGCUCCGCACCCCCGGAUUCCACCGAAUAUCCGUCUGACGGAUAUCGUUCCUCCUCUGAGCAACAAGGCAAGCACCCCUUUUGAUCAUCCCGAUAACACCUAUGUUCUUGCUCCUGCACCUAUUUAAUGCAUUAGGAUCAAAUGCUUCAACUGCUUUUGCCACGAUAGUUGGACCCACUUCCUUUGCAUGACUUAACCUUGUCACGGUAAAUAGCCGAACCUUGCAACCUAGCAUACCUGGUAGUUGCUUGAGCUAUGAUGUGCCUUAUCCUGCUAUGCAUGCUAUGCUUAGAGUUGUGUAUGGUCAGUCAUCUGGGAGAUGAACAGAAAUGUGGAAUGUGUUCGGUGAGCAAAGGUCGUGUGUUGAACUUGAUUUGGUAAAGGUACCGGUUAAAGGCUAUGUAGGAGUACAUGGUGGGUUGUUUCAUUGGAACCGUCCUUAGGAACUGAGUUCCGUGUAUGUAAUCCAAGACUAGAUACUACCACAUGCUGGGCCCUGAAAUAUGACCCCGCUCGGCCUAUUAAUCGCGUAGUACUCGGUCCAGGAGUUGCAAGUAGUUUCUGGUGUUUAUAGUAAUGCUGGAAGCCGUGCAUGGUGCUGACCUGAGAGGUGGACCAUGAUGCGGUAGGCAGUGGCACGGUGUACCAAGUGGCACCCGGAUGGUGGGCUUGGGAACCCUGCGCACAUCGUUUGAGGCCGUGGCGGAAACCUCGGCCGGACUUCCGUACGGGUUACUCUCAGAUAGGCGAUAAACCUGGACUAGGUACUAGUGUGGUUAACGGUCGUGGCCGACUCCCUCGCUGGGCUUCCGCUUGAAGGUUGCCGAGGUGCAUGACGUGCACAUGGCGAUAAGUGGCGGGAGCGUGUGUGACGAAGUACACCCUGCAGGGUUAUGAUCUAUUCGAAUAGCCGCGUCCGCGGAUAUGGACUACUUGGAGACAUAUGUUGUUCAUAGAUAAUUUCAAUGGCUACUCAUAAAAUUGUCAAGAUAAGCGUGAGUGUCGUGGACGGCAUUUCCGUAUGGAGACGGAAUGAUUCCACGAUAGUGUAUUGUUGUGGUGUUAGUGGACUCGUGUGCGAGAAAUCAAGUUGUCAAAACUAAUUUCAAAAAGCAAGUUGUCUAGCCACGAGUCAAAUGCUGGCUUCCCGCAUGAAACCCCACAAUACCUUCUUGAUACCUUGCAUGAGUAGUUAGCCAUCCUAAAGUCUUGCUGAGUACCUUCGUACUCAUGUUUGCUUAAUAAUGUUGCAGAGGUUGCUAAUGACCCUAAUGGAGGGUUCUUCGUAGACAUCGACGACGAAGAGUAGCUGGUGUCCCAGCUACNNNNNNNNNNNNNNNNNNNNNNNNNNNNNNNNNNNNNNNNNNNNNNNNNNNNNNNNNNNNNNNNNNNNNNNNNNNNNNNNNNNNNNNNNNNNNNNNNNNNUAAGUUGUCUAUCAUCCCAGAAAAAAUAAAAAAGAGAAGUUUUCGUCGCGUUUUCGAUACGGAGGCGCCGCCACCACCUGUUCUUCAUCUGGAGGGCAGAUCUGGAGUCCGUCUUGGGCUCCGGAGAGGGGAAAUCGUCGCCAUCGUCAUCAUCAACCUUCCUCCCUCUCCAAUUCCACUAAGCUCUUCGUCAUUCGUGAGUAAUCUAUUCAUAGGCUCGCUGGGCGGUGAUGAGUAGGAUGAGAUCUAUCAUGUAAUCGAGUUAGUUUUGAUGGGGAUUGAUCCCUAGUAUCCACUGUGUUCUGAGAUUGAUGUUGCUACUACUUUGCCAUGCUUAAUACUUGUCACUAGGGCUCAAGUGCCAUGAUUUCAGAUCUGAAAUUAUUAUGUUGCCACCAAUAUAUGUGUGUUUUAGAUCCGAUCUUGCAAGUUGUAGUUACCUACUAUGUGUUAUGAUCCGGCAACCCCGGAGUGACAAUAACCGGAACCACUCCCGGUGAUGACCAUAGUUUGAGGAGUUCAUGUGUUCACUAAGUGCUAAUGCGUUGGUCCGAUUCUUUAUUAAAAGGAUAACCUUAAUAUCUCGUAGUUUGCUUUUGGACCCCGCUGCCACGGGAGGGAUGGACAAUAGAUGUCAUGCAAGUUCUUUUCCCUAAGCACGUAUGACGACACACGGAAUGCAUGCCUACAUCACACUGAUGAACGGGAGCUAGCCACUUAUCUCCCCGUGUUAUAGCUGUUGCAUGAUGAAUAUCAUCCAAACAAAUGAGUGACCCAUUGCCUACGAGUUUGUCCUACUACUGUUGUUACUUGUCUUGCUCUGCUGCUACUACUGUUGCUACUGCUGUUACUUGUCUUGCUCUGCUGCUGCUACUACUAUUGUCAUCCAAACAAAUCACCGACCCAUUGCCUACGAGUUUGUCCUACUACUGUUGUUACUUGUCUUGCUCUGCUGCUACUACUGUUGCUACUGCUGUUACUUGUCUUGCUCUGCUGCUGCUACUACUGUUGCUACUGAUGUUACUUGUCUUGCUCUGCUGCUGCUACUACUGUUGCUACUGCUGUUACUUGUCUUGCUCUACUGCUGCCACUACUGUUGCUUGCUACUGAUUACUUGUCUUGCUCUGCUGCUACUACUCUUGCUACUUCUGUUACUUGUCUUGCUCUGCUGCUGCUACUACUGUUGCUACUGCUGUUACUUGUCUUGCUCUGCUGCUGCUACUACUGUUGCUACUGCUGUUACUUGUCUUGCUCUGCUGCUGCUACUACUGUUGCUACUGCUGUUACUUGUCUUGCUCUGCUCUACUUGCUACUGUUGUCACUACUGUUGUUCCUUGCCACUGCUAUUGCUCGUUACACUGCUACUACCUGCUACACUGUCGAUUCGCCAGACCGUUGACGGGAAUUGACAACUUCCGUCAACGCGGCAACAAAAGCGCCAUUGAUACAAUCGUUAGGAAUAGUCUACCGUCAACAGAUCGUUUCUGACACCGUUGUUAUCAUAUUACUUUGCUAUUACUACUGUGCUUGCAGAUACUAAUCUUUCAGGUGUGGUUGAAUCCNNNNNNNNNNNNNNNNNNNNNNNNNNNNNNNNNNNNNNNNNNNNNNNNNNNNNNNNNNNNNNNNNNNNNNNNNNNNNNNNNNNNNNNNNNNNNNNNNNNNAGUAUUCUCUCACCUCCUUCAGGCGAUCUACAAAUUUGGGUUGAAUACUCUACCCUCGAAAAUUGCUACGAACCCACGCACUGGUGGGCCAUCAACAACAUUAUUCCAGUUUCAUUGCUGGGGAGUGCUAUCAGCAUUCUUCUGGUGCCAUUGCAGGAGAAGUUUUGUUGUCAUAAGCAUUCGUCUAGUUAACGCCACAGAAUGCGCAAUCAGCAUUUUUCUGGCGCCGUUGCCGGGGAGGUAUUGCUAUAUUCUCUGAGUCACUUGGGAUUUAUAUCUGCUGAUCACUAUGAAGAAUCUGAAGGAUCCAAAAACCAAAGUCUUUCCCUCCAAUUACGAGGGUAGGUAAGGAAUUGCCAUCUAGCUCUGCACUUCAUUCACCUUCAGUUAUGAGUAAGUUUGCGACAUCACCUCCUGCUAGAAAUCUUGAUAUGUCGCCUGUGCUUGAUGAUGCUUGUGAUACUACUGCUAGAGAUGCUAUGCUUGAUACUAUGUCUGAUACUGCUAGAGAUGCUAUGCUUGAUACUAUGCCUGAUACUGUUAGAGAUUCUAUGCUUGAUACUGCUUUGCCUGAUGAUGCUAGAGAUGCUAUUUUGCCUGAUGAUGCUAUGCUUGAUACUGCUAGAGAUACUCCUUUGCCUGAUGUUCCACUAGGAGUGUUCCGUGAUGCUCAUAUUGCUAGAGUUACUGCCAAUGCACGUGAUGCUUCUGAUACUGCCGAUACUAUUGAGAUAGAACCUGCUUUUGCUCCUGCUAGAUCUAGCUCUCCUAGAUAUGAACUGCCUGAUAUACCUGAGGGUUACGUUAUGGAGGGAGAGAUAGCUAAGGAUUUUCUUGCGUGUAAGNNNNNNNNNNNNNNNNNNNNNNNNNNNNNNNNNNNNNNNNNNNNNNNNNNNNNNNNNNNNNNNNNNNNNNNNNNNNNNNNNNNNNNNNNNNNNNUGAAAAAUCUCGUGAAGCUAGGAUGAAAAAUGACCCGAAGUUUGCCACUUCGCCUAUCUUUGUCACCGAUAAGGAUUAUGAAUUCUCUGUCAACCCUGAGAUAAUCUCUCUAGUCAAAUCUGAUCCUUUUGACGGUUAUGAGUCUGAGACGGUCAUAGCCCAUCUUGCCAAACUAUCCGAAAUAGCCAACUUUUUCACUAAUGAGGAGAAGAUCCACCACUACUAUAUCCUUAANNNNNNNNNNNNNNNNNNNNNNNNNNNNNNNNNNNNNNNNNNNNNNNNNNNNNNNNNNNNNNNNNNNNNNNNNNNNNNNNNNNNNNNNNNNNNNNNNNNNAUUCCCCAACGUGUCUUCGGUAGCUUCGCAUAUAUGUGGCUGAGAAUAAGAAGUUCAAGAAUUCGAAAAGUAGAUGGAAGAGGAGAUGUUGAUGAAUGGAUUACCAAGUCGACGUCGCCAAAGCCAACAUCGUAGUUGCCCCCGAGGUUGCUUACGAUGGCGAGGCCGCCGNNNNNNNNNNNNNNNNNNNNNNNNNNNNNNNNNNNNNNNCGCCCGCCGCUCCUGCCGCCCCUGCCGCGGCCACACUGCCUGAGCCUGACCGAGCACGUCGCCCGGCGAGGCCUCCUCCUCGAGUCCCCGGCGAACAGGCUCGUGCUUGAGCUGCUCCCCACCCCCACGCGCCUCCUCGCGAGCACUGCCAUCGCCUUGCCGCCCUCCGCCCUCACGUCGACCGUGGUCACCGCGCCCACCCCCGGCAUCACCUGAACUCCGGUCAUCCUCGAUCAAUGGAGCAGCUAAUGAAUUCCUUGGCUCGUGUCAGUAUGUGGUAUAUAAAAACCAAGGGAGGAGCAAGUAAGUGGCCGGCGGAGGAAGAAGAGGUGGUGUUGAACUGCUGCUUCCUCCUGGCCCGGGUCGUCGUGGCUGGCGCUGGCUUGGCCGCGACGCUCACCAACCAAUUUUUCUGAGGCCCAGGAGGCGCGCGGUUUUCAGCUUAGCACCACCAGGGAAAACCCCCACGCCGGGCGGACACGCGGCGUCGACCGGUUGGCGCGACGGGCCACGGAGCUGGAGAUUCAAGAAUUCCAUGGUAAAUUUGGCACGAGGAAGAUUCAGAAAAUGGAAUUCUCGUGUGACCCCGCGCGUCAUUUGACAAGCUGGUAGUAGCACGCACGGCGCCUUGCGUGUGUGGACCAGGGAGACGAGAGGCUCCUCCUCUCGUGUGGAUUCUGUGAAUCUGAAACCAAAACUUGGGAGGAAUCUGAAUUCUGAACGGGAGACCCAGAGCAGGCCACGGCGCGGCCGCCGAGCGGUUGCCUGCCCGGGUGCAUACAGAGUGUCUGACUUUUCCUUCCAGCCAGUUACAGUAGGAGUGCCAUGUUUGAUGUUUCUCUCAGCUCGUUUCGUUAANNNNNNNNNNNNNNNNNNNNNNNNNNNNNNNNNNNNNNNNNNNNNNNNNNNNNNNNNNNNNNNNNNNNNNNNNNNNNNNNNNNNNNNNNNNNNNNNNNNNUCGUGCGCGUAGGAAAAUUUUUGUUUCCCAUGCGACGUUCCCCAACACCUCCCUCCUCCUAUAUAUACUAGAGGUUUAGGGCUUUUGAGACACAACUUUUUCCACGUGCAACCCUAAACCUCUACUUCGUAGUUCUUCCUCUAGAUCAGUUUUCUACGGNNNNNNNNNNNNNNNNNNNNNNNNNNNNNNNNNNNNNNNNNNNNNNNNNNNNNNNNNNNNNNNNNNNNNNNNNNNNNNNNNNNNNNNNNNNNNNNNNNNNNNNNNNNNNNNNNNNNNNNNNNNNNNNNNNNNNNNNNNNNNNNNNNNNNNNNNNNNNNNNNNNNNNNNNNNNNNNNNNNNNNNNNNNNNNNNNNNNNNNNNNNNNNNNNNNNNNNNNNNNNNNNNNNNNNNNNNNNNNNNNNNNNNNNNNNNNNNNNNNNNNNNNNNNNNNNNNNNNNNNNNNNNNNNNNNNNNNNNNNNNNNNNNNNNNGUAUGUGGAUCCGAUCUCCCUCUCGUAGAUGAUCAUCACCAUGAUAGGUCUUCGUGUGCGUAGGAAAUUUUUUGUUUCCCAUGCAACGUUCCCCAAAAGUUAAAAUUCCUUUAAAACCCAAUGAGAAAAUAAGGAGAAAAUGAUACAACAUAUAAUGGUUAUUGUCUCUUUGGNNNNNNNNNNNNNNNNNNNNNNNNNNNNNNNNNNNNNNNNNNNNNNNNNNNNNNNNNNNNNNNNNNNNNNNNNNNNNNNNNNNNNNNNNNNNNNNNNNNNNNNNNNNNNNNNNNNNNNNNNNNNNNNNNNNNNNNNNNNNNNNNNNNNNNNNNNNNNNNNNNNNNNNNNNNNNNNNNNNNNNNNNNNNNNNNNNNNNNNNNNNNNNNNNNNNNNNNNNNNNNNNNNNNNNNNNNNGGGAAAACGAGUGCAAUAUAAUGUUUGAACGGGUUAUUUUUCAGAGAGAAACUCCCCCUGAUCUGUGCAAAUCCCGAAGUCGUCGCAUACCUAUCCCAUGAACACAUUUUCAAAUGUUGAAGCUGGGAGUGAUUUUGUAAAUAGGUCAGCGAGAUUAUCGCACGAUUUACUUGCAAAAUGUUUAUCUUCCCUUUCUUCUGUAAUUGAUGGGNNNNNNNNNNNNNNNNNNNNNNNNNNNNNNNNNNNNNNNNNNNNNNNNNNNNNNNNNNNNNNNNNNNNNNNNNNNNNNNNNNNNNNNNNNNNNNNNNNNNNNNNNNNNNNNNNNNNNNNNNNNNNNNNNNNNNNNNNNNNNNNNNNNNNNNNNNNNNNNNNNNNNNNNNNNNNNNNNNNNNNNNNNNNNNNNNNNNNNNNNNNNNNNNNNNNNNNNNNAAGCCAUACACAUUCACGUGACGCUUCAUAUAAUGCGAUUAUUUCAGAAUGAUUGGUGGAUGUAGCCACUAGGGUCUUCUUGGAAGACUUCCAUGAUAUGGCUACCCCACCAUGUAGGAACACGAAACCGGUGUGUGAUCUGGCAUUAUGGAGGUCAGAUAAGUAGCGAACAUCUGUAUACCCAAUCAAAUCAAUGUCCAAAUUUCUUUGAAAUUGAAAGAAUAGGCCAAGAUCCUUUGCGUCUUGGAGAUAUCGAAAGAUAUUCUUAACUCCAGUCCAAUGGUGUUUAGUGGGCGUUGCACUAUGCCUAGCCAGUAAAUUCACUACAAAUGCAAUAUCAGGUCUGGUGCAAUUUGCAAGAUACAUGAGCAUUCCAACGGCACCAAGAUAUGGAACUUCCGGUCCUAAUAUCUUUUCUCCAUCAUCCGUUGGUCUAAAUUGAUCUUUCUCUAUGUCUAGAGAUCAAACUACCAAAGGGGUUUUGGAUGGGUAGGAUUUGUCCAUAUUGAAUUUCUUCAAUAUUUUCUGGAUAUAGGCGGUUUGAUGAACCAAAAUACCCGAGGGAAGGUGCUCAAGUUGCAAUCCUAAGCAAAAUUUGGUUUUACCCAAAUCCUUCAUUUCAAAUUCCGUCUUUAAGUGAUUGCGUGCUUCAUCAAUGUCUUCGGUGGUUCCAAUGAUGUUAAGAUCAUCAACAUACACUGAAAUAAUGCAAAAUCCGGUUGCGGACCUUUUUAUGAAAACACAUGGGCAAUCAUCAUUAUUGGAGUAUCCACUUUUCAGAAAGAACUCACUAAGUCGGUUGUACCACAUGCGACCCGACUGUUUUAAGCCGUAUAAAGACUUGUUUAGUUUUACACAAUAUGCGUUGCGUUUUGCAUUUGGAUUCAGGAUUGGGACUCCAUCAGGAACCUUCAUGUAUAUGUCUAUAUCAAGUGAACCGUAAAGGUAAGCGGUCACUACGUCCAUCAACUGCAUAGAUAGACGAUAUUGUACUGCCAUAGAAAUUAGGUAUCGGAAAGUAAUACCACUCAUUACUGGAGAGUAUGUUUCAUUGAAAUCAAUGUCUGGUCUCUGCGUGAAACCUUGGGCUACAAGCCUUGCUUUAUAUCUCACCACCUCGUUGUUCUCGUUUCUUUUACGGACGAAAACCCAUUUGAAUCCCACAGCGAAAACUCUGGGAGGUGUAGGUAUUGCUUCAGUGAAUACCUUUCGUUUAUUGAGCGAGGCUAACUCUACUUGGAUUGCAUCCUUCCAUUUAGGCCAGGCGGAGAGUUUCUUGCACUCUGCCAUGGUCUUUGGAUCAUGAUCAUUUAGAAGGUUGUCUGCAACUGUAGUUGAGAAAUAUAUGUCGACAAUAGUAGACUUACGAUUGUAACAUUCUCCAGAAUCCAUAUAGUUGGUGGAAAUUUCAUUUACCCAUGGUCGUGAUUUCCCAAUACGAUUAAGUCAGGGUUUUCCGAUGAUNNNNNNNNNNNNNNNNNNNNNNNNNNNNNNNNNNNNNNNNNNNNNNNNNNNNNNNNNNNNNNNNNNNNNNNNNNNNNNNNNNNNNNNNNNNNNNGUCGUUCUUCCACUGGGUGUUCAUUACCCAUUUGAUGAUUAUCAACGCUAGGUUGAUUUACAUUUACUGGUUCAGAAGGUUUCUUCCCCUGUUUCCUUUGUUGCUUGCGAGAAGUUGAAUAAUGUUCUGUGGUCGUAUUUCUCCCCCUCUUGCUUUGAAUAGGGGGUUGAGUGGUUUUUGUUGGUACCUCCACUCUUUCGGGCGCAUUUCNNNNNNNNNNNNNNNNNNNNNNNNNNNNNNNNNNNNNNNNNNNNNNNNNNNNNNNNNNNNNNNNNNNNNNNNNNNNNNNNNNNNNNNNNNNNNNNNNNNNCCGUACAGCAGAAGCGUUAGUGAACGCGGUUGAUGUAGUGGAACGUCCUCACGUCCCUCGAUCCGCCCCGCGAACAAUCCCGCGAUCAGUCCCACGAUCUAGUACCGAACGGACGGCACCUCCGCGUUCAGCACACGUACAGCUCUACGAUGAUCUCGGCCUUCUUGAUCCAGCAAGAGAGACGGAGAGGUAGAAGAGUUCUCCGGCAGCGUGGCGGCGCUCCGGAGGUUGGGGAUNNNNNNNNNNNNNNNNNNNNNNNNNNNNNNNNNGGUGACGGCGCUCCGGAGGUUGGUGAUGAUCUUGUCUCAGCAGGGCUCCGCCCGAGCUCCGCAGAAACGCGAUCUAGAGGAAAAACUAUGGAGGUAUGUGGUCGGGCAGCCGUGAGAAAAGUCGUCUCAAAUCAGCCCUAAAACCUCCGUAUAUAUAGGUGGGAGGGAGGGGAGGAGGCAGCCUCAAAACCUAAAGGUUUGGCCGAAAUUGGAGGUGGAGGAGUCCUACUCCAAUCCUACUUGGAGUAGGAUUCCACCUUCCCACUUGGAAACUCUUUCCACCUUGUGUUUUUUCCUUCUCAAACCUUAUGGGCCUUAGUGGGAACUUAUUCCAAUCCACUAGGGGCUGGUUUAUCUCUUCCCAUAGCCCAUGAGACCCCUUGGGGCGUGACACCCCUCCCGAUGGUCCCCGGCACCCCUCCCGGCCCUCCCGGUACACUACCGAUGAGCCCGAAACUUUUCCGGUAAUGCACGAAAACCUUCCGGUAACCAAAUGAGGUCAUCCUAUAUAUCAAUCUUCGUUUCCGGACCAUUCCGGAAACCCUCGUGACGUCCGUGAUCUCAUCCGGGACUCCGAACAACAUUCGGUAACCAACCAUAUAACUCAAAUACGCAUAAAACAACGUCGAACCUUAAGUGUGCAGACCCUGCGGGUUCGAGAACUAUGUAGACAUGACCCGAGAGACUCCUCGGUCAAUAUCCAAUAGCGGGACCUGGAUGCCCAUAUUGGAUCCUACAUAUUCUACGAAGAUCUUAUCGUUUGAACCUCAGUGCCAAGGAUUCAUAUAAUCCCGUAUGUCAUUCCCUUUGUCCUUCGGUAUGUUACUUGCCCGAGAUUCGAUCGUCAGUAUCCGUAUACCUAUUUCAAUCUCGUUUACCGGCAAGUCUCUUUACUCGUUCCGUAAUACAAGAUCCCGCAACUUACACUAAGUCACAUUGCUUGCAAGGCUUGUGUGUGAUGUUGUAUUACCGAGUGGGCCCCGAGAUACCUCUCCGUAAGGCUUGUGUGUGAUGUUGUAUUACCGAGUGGGCUCCGAGAUACCUCUCCGUCAUACGGAGUGACAAAUCCCAGUCUUGAUCCAUGCCAACCCAACAGACAUCUUUGGAGAUAUCUGUAGAGCACCUUUAUAGUCACCUAGUUAUGUUGCGACGUUUGAUAACCCACAAGGUAUUCCUCCAGUGUACGGGAGUUGCAUGAUCUCAUGGUCAUAGGAACAGAUACAUUGAUAUGCAGAAAACAAUAGCAAUAAACUGACACGAUCAUAUGCUAUGUUUAUAGUUUGGGUCUUGUCCAUCACAUCAUUCUCCCAAUGAUGUGAUCCCGUUAUCAAGUGACAACACUUGUCUAUGGUCAGGAAACCUUGACCAUCUUUGAUCAACGAGCUAGUCAACUAGAGGCUUACUAGGGACAAUGAUUUGUCUAUGUAUAUACACAUGUAUUACUACCCUAGCCUACUCACUGAAAGAAACACUUAGUAGCCUGGAAAGAGGUCUAAUACUGCUAUGCAUGCAUGUAUGUGCAUUGGUGUUAGGACAAGGAAGACGAUAUCAAAAAAGAAAAGAAAGAAGGAGAAGGAAGACGAUGCAUGGGUCGAAGCGGCCUAACUCAUGGUGGCAUACUCCUUCAUGUCGUGACCUGUCAUAUCUGAUAGGGCUCCGGUGAUGAUCGUCAUAUCCAAAGACGGCACAGGGUUGUCCCGGACUGAAGCACGCGACCUUUAAACUCGAUCCAACGAGGAACAGUACUCAUCGGGAGUCCAUGUUCAAUACAUAGAUGUAACAUACUUAGCAAUGAAGUUUAGCUUGAAAACUAAUGUAUGCAAAGGAUGCACUGAGGACAAAUAGUAAAAAUAUUACCAUCUUUACUAAAUAUAUUUGACUGUUGUUUAAUACGCACACUAGUGGUCGCACAUUUUGAGUACUAAUAUCUCGAAGUCCAGGAAAAUACUCCUACUUUCAGGAAACUGGAGGCAACUACCAGGAAACUUAUAUGACAGAUCACUAUUACUCAAUAUGCAACGGCAACAUGGUGGACAGUCCCUCACCGAAUUUUCGACCGUCGAUGAUGGUCGCUAUUCCUACUUCCCCUAGUGCAUAACAAAUAUCUAGCACAAGGAGAAGGAGGAGGAGCGACCCCCAGGACAACAGUCGGCAUUCUUCUUCUCCCACAUAUGGUGGACAGUCCAUGACCGAUUUUUUGACCGUCGAUGAUGGUCGCUACUCCUACUUCCCCUAGUGCAUAACAAAUAUCUAGCACAAGGAGAAGGANNNNNNNNNNNNNNNNNNNNNNNNNNNNNNNNNNNNNNNNNNNNNNNNNNNNNNNNNNNNNNNNNNNNNNNNNNNNNNNNNNNNNNNNNNNNNNNNNNNNCUUCAACUAAAACUCAUGCUGAGGUAGAGGCUGAGGCUGAGGCUGAGGCAGCCAUAGCCACUAGUGUUCUAGUGCCCAAGACCAACAGUGGUCAGAUGUCAUUUCUUAUCAGCACCAUCCAAGGGAUGGAAAAGAACAUCAAAGACAUUCUGCUGAAUCAGAAGAGCCUUGAGCGGAAAAUGGAAACAAAACUUCAUGACCUGGAUAUCAAGGUGACUGAGGUGACUACUACGGCCAACCAGUUGAAGUAGGAGGUAGAUCCAUUUCCUGCUCCUAGCUCCACUGAGAUGAUGAUAGUCCUCCUCUCUAGACACGCACUUAGUUCAGGACACAUGCUAGAUCUUCUGUCGUGCCAGUUCCAGAGUCGAGACCAUCUUCAUCACCUCCAUCGGCUCCUACACGUCCAAUGUCUACACCAUCACCUGAGAGAAAAUCAUGUGAAGCCUUCGACGAUGCUCUUCUAUCGAUUCCUUCCACAACUACAGGAGGAGACCGUUCCGAGAACGACGCUUACCUCUAUACCUUUGAACUUUUUUGGUAACUUGUUGCCAAAGGGGUAGAAGUGUAUAGACCAUAGGGAUUCGAGAGAGCGUGUGUUGCAUUUUGGUUGCUCUCUUUGGUUUCUUAAAACAUUUCGUUUAUCGUGUGGAUGUCUUAAAACCUUGUUGUGAUUGAUCAUAUGCUUUAUGUUUGAUGCUACUACUUCCUAUCUUUGAGAUAUCUAUGUGAUGAUAAUUCGCUCAUUAUUGGUGUUAUGUGCAUUAUAAUCCACUCAUAUCAUUUACAUGCACCAACAAGAUGUAUGUGACAUGGAAGAGUGGCCCAUGAUCCUAAUCGAUUGUCCAUUUGCAUUCNNNNNNNNNNNNNNNNNNNNNNNNNNNNNNNNNNNNNNNNNNNNNNNNNNNNNNNNNNNNNNNNNNNNNNNNNNNNNNNAUUGCACAAAUUUAGUGGGAGCUCUUGGUUAUCACACACUUCUCAAAGCGGUGAUGCUAUUCAUUGAUUAUAAUUUAUGUCGAAGCUUUGAUCUAUAUGUUGUCAUCAAUUACCAAAAAGGGGGAGAUUGAAAGCACAACUUCUCCCUAGGUGGUUUUGGUAAUUAAUAACAACAUAUAUGUCAUUGGGCUAAUGAUUCUACCAAAUAUAUUUCAGGAAAAGUUCAAUGAAUGGAUUGGCUAAGGAUUGUGAGGAGAUCCCCUAGAUUCAAGGAACGUCUAUUAGCAAGAAGCUUCAAGACUCUACAUUUUUCAUUUUGUGAGAAAUCACACUUGAGUCCAUAGGAAAGCCGAUACUAUUNNNNNNNNNNNNNNNNNNNNNNNNNNNNNNNNNNNNNNNNNNNNNNNNNNNNNNNNNNNNNNNNNNNNNNNNNNNNNNNNNNNNNNNNNNNNNNNNNNNNGGGAAAUUGCUCCUUGGUAAGUGACUCCUCCAUUGGUCCAAUUAGUUUUUGCUCUAGUGCUUUAUCCUUCGCGAAUUCUUGCUACCUUGGUGACCCUGUCCUUGAGCUAGAAAAGUUGAUUUUAGCUGGUCCCAAGUAGUUUUAGCGCGUGAUACGGUCUCUAGGCACUGGUAGGAGUAGUUGCUACAAGGUAUGGUUGGUCCUCAUUCACUUUUCUCUUGAACUUCAAAAAUUUCAGCAAAAGGAAAUUAUGUUCAGGAGGAAGUUUCAUGGUGGUUCCUCAAGUAAGAAGGGUCCUCGUCUCUCCUUUCGGGAGCCCGAACCUUUUCAACUAAGGGACGCACCGGUGCAACCAUGUGAAUGGCCUUCUGAUGAGUUCAUGAUCGAAGCAGGCUUCAAGGAUGAGUUUGAUGCACUUGUCCGCAAUGCCGGGUUAGAAGAAUUCCUCUCAGAUAAAUGUGAACAGUAUGCUAUGCUCACUGCCUAUUUCGUGCGUAGAUUUAAAUUUUUAGUUGGCCGUGAAUCAUCCAUACUGUUUGAUCUGUACGAUAAAUCCUAUACCGUGGGUCUGGAGGAUUUCAAUAGGAUUUGCAAGAUACCCGAUGGAGGUAGUAUUAAUGAUCCUCUUAAGUCUUCGGUGAGAGACUUUGUCUCCAGUAUAACUGUUGGAGAAACCAGUGAUAUCACGCAAGCCACCAUAGGAAGCAUCCAUUUCCCUGCCUUGCACUACCUUGCCCUCUUCAUAGGUAGGUGCAUUAACGGCAAGGGUGCACAUUGUCACCUAUGCGCUUCCGACCUUAGUAUCCUUAAGAGCGCAGUAACAGGUGACAGGAGCUUCAAUAUGGGAGCUAUAAUAGCAAGGAGGCUGAAUAAAAAUGCCACUGAGGGGGAUUUCUUUGGUGGAGUUUAUGCUACACGCUUAGCAAAUUUUCUUGGAGUAUCCAUCCGUCCAGAAGACCCUCCUCUCCGUACAGCCUACCUUGAUCGUGUCGCUCUAACACGCUACCAGUUCCUUGAGAGAAAUCAUGGAUCCCUCCUAUACCGCUUGAUACUUAACCGACAGCGUGUUUUCCAUAUUACCCUUCCUGCUCCUGCUUUCUUUGACUUUCAGGUUAAACGAAGAUACUACAUAANNNNNNNNNNNNNNNNNNNNNNNNNNNNNNNNNNNNNNNNNNNNNNNNNNNNNNNNNNNNNNNNNNNNNNNNNNNNNNNNNNNNNNNNNNNNNNNNNNNNNNNNNNNNNNNNNNNNNNNNNNNNNNNNNNNNNNNNNNNNNNNNNNNNNNNNNNNNNNNNNNNNNNNNNNNNNNNNNNNNNNNNNNNNNNNNNNNNNNNNNNNNNNNNNACCUAAGCUUGGGGGAGUACGUGUUCUCACCGACUUUACAUUCAUGCUUAUGCUUUCACUUUGUUAGCCGGUGUUUACACUUUGCCACUGUAUUAUCCAUGCUAGUUUCUUUUUGUUUUCUUGUUUUGUGUCCUUUUGAGAAAACUCAAAAAGAUAUUUCUUUCUUCUUUUGCUUGUUGGGAGCUUUCCCGUGUAAACAGUUUUCUUUUUCUUUGUGUCAAGGUAGAAGAUAUUGGUUACAAUGUUUAUUGGUUCUUGCAUGCUUACCUGUUUAGCUUUCAAAGAGCCAUAUUAUUUUGUCUUCUCCUUUGUGUUUGCCUGCAGAUUCAGCUUAGUCCAAUGCGCUUAUUAUUGUUCACAUCGUUCGAUCGUGCAAAUGACAGGCAACAAUGAUGAUAUAUGAUGAAGUGACUGAGACUGAAAAGCUGGUAUGAACUCUGUCUAUUUUGUUUUUGUAAAUAUGACUAGCUUGUCGAUCCAGAUUUAGCUUUGUUGUGAGAGAACCAUGUUUGCAAUGACAACUUAGAGAUCAUAGUUUCUGAUGCCAUGCUNNNNNNNNNNNNNNNNNNNNNNNNNNNNNNNNNNNNNNNNNNNNNNNNNNNNNNNNNNNNNNNNNNNNNNNNNNNNNNNNNNNNNNNNNNNNNNNNNNNNAAGAGUUUCUCUCGAAAGAAGUAAGUGGGAGGAAAGUAGAACUUGAUGAGGUAAUUACACCCCCUCUCGAACAGGAUAGUAGUGCAGCGCGGGAAGUUGUUCCUAUGGCGCCUACACCAACUGAAGAGGAAGUUAAUGAUGAUGAUCAUGAAGCUUCGGAUCAAGUUACUACUGAACCGCGAAGGUCCACAAGGGCACGCUCCGCACCAGAGUGGUACGGCAACCCUGUGAUGGAAACCAUGUUGUUAGACAGNNNNNNNNNNNNNNNNNNNNNNNNNNNNNNNNNNNNNNNNNNNNNNNNNNNNNNNNNNNNNNNNNNNNNNNNNNNNNNNNNNNNNNNNNNNNNNNNNNNNNNNNNNNNNNNNNNNNNNNGGAGGCUAUGAAAUCCGAGAUAGGAUCCAUGUAUGAGAACAAAGUAUGGACUUUGGUGCACUUGCCUGAUGACCGGCAAGCCAUAGAAAAUAAAUGGAUCUUCAAGAAGAAGACUGAUGCAAACGGUAAUGUAACCGUUUAUAAAGCUCGACUUGUCGCAAAGGGUUUUCGACAAAUUCAAGGAGUUGACUACGAAGAGACUUUCUCUCUCAUAGCGAAGCUGAAAUUAGUCCGAAUCAUGUUAGCAAUUGUCGCCUUUUAUGAUUAUGAAAUUUGGCAAAUGGACGUCAACACAGCGUUUCUUAACGGGAACCUCAAGGAAGAGUUGUAUAUGAUGCAACCAGAAGGUUUUGUCGACCCUAAGGGUUCUAACAAAGUGUGCAAGCUCCAGCGCUCCAUCUAUGGGCUGGUGCAAGCAUCUCGGAGUUGGAACAUUCGCUUUAAUGAGGUAAUUAAAGCGUUUGGGUUCAUACAGGUUUACGGAGAAGCCUGUGUGUACAAGAAAGUGAGUGGGAGCUCUGUAGCUUUCCUCAUACUGUAUGUGGAUGACAUAUUAUUGAUGGGGAAUAAUAUAGAGAUGUUGGAGAGCAUAAAGGCCUAUUUGAACAAAAGUUUUUCAAUGAAGGACCUUGGANNNNNNNNNNNNNNNNNNNNNNNNNNNNNNNNNNNNNNNNNNNNNNNNNNNNNNNNNNNNNNNNNNNNNNNNNNNNNNNNNNNNNNNNNNNNNNNNNNNNUGGAAAGUUGCGGUCCGUAGCGAGAUGGAUUCCAUCAUGGCUAAUGGGACAUGAGAAAUUACUGAUCGUCCCUAUGGUUGUAAACCACUGGGAUGCAAGUGUGUGUUCAAAAGGAAGCUUAGGCCCGAUGGUACAAUCAAAAAGUACAAGGCUAGGCUUGUGGCUAAGGGCUAUGCCCACAAAGAAGAAGAAGAUUUCUUUGACACUUAUUCACCUGUGUCCAGACUGACCACCAUUCGAGUACUACUCUCAUUGGCAGCCUCGCAUGGUCUUCUUGUUCAUCAAAUGGACGUUAAGACGGCUUUCCUGAACAGAGAGCUAGACGAGGGAAUCUAUAUGCAACAGCCAGAUGGCUUUGUGAUAGAUGGUCAGGAAGGAAAAGUGUGUAAGUUGUUGAAAUUUUUAUAUGGCCUGAAGCAAGCACCUAAGCAAUGGCAUGAUAAGUUUAAUACAACUCUGAAAUCUGUUGGAUUCGCUAUUAAUGAAGCUGAGAAGUGUGUAUACUAUUGCCAUGGUGGGAGCGAAGGAGUUAUACUGUGCGUGUAUGUUGAUGACAUGCUGAUAUUUGGAACCAAUCUCAAGGUGAUUGAGGAGGUUAAGUACUUUCUGUCUCAAAACUUUGAGAAGAAGGACCUUGGAGUAGGUGAUGUUAUCUUGAACAUGAAGCUCUUGAGAGAUGAUGAGGGUGGGAUUACACUUCUGCAACCCCACUAUGUUGAUAAGAUUUUGAGUCACUUUGGAUAUUCAGACUGCAAAAUUUCUCAAACACCAUAUGAUCCUAGUGUGCUGAUUCGAAUGUUCAAAGGCACAACUAUAGAUCAAUUGAGAUUCUCUCAAAUUAUCGGCUCACUUAUGUAUCUAGAUAGCGCAACGAGGCCUGACAUCGCAUUUGCUAUGAGCAAACUUAGCCAGUUUGUUGCAAACCCGUGCAAUGUUCAUUGUUGUGGUGUUGAAAGAAUUAUGCGCUACCUGAAAGGUACUGUCAACCACGGACUUCACUGUACGGGAUACCCAUCGGUACUUGAAGGGUAUAGUGAUGCGAAUUGGAUCUCUGAUGCUGAUGAGAUGAAGGCCACUACUGGGUAUAUGUUUACUCUUGGAGGUGGUGUUGUUUCCUGGAAGUCUUGCAAGCAAACGAUCUUAACGAGAUCGACAAUGGAAGCAGAAUUAACAACAUUAGACACAUCUGGUGUCGAAGCAGAAUUUCUUCGAGAUCUUUUGAUGGACUUACCUGUGGUUGAGAAGCNNNNNNNNNNNNNNNNNNNNNNNNNNNNNNNNNNNNNNNNNNNNNNNNNNNNNNNNNNNNNNNNNNNNNNNNNNNNNNNNNNNNNNNNNNNNNNNNNNNNCCGCUGGCUUCAACUGCCUGGAGGUAUAAGCAACCACUUUCUUCUCUUGCAUCAGAACUGCACCAAGACCUUGAAGAGAGGCGUCGCAGAACACCUGAUAAGGCUUGGAAUCAUCCGGAGGAACCAAUACUGGAGUAGAGGUGAGCUUCUCUUGGAGUGUGUCGAAGGCCAACUGACACUCUCGAGACCAAGCAUACUUCACACCCUUCUGAAGAAUACUUGAGAGUGGCUUAGCAAUCUUGGAGAAGUUCUCAACGAACCUUGUACAAUAGCUUGCGAGCCUGAGAAAGCUUCGAAGCUGCUUCAUAUUCUGCGGAGGCUCCCAUUCAAUAAUGGCAUGUACCUUCAACAGAUCAACUUUGAUGCCCUCGGCAGAGAUAAUGUGACAAAGAUAGACGACUUACUUCAACCAGAACUCACACUUGGAAAACAUGGCAUACAAUUUGUACUCCCUCAGCUUAUCAAGCACCAAUCUGAGAUGUUCUUCAUGUUCUUCCUCAGUUUCAGAAAAGACCAGAAUGUCGUCGAGAUAGAGCAAGACAAAGUCAUUCUUGAACGGAGAGUAUAUGUAGUUCAUCAAUCGACAAAAUGUCGGAGGAGCAUUUGCCAGACCAAAAGACAUGACAGUAUACUCAUAUGAGCCAAAACUAGUCCUGAAAGCAGUCUUCGGAAUAUCCUCUUCGCGAAUGCGAAUUUGAUGAUAGCCCAUUCUGAGAUCGAGCUUGGAGAAGAUCUUAGCCCCGUUCAAUUGUUCGAACAACUCAGCUAUGUUCGGAAGUGGAUACUUGUUCCUGAUUGUCUUCUUGUUCAAUGGACGGUAAUCGACACACAACCAGUCCGUGCCAUCCUUCUUCUUGACAAAUCUCCACAGCCCCACGGAGACGAGCUCGGUCUGAUCAGACCCAAACGCUCCUGCUCAUCGAGUUGCCUCUUAAGCUCCUUCAACUCUUCUGACCCAAUUUGUACGGCCGUUUGCACACAGGCUCAGUACCUAGUUCAAGCUCAAUGACAAAUUCAACUUCUCGGUGUGGAGGCAUGCUUGGCAGCUCUUCUGGAAACACAUCUUCAUAUUCGCAGACCACUGGGACUUGAGAAAUAGGAUUAAUCUCACCCUUUUCAUUCAAAGAGAACAGACGGAUUGUAUCAUCGCGCGCCGUGAAUAUAAUCACGUCCUCCGAAGAGUGAGUAAGCUUCACUUCCUUAGCUUCACAAUCAAUCGAUGCCUUGUUCAUGGCCAACUAGUCCAUACCAAGGAUCAAAUCAAUGUCGGAAUUGCCCAAGACAAUAGGAGACGCCAGAAAAGUGUUGGAAUUAUGCCCUAGAGGAGGGCUAGAUUAUUGACUCUAGUGCAAGUGGGAGACUGUUGGAAUUAUGCCCUAGAGGCAAUAAUAAAUAUAGUUAUUAUUAUAAUUCCUGUAUCAAGAUAAUCGUUUAUUAUCCAUGCUAUAAUUGUAUUGAAUGAAGACUCAUUUACAUGUGUGGAUACAUAGACAAAACACCGUCCCUAGCAANNNNNNNNNNNNNNNNNNNNNNNNNNNNNNNNNNNNNNNNNNNNNNNNNNNNNNNNNNNNNNNNNNNNNNNNNNNNNNNNNNNNNNNNNNNNNNNNNNNNUCAAGUGUGGAGCGUGUCCGCACUUGGAGUUGUUUUUAACUUAGGCGAUACGGAGUCGCAGCUAAGUCCCCGAGUGUGGUGCAUGUCCGCACUCGGAGUUGUUUUUUAACUUAGGCGAUACGGAGUCGCAGCUAAGUCCCCGAGUGUGGUGCAUGUCCGCACUCGGAGUUGUUUUUUAACUUAGGCGAUACGGAGUCGCAGCUAAGCCCCCGAGUGUGGAGCAUGUCCGCACUCGGAGUUGUUUUUAACUUAGGCGAUACGGAGUCGCAGCUAAGCCCCCGAGUGUGGAGCAUGUCCUCACUCGGAGUUGUUUUUAACUUAGGUGAUACAGAGUCGCAGCUAAGUCCCCGAGUGUGGAGCAUGUCUGCACUCGGAGUUGUUUUUAACUUAGGCGAUACAGAGUCGCAGCUAAGUCCCCGAGUGUGGAGCAUGUCCGCACUCAGAGUUGUUUUUAACUUAGACGAUACAGAGUCGAGUGUGGAGCAUGUCCGCACUCAGAGUUGUUUUAACUUAGGCGAUACAGAAUCACAGCUAAGCUGAGCGGUGGCGCGUGGGGCAGCCGAAUGAUGAAGACGUGCCACACGGAGUGGCGAUGCGCAUGGCAUCCGAGUGAGGUAGACGAUUCUGGCUGAGUGGCAACGCGCGGGGCGGCCAAGUGAUGUAUGUCGAGGAGGCGUCCGACCCACUGACGGCCCGCGGGGCGGCCGUGUCCACUACGUCAUUGAAGGGGCUUCCGAACACGUGAAAACGCUUGAAUGAUCGUUGCGGCGACUGAGCCUGAGCAGCGACGAGGAUGGCGCACGGAUGCGUCGAGUAACCUGUGUAUGAAAAAUAGCACAAGCCAGCAUAAAAAAUUAUCAAAGUAAUAUGAUCUUUUCUGAAAUAGUUCGUGUAAAUUACACCCAUAGACACCCGCUGGGUGUGCCACGAUGACUGCUGGUUCGGAACCAGCAAGAGUCUAAAAGAGUGAAGGAUCCGGCUGAACUCGUUUGAGUACUGGACCCAAACGAAGCGAAAGCGAAGUGUUCCCACAUAAAAAUAAACAACCGAGUGCAGAGGUACACUCAGUGGUGUGGCCUCCGAGUGAACGUCAUGUGCGACUUCCUCGACACUCGGUAAUGAUUAUUUAAUAGAAUGCAGUCUGUGAAAAAAUGAUUUAGCUGCCUAACGACGCGCGGGGCGGUCGAGCGAAGUAGACACGUCCGGCUGAGUGACGACGUGUUGGGCGGUCAAGCGAUGGAGACGCGUCUAGCUGAGUGGCGACACGCGGGGCGGCCGAGUGACGACGCGCAGAGCAACCAAGUGACGAAGGAGCCUCUAGCCGAGUGACGACACGCGAAGCUGCCAAGUGACGAAAGAGCGUCCAAUCGAGUGGCGGCACACGGAGCUGCUGAGUGACGAAAGAGCAUCCAAUCGAGUGGCGUCACGCGGAGCUGCCGAGUGACGAAGGAGUCUCCAGUCGAGUGAGGAUGGCUUGUCUUGCUGACUGGCGAUGCGCGAAGCUACCGAGUGCUGACGACGGAUCCGAAUGAGGGACGGCGCGCAUGGCGGCUGAGCGCUGACGACGCGUCCGACUGAGUGACGGCAUGCAGGGCGGCCGAGUGAUGACGAGACAUCCGACUAAGGGGCGGCGCGCGGGGCGACCGAGUGCUCACGACGCGUUCGACUGCGUGACGGCAUGCAGGGCGGCCGAGUGAUGACGACGCGUCCGACGGAGUGACGACGCGUGGGGCGGCUGAGUGCGGACGAUGCGUGUCCGACUGAGCGAUAGUGCGCAGAGCGGCCGAGUGAUGACGACGCGUCCGACCGAGCGACAACAUGUAGGACGACCGAGUCACUGCAUGUUGGUCAUUUGUAUGCAAAAUUCAUCUGAAAUAAUUUCUGUUUGUCAACGUGUUAGUAGCUCGAAUGGACAUUCCGUCUCAAUAAACUAUUGUUCGGAGACGAUGACGGACGAGUGGCCAUUAGUAGCAAACGUAGCUUGUCGAAACGGUCAGCCCAUCCUACAAAAUAUUAUGAGCGCCACGUCCUUCCAUUUUCUGUGCUUGAACGCAUUUACAUGCAUGCACCUAAUUCAGGAGGAGGUGUCCCACAUACCUUGCAUGGUUAGAGGAAAAAAUGGCCAUGUCCAGCAGCCAGCGACCGGGAAAGAAAACGUUGCCCGCGUGAAGGCGUGACCCUUCCUGGCUUUUGCGCUGACUCCUUCAAAAGCAUGUCCCACGUCCCUCAGUGAAACGGUUAGCCCACAUUUUUCCCCUUCCCAUUAAUCUGAAUGUUGGAGAUCACCACGUCUCUCUGGUUCUUUUUCCUACGCGCGUUACCUGCAUGCACGUAAUCAAGUAGUGGCUCCCACGUCUAGGGCAUUGAAGGAGUUGCCUCACGUCUUGAAUGAAUGCAUGGAAGAGGCGUUAGUGGAAACGGCNNNNNNNNNNNNNNNNNNNNNNNNNNNNNNNNNNNNNNNNNNNNNNNNNNNNNNNNNNNNNNNNNNNNNNNNNNNNNNNNNNNNNNNNNNNNNNNNNNNNUAGAACAAUGGCUCCAGAAAACCAAUAAACACCCAUUUUGUACAUUGGUAUUUGUCAUCAGAUUAAAAGAAAUGAAACAAUACUUUCUGGGACACUGGUAUGUAGUUCAAGAGUCAUUAUACAUAUCUAGAGAAUACGUUUAGGAAAUCGUUUAUUUUCAACCGGCUGAUAACAGAGACNNNNNNNNNNNNNNNNNNNNNNNNNNNNNNNNNNNNNNNNNNNNNNNNNNNNNNNNNNNNNNNNNNNNNNNNNNNNNNNNNNNNNNNNNNNNNNNNNNNNNNNNNNNNNNNNNNNNNNNNNNNNNNNNNNNNNNNNNNNNNNNNNNNNNNNNNNNNNNNNNNNNNNNNNNNNNNNNNNNNNNNNNNNNNNNNNNNNNNNNNNNNNNNNNNNNNNNNNNNNNNNNNNNNNNNNNNNNNNNNNNNNNNNNNNNNNNNNNNNNNNNNNNNNNNNNNNNNNNNNNNNNNCGCAGCGUCGGCAGGCGCCGCCAUGAUCUUCGUCGCAGCGUCUACCGUGCUCUUCGUCGCAUCAUAGGCCGGCACCACCGUGCUCUUCAUUGCAACGUCUGCGUCAUGUCACGCGAUGCAUAUGAGCCACCUCCAUCACCACCGCGCGCUGCAUCGCAGCAUCUACUGACGAAGCAGCAACAAGCCACCACCGACCGCUGACGCGGUGACGAACGGAGCAUGGCUACUUCUCAUCCCGGCAACCGGUCGUCGCCACCACACGACUGCAUCGCAGCAACCGUUGCCGCUGCCGUGGCCGCAUAGCAGCAACAACCAUCGCCAUCUCGUGCUGCAUAGCAUCAACCGUCGUCGACGUAGCAUGAACCGCCGUCGUCACCGUGCGCUGCGAUGGAGCACCGCCGCGUUGGUGCUGGCGUUGCAAUGAAGCAUCGCGGGCUUCCGUCGGUGUUGGGUGAAACUCUGACGGGCCGCCGGUGCUGCAAUGGAGCUCCGCCGCGGUGGUGCUGUCAUUGGAAUGAAGCAUGCUAGCUUUUCGUCGAUUCCGUGAUGGAGCUGCGAUGGGCUGUCAUGGAGCACCUCCGCGACGGAGGAAUCGAUGUGCUCCUGUAGCUGCAACCCGGAUGCAGGGCGCCGGUCCAGCACUCGUCGGCGCCUAGACUGCUGCAAGAGGAGACGGGGUUGUGGUGCGUGCUGUGAAUGACAAGCUCCAUUAACGAGGGGAAAGGGGGUGCGUCUGCUUCUACUAGUCAGGCGACGCUGCUCCCAUGGCAACGUCCGCCAUUGCUUUCGCUGCGGGCUAAAGGAGAUGAGAAUGAGAUAAGAAUGACGCGUUGACGAAAUCUAACGGCUGUGAGGGGAUGGAUCGGACGGACGGCUAGAAAUCAGUCGGAUGAUUUGUAGCAGCCGCGUUUAACUCAGCCUAAUAGUACCUUUCCUCUUUGAAGACACGAUACUGAUGUCAAACUCUUACNNNNNNNNNNNNNNNNNNNNNNNNNNNNNNNNNNNNNNNNNNNNNNNNNNNNNNNNNNNNNNNNNNNNNNNNNNNNNNNNNNNNNNNNNNNNNNNNNNNNCGCACCAGCCCACCUAGGGGCUGGUUCCCUCCCCCACUUGGCCCACCUUACCUCCCGGGGUCGUUGCCCCCCUUCAGUGGACCCCCGGGGCCACCUCCGGUGGUCCCGGUGGUCCCGGUACGUUACCAGUGAUGCCCGAAACACUUCCGGUGUCCGAAACCAUCCGUCCUAUAUAUCAAUCUUUACCUCCGGACCAUUCUGGAGAUCCUCGUGACGUCCGGGAUCUCAUCCGGGACUCCGAACAACUUUCGGUAACCUCAUAUAACAAUUCCCUAUAACCCUAGCGUCACCGAACCUUAAGUGUGUAGACCCUACGGGUUCGGGAGACAGGCAGGCAUGACCGAGACACCCCUCUGGCCAAUAACCAUCAGCGGGGUCUGGAUACCCAUGGUGGCUCCCACUUGCUCCACGAUGAUCUCAUCAUAUGAACCACGAUGUCAAGGAUUCAAUCAAUCCCGUAUACAAUUCCCUUUGUCUGUCGGUAUAGAACUUGCCCGAGAUUCGAUCGUCGGUAUACCAAUACCUUGUUCAAUCUCGUUACCGGUAAGUCUCUUUACUCGUUCCGUAGCACGUCAUCAUGUGACUAACUCCUUAGUCACAUUGAGCUCAUGAUGAUGUUCUACCGAGUGGGCCCAGAGAUACCUCUCCGUCACACGAAGUGACAAAUCCUGAUCUCGAUUCGUACCAACCCAACACACACUUUCGGAGGUACCCGUAGUGCACCUUUAUAGUCACCCAGAUACACCCAAAGCACUCCUACGGUAUCCGGGAGUUGCACAAUCUCACGGUCGAAGGAAAAGAUACUUGACAUUAGAAAAGCUUUAGCACACGAACAAUACGAUCUAGUGCUAUGCUUAGGAUUGGGUCUCGUCCAUCACAUCAUUCUCCCAAUGAUGUGAUCCCGUUAUCAAUGACAUCUAAUGCCCAUGAUCAGGAAACCAUGAUCAUCUGUUGACUAACGAGCUAGCCAACUAGAGGCUUGCUAGGGACACUUUGUGAUCUAUUUAUUCACACAUGUAUUACUGUUUCCUGUUAAUACAAUUAUAGCAUGAACAAUAGACGAUUAUCAUGAACAAGGAAAUAUGAUAAUAACCAUUUUAUUAUUGCCUCUAGGGCAUAUUUCCAACAGUCUCCCACUUGCACNNNNNNNNNNNNNNNNNNNNNNNNNNNNNNNNNNNNNNNNNNNNNNNNNNNNNNNNNNNNNNNNNNNNNNNNNNNNNNNNNNNNNNNNNNNNNNNNNNNNAUGGACAUUUUAAAAACAGGGAAGAAGCAAAGAAUAUAUGGGCUUGAGAUAAAAGAGAGAGAUGGUUUUGAAACCCCAGUGCAAACCAACUUAGAAACUUACUACUACAAGCAACACCCAAGAAACACCCACUUCAUUUCACACUUCCAACAUCACACCACCACAUCACAUGGAUCACACCAUCACAUAAGAUCACAAGGAAACAACACAAGGACAUGAAAUGAUAGUGAUGCAUGCAUGCAAAGGAAGAACAAUACAAGGUGACACACAUGAAAUCAUAUGCAUUGAGCUCUCAAAUCAAUGNNNNNNNNNNNNNNNNNNNNNNNNNNNNNNNNNNNNNNNNNNNNNNNNNNNNNNNNNNNNNNNNNNNNNNNNNNNNNNNNNNNNNNNNNNNNNNNNNNNNNNNNNNNNNNNNUAUUACAUCUAACCAGCAGAGUACUCCUAACAAUCCCGUCCGUUUCUGGACCUGGGGCACGGCCCAGCACCACAUUACUAUCGUCGAUACAUCUCCAUAGCUCCGUGACCUGGAUAAAACAUAUGUGACACACCACCUACGAAGAAAAUACACAUGUUCGUCUUUCAAAAGAGCUCAGUCGCCUCGAGAACCGCAACUGGAUGCUCACCAUAAGAUAGGUCAGGUUGAAGGUCGAUGUCUUGAAGAUGAACAGUGCGCUCGGGGGUCUUGAAGCACCUGCGGAGCUGAGAGAUAUGGAACACAUCAUGCACAUUUGCAAAGUUUGAUGGGAGCUCAAGCUGGUACGCAAGGUCGCCUCUCUUGCCAACCACUCUAAACGGACCAACGAAACGAGGCACAAGCUUGCCUUUGAUGACAAAGCGCUGCGUACCCUUGAUACAUCCAUUUUGCAUCAUGUUUUCAUGUUGAUAUUUAUCCCUUCUUGGGCUGUUAUUUCACUUCACGGUACAGUUCUUAUGCCUUUUCUCUCUUAUUUCGCAAGGUUUACAUGAAGAGGGAGAAUACCGGCAACUGGAAUUCUGGCCUGAAAGUGGAGCAAGUUUGAGGUACCUAUUCUGCACAACUCCAAGCGCUGUAAAAAUCAACGAGGAUUUUUUUCCCGAUUUAUCAAAAAUACUAGGCCGAAUAAAUGCCAGANNNNNNNNNNNNNNNNNNNNNNNNNNNNNNNNNNNNNNNNNNNNNNNNNNNNNNNNNNNNNNNNNNNNNNNNNNNNNNNNNNNNNNNNNNNNNNNNNNNNGUUAUUUGCAAUAUGUUGCAAAUCAAUAAUUUUCCGAACUUGGAGUUCAGUUUCUUGCGUACGUGGAUCAGAGGAGGAAAUGUCUUGGGCAUUCCAAUUGAUUUCCGGGCAUUCUUUUUGGUACUUGAUGUCUCCCCCUAAUGCUGGGAAAUGUUCCUCAUUAAAGAUGCAGUCAGCGUGACGAGCUGUGAAUAGAUUCCCCGUGAGGGGUUCAAGGUACUUGAUUAUCGACGGUGAUUUGUACCCCACAUAGACCCCAAUUUUCUGUGUGGACCCAUGGAUGUACGCUGCCGUGGUGAGAUUGGGACAUAUGCGGCGCAUCCGAAUUUACGCAGAUGAGAAAUAUUUGAUUGAUUUCCAUGUACUAAUUGCAGAGGGGAAGUGCUGUGAUAUGCAGUUGGUCGUAAUUGGAUUAAGUCAGCAGCGUGUAAAACUGCGUAACCCCAACAAGAAGUUGAUAAAUUGCAAUUCAUUAGUAAGGGUCGUGCAAUGAGCUUAAUUCUCUUAAUUAAAGAUUCGACCAAUCCAUUUUAAGUGUGGACAUAUGAGACUGAGUGUUGAACUUCAAUGCCUAAUGCCAUGCAAUAAACAUUAAAUGCAUGGGAGGAGAAGAAAUUUAAACUGAGGCGAGAGGCACAUAACAGGUGAGCAUUAUUUGUAUAUNNNNNNNNNNNNNNNNNNNNNNNNNNNNNNNNNNNNNNNNNNNNNNNNNNNNNNNNNNNNNNNCCUCAAACACACCCUUGCACCGAUAAGUGAUGAAUAAAUCCAUACAUUGAACCCAGCUAGUCAAUGUGCCUAUCGACAGAACACAGGCACAUUAUACACUGUCCAGUGGCCGCAGGCUUGAUGCAUGCGAAUGGCACGAAGCAGUUUGCAGUAUCUCCACCAAAAGACCGAACCAUAUACACUCUGUGCUAGUAGAUCACAUACGUACAUUAUAUACACAUGUUUGACUCAAUCGUGCGUGCAUGCAUGCAUAGUCCUCGCUCUACCUAAUUAACCGAUGAGCUAAUUAAUUGAUGAAGUUGAGCGGCUGAGAUCACANNNNNNNNNNNNNNNNNNNNNNNNNNNNNNNNNNNNNNNNNNNNNNNNNNNNNNNNNNNNNNNNNNNNNNNNNNNNNNNNNNNNNCUCCGUGUUGGUGUCGUCGGUUGGCCAGAUGACCGUCUCCAUGAGCCUCUCCCGCAUCAGCUCCAGGUUCUCCUCCGAGAUCUUCUCGUACAUCUUCGCGUGGUCGCACUUCUGCUCGUUAAUUAACAAGGACAAGACCGAAUCAGAUGCUAACAACAUAUAACUAAAAUACUUAUAAGUAGGCUGCUCAAUUUCUCCCAGUUGGAUGCCAGAUUAGUGGUGAAAAUUAGUGGCAUGUUGUUGAUUUGCUNNNNNNNNNNNNNNNNNNNNNNNNNNNNNNNNNNNNNNNNNNNNNNNNNNNNNNNNNNNNNNNNNNNNNNNNNNNNNNNNNNNNNNNNNNNNNNNNNNNNUUUCUCCUCUUCCAUGCUCUAGUGAGGUUCCCGACUUAGGAAAUCUUAAUUCUACUCCUCUUCUCGCUCAAUUUUUUUAGGAUCACGCGGGUAUUUUUGAAAUCUAUAUGAUUUCGAUGUGACGGAGUUCUGUCUUGGUGCCUCCUGUCUGCCUUGAUUUCUUCCGGCGAGUUGAGCUCCAGGGGAUUCUUGUGCACAUCGCCAUCAUUCAGGUUUCGGAGUAUCUAAGAACGAAGGAUGUUCGUAAUUGCUUCAAUACUAGUAGUGGCGAGAUAACCCCGAUGUCCCCAGUACUGGUGCAGAUUGUUCGGGAGUACUGCCAUACUUGGUAUCGUUGUGAUCACGAGGGCCUGUUGUAGAUGAAGGUCCGAGAUUCUGGUUAUGUGUUGACGGAUGUGAUACAGGUGACGGGUUAGUAUAGGAGUUGUGUGAAUAUUACUCCUUGUAUCCGUGUACCAGAUUGCAUGACCAGUUAUUUCGGGAAUUCAUAGGUGGGAUAUCAAGUAGUAACUUAUAGGACAAUCUUCCUACAGAUGCAUGAUGUGAGCUUGNNNNNNNNNNNNNNNNNNNNNNNNNNNNNNNNNNNNNNNNNNNNNNNNNNNNNNNNNNNNNNNNNNNNNNNNNNNNNNNNNNNNNNNNNNNNNNNNNNNNNNNNNNNNNNNNNNNNNNNNNNNNNUGUAGCUCGCUACGACUCGGGGAUACUUCGUAAGUCGUGUGCACUACCUUGCACAGGAUGGCUACUUUAAAUUCAAGCCCGUGCGAUCUUAUCCACGAAGAUAUCAGAUCAAAUCUCGAUCAUUUGUUUGUUCCGAGCAGUUCUAGCUCAUACUUGUUUGCAAGUGGUCUUAAUCAGAAUUUUGUCGACCGUCACUUUGAGGAAGCAUUCUUACUAUUUUGUUCGACUGUGAUUGCUAUAUUCCUGUUCAGAUAUUCCUGUCAUUUUGAUUCAACUAUAUCUUCAAUUUAUUCUGUGGGCUAAUGUGUUGUCCGUCUUCAGGAUGGCUCCACCAACUCGUCAGAAUCCAGGCCGUGAGGAUNNNNNNNNNNNNNNNNNNNNNNNNNNNNNNNNNNNNNNNNNNNNNNNNNNNNNNNNNCCACCACCUCCUCCUCCGAAGAAUCCUCCUCCGCCGCCGCCUCCUCCUGCACAGGCUGGGCAAGCGGUGAUGGCUGCUACAAAUGCAAACACUCAGAUGCUGCUACAGUUGUUGCAAGAGAGGGGUAAUCAGCAGCAAGGCAAUUUCGAGCAUGGUGGCAAUCAGUUUGCUAAUCUGAGUCAGUUCCUGUCGAAUCAGUCGAAGACUUUGACUUCCUGUGACCAGCCGUUUGAUGCUGAGGAUUGGAUCCGCGACACGAACAAGCACUUUGAAUGCAACAAUGUUCGUCCUGAGGAUUUCGUCAAGUUUGCUACAUUCCAGCUGAAGGGGCAAGCANNNNNNNNNNNNNNNNNNNNNNNNNNNNNNNNNNNNNNNNNNNNNNNNNNNNNNNNNNNNNNNNNNNNNNNNNNNNNNNNNNNNNNNNNNNNNNNNNNNNUUCUGGGUAGCCGGUGUCACUCCCACGGAAACGAUCUCUUCUGAACAGGAGAAGAUGUUCGCGGAGGCCACCGUCUUAUUCCUUGGAGCAGUUAUAAGUGUGAUCGGAGAUAAGCGGGUUGAUGCAUAUUUACAUAUGCAUGUUGCCAAANNNNNNNNNNNNNNNNNNNNNNNNNNNNNNNNNNNNNNNNNNNNNNNNNNNNNNNNNNNNNNNNNNNNNNNNNNNNAAUCUAAAUUGGGAGCCGCCGAUGCUGGGAGCGAGAUGUAUGUUAUGGAGCAGUUCCACGAUUACAAAAUGGUUGACAACCGUUCUGUAUUGGAACAUGCUCAUGAGAUAAUAUGCAUAGCUAAAGAGCUUGAGGUUCUUAAGUGCAAUUUGCCGAGCAAGUUUGUCGCGGGCUGUAUAAUUGCUAAGCUCCCUAAUUCCUGGAGGAACUUUGCUACUACUCUGAAAUAUCAGAGCCGUAAGUUCUCAGUAGAGGACAUCAUCGGCUAUCUGACUGUUGAGCAGAAUUCGAGAGAAAAGGACUCCAAUGGAAAAGCGGUUGGAAGCUCUUUCGUUGCCAAUAUGGUACAUCAGAGGAACUNNNNNNNNNNNNNNNNNNNNNNNNNNNNNNNNNNNNNNNNNNNNNNNNNNNNNNNNNNNNNNNNNNNNNNNNNNNNNNNNNNNNNNNNNNNNNNNNNNNNNNNNNNNNNNNNNNNNNNNNNNNNNNNNNNNNNNNNNNNNNNNNNNNNNNNNNNNNNNNNNNNNNNNNNNNNNNNNNNNNNNNNNNNNNNNNNNNNNNNNNNNNNNAAGUACAAGAAGCCGACGCAGGACUCCAAGUCUGCCAAUAUGAUUGUGGGCAACAAUGAAAGUGGUGCACCUGGGUACGGUAAUUUAUUUACUGUAUUUUCAGUUUGUCAGUCCAUCAAUUGGUGGGUGGACACAGGUGCAAAUAUUCAUGUGUGUGCUGACAUCUCAUUGUUCUCUUCUUAUCAGGCCACAGGUCGCGGGUCCAUAUUGAUGGGGAAUGACGCGAGUGAUUCUGUUCUUGGUGUUGGCACGGUCGAUCUGAAGUUUACUUCGGGAAGGAUCAUGCAGUUGAAGAACGUGCAGCAUGUCCCCGCCAUCAAGAAGAAUCUUGUUAGUGGCUCCCUUCUGUGUAGAGAAGGAUUUAAGUUGGUCUUCGAGUCUAAUAAAAUAGUUGUUACGAAAUAUGGACUUUUUGUUGGAAAAGUUUAUGAAAUAGUUGUUACGAAAUAUGGACUUUUUGUUGGAAAAGGUUAUGAAUGCGGAGGUCUGUUCCGCCUUUCCCUUGCAGAUUUUUGUAAUGUAGUCGUGAACAAUAUUCAUUCGAGUGUUAAUGAAUCUGAAGUUUGGCAUUCACGUCUUUGUCACAUAAGUUUUGGUGUUAUAUCGCGGCUAGCAAAACUGCUUUUAAUCACGAGUUUCACUUUAGCCAAAGGUUCUAAGUGCCAUUCAUGUGUACAAGCAAAGCAACCUCGCAAGCCUCACAAGGCUGCAGAGGAGAGACACUUGUCGUCAUUAGAACUCAUANNNNNNNNNNNNNNNNNNNNNNNNNNNNNNNNNNNNNNNNNNNNNNNNNNNNNNNNNNNNNNNNNNNNNNNNNNNNNNNNNNNNNNNNNNNNNNNNNNNNGGUAUUUACCAUGUGCAAUCUCGCCCCAACUCAUACAUAGUUGACAUCAUUGGUAGAAGCUGUGAUUGCAAGAGCUGGGGAUUAAGUGGGAUCCCUUGUCCACAUGCUAUAGCAGUUUGUAGGACUGAGAGGAUUGACCCUGAAGAGUUGGUGCACAAAUGUUACACCAUUGACACCUAUUUGAAAGCCUAUGGUCACGAAAUCAUGCCUCUUAGAGAUAGGGCCCACUGGGAGAAGCUCAAUGGUAUUGACAUCCACCCCCCCGUGUUUACUAAGGGAAUGGGAAGACCAGCCACAAAAAGGAGGAAAACUCCAGAAGAGAAGAAGAAGAAAGAUGGCACAAUUUAUCUCAGUAAGAAUGGGGCGACUAUGCACUGCUCAGUUUGUGGAAAAGGUGACCACAACAAAAGGGGUCAUGGUAAAUACAUUGAAAGGCAAAUGCAGGAGCCAGAAGUUGAAGUGGAUGAUGAGUUUGCAUGUCCAGAAAUUCUUCAGGUUAAUGCACUUAAUUCCUUUUUUAAUGCACUUAAUUCCUUUUUUGGACUGACCUAAUUAUCACGUGCAGGAUAUACUGACCCAGAACAACAACCAUAGGCUGGAUCCAAUCAAUGAUAGGAGCAGCAUGGUGUACACAAUGGGACAAGAGGUAUUAACACUGUAUUUUACAUAGUUUACCUGUAUUUUACACUGAAUCUUAUACUGAAUGUUGGGGUAUAUAAUCUAGGAGAGGGCUCAUGUGACAAGGAUGGUGCCACCUGGACCUCUACCAGAGGAAUCAACUUUUGUAGUUGAUGCCAGGGAUUUGAUCCCCCAAAGAAGAACAAACACAACUGCAACUAUUCGAGGAAGAACUACAAUGGCAAGUAGAGGCAAAAGAAGAGCAGCACCAGAAGUGGAACCUAAUGCAGGUGAGCCGGGAACAAGUGCAAUGAAACUUUACAAGAAUUAGAAACAAUAGUUAGUCCAUUUGNNNNNNNNNNNNNNNNNNNNNNNNNNNNNNNNNNNNNNNNNNNNNNNNNNCAUUUGCUGAAUUUACUAAAAUUUACAAAUGCAGAUGAGCCAGGAACAAGUGCCAAUGCAGGAAGAGCAAAGAAAAAAAAAGAGGAGGUGGAAGAGCAAGAGCAAGAGGAGCUGCAGGUGGAAUGACUGGAGCAAGAGGAGCUGUUGUUGCAAGACCAAGAGCUGGAGCAGAAGCUGAAACUGGAACUGGAGCUGGAUCAGCUGCUGUAACUCGAGCUGGAGCAGGUGCUGGAACUCGAGCUGGAGCUGGAGCAGGUGCUGGAACUGGAGUUGGAGCAGCAGCUGGAAGAGGAGCUGAAGGAGGAAGAAGAGUGGAAGAUUAUCCUCUAUGGCAGCUAAUGUUUGGACAUGAUGGAGCAAUCCCAAACUUGAAUGAAGAGAUUCCACUGACCCAGAAUGCCCCUAGGACUCGAGAUAAUUAGGUCAUCACUGAUAUGUUCAAUUAGUUCAUCACCGAACUGCAAAAAUGUCCCAGUUCAUACAUGAACUAGAAGCUUGCAGGAAGAAUUAGAAUUUUGUACUGCAAAACACUGUUAGUGUGCACCGAAAGAUCUAGAAAACUUUGACCUAUUUUGGGCUAUUUAUGUGUUCUAUGUGCUUCAGUUUUUUGUGCUUCAUUUUAGAAAGAGCAUUGGUGAAUCACUUCAGUUGAAUGGUUNNNNNNNNNNNNNNNNNNNNNNNNNNNNNNNNNNNNNNNNGAAUCACUUCAGUUGAAUGGUUAGUACAGGUGGCAGCUUAGUAACCAAUUGUGUUUGAAAACCACGUGUGCUCUUCCACUUGUUGUGCUCAUGUUUAGUAAUCAUCAUGUUUCUGCUCCAUUUGGUUUUCUUCCACUUGUUGUGCUCUAUGAUCAUCCAGCUUAGUAACAAAUUAAGUGUUGUCUACUCUGGUCAGUUACCUGUGCUGUGUUUAUCAGUUACCUGUGUUGUGUUUAUCAGUUAUAUUAAGUGUAUGCUGAACUUGCAGUAACUUCUCCUUCUUCUUACUCUGAAACUAGGUGCUGAAACUAGGUGCAGCUUCCUGAACACCUUCAUGACUUUCAGGUUUUUUAUUGAUAGUGCUGCAAGAGGCUUCCGGGGGGUUAUCAGCAAAAAUGCCCUUCACACAUCAGGAUGAUCCAGGUAUGCGUGGCAGCCCAUGUGGCAAAUNNNNNNNNNNNNNNNNNNNNNNNNNNNNNNNNNNNNNNNNNNNNNNNNNNNNNNNNNNNNNNNNNNNNNNNNNNNNNNNNNNNNNNNNNNNNNNNNNNNNNNNNNNNNNNNNNNNNNNNNNNNNNNNNNNNNNNNNNNNNNNNNNNNNNNNNNNNNNNNNNNNNNNNNNNNNNNNGUAAUUAACUCGUUACGUAGGUGUAGUAUUAUCGUUCAGUACGUACAGGUGUUGCUGUCGUUGUUUUCUUCCUGAAACGAGUUGGAAAGAAAGAUAGCAGUAAUAAAAUGUGCAAAUCCCCGCGCUUUCGAGCUAUAUUCGGAUUCAAACUCGACAGAUAUACUCCUGGUUGCCCCUGCCCCGUCUCUUCUUUCUUGCACGCCCCAUCNNNNNNNNNNNNNNNNNNNNNNNNNNNNNNNNNNNNNNNNNNNNNNNNNNNNNNNNNNNNNNNNNNNAUCCAUCUCAAUCUCAUCGGCAUUCUCAUCCUCCCUCCCGUCACCGGAUCGUUGCUCUCGCGACUCCGCCGCCGCGACCAUGGCCGGCACCACGGAGUUUCCGCCGUCUCUGCUCCCGUGCCGUAGCGCCGCCGACAACGACGAUGACCUGCACUCCUGCUUCUCCCGCGUGUGCCUAAACCCUACCCUGAUGGCGAACCCCGCGGCUGCCAAGAGGCCAAAGCGUCCAGGAUCAGAGCGCGACGUGCAGCCGCCGGCGCCGAAGCGCGUACGCGGUGUCAGCUCCGGGGGCGAGCUCCAUGUCGCGGUGGCAACCAACAUCAAGAACAGCAGCGAGCUUCUGUGUCCCAGCAGCGGCAAAGAUCAGAACCAGCUCGCGAUCAAGAACCAGGUCGUCGAAUCUCCGGAGAGCGCGACGCAAACGAAGCCGCAGCUCAGCAUGCGCGAACUGAUCGCCAAAGCUCGCCUCAGGGGCCUUGUCACGGAGGCCCGGCGUAAAUUGGAGCAGAUGACGGACACCGUGCAGUUCAACGACCCCUGGAUCCAUUACUCCGACGUGACCAAGUCCCCUGAGGAGCUGCUCCAAGCAAGACAGGAAGCAUGGUUUUAUCAAGCUUGGCUCAUCGAGAUGGCUCGUCAACGGGACUAUGCUGAAGCGAUGCAAAUCCAUGGAUGAUCGAAGCAGAGGAAGAAAUCAUCAGCGCUGCAGCCUUGUUGAUCUUGGUGCUAGUCUUGCUCAGCUGAGCAAAGCAGAGGAAGCAGAGUCUGCAGACUGCAGUAGUAGUCUUGGUUGCAAGUGUGUAGGAGUAUUUCACUAGCANNNNNNNNNNNNNNNNNNNNNNNNNNNNNNNNNNNNNNNNNNNNNNNNNNNNNNNNNNNNNNNNNNNNNNNNNNNNNNNNNNNNNNNNNNNNNNNNNNNNCAAGAAAGGCUAAAUUGGCUAAUUAUCCUACGAAAUGACAUCAUUAGCUUAGUUAGCUCCAAAAUGUCCUAUUUAAUAAAAAAUGACCUAUACUUAGCUAAUUAUCCUCGAAAUGACAUAAUUAGCUCCAAAAAGGCAUUCUUAGCCAAUUUAGCCCGAAGAAGGGGACAAGAAGAGAAAAAGAGGAAAAAUGAAAGGAAGGAAGAGGAAAAAUGAGGAGAAGAAGAAGGAGGAGAGGGAGGAGGAGAAGAAGAAGGAGAAGAAGGAGAAGAAGGAGGAGAAGGAGAAGGAGCUCCUCCUUCUCCUUCUUCUUCCUCCUUCUUCCUCCUUCUCCUUCUCCUUCUUCUUCUCCUUCUCCUUCUUCUUUUCUUCUUCUUCUCCUCUUCCUUCUUCUCCUCCUCCUCAUCCUCCUCCUUAUUUUACUUCUUCUUCUCUAUCUCUACUUCUACGUAGCUUAGACUCAUCCAAGAAAGGCUAAAUUGGCUAAUUAUCCUACGAAAUGACAUAAUUAGCUUAGUUAGCUCCAAAAUGGCCUGUUUAAUAAAAAAUGACCUAUACUUAGCUAAUUAUCCUCGAAAUGACAUAAUUAGCUCCAAAAAGGCAUUCUUAGCCAAUUUAGCCCGAAGAAGGGGACAAGAAGAGAAAAAGAGGAAAAAUGAAAGGAAGGAAGAGGAAAAAUGAGGAGAAGAAGAAGGAGGAGAGGGAGGAGGAGAAGAAGAAGGAGNNNNNNNNNNNNNNNNNNNNNNNNNNNNNNNNNNNNNNNNNNNNNNNNNNNNNAAGGAGAAGAAGGAGGAGAAGGAGAAGGAGCUCCUCCUUCUCCUUCUUCUUCCUCCUUCUUCCUCCUUCUCCUUCUCCUUCUUCUUGUCCUUCUCCUUCUUCUUUUCUUCUUCUUCUCCUCUUCCUUCUUAUCCUCCUCCUCCACCUCCUCCUUCUCCUCUUUAUUUUACUUCUUCUUCUCUAUCUCUUCUUCCACGUAGCUUAGACUCAUCCAAGAAAGGCUAAAUUGGCUAAUUAUCCUNNNNNNNNNNNNNNNNNNNNNNNNNNNNNNNNNNNNNNNNNNNNNNNNNNNNNNNNNNNNNNNNNNNNNNNNNNNNNNNNNNNNNNNNNNNNNNNNNNNNUAUCUCUGCCGAGGGCAUCAAAGUUGAUCUGUUGAAGGUACAUGCCAUUAUUGAAUGGGAGCCUCCGCAGAAUAUGAAGCAGCUUCGAAGCUUUCUCAGGCUCGCAAGCUAUUGUACAAGGUUCGUUGAGAACUUCUCCAAGAUUGCUAAGCCACUCUCAAGUAUUCUUCAGAAGGGUGUGAAGUAUGCUUGGUCUCGAGAGUGUCAGUUGGCCUUCGACACACUCAAAGAGAAGCUCACCUCUNNNNNNNNNNNNNNNNNNNNNNNNNNNNNNNNNNNNNNNNNNNNNNNNNNNNNNNNNNNNNNNNNNNNNNNNNNNNNNNNNNNNNNNNNNNNNNNNNNNNNNNNNNNNNAGACGCCUCUCUUCAAGGUCUUGGUGCAGUUCUGAUGCAAGAGAAGAAAGUGGUUGCUUAUACCUCCAGGCAGUUGAAGCCAGCGGAGAAGAAUUAUCCUCUGCAUGAUCUUGAGCUAGCAGCUGUGGUACACGCUCUGAUGACUUGGAGACACCUCUUGUUGGAACGAAAGGUUGAAUUGUUCACCGAUCACAAGAGUCUCAAGUACAUCUUCACUCAGCCUAACCUAAAUCACCGGCAAACUCGUUGGGUGGAAAUGCUCCAAGUUUUUAAUCCGAGUGUUGAGUACACGCCAGGCAAAGCUAAUGUCGUGGCAGAUGCUUUGAGCAGGAAGGCUUACAACAAUAGUCUCAUUCUGAAACCUCUCCAGCCUGACCUUUGUGAGUCUUUCAGGAAGCUCAACCUUCAGUUAGCACCUCAGGGAUUUCUUGCAAACCUUCAGGUCUCUCCUACCUUGGAAGAUCAGGUCCGAGCAGCACAACUUCUUGAUGCAAUGGUGAAGAAAGUCAAGAUUGGCGUGGCAAAGGGUCUUCCCAAAUAUAAGUGCUUCAGUGUUGAUGCCAGAGACACGUUGUUCUUUGAGGAUCGUCUUGUCGUUCCGAAAGGUGAUCUUAGAAAGAUAAUCAUGGAAGAAGCUCAUAACUCUGUGCUCUCUAUUCAUCCUGGAAGCUCCAAGAUGUAUCAGGACUUGAAACAGACCUUCUGGUGGACUCGCAUGAAGCGUGAGAUUGCUCAGUUCAUAAAUGAAUGCGAUGUAUGUCGAAGGGUGAAAGCAGAGCAUCAACGUCCAGCAGGUCUUUUGCAUCCUUUGCCCAUUCCCGAGUGGAAGUUCGAUCAUAUUGAGAUGGAUUUCGUCACCGGGUUUCCGAAGUGCAAGAAGGGUAAUGAUGCCAUCUUCGUCGUCAUCGACAAGUUGAGUAAAGUGGCUCAUUUUCUUCCAGUCAAGGAAUCUAUUUCGGCAGCUCAACUUGCAGAGUUGUACACUUCCAGGAUAGUGUCUUUGCACAGCGUGCCUAUGAUGAUUUCUUCGGAUCGCGGAAGUAUCUUCACUUCCAAGUUCUAGGAUUCUUUUCGGUCUGUGAUGGGCACGAAGAUACGCUUCAACACAGCUUUUCAUCCUCAGACUAGUGGUCAAGUGGAGCGAGUCAAUCAAGUUCUUGAGGAUAUGCUGAGAGCCUGUGUUAUCUCUUUUGGCAUGAAGUGGGAGGAUUGCCUGCCUUUUGCCGAGUUCUCGUGUAACAACGGUUAUCAAGCUAGUUCAGACAAAGCCCCGUUUGAGAUUCUCUAUGGCAGGAAGUGUCGUACCCCGCUCAACUGGUCCGAGACCGGCGAGCGUGAGAUUCUUGGGAAUGACUUGAUAGAAGAAGCUGAAGAGAUGUAUCGGGUCAUUCGUGAUAACCUCAGAGCAGCUCAGCCCCGUCAGAAGAGCUAUUAUGAUAGCAAGCAUCGUGACAUGUCUUAUGAGCUUGAUGACUUCGUCUAUGUCAAGGUGUCGCCUAUGAAGGGUUGAUGACCCACGAGUAUAGGGGAUCAAUCGUAGUCCUUUCGAUAAGUAAGAGUGUCAAACCCAACGAGGAGCAGAAGGAUCUGACAAGUGGUUUUCAGCAAGGUAAAAUCUGCAGGCACUCAAAUUGUCGGUAACAAGUGAUUGUGUGGUGAGAUGAUUCGUAGCAAGAAAUAAGUAACAAAAGUAGCAAUGGUGCAGCAAGGUGGCUACAUCCCUUUUGUAGCAAGGGACAAGCCUGGACAAAGUCUUAUAGGAGGAAAAAUGCUCCCGAGGACACACGGGAAUUUCUGUCAUGCUAGUUCUCAUCAUAUUCAUAUGAUUCAUGUUCGUUACUUUGAUAGUUUGAUAUGUGGGUGGACCGGCGCUUGGUUACCGCCCUUACUUGGACAGGCAUCCCACUUAUGAUUAACCCCUCUUGCAAGCAUCCGCAACUACGAAAGAAGAAUUAAGACAGAGUCUAACCAUAGCAUUAAACUAGUGGAUCCAAAUCAGCCCCUUACGAAGCAACGCAUAAACUAAGGUUUAAGCUUCUGUCACUCUAGCAACCCAUCAUCUACUUACUACUUCCCAAUGCCUUCCUCUAGGCCCAAAUAAUGGUGAGGUGUUAUGUAGUCGACGUUCACAUAACACCACUAGAGGGAAAACAACAUACAACAUAUCAAAUUACCGAACGAAUACCAAAUUCACAUGACUACUAUUAGCAUGACUUAUCCCUUGUCCUCAGGAACAAAAGUAACAACUCACGANNNNNNNNNNNNNNNNNNNNNNNNNNNNNNNNNNNNNNNNNNNNNNNNNNNNNNNNNNNNNNNNNNNNNNNNNNNNNNNNNNNNNNNNNNNNNNNNNNNNCCCACUUGCACUAGAGUCAAUAAUCUAGUUCACAUCACCAUGUGAUUCCAACGAAUCCAAUACCCAUAUAGUUAUGGGGUCUGAUCACGUCUUGCUCGUGAGAGAGGUUUUAGUCAACGGUUCUGAAACUUUCAGAUCCGUGCGUUCUUUACAAAUCUUUAUGUCAUCUUUAUAGAUGCUGCUACUACGUGCUAUUCGGAAAUGCUCCAAAUAUCCACUCUACUAUAUGAAUCCGUUUCACUACUCAUAGUUAUUCAGAUUAGUGUCAAAGCUUGCAUCGACGUUACCCUUUACGACGAACUCUUUAACCACCUCCAUAAUCGAGAAAAAUUCCUUAGUCCAUUAGCUACUAAGGAUAAAUUUUGAUCGCUGCUAGUGAUUCAAUCAUGGAUCACUCUCUGUACCUCUCAACAUACUUUGAGUCAAGGCACACUUCAGGUGCGGUACACAGCAUGGCAUACUUUAGAUUCUACGGCUAAGGCAUAGAAGACGACCUUCGUCUAUUCUCUUUAUUCUGCCGUGGUCAGGUUUUGAGUCUUACUCAAAUUCACACCUCACAACGCAACCAAGAACUCCUUCUUUGCUGGUCUAUUUUGAACUCUUUCAAAAACUUGUCAAGGCAUGCAUCUUGUUGAAACUUCUAUUAAGCGCUUUCGAUCUAUCUCCAUAGAUCUUUGAUGCUCAACGUUCAAGUAGCUCAAUCCAGGUAUUCCUUUGAAAACUCCUUUCAAACAACCUUGUAUGCUUUACAGAAAUUCUACAUUACUUCUGAUCCACAAUAUGUCAACCACAUAUACCUAUCAGAAAUUCUAUAGUGCUCCCACUCACUUCUUUGGAAAUACAAGUUUCUCAUAAACCUUGUACAAACCCAAAAUCUUUGAUCAUCUCAUCAAAGUGUAUAUUCCAACUCCGAGAUGCUUGCAUCAGUCCAUAGAAGGAUUGCUGGAGCUUUCAUACUUGUUAGCAUCCUUAGGAUUGACAAAACCUUCUGGUUGUAUACACUGGAGCUUGCAUACUUGCUAGUAUAUUUAGGAUCGACAAAACCUUCUGGUUGUAUCACAUACAAUGUUUGCUCAAGGAAACCGUCGAGGAAACAAUGUUUUGACAUCCUACGUGCAAUAUUUCAUAAAUAAUACAGCAACUACUAACAUAAUUCUAACAGACCUUUAGCAUCGCUACGAGUGAGAAAGACUCAUCAUAGUCAACUGUUUGAUCUUGUCGAAAACAUCUUUGCGACAAGUCGAGCUUUUCUUAAUAGUGACUUAUCACCAUCAUCGUCUGUCUUCUUUUAAAGAUCCAUCUUUACUCAAUAGUCUUAUGACCAUCAAGUAGUUCUUUCAAAGUCUACACUUUGUUUUAUACAUGGAUCCUCUCUCGGAUUUCAUGGACUCCAGCUAUUUGUCGGAAUCCGGGCCCACCAUCGUUUCUCCAUAGCUCGUAGGUUCAUUGUUGUUCAACAACAUGACUUCGAAGACAAGGUUACCGUACCACUCUGUAGUAGUAUGCGGCCUUGUCGACCUACCAGGUUUGUAGUAACUCACUCUGUAGUAGUAUGCGACCUUGUCAACCUACGAGGCUUGUAGUAACUUGAUCCGAUGCUUGAUGAUCACCAUCAUCUGCUUCCACUUCAAUUGGUGUAGGCGCCACAGGAACAACUUCCUGCACCCUGCUACACACUGGUUGAAGUGAUGGUUCAAUAACCUCAUCAAGUUCUACUACCCUCCCACUCAAUUCUUUCGAGAGAAACCUUUCCUCGAGAAAGGAUCCGUUUCUAGAAACAAACACUUUGCUUUCGGAUCUGAGAUAGGAGAUGUACCCAACUGUUUUGGAUAUCCUAUGAAGAUGCAUUUAUCCGCUUUGGGUUCGAGCUUAUCAGAGUGAAACUUUUUCACAUAUGCAUUGAAGCCCCAAACUUUUAAGAAACGGCAGCAUAGGGUUCUCCAAACCAUAGUCUAUACUGUGUCAUCUCAACGGAAAUACGCGGUGCCCUAUUUAAAGUGAAUGCGGUUGUCGCUAAUGCAUAACCCAUAAACGAUAGUGGUAAUUCGAUAAGAGACAUCAUAGUAUGCACCAUAUCCAAUAGUGCGUGGCUAUGACGUUCAGACACAUCAUCACACUAUGAUGUUCCAGGUGGCAUGAACUGCGAAACAAUUUCCACAUUGUCUUAACUGCGUACCAAAACUCAUAACUCAGAUAUUCAUUUCCAUGAUCAUAUCGUAGACAGUUUAUCCUCUUGUUACGACGAACUUCACUCUGAAACGGANNNNNNNNNNNNNNNNNNNNNNNNNNNNNNNNNNNNNNNNNNNNNNNNNNNNNNNNNNNNNNNNNNNNNNNNNNNNNNNNNNNNNNNNNNNNNNNNNNNNGGAGCACUGGCCCGGGUUGUUGAUUAAAGAUCCUCGGGGUGAUCAUUCCCUAUGCAGGUUAUUAAGUGAUUAGCAAAUUAACACCAUUGUUGGGUCAUGUAGGACAUGUCUUAACACUACGCGAUUUAUCAAGGGGGUUCCCAUAACAACCCCGGACGUGUUAGGAGCGAACAGUUAUGGAAUCAAACACCGGUAGCCGGUAACUAUGGCGGCAAUAACGGAACAAAACACCUGGCAAAAGGCUAGGCCUUCCGUUAUUUACCAAGUAUAUAGGUGCAUUAAUUAAAUAACAGAUUUAACAUAAUGAUAUCAAACUCAUGUUAUCACAUGAGACAAAGCACCUGCAAGUAGCAAUGCUAACAUUAGUAGCUGAGCAAAGCCUACUUAGCCAUUCAAGAUUUGCUAGGAAGGAAUAAGUGUUUGGGUUACAUGGCAAUAUCAGGAGGCAAUUAUUUCAGUGGUAGGCAGCGAGCAUAUGACGAAGAAACGUAAUCUAGCAUAACAAGUCUAGAGAUGGAAUAAAGGUCAUAUCAUCUUGUCUGUGAUGUCCUCAAUUUGGAACUGCUCUUGUUCGUCCUGCCUGUACUCUCCCAGAUCCACGUACUCGUUCUACGAUCCCGGUGCUACCCAACAUAAAAAUAGCAUCCAAUGAACAACAUCACCUUAAGAUGCAACAAGCACAUGAUGCAUGAGGCAAAAAUGAACAUGCAUCUCUAUUCUACUCACUUGCACAUGCAUGAGAAGAAAAUACAAGUUCCUGGACAGAACUGCACCCUAAGCUAUCUUGACAUGCAUGAGAAUGACAUGAACAGAUGCGUCACGCGAAAACGAUGCAAAAGCAUAUAAAGAACGUAACGGUCGGAGCUACGGAUCAACGGGAAACAACGAAACAAGAAAUGACGUCCUACGUAUCAAAAUCAUCACCACACACUCCAAUGGCAUACUUCUGGUAUUCCCAGGUUGCCAAGACAUAAAACAAACAAGAAUGGAUGGGGUGGUGCAAGGAAAUAUCACCACAACAUCAUCUAUGCACUCACAAGCAUCAAAACAUCAAAACUACACAAUCUGCCAUAAACAGCAUCAUAGCAGUUUGAGGGCUACAUUCAAAGCACCUACAUCCACCCAAAUAUGCCAAAUAGGAUAUGUGGCAGAAGCUAUCCAAGAGUACUACAAGCACAAGCAAAAAGAUAAUACAAAGGAGUUNNNNNNNNNNNNNNNNNNNNNNNNNNNNNNNNNNNNNNNNNNNNNNNNNNNNNNNNNNNNNNNNNNNNNNNNNNNNNNNNNNNNNNNNNNNNNNNNNNNNUCCUCGGGGUGCUCAUUCCCUAUGCAGGUUAUUAAGUGAUUAGCAAAUUAACACCAAUGUUGGGUCCUGCCGGACAAGUCUUAACACUACGCGGUUUAUCAAGGGGGUUCCCAUAACAACCCCGAACGUGUUAGGAGCGAACAGUUAUGGAAUCAAACACCGGUAACCGGUAACUGUGGCGGCAAUAACGGAACAAAACACCCGGCAAAAGGCUAGGCCUUCCGUUAUUUACCAAGUAUAUAGGUGCAUUAUUUAAAUAACAAAUUUAACAUAAUGAUAUCAAACUCAUGUANNNNNNNNNNNNNNNNNNNNNNNNNNNNNNNNNNNNNNNNNNNNNNNNNNNNNNNNNNNNNNNNNNNNNAAAGCACCUGCAACUAGCAACGCUAACAUUAGUAGCUGAGCAAAACCUACUUAGCCAUUCAAGAUUUUCUAGGAAGGAAUAAGUGUUUGGGUUUCAUGGCAAUAUCAGGAGGCAAUUAUUUCAGUGGUAGGCAGCCAGCAUAUGACGAAGAAACGUAAUCUAGCAUAACAAGUCUAGAGAUUGAAUCAAGGUCAUNNNNNNNNNNNNNNNNNNNNNNNNNNNNNNNNNNNNNNNNNNNNNNNNNNNNNNNNNNNNNNNNNNNNNNNNNNNNNNNNNNNNNNNNNNNNNNNNNNNNNNNNNNNNNNNNNNNNNNNNNNACGUACUCGUUCUUUGAUCCCGGUGCUACCCAACAUAAAAAUAGCAUCCAAUGAAAAACAGCACCUCAAGAUGCAACAAGCACAUGAUGCAUUAGGCGAAAAUGAACAUGCAUCUCUAUUCUACUCACUUGCACAUGCAUGAGAAGAAAAUACAAGUUCCGGGACAGAACUGCACCCUAAUAUAUGUUUACAUGCAUGAGAAUAACAUGAACAGAUGCGCCACGUGAAAACGAUGCAAAAGCAUAUAAAGAACGUAACGACCGGAGCUACGGAUCAAUGGGAAACAACGCAAAAGCAUAUAAAGAACGUAACGGUCGGAGCUACGGAUCAACGGGAAACAACGAAACAAGAAAUGACGUCCUACGUAUCAAAAUCAUCACCACACACUCCAAUGGCAUACUUCUGGUAUUCCCAGGUUGCCAAGACAUAAAACAAACAAGAAUGGAUGGGGUGGUGCAAGGAAAUAUCACCACAACAUCAUCUAUGCACUCACAAGCAUCAAAACAUCAAAACUACACAAUCUGCCAUAAACAACAUCAUAGUAGUUUGAGGGCUACAUGCAAAGCACCUAUAGCCACCCAAAUAUGCCAAACAAGAUAUGUGGCAGAAGCUAUUCAAGAGUACUACAAGCACAAGCAAAAAGAUAAUACAAAGGAGUUUCACACAGAAAGUUACACAACUGCUAACUUGACCAAAAAUAUCNNNNNNNNNNNNNNNNNNNNNNNNNNNNNNNNNNNNNNNNNNNNNNNNNNNNNNNNNNNNNNNNNNNNNNNNNNNNNNNNNNNNNNNNNNNNNNNNNNNNGAGUGUUUGACAGUUAAGAUGCUUACACAGAAAUUUAUUGAUGAGUUUAGAGACAACCAAAAAAUGGAUCUCACAACAUUUGGGAAUAAAGUGCAGAGAGAGUUCAAGUUGAUGCCCAACAAAAUGAAACUAGGAAGAGCUAGAAAGGCAGCACUUGAUAUCAUCCAUGGAGAUGAAUCAGAACAAUAUAACCAGCUAUGGGACUAUGGCCAAGAACUGAGAAGGUGCAACCCUGGGAGCAAAUUUAUUGUGAGAACUACCAAGGUCAAGGAGACAAAUGAUGUUCUUCCAAAGGACCAUUUGUCAUCAUUAUACUGGUCAUAUGAUGCUUGCAAGAGAGGCUUUCUAAAUGUAUGUAGGCCUAUAAUAUUUGUUGAUGGUUGCCACUUGAAGAGUAGAUACAAAGGCCAGCUACUAACAGCAGUGGGCAUAGACCCAAAUGAUUACAUAUUUCCUAUUGCCAUGGGAUUAGUAGAAGUGGAAUCUACUUAUACAUGGGAAUGGUUCUUGACAACACUUAAGAAUGACCUCAACAUUAUCAACACAUGCCCAUAUACUAUCAUGAAUGACAAGCAGAAGGUAAUGGUACCUCUUGUAAUGUUGUGCUAUCUACAAAUUUGAUAUGUCUUGUGUUUUUAUGUGUGACUUUCUGCCAAUUUUCAGGGUUUAAUAAAUGCAGUUGGGAAAGUUUUUGCAGAUGCAGAGCAUAUAUUUUGUGUGAGGCACUUAUACCAGAACUUCCACAAGCUUUUCAAAGGGGAAACGCUGAAAAACCUGCUCUGGGCCAUUGCAAGGUCAACAAACUUACCAAAGUGGAACAUGAACAGAGAGAAAAUGAAGGAGGCUAGCAUUGNNNNNNNNNNNNNNNNNNNNNNNNNNNNNNNNNNNNNNNNNNNNNNNNNNNNNNNNNNNNNNNNNNNAGAGAAAAAGCCACCUAACCAAUGGGUGAAGAACUUCUUCAGUGAUUUCCCAAAAUGUGAUAUCCUCUUUAACAAUAUGUGAGGUCUACAAUAGGUAAAUUAUCAGUUUCAUCAUAUCUGUGUUUCACAUAUUGCAGAUUGCUCAUCAUAUCUAUGUUUCACAUAUUGCAGCUACACUUUAGAAGCCAGAGGUCUGUGCAUUAUAUCCAUGUUAGAAUGUAUCUUGGGAAAAAUUUCUGUAACACAUGCUAGCAAGCAUAGGGAAGCAGUGGAGAAGUGGACUGGAAGAAUUUGUCCAAAAAUCAGGAAGAAGCUGGAGAAGAAUGCAGACUUGAGUGCCAACUGUUUUCCAAGAGAAGCUGACAAUGGUAUUUACCAUGUGCAAUCUCGCCNNNNNNNNNNNNNNNNNNNNNNNNNNNNNNNNNNNNNNNNNNNNNNNNNNNNNNNNNNNNNNNNNNNNNNNNNNNNNNNNNNNNNNNNNNNNNNNNNNNNAGGGUGUCUUUAGUCCCGGCUCGAGCCCCGACCCGGGACUAAAGGCUUGGGCUGGCGGCAUUCCAAAGUUUAGUCCCACCUCGCUUGUCGAGAGGAGCCACCACUGGUUUAUAAGCCCCGUUGUCCCAACCGUGUCGAGCUCCUCUCUAAAGCAGGCUUAUGGGCCUAAACAGACUUUAAAUUUAAAAGUUGAAAAUAUAUUUGAAAUUAUGGACAAAAUUCAACCUGAAUUCAAAGUGAGGUCACUUUGAAUUUAGGUUGAAUUUUUCUCUAUAAAUUCUCAUAUAGUUUCAAUUUUUUUCCAUUUUUUUUGUUCUUUGCUUUAUUUAUUAUUUCUCUUCUAUUUUAGUUUUCUAUUGAGUAGAUCUUUUUUUGUUUCUUUUUAGUUAAUGUUUUACUUGAUUCUUUCCAACAAAUAAGCACUUUGAAAAUUUUAGUAAAUUAUUCUUAAUUCAUUCAUUUUAGUUAAUAUUUUAGUUGAUUCUUUUUAGUUGACUCUUUUUUUGUUUUCUAUUAAGGAUUUUAACAAAAAAAAUAUGAAAUUUCUGACUUCAUUUGAUAUUUUUCGUGAAUUUACUUAUUUUUUUGAGCUAGUUGAGCCUGAAAUUGAAAAGCACUACAAAUGAACUCUAGAAAUGUUGAAAGUUGGCAUGGUAUCAUCAUUUUCACCCGCAUAGCAUGUGCUAUAGAGUUGAGAGGGUUACGGCAAAAACUGGAUGCAUUUCGUGUACAAAACGGACAAUCUCUCUCGAAGUAUCACGGUUUCGAAUGAGAACUCAUCUGUUACAAAGGUAUUUCAUUUUUUGAACUUAUUUGAACUCCAUACUUUUUGUGUGUUUAAAAUGCACCAUUCAAAGGCACAUCAUAAAUUUUCAACAAUUUCUGACUUUAUUAGGUAUUCCUUGUGCAUUUACUUUUGUUUUUUUGGGCUAGUUGACCCUAAAAUUGAAAAGCACUACAAAUGAACUCUGAAAAUGUUGAAAGUUGGCAUGCUAUCAUAAUUUCACCCACAUAGCAUGUGUUAAAAAGUUUAGAGGGCUACGACAAAAACUGGAUGCACUUCGUGUACAAAACGGACAAUCUCUCCCGAAGUAUGAGCGUUUCGAACGAGAACUCAUCUCUUACAAAAGGGAUUUCAUUUUUUUUGAACUUAUUCAAACUCCAUACUUUUUGUGUGUUCAAAAUGCAUCAUUCAAAGGCACAUCACAAAAUUUCAACAAUUUCUCACUUCAUUUGGUAUUUUUCGUGCAUUUACUUAUUUUUUCUGAGCUAGUUGACCCUAAAAUUGAAAAUCACUACAAAUGAACUCUGAAAAUGUUGAAAUUUUGCAUGGUAUCAUCAUUUCACCCACAUAGCAUGUGCUAAAAAGUGGAGAGGGUUACGACAAAAACUGGAUGCACUUCGUGUACAAAACAGACAAUGUCUCUCGAAGUAUGAGGGUUUCGAACGAGAACUCAUCUGUUAUAAAGGUAUUUCAUUUUUUGAACUUAUUUGAACUCCAUACUUUUUGUGUGUUUAAAAUGCACCAUUCAAAGGCACAUCACAAAUUUUCAACAAUUUUUGACUUAAUUUGAUAUUCUUCGUGCAUUUACUUUUGUUUUUUUUGGCUAGUUGACCCUAAAAUUGAAAAGCAGUACAAAUGAACUCUGAAUAUGUUGAAAGUUGGCAUUCUAUCAUCAUUUCACCCACAUAGCAUGUGUUAAAAAGUUGAGAGAGCUACGAUAAAAGCUGGAUGCACUUCGUGUACAAAACGGACAAUCUCUCUCGAAGUAUGAGCGUUUCAAACGAUAACUCAUCUUUUACAAAGAGAUUUCAUUUUUUUGAACUUAUUUGAACUCCAUACUUUUUGUGUGUUCAAAAUGCACCAUUUAAAGACACAUCACAAAAUUUCAACAAUUUCUGACUUCAUUUGUAUUUUUCGUGCAUUUACUUAUUUUUUUAGGUAGUUGACCCUAAAAUUGAAAAACACUACAAAUAAACUUUGAAAAUGUUGAAAAUUGGCAUGGUAUCAUCAUUUCACCCACAUAGCAUGUGCUAAAAAGUGGAGAGUGUUACGACAAAAAGUGGAUGCACUUCGUGUACAAAACAGACAAUCUCUCUCGAAGUAUGAGGGUUUCGAACGAGAACUCGUCUAUUACAAAGGGAUUUCAUUUUUUGAACUUAUUUGAACUUCAUAAUUUUUUAUGUUUAAAAUGCACCGUUCAAAGGCACAUCACAAAUUUUCAACAAUUUCUGACUUAAUUUGGUAUUCUUCGUGCAUUUAGUUUUGUUUUUUUGGGCUAGUUGACCCUAAAAUUGAAAAGCAUUACAAAUGAACUCUGAAAAUGUUGAAAGUUGGCAUUCUAUCAUCGUUUCACCCACAUAGCUUGUGUUAAAAAGUUGAGAGGGCUACGACAAAAGCUGGAUGCACUUCGUGUACAAAACGGACAAUCUCUCUCGAAGUAUGAGCGUUUCAAACGAUAACUCAUCUUUUACAAAGAGAUUUCAUUUUUUUGAACUUAUUUGAACUCCAUACUUUUUGUGUCUUCAAAAUGCACCAUUCAAAGUCACAUCAUAAAAUUUCAACAAUUUCUGACUUCAUUUGGUAUUUUUCGUGCAUUUACUUUUUUUUUGAGCUAGUUGACCCUAAAAUUGAAAAGCACUACAAAUGAACUCUGAAAAUGUUGAAAGUUGGCAUGGUAUCAUCAUUUCUCCCACAUAGCAUGUGUUACGACAAAAACUGGAUGCACUUCGUGUACAAAACAGACAAUCUCUCUCGAAGUAUGAGGAUUUCGAACGAGAACUCAUCUAUUACAAAGGUAUUUCAUUUUUUGAACUUACUUGAACUCCAUACUUUUUGUGUGUUUAAAAUGAACCAUCCAUUCAAAGGCACAUCACAAAUUUUCAACAAUUUCUGACUUAAUUUGGUAUUUUUCGUGCAUUUACUUUUGUUUUUUGGGCUAGUUGACCCUAAAAUUGAAAAGCACUACAAAUGAACUCUGAAAAUGUUGAAAUUGGCAUGCUAUCAUCAUUUCACCCACAUAGCAUGUGUUGAAAAGUUGAGAGGGCUACGACAAAAACUGGAUGCACUUCGUGUACAAAACGGACAAUCUCUCUCGAAGUAUGAGCGUUUCGAACGAGAACUCAUCUCUUACAAAGGGAUUUUAAUUUUUUUGAACUUAUUUUAACUUCAUACUUUUUAUGUGUUCAAAAUGCACCAUUCAAAGGCACAUCACAAAUUUUCAACAAUUUCUGAUUUCAUUUGGUAUUUUUCGUGCAUUUACUUAUUUGUUUGUGUGCUAGUUGACCCUAAAAUUGAAAAACACUACAAAUGAACUCUGAAAAUGUUGAAAGUUGGCAUGGUAUCAUCAUUUCACCCACAUAGCAUGUGCUAAAAAAGUGGAGAGGGUUGCGACAAAAACUAGAUGCACUUCGUGUACAAAACAGACAAUCUCUCUCGAAGUAUGAGGGUUUCGAACGAGAACUCAUCUAUUACAAAGGUAUUUCAUUUUUUGAACUUACUUGAACUCCAUACUUUUUGUGUGUUUAAAAUGAACCAUCCAUUCAAAGGCACAUCACAAAUUUUCAACAAUUUCUGACUUAACUCGGUAUUCUUCGUGCAUUUAGUUUUGUUUUUUGGGCUAGUUGACCCUGAAAUUGAAAAGCACUACAAAUGAACUUUUAAAAUGUUGAAAGUAGGCAUGCUAUCAUCAUUUCACCCACAUAGGAUGUGUUAAAAAGUUGAGAGGGCUACUACAAAAAACUGGAUGCACUUCGUGUACAAAACGGUCAAUCUCUCUCGAAGUAUCACGGUUUCGAACGAGAACUCAUCUAUCACAAAGGGAUUUCAUUUUUUGAACUUAUUUGAACUCCAUACUUUUGUAAGUUCAAAAUGCACCAUUCAAAGGCACAUCACAAAAUUUCAACAAUUUCUGACUUUAUUUGGUAUUUUUCAUGCAUUUACUUAGUUUUUUUUUGAGCUAGUUGACCCUAAAAUUGAAAAGCACUACAAAUGAACUCUGAAAAUGUUGAAAGUUGGCAUGGUAUCAUCAUUUCACCCACAUAGCAUGUGCUAAAAAGUGGAGAGGGUUACGACAAAAACUGGAUACACUUCGUGUACAAAACAAACAAUCUCUCUCGAAGUAUGAGGGUUUCAAACGAGAACUCAUCUAUUACAAAGGGAUUUCAUUUUUUGAACUUAUUUGAACUCCAUAGUUUUUGUGUGUUUAAAAUGAACCAUUAAAAGGCACAUCACAAAUUUUCAACAAUUUCUGACUUAAUUUGGUAUUCUUCGUGCAUUUAGUUUUGUUUUUUGGGCUAGUUGACCCUGAAAUUGAAAAGCACUACAAAUGAACUUUUAAAAUGUUGAAAGUAGGCAUGCUAUCAUCAUUUCACCCACAUAGGAUGUGUUAAAAAGUUGAGAGGGCUACUACAGUGAAAAUGUUGAAAGUUGGCAUGCUAUCAUCAUUUCACCCACAUAGCAUUUGUUAAAAAGUUGAGAGGGCUACGACAAAAACUGGAUGCACUUUAUGUACAAAACGGACAAUCUCUCUCGAAGUAUCACGGUUUCGAACGAGAAAUCAUCUCUUACAAAGAGAUUUCAUUUUUUUGAACUUAUUUUAACUCCAUACUUUUUGUGUGUUCAAAUGCACCAUUCAAAGGCACAUCACAAAAUUUCAACAAUUUCUGACUUCAUUUGGUAUUUUCCGUGCAUUUACUUAUUGUUUUUGAGCUAGUUCAUCCUAAAAUUGAAACGCACUACAAAUGAACUUUGAAAAUGUUGAAAGUUGGCAUGGUAUCAUCAUUUCACCCACAUAGCAUGUGUUAAAAAGUUGAGAGGGCUACGGCAAAAAUUGGAUGCACUUCGUGUACAAAACAGACAAUCUCUCUCGAAGUAUGAGGGUUUCGAAGGAGAACUCAUCUAUUACAAAGGGAUUUCAUUUUUUGAACUUAUUGGAACUCCAUACUUUUUGUGUGUUUAAAAUGCACCAUUCAAAGGCACAUCACAAAUUUUCAACAAUUUCUGACUUAAUUUGGUAUUCUUCGUGCAUUUACUUUUGUUUUUUUUGGGCUAGUUGACCCUAAAAUUAAAAAACACUACAAAUGAACUCUGAAAAUGUUGAAAGUUGGCAUGUUAUCAUCAUUUCACCCACAUAGCAUGUGUUAAAAAGUUGAGAGGGCUACGACAAAAACUGGAUGUACUUCGUGUACAAAACGGACAAUCUCUCUCGAAGUAUCAGGGUUUCGAACGACAACUCAUCUCUUACAAAGGUUUAUUAAAAUUCUUUUUGCAUAUUUGAGAAUUUGACAAAACUAUGAAAAUGAAAAGUGUUUGAAAUUGAAUAAAUAAUUUAAAACUAAAAGGUUUAGUUCAUUCCAUACAUGCAUUACAUAAAAGGUUUAAUACAUUAUUACAUUAUUGCACCAAUAUUCCUAUCUAUUAUUUCUGUUUUCUUCUGGGUCGUAGCCAUGGAGAAUCUUCAUCAUUUAGUAGGAUGCUUGGGUCAGUUUUCACUUUGAAGGGCGGAAUUUCAUGAAACUUAUUAUAAUCUAGUGACAUGUCUGUCUUGUCAUCUACUCCCACGAUGUUUCUUUUCCCUGAAAGAACUAUGUGGCGUUUUGGCUCAUCGGACGAUAUCUUCUUUUGCUGAUUUAUUUUUCUCGUUUUUGUAGACAUGUCCUUCACUUAGAAAACCUGAGCGACAUCAUUGGCUAGGACAAAUGGUUCGUCCAUGUACGCAAGAUUGUUGAGAUCCACUGUUGUCAUGCCGUACUUUUGGUCUACAACUACCCCGCCUCCUGUCAGCUUCAUCCAUUUGCACCGAAACAAAGGGAUCUUAAAAGUAGGUCUAUAGUCAAGUUUCCAUAUCUCCUCUAUGUACCCGUAAUAUGUUUCCAAACAGUGCCCAUUCUCGUCUGUUGCAUCAAAACGGACACCACUAUUUUGGUUGGUGCUCUUUUUAUCUUAGGCAACCGUGUAAAAUGUAUUCCCAUUUAUCUCAUACCCUUGGAAAGUACAUAUAGUCGAAGAUGGUGGCCUGGCCAAAUAGUACAGAUCAUCUCCAACGGUGUCGUCAUUCAUGAGAUGUGUCCGCAACCAACUGCUGAAAGUCUUCUCGUGUUCCCAUUUAAUCCAAGAGUCAGCCUUCCCCGGGUUUUCGGAGCGUAGAAUAUUCUUGUGUCUCACGAUAUACGGAGCCACCACGAUGGAAUUGUGUAGAACUGUGUAGUGUGCUUGAGAGAAAGAAUGCCCGUCCAUACAUACUUUUGCUUUCCUUCCUAGUGUGCCUUUUUCUUGUCAGCCUACCCUCAUACCGAGAUUCAGGAACACCAAUCGGCUUAAGGUCAGGAAGAAAGUCCACACAAAACUCAAUGACCUCCUCUGUUCCAUAGCCCUUGGAGAUGCUUCCUUCUGGCCUAGCACGGUUACGAACAUAUUUCUUUAAGACUCCCAUGAACCUCUCGAAGGGGGACAUAUUUCUUUAAGACUCCCAUGAACCCUUGGAGAUGUUAAUUUUGGCUGAAUAGCUAACCCAUGCAUGAUUCCAGAAUGAGAGGAAUUGGUGGAAAGGGAGCAACCGCUUUGAGAUUUACAACAUAAGGUUUGUUCUAAUCUCUACAUUGAUUUGCAUCGAUUUUUUUAAAACUUUUAUUUGGGAGGGGGCUACCGAAGCAAAAGCGAAGACAUGUGGACAUGUAGCCUUGCAAUACACACAUCGCUUGGACUGCUCAAGUACUCGCACUCACCUCUAUUGCUUUCUCCUCCAAAUCUUGUGCAUACAAACCACCUUGCGUUGGUGUAUGGUGAAGAGUGUCUAGUCUUGACAAUAUGAAGAAGUUAAAUUAUUCGAUGUAUUUUUGUAAUCAUCCCAAUAUGCAUUGCGUGCCUAUAAGUAAGUGAAAGAGCAGCAAGAAAUAGAUCACAUGGUGAAAUGUGAGAAAAUUCGUGGUUUCCCGGGCCUAGCAUGCAGACCACCGAUGCCAAGAAUAUAACUUAUACACGUAAAGGAUAUUAAAGACCUCAAUAAGUACGACAGAUGCCAACAAUCGCUGAGCUUAAACUCUGAUCAAUAUAUUCUAUUCCAUCGGUUGGUAGGAAAGUGAUAACUGAAGGUUUUCUUUAAGGAAACUACAAUUAAGACGUAUGAUGAACUAAGCUAGAAUAUACAGUAACAGAGGCUUGUAACGGAUAAAGCGAAAGACUAUGUCUAGGCUUUCGGUCUGACUAAUACUAGAGGGGCGACUAAGUGGCAGCGACAUACUAGCUCGUAUUACACGGAGUAAUGCCUCAAAAGAGCAUAAAAAUUAUUCUAAGAAUAAGGAAAGAUUUCUUAAAAUACUAAACGAUCUCUUUCGAUUUUGAUCCGUGGACUGUCAUUUCCAUAGGCGUAUUAGACAUAACCUCGCACCAAGGUCACACGGGGUACCAAUAAUACACAACGAACCAAAGGAUCACACAAAUUUCAUCUAUCCAGUCUAUGUAAGUGCAAGUGCUCACACGAUCAUAUGUAGAACACCACAAGAGUAAACACUAGAUGAUGUCGUAUACUAUAUUAUGUCACUAAGCUCCCUAGGAUUGGAGGCCUCACAACAAAUUGAGGUCUCUGAUUGAAAUUUGGUCAUCCAAUUUUGACAGGGUCAACAACUUUUCAAAGCUCCCUCAUUUUCUUAUAUAAUGCACUAUGUUUUCUAAUUUUUAAAUCUUCACAAUUAAUUGAAAUUCAAAAUUGGGCCGUCCGAUUUUAACGGGGUCAACAAUCUCUCAAUGAGCAUUCUCUUUCAAUACUUUUAGUUCAAAUACUUCCUAAUUUUGGAGCUCUCACAUUUGAUGGACAUAUACAAUUUUGAAUUUGGUUCACAUUUUGACGGGAUCAACAAUUAAUUACUCAAAUCAAUCGGCAGCAACAUACCAUUAAAAUAUAUUAACCGAGUGCACCCUCUCACCAUCUAGAGAAAAGUAGUGCCAACAUGUAAAUUGUAGCACCAAUAUAGUACAUGUAGUUCCUGAUGCAGAUAAUUUCCUCACCUAAAUAUGGAUUGGUUGGCAGAUAACACAGAAUCGCACCACAGAAGACCAACCAAAACACCACACCAAGUAAAGAAAAACCAUACUUCAUCAUCUCGCCCACUCACCAAACCAAACAUUCCCUCAAUUCCAAAAUGUUAAGUGUUUGAAAAAUCCAAUUUCCUAUACUUUGACAAAGUUCAGAGCAAAAAAUAUCAACAUUCACAAUACUAUCUCUCUACCUUAAUAUAAAUAUAAGAUAUUUUUUGGCAUAGACAAUGUCAAAAAAUGUAUGGAUGGUGUACUAAUAAAUAAAGUAUGGAAAUUUAUUUAAUGAUGAAUCCAAUGAUCCUGAUUUGAUGUUAUGAAUAUUGAUAUAUUCCUCUACAUAUUUGAUCAAACUUAAAAGAGUUUUUACUUUUCUAAAAACAAAUACACCAUAUAUUUUAAAAUAGAGGGAGUAAAAUAAAAGCAAACCCGACAACAUCAACGACACAGCAAAGCCCGCCUAACCCUUCUAGUAAAGAUUAAUUAUGCAUACUAGAUCAUACCUUGACCUAGAACUGAAUGAAUCACUCAAACAUAGAUGAACAUAAAAAUAAAUGGAGGAAUGUAGAGAUCGCCAAUGUUGGAUUCAAGUGGUCCCACCACUUAAAUGCUCCAAUGUUCCUAUUUUUCUCUCUCUUUUGAAUGUUCUCAACAUGUGUGUUUACAAUCCGUAAUAGCAAUUCAAAUCCAAACACAAAAUACACAUGCGAUUUGCCUUUUUUGUUUCUCCAUGUGUAUUUUGAAAUUCAUUUUUUUAGAGAUUACAAAUACGUAUUGUGAACAUUAAAAAAAUCAAACUUUUCAAACAUUCAGUUUGUUUUUGAAAGAUUUUUUUAGAUAAUUUGUUGUUUGAAAGAUUUCUUUGAGGUUUAUUUUUCUUUUUGAAAGAGUUUUUUUUAAAUGGGAGCCCAUGGUAUUUUUGAAGGAUUUUUUAUACACAUUUGUUUUUUGAGAGAUUUUUUUAGGCCGAGGUGGCCCACGGAAGGCCCAGCCCAGCAGCAGCAGGCCUUCUCAUUUCGUCUCUGUGUUCUCCCACCCCUCCGCCGUCGCCUCCCAGCGGCCGGUUGGGGAGCGUUCCUCCACCUUCUCCUCCCCUCCUCUCCUAUCGUCUCACUAGAUCAUUGGUGGCGCGCGUUGUUGCGCCCGUCGAUUUUACCAAUAGAAUGGUAGGAAUUGCAAUAGUAUAUAUGAUUCCAUAAAACAAUGAGAGUAGUACUUUUAGGACGAACAAUGUGGGAGGAUAACACUGUGAUCCAUAUAUCUACAAAUGUAAGUUCAGUCACCCAUUAUGAUAAAAGAAUAAUAUAAAUAUUUGGAAAACCUAUGUAGUAUAAUUAUGUAUAUAUAAACAACGGUAGUACAAUAUGUACACUCCACACUACAUUCAGUGAAAAAUACAAUAAUGUAAAUAGUUGGUCCAUAAUAAAGUGACAAUAUACAAGCAAUAACAAUAUGGCCAACGUAAUACACUGUACAUAAGGGAGCUACUUUACCCAUUAUCUUUAAAUUGAGAAUAAAUUGGAAAGGGCACUGGCAUAGAACUUUAUGCCGAGGCAGACAUGAGUUGAAUUAGAAAUCUCAAAGUAGUUGUGUAUCACACGUGACAAACAACACCCUGCAUUUUUUCAAAAAAAAAAUUGCGGUAUUAGAAGGUAAGGAGUUAGUUUAGUGAAGGCAUGUCAAAAUAUUUUAUGUGAUAGUAGGUCAUUUCCUAGUACAAAACCACUCUAAAAAGCAAGACCUUGUAUGCAAGUAGCCUAGAACAUUGACUGAAUGCCAAUAUUUGCAAUAGUCAAGACAUCAAAUAAAAUAUGAAGGUACUUCUUUUCUAGCUCCGGGCUGUAGCUACGAACAUGAUCCCUUGUUACCAUGGAAAUUUUCAAAAAGUACGCAAAUUUGGUCAGUUAUAAUUUCCUCUCCAAAAGCUAGCAGGUAGUGGAGUACUUGAAACGCCAAUUAACAUUAUUUCAGAUUUAGUAUAGUUAAUGGUAAGACAACAUAUCUGGUAAUGAAAAAAGUGUCAUUUUCCCAUUAUUGGAUAAUACUAUCAUACAAAAAAUAAUGUUGACCUCCUAACCAUACCACAAAUCAAAAAUUUCUAACCAGUUUAUUACUUACAGAGAGACAAAUGUUUGGAGGCGAUGAGUAGGUCUCUUGCAAAUGAGAUUACCUUGUGAAAUAAAUCUUUGAGGAAACAAAUGAAAUAUAAUCGAAAAUCUAAAUACAAACUUACUAAUCACAUAUGAAUUUUCUAUCCAAAUGGUAUUAUCAAGUAUCAAUAGAAAAAUAGUAAACAAGGUAAAAUCAUAGUCAUUCAAAUAGCUCCACCAACACAUAUGCUUUGCAAUAUUGUCAAGUAACAUAAGGUGGGACAAUAGUGAUUAACAAAUGCAUGGAACAACAAUAACAACCAUAGUUCAAUUGAGAAAAAAACACCGUCCAAAUUAUGAAACUCAAAUUAAAAGAAAGUACCAACUGAUUAUUGUACAAAUCCAUUCCUUAUUUUUGAUAGUGGGUGUUAUGACCGGUACAACGUACCAAUGGAGGAGGCCCAAUGGCCAGGGUUAGUUACGGGCUUAGCCCAAGUUAUCUUAGAUCUUAGAGUCCAAGUUAUAUUAGAUCUUAGAGUCCAAGUUAUAUUAGAGUCCAAAUUAUAUUAGAGUCCAAGUUAUCUAGGGUUUAGUGGAGGUUGUCCUCCUUUAUAAACACAUGUACCCCUUCGAUAUUAAGCAGACAAUAAAUAGUAUUCUGUUGUCGUCUCCCUCACGAGACGGGAGCCCCAAACCCUAGUCGACUCUCUCUCUCUCUCUCUCUCUCUCUCUCUCUCUCUCUCUCUCUCUCUCUCUCUCUCUCUCUCUCUCUCUCUCUCUCUCUCUCUCUCUCUCUCUCUCUCUCUCUCUCUCUCUCUCUCUCUCUCUCUCUCUCUCUCUCUCUCUCUCUCUCUCUCUCUCUNNNNNNNNNNNNNNNNNNNNNNNNNNNNNNNNNNNNNNNNNNNNNNNNNNNNNNNNNNNNNNNNNNNNNNNNNNNNNNNNNNNNNNNNNNNNNNNNNNNNUGAGCGUGCUUGGAACUGGCUUGAGAAAAAAGGAGACUUGGUGUAGGUAUGCAAUGGAUUAUAAUUGCAAAACUGAUCUUGUUGUGAACAACCUUGGUGAGGUUUUCAACAAAACGAUCCUUGAUGUUAGGGCCAAACCAAUUAGGACAAUGUUUGAAGGAAUUAGGACUAAGCAGAUGAUCAAAAGGCAAAAGACUAGGGAAAAGACAGAGUACAGCAGGUGGACGAUCACACCCAACUAUUCAGAGAAACUGGAGGAGAAUAAGAAGUAUGCCAAAUAUUGUGAGGAACAUAGGGCUGGUCCUGACAUUUGGCAAGUGUCAAGUGGUGAGAAACAGUACUGUGUGAACAUUGCUACUAAAUCAUGUGACUGCAGGAGGUGGGACAUGACAGGUGUGACAUGCAGUCAUGCAAUAGCAGCUAUGAGCAAGGUUCAUAUGCACCCAAAGGACUUUGUGCAUGAAUUUUUCAAAAAAACACUAUAUAUUGAAGCAUACAAAGACAUUGUGUACGCUAUCCCUGGUCCUGAAUUCUGGCCUGACACCCAAACCUAUGAUAUUAAGCCCCCAGUGUUCAAACAAAAAGCAGGCAAUAAACAGACAGCUAGGAGGAAGGGGCAAUUUGAGGUGCCUGCACCAAAGAAAACAAGUAGGAUGGUAACAAUUACAUGCAACAAUUGUGGUCUACAAGGCCAUAGAUUUACAAACUGUGGGAAAGCUCUGAAACCAAGUCUGCAGAUGAGAAAGAACUUACACCAGGUCAUUUAACUCUUUUGUAUGUUUACAAAAAUUUGCAUUAUAUGUUUCAUUAUUUUAGGUGUGGUCUAAUCACUAACUAUUUUAAUUUUGGCAUGCAGGAAAAUAGAGAAAUAUUCAGUGGUUCCUCUAGUGCUACACAAGUACCUCCAGAACCACCACAACAACACCAAAGUUCACACAUCCUAGCCUCAUCUGCUCCACCACUUGGUCCUAAAAUAAUGAGAACCAGAAAAACAGCAGCACCUCCAAGAAGAUCAGCAUCGACAGUUUCAACAGUUUCAACAGGACCAGCCAAGUCUUCACCAGCACCUCCAAGAGGAUCAACAUCAACAAGAGCUGCAAAUGCAGUUAGAAGAUUCAAUGCACCUAGAACAUCCACUGGACAAGCUGUGAUAUUAACAAGCAAGAGGAAGAGGAGACCUACUAGCAAGUUUGCAGCCUAUUUCAGUGCAAGUGGAAACCAUUGAUUUGCUAAAUUGAACUAAGAUUGUGAUUUGGUACUAAGAUUGUGUUUGUACUGAAUUUGUUCCACUGGCGGUGCAUGUUUGUGAUUUAUUUACAUUCAAUGUAUUGUACUAAAUUUGUUUCAGUGGCAAGUGCAUGUUUGUGUUUCAUUUACAGUCAUGUUUGUUGCAUGUUCAGAAAUGUUCAUAUAAAUAAACCCUAAACCAAGAGUUUAGGGUUUUUAUUUACAGUCAUGUUUGAGGUUAAAGUCAACUUCAUUUUGUAAAACCACAAAAAAGAAACAAAAAUUGUUUGGCCUCGGGCUCGAACCCAGGACCUGUGGGUUGUAACCCUAAGUUCAAUGCCAGUGGGAUAAGUCAAGUGAUUUGUUUCACUAUCAUCGGCCAUCCUAGUUAUUAAAACAGGUUCGCCAACCAAAGUCUCGACCCACUCGCCACUCGCUGCUGUCGUUUCGGAUUCUAAGGCAUUAAAACGUGUCCGCCAACCUCUGUCUCGNNNNNNNNNNNNNNNNNNNNNNNNNNNNNNNNNNNNCCUCUGUCUCGACCCACUCUCCACUCGCACCCCCAAUCCCCUCCCCCCUCUCUCCUGUCGAAAUCAGCAAUGGACGGCAGCCUGGGCUGGCAGAAGGCCGUCGAAGACCUCGCCCACAACAACCAGCAGCUGUGUGCCCAGUACUGGGAGAUAGCACGCUGGUUCCCCAAUGUGUAGAUGAUGCGGAACCACGCCCGCAGCCUUCUGAAGGUCAUGACCGCUGCUGAAAAGAAGCAUGCCUUCCCUGCCGGCUUCAACAUCCCGCCGCCGACCGUUCUGUUGUGGGCGAUGCGCGAGACGCAGCUCUCCCCCGACCCCCGGCAGCGAGCUCGUUGNNNNNNNNGAUGCCCGACACGCAGCUCUCCCCCGACCCCAGGCAGCGAGCUCGUUGGUGGAUGUACCACUCAUCCACCACGCCGCCGGCAUGCGAGGAUCUUGCGCGCGUUGCAUAAAGGGCGGAGCACGUCACCGACGUCGUCCUUGCUCUCCCAGCCCCCAUCAACACCGCCUACUGGGAGAAUCGCAAUCCAUGGGUGCUCAGGCCAGACGACGACUCCGACGAUGACACAUCUGACGACGAGGUGGAGGAGCUGGUCGUUCUCUUCGAUGAGGUNNNNNNNNNNNNNNNNNNNNNNNNNNNNNNNNNNNNNNNNNNNNNNNNNNNNNNNNNNNNNNNNNNNNNNNNNNNNNNNNNNNNNNNNNNNNNNNNNNNNGUUAACUGUGAAACAAUUCGACAUUGUCUUAAGUGAGCACCAAACUCGAAACUCAGAUAUUCACCCCCACGAUCAGACCGUAGGAACUUGAUCUUCUUGUUACGAUGAUUUUCCACUUCACUCUGAAAUUGCUUGAACUUUUCAAAUGUUUCAGACUUGUGCUUCAUCAAGUAGACAUAACCAUAUCUACUUAAAUCGUCAGUGAAGGUGAGAAAAUAACGAUAUCCGCCGCGUGCCUCUACGCUCAUUGGACCACACACAUCGGUAUGUAUGAUUUCCAACAAGUCACUCGCACGCUGCAUUGUUCCGGAGAACGGAGUNNNNNNNNNNNNNNNNNNNNNNNNGUCACUUGCACGCUCCAUUGUUCCUGAGAACGGAGUUUUAGUCAUCUUGCCCAUGAGGCAUGGUUCGCACGUGUCAAGUGAAUCAAAGUCAAGUGACUCCAAAAGUCCAUCACCAAUAUGACCUAAGCGGCAGUGCCACAAAAAUAUGGCGCUAUCAUUGUUAACUCUAACUCUUUUGGUCUCAAUGUUAUGUAUAUGCGUAUCGCUAUCAAGAUUCAACAUGAACAAUCCUCUCACAUUCGGUGCAUGACCAUAAAAGAUGUUACUCAUAGAAAUAGAACAACCAUUAUUCUCUGACUUAAAAGAGUAACAGUCUCGCAAUAAACAAGAUCCAGAUAUAAUGUUCAUGCUCAACGCAGGCACUAAGUAACAAUGAUUUAAGUUCAUCACUAAUCCUGACGGUAACUGAAGUGACACUGUGCCGACGGCAAUUGCAUCAACCUUGGAAUCAUUUCCUACGCGCAUCGUCACUUCAUCUUUCGCCAGCCUUCGCCUAUUCUGCAGUUCCUGUUUCGAGUUGCAAAUAUGAGCAACAGAACCGGUAUCGAAUACCCAGGCACUACUACGAGAGCCGGUUAAGUACACAUCAAUAACAUGUAUAUCAAAUAUACCUGAUUUUUCUUUGCCCGCCUUCUUAUCUGCCAGAUACUUGGGGCAAUUGCGCUUCCAGUGACCCAUACCCUUGCAAUAGUAGCACUCCGUUUCAGGCUUAGGUCCAGCCUUGGGUUUCUUCGGCGGAUUGGCAACAGGUUUGCCGCUCUUCUUCGAAUUGCCCUUCUUGCCUUUGCCGUUUCUCUUGAAACUAGUGGUCUUGCUCACCAUCAACACUUGAUGCUCUUUACGGAGUUCAGACUCUGCGACUUUCAGCAUCGCAAACAACUCGCCGGGAGACUUGUUCAUCCCUUGCAUNNNNNNNNNNNNNNNNNNNNNNNNNNNNNNNNNNNNNNNNNNNNNNNNNNNNNNNNNNNNNNNNNNNNNNNNNNNNNNNNNNNNNNNNNNNNNNNNNNNNUUUAUAGUUAUAAACUGCAUAGUAUCAUAUAGUUUACAAAGAUAGAUUAUAACUACUAUAGAUACUUAUAAAACAACAUCAUAUAGUCAUAAACAACAACACAUAGGCAUACACUUUCAAUUCAUAAAUUAUUGACAUCGUGUAGAUUGUAGAGAUAAUUUUGAGUUUACAUAGAUUUCAUAUGGGUACAUGGGUAUAUGGGUAUGGGUUAUAUGAUCCCAUACCCAUACCCGCUCUACCCGAUGGGUUUCAGAUUUUCCUAUUUAUAUACCCAUGGAUAAAUUUUUGUCACGUACCCUUACCCUAAUAGGGGUUUUACCCGCAUGGUACAUGGGUAAUGGGUACCCAUUGCCAUCCCUAGCCUAGAUACAUGUGCGAACCCUGGCUGUUGGACAAUGGUGGGUGCAUCCAUGCAUGCCUGUGGGAUUUUAGUCCUACCUCGGGAGUGGACAAAGCUCAGGUGGUGUUUCUUUACCUAGGGACUAGACUAAAAAGUCCCUUCUAGUUCCUAGGUAAAGAAACAGGAGGGACUUUUCUUUAAGGGAUUAGAAAAAGUCUCUAUUGGAGGGACUNNNNNNNNNNNNNNNNNNNNNNNNNNNNNNNNNNNNNNNNNNNNNNNNNNNNNNNNNNNNNNGGGACUUUUUUCUUUAGUCCCUGGGACUAAAAAAGUCUAGUCCCUUGGAAAGAAACACCACCUCAUAUGUCCAUUUGGAUAAGAUGGUAGUUACUCCCUCUAUUUUUAAAUAUAAGUCUUUUAAGAGAUUUUACUAGUGGACUACAUACAAAACAAAAUGAGUGAAUCUACACUCUAAAGUGUUGAGAAAAUAGGUAAUUUUCCGAGUAGAUUAAUCCACAAUAUAAUAACUAGCAUGACAUUGACUAGACUAAUGACAUACUGAUCAUGAACUAAUGUAGCACAUACUACACAUAUAGUUGAUACAUCUAUGCAUGCAAGUAGUACUGCUAGGAUUGAAACGAACAAGAGUGGGAUAAACGAGNNNNNNNNNNNNNNNNNNNNNNNNNNNNNNNNNNNNNNNNNNNNNNNNNNNNNNNNNNNNNNNNNNNNNNNNNNNNNNNNNNNNNNNNNNNNNNNNNNNNNNNNNNNNNNNNNNNNNNNNNNNNNNNNNNNNNNNNNNNNNNNNNNNNNNNNNNNNNNNNNNNNNNNNNNNNNNNNNNNNNNNNNNNNNNNNNNNNNNNNNNNNNNNNNNNNNNNNNNNNNNNNNNNNNNNNNNCGUGAUCGCUCGUCAAAAACCUAAUCGCCCUCUCCUGUACAGGAACCGGAGAGGCGGGGUUUCUGAGGCCUGCUCUCCCGUCGACCGUGUACGCGGUGAACGGGAUGGAGUCGCUGGCGGCAGCAGCAGCAAAGGAACGAGCGCGUGAGGCAGNNNNNNNNNNNNNNNNNNNNNNNNNNNNNNNNNNNNNNNNNNNNNNNNNNNNNNNNNNNNNNNNNNNNNNNNNNNNNNNNNNNNNNNNNNNNNNNNNNNNAAAAAGAGGAAAAAUGAAAGGAAGGAAGAGGAAAAAUGAGGAGAAGGAGAAGGAGGAGAGAGAGGAGGAGGAGAAGAAGAAGGAGAAGAAGGAGAAGAAGGAGGAGAAGGAGGAGGAAGAAGGAGGAAGAAGGAGGAAGAAGGAGGAAGAAGGAGGAAGAAGGAGGAAGAAGGAGGAAGAAGGAGGAAGAAGGAGGAAGAAGGAGGAAGAAGGAGGAAGAAGGAGGAAGAAGGAGGAAGAAGGAGGAAGAAGGAGGAAGAAGGAGGAAGAAGGAGGAAGAAGGAGGAAGAAGGAGGAAGAAGGAGGAAGAAGGAGGAAGAAGGAGGAAGAAGGAGGAAGAAGGAGGAAGAAGGAGGAAGAAGGAGGAAGAAGGAGGAAGAAGGAGGAAGAAGGAGGAAGAAGGAGGAAGAAGGAGGAAGAAGGAGGAAGAAGGAGGAAGAAGGAGGAAGAAGGAGGAAGAAGGAGGAAGAAGGAGGAAGAAGGAGGAAGAAGGAGGAAGAAGGAGGAAGAAGGAGGAAGAAGGAGGAAGAAGGAGGAAGAAGGAGGAAGAAGGAGGAAGAAGGAGGAAGAAGGAGGAAGAAGGAGGAAGAAGGAGGAAGAAGGAGGAAGAAGGAGGAAGAAGGAGGAAGAAGGAGGAAGAAGGAGGAAGAAGGAGGAAGAAGGAGGAAGAAGGAGGAAGAAGGAGGAAGAAGGAGGAAGAAGGAGGAAGAAGGAGGAAGAAGGAGGAAGAAGGAGGAAGAAGGAGGAAGAAGGAGGAAGAAGGAGGAAGAAGGAGGAAGAAGGAGGAAGAAGGAGGAAGAAGGAGGAAGAAGGAGGAAGAAGGAGGAAGAAGGAGGAAGAAGGAGGAAGAAGGAGGAAGAAGGAGGAAGAAGGAGGAAGAAGGAGGAAGAAGGAGGAAGAAGGAGGAAGAAGGAGGAAGAAGGAGGAAGAAGGAGGAAGAAGGAGGAAGAAGGAGGAAGAAGGAGGAAGAAGGAGGAAGAAGGAGGAAGAAGGAGGAAGAAGGAGGAAGAAGGAGGAAGAAGGAGGAAGAAGGAGGAAGAAGGAGGAAGAAGGAGGAAGAAGGAGGAAGAAGGAGGAAGAAGGAGGAAGAAGGAGGAAGAAGGAGGAAGAAGGAGGAAGAAGGAGGAAGAAGGAGGAAGAAGGAGGAAGAAGGAGGAAGAAGGAGGAAGAAGGAGGAAGAAGGAGGAAGAAGGAGGAAGAAGGAGGAAGAAGGAGGAAGAAGGAGGAAGAAGGAGGAAGAAGGAGGAAGAAGGAGGAAGAAGGAGGAAGAAGGAGGAAGAAGGAGGAAGAAGGAGGAAGAAGGAGGAAGAAGGAGGAAGAAGGAGGAAGAAGGAGGAAGAAGGAGGAAGAAGGAGGAAGAAGGAGGAAGAAGGAGGAAGAAGGAGGAAGAAGGAGGAAGAAGGAGGAAGAAGGAGGAAGAAGGAGGAAGAAGGAGGAAGAAGGAGGAAGAAGGAGGAAGAAGGAGGAAGAAGGAGGAAGAAGGAGGAAGAAGGAGGAAGAAGGAGGAAGAAGGAGGAAGAAGGAGGAAGAAGGAGGAAGAAGGAGGAAGAAGGAGGAAGAAGGAGGAAGAAGGAGGAAGAAGGAGGAAGAAGGAGGAAGAAGGAGGAAGAAGGAGGAAGAAGGAGGAAGAAGGAGGAAGAAGGAGGAAGAAGGAGGAAGAAGGAGGAAGAAGGAGGAAGAAGGAGGAAGAAGGAGGAAGAAGGAGGAAGAAGGAGGAAGAAGGAGGAAGAAGGAGGAAGAAGGAGGAAGAAGGAGGAAGAAGGAGGAAGAAGGAGGAAGAAGGAGGAAGAAGGAGGAAGAAGGAGGAAGAAGGAGGAAGAAGGAGGAAGAAGGAGGAAGAAGGAGGAAGAAGGAGGAAGAAGGAGGAAGAAGGAGGAAGAAGGAGGAAGAAGGAGGAAGAAGGAGGAAGAAGGAGGAAGAAGGAGGAAGAAGGAGGAAGAAGGAGGAAGAAGGAGGAAGAAGGAGGAAGAAGGAGGAAGAAGGAGGAAGAAGGAGGAAGAAGGAGGAAGAAGGAGGAAGAAGGAGGAAGAAGGAGGAAGAAGGAGGAAGAAGGAGGAAGAAGGAGGAAGAAGGAGGAAGAAGGAGGAAGAAGGAGGAAGAAGGAGGAAGAAGGAGGAAGAAGGAGGAAGAAGGAGGAAGAAGGAGGAAGAAGGAGGAAGAAGGAGGAAGAAGGAGGAAGAAGGAGGAAGAAGGAGGAAGAAGGAGGAAGAAGGAGGAAGAAGGAGGAAGAAGGAGGAAGAAGGAGGAAGAAGGAGGAAGAAGGAGGAAGAAGGAGGAAGAAGGAGGAAGAAGGAGGAAGAAGGAGGAAGAAGGAGGAAGAAGGAGGAAGAAGGAGGAAGAAGGAGGAAGAAGGAGGAAGAAGGAGGAAGAAGGAGGAAGAAGGAGGAAGAAGGAGGAAGAAGGAGGAAGAAGGAGGAAGAAGGAGGAAGAAGGAGGAAGAAGGAGGAAGAAGGAGGAAGAAGGAGGAAGAAGGAGGAAGAAGGAGGAAGAAGGAGGAAGAAGGAGGAAGAAGGAGGAAGAAGGAGGAAGAAGGAGGAAGAAGGAGGAAGAAGGAGGAAGAAGGAGGAAGAAGGAGGAAGAAGGAGGAAGAAGGAGGAAGAAGGAGGAAGAAGGAGGAAGAAGGAGGAAGAAGGAGGAAGAAGGAGGAAGAAGGAGGAAGAAGGAGGAAGAAGGAGGAAGAAGGAGGAAGAAGGAGGAAGAAGGAGGAAGAAGGAGGAAGAAGGAGGAAGAAGGAGGAAGAAGGAGGAAGAAGGAGGAAGAAGGAGGAAGAAGGAGGAAGAAGGAGGAAGAAGGAGGAAGAAGGAGGAAGAAGGAGGAAGAAGGAGGAAGAAGGAGGAAGAAGGAGGAAGAAGGAGGAAGAAGGAGGAAGAAGGAGGAAGAAGGAGGAAGAAGGAGGAAGAAGGAGGAAGAAGGAGGAAGAAGGAGGAAGAAGGAGGAAGAAGGAGGAAGAAGGAGGAAGAAGGAGGAAGAAGGAGGAAGAAGGAGGAAGAAGGAGGAAGAAGGAGGAAGAAGGAGGAAGAAGGAGGAAGAAGGAGGAAGAAGGAGGAAGAAGGAGGAAGAAGGAGGAAGAAGGAGGAAGAAGGAGGAAGAAGGAGGAAGAAGGAGGAAGAAGGAGGAAGAAGGAGGAAGAAGGAGGAAGAAGGAGGAAGAAGGAGGAAGAAGGAGGAAGAAGGAGGAAGAAGGAGGAAGAAGGAGGAAGAAGGAGGAAGAAGGAGGAAGAAGGAGGAAGAAGGAGGAAGAAGGAGGAAGAAGGAGGAAGAAGGAGGAAGAAGGAGGAAGAAGGAGGAAGAAGGAGGAAGAAGGAGGAAGAAGGAGGAAGAAGGAGGAAGAAGGAGGAAGAAGGAGGAAGAAGGAGGAAGAAGGAGGAAGAAGGAGGAAGAAGGAGGAAGAAGGAGGAAGAAGGAGGAAGAAGGAGGAAGAAGGAGGAAGAAGGAGGAAGAAGGAGGAAGAAGGAGGAAGAAGGAGGAAGAAGGAGGAAGAAGGAGGAAGAAGGAGGAAGAAGGAGGAAGAAGGAGGAAGAAGGAGGAAGAAGGAGGAAGAAGGAGGAAGAAGGAGGAAGAAGGAGGAAGAAGGAGGAAGAAGGAGGAAGAAGGAGGAAGAAGGAGGAAGAAGGAGGAAGAAGGAGGAAGAAGGAGGAAGAAGGAGGAAGAAGGAGGAAGAAGGAGGAAGAAGGAGGAAGAAGGAGGAAGAAGGAGGAAGAAGGAGGAAGAAGGAGGAAGAAGGAGGAAGAAGGAGGAAGAAGGAGGAAGAAGGAGGAAGAAGGAGGAAGAAGGAGGAAGAAGGAGGAAGAAGGAGGAAGAAGGAGGAAGAAGGAGGAAGAAGGAGGAAGAAGGAGGAAGAAGGAGGAAGAAGGAGGAAGAAGGAGGAAGAAGGAGGAAGAAGGAGGAAGAAGGAGGAAGAAGGAGGAAGAAGGAGGAAGAAGGAGGAAGAAGGAGGAAGAAGGAGGAAGAAGGAGGAAGAAGGAGGAAGAAGGAGGAAGAAGGAGGAAGAAGGAGGAAGAAGGAGGAAGAAGGAGGAAGAAGGAGGAAGAAGGAGGAAGAAGGAGGAAGAAGGAGGAAGAAGGAGGAAGAAGGAGGAAGAAGGAGGAAGAAGGAGGAAGAAGGAGGAAGAAGGAGGAAGAAGGAGGAAGAAGGAGGAAGAAGGAGGAAGAAGGAGGAAGAAGGAGGAAGAAGGAGGAAGAAGGAGGAAGAAGGAGGAAGAAGGAGGAAGAAGGAGGAAGAAGGAGGAAGAAGGAGGAAGAAGGAGGAAGAAGGAGGAAGAAGGAGGAAGAAGGAGGAAGAAGGAGGAAGAAGGAGGAAGAAGGAGGAAGAAGGAGGAAGAAGGAGGAAGAAGGAGGAAGAAGGAGGAAGAAGGAGGAAGAAGGAGGAAGAAGGAGGAAGAAGGAGGAAGAAGGAGGAAGAAGGAGGAAGAAGGAGGAAGAAGGAGGAAGAAGGAGGAAGAAGGAGGAAGAAGGAGGAAGAAGGAGGAAGAAGGAGGAAGAAGGAGGAAGAAGGAGGAAGAAGGAGGAAGAAGGAGGAAGAAGGAGGAAGAAGGAGGAAGAAGGAGGAAGAAGGAGGAAGAAGGAGGAAGAAGGAGGAAGAAGGAGGAAGAAGAAGGAGAAGGAGGAGGAGAAGAAGAAGGAGGAGAGGGAGAAGGAGAAGAAGAAGGAGAAGAAGGAGAAGAAGGAGAAGAAGGAGGAGAAGGAGAAGGAGCUNNNNNNNNNNNNNNNNNNNNNNNNNNNNNNNNNNNNNNNNNNNNNNNNNNNNNNNNNNNNNNNNNNNNNNNNNNNNNNNNNNNNNNNNNNNNNNNNNNNNRSRUUCWUCUUUUUUUCUGUAAAUACAUGGAUGGAUGGAUGUGAGAUGGUGAGAUAGAUGGAUGGAUGGAUGGGUGCCAUGUCAUUGAUCCGUGGGAAGAGUUUUGAUUGGUUAGAACAUGUUACGACAUUUUUGUAAUCGUCCUAAAAGUUAUGACGAUCUCAUCUUAUGCGGUUACGACGAUUUUGACUCACAUUGUCGUAAUUUAUAUGUAGAUUUGAUCCCCACAAACGGUUUAUGAUGAUUGUGGAUGAAAUCGUCAUAAAUUUAUGACGAAUUCAUCAACGUCGUCUUAAAAAACGUCAAGUAUGAGCAUAUUUCUUGUAGUGUUCGUCUUCAAUCCAUCGGUAACAUUACUUGGAGCUAUAUUUUUAUUCACCACAUGAUAUGUGUUUUGCUUGGAGUGUCUUGUAUCUUAGGAGUCUUUUCUUUUUGUUGUGUCACAAUCAUCCUUGCUGCACACCUUUUUGAGAGAGAGAGAGACAUGCACUAAUCGUGAUUUUGCUAGAAUGCUCCUAGUGCUUCACUUAUAUCUUUUGAGCUAGAUACUUUGCUCUAUGUGCUUCACUUAUAUCUUAUAGAGCACGGCGGUGCGUGACUUGGUAGUUGGCUUAUGCUAUGAAAGUAGUCUCAAAGGUGAUAGGUACCCAAACAGGAUACAAAAACCUCCAUCUUCAUGUGCAUUGAGUAGAAAGAGAAGUCUUGAUUCCUCUCAAUUAGUUUUGAGACGUGGAUUUGGUAAUAUUAAGAGCUAUGUUAGUAGGGUGUUGUGAAUCUAGAAAUACUUGUGUUGAAGUUAGUGAUUCCCAUAGCAUGCACGUAUGGUGAACCGCUAUGUUAGAAAGUCAGAGCAUAAUUGAUCUAUUGAUUGUCAUCCGUUGUAUUGAGGUCGGGAUCGCGCGAUGGUUAACACCUACCAACCCUUCCCCUCGGAGUAUGCGUUUAGCACUUUGUUUUGAUUACUAAUAAAAACUUUUGCAACAACUAUGUGAGUUCUUCAUGACUAAUGUGAGUCCAUGGUAUAGAUGCACUUUCCCCUUCCACCUUUGCUAGCCUCUUUAGUGCUGCGCAAUUCUCACCGGUGCACAAACCUACCAUAUGCCUUCCUCAAAACAGCCAACAUACCUACCUACUAUGGCAUUUUCAUAGCCAUUCCGAGAUAUAUUGCCAUCCAACUCCCACCGUUCUGUCUCAUGACUUGUGCCGUCACUCUCAUAUUGUCAUUGCAUGAUCGUAAGAUAGCCAGCGAGAUGUUUUCAACGUCAUACGCCAUGCUAGAUCGUUGUACAUCCCGGUACACUGCCGGAGGCAUUUUCUAUAGAGUCAUCAUUAUUUUGAGCUUUGAGCUGUGAGUAAAUAAAAGUGUGAUGAUCAUCAUUAUUAGAGCAUUGUCCCAUGUGAGGAGAAAAAAGAGGCCAAAGAGCCCAAAUAAAAAAAAUAGAAAAAAGAGGGCCAAGUGCCCAAAUAAAAAAAUAAAAAAAAGGAGAGAAAAAGAGAGAAGGGACAAUGCUACUAUCUUUUUCCACACUUGUGCUUCAUAAUAGCACCAUGUUCUUCAUGAUUGAGAGCUUCUUGCUUUGGCACUACCAUAUGCUAGUGGGAAUCUUCAUUAUAUAACUUGGCUUGUAUAUUCCAAUGAUGGGCUUCCUCAAAAUUGCCCUAGGUCUUCGUGAGCAAGCAAGUUGGAUGCACACCCACUAGUUCUCCUUUUGAGCUUUCACAUACUUAUAGCUCUAGUGCAUCUCUUGUAUGGCAAUCCCUACUCAUUCACAUUGAUAUCUAUUAAUGGGCAUCUCCAUAGCCCUUUGAUACACCGAGUCAAUGUGACCAUCUCCUCCUUUUUGUCUCACAACCACCACCACACUCUAUUCCACUUAUAGUGCUAUAUCCAUGGCUCGCGCUCAUGUAUUUGCGUGAUAGUUAUAAAAAGUUUGAGAAAGUAAGAGUGUGAAAGCAAUUACUUGGCCAAUAUCGGGGUUGUGCAUGAUUUACAUUAGUUGUGUGAGGAUGACGGGGCAUAGCCACACUAUAUGAUUUUGUAGGGAUAACUUUCCUUGGCCUUGUUAUUUUGAAAGUUCAUGAUUACUUUGCUAGUUUGCUUGAAGUAUUAUUGUUUUCAUGUCAAUAGCAAACUAUUGUUUCGAAUCUUACGGAUCUGAACAUUCACGUCACGUGAAAGAAGUUGCAAAGGACAACUAUGCUAAGUAGCAUUCCACAUCAAAAAUUCAUUCUUUAUCACUUCCCCACUCGAGAACGAGCAGGAGUUAAGCUUGGGGAUGCUUGAUACGUUUCCAACGUAUCUAUAAUUUUUGAUGGUUUCAUGCUAUUAUCUUGUCAAACUUUGGAUGUUUUGCAUGCCUUUUAUAUAUUUUUUGGGACUAACUUAUUAACUCAGUGCCAAGAGCUUUUUCCAUGUUUUUGACCCCUUUCAGAGGAGGAUUUUGAACGGAGUCCAAACGGAAUGAAACUGCCAAAAAGAUUUUUUCCGGAACAGAAAAAGAUCGGGGAGGCGGAGAAUCGGGGCACGGGGCCACCAGGGACCCCACAAGCCCUCAUGGCGCGGCCAGGGGGGCCCACAGCCCCCUGGCUUGUGGGCUCCCUGAGGCUCCUUUUCUCUAAGUUUUGCGCCUAUAUAUUCCCUAAAAUUCCAUAAAAAAUAAGGAGAUCAUCGAAAGUACUUUUUCGCCACCGCAAGCUUCUGUCUCCGCAAGAUCCCAUCUGGGGCAUGUUCUGGUGCCCUGUCGGAGGGGGGAUUCGGACACGGAGGGCUUCUUCAUCAACACCAUGACCUAUCCAAUGAUGCGUGAGUAGUUCACCAUAGACCUACGGGUGCAUAGCUAGUAGCUAGAUGGCUUCUUCUCUCUCUUGGAUCUUCAAUACAAAGUUCUCCAUGAUCUUCAUGGAGAUCUAUCCGAUGUAAUCUUCUUUUGCGGUGUGUUUGUCGAGAUCCGAUGAAUUGUGGAUUUAUGAUCAGAUUAUCUAUGAAUCUUAUUUGAGUUUCUUCUGAUCUCUCUUAUGCAUGAUUUCAUAUCCUUGUAAUUCUCUUCGAGUUGUGGGUUUUGUUUGGCCCACUAGAUCUAUGAUUCUUGCAAUGGGAGAAGUGCUUGGUUUUGGGUUCAUACCGUGCGGUGACCUCACCCAGUGACAGAAGGGGUAGCGAGGCACGCAUCGUGUUGUUGCCAUCAAGGGUAAAAAGAUGGGGUUUUCAUCAUUGGUUUGAGAUUAUCCCUCUACAUCAUGUCAUCUUGCUUAAGGCGUUACUCUGUUCGCCAUGAACUCAAUACACUAGAUGCAUGCUGGAUAGCGGUCGAUGUGUGGAGUAAUAGUAGUAGAUGCAGAAAGUAUCGGUCUACUUGUCUCGGAUGUGAUGCCUAUAUGUAUAAUCAUUGCCUUAGAUAUCGUCAUGACUUUGCGCGGUUCUAUCAAUUGAUCGACGGUAAUUUGUUCACCCACCGUGAAAUUUGCUAUUUUGAGAGAAGCCUCUAGUGAACACUAUGGCCCCCGGGUCUACUCCACACCAUAUUUUCAGCCUUACUCUUUUUACUUCGUUGCACUUUCCGCCUUCAGAUCUCACUUUGCAAUCAAUCUUGAAGGGAUUGACAACCCCUUUAUAGCGUUGGGUGCAAGCUCUUUUGUGUUUGUGCAGGUACUCUGGACUUGACGAGAUUCUCCUACUGGAUUGAUACCUUGGUUCUCAAACUGAGGGAAAUACUUACUGCUCCUGUGCUGCAUCGCCAUUUCGUCUUCAAGGGAAAAACCGACGUAAACAAGAGAAGUAGCAAGAAGAAUUCCUGGCGUUGCUGGGGAAGGACUUUUGUUGCCGUAGCAUGGACUCGCAUGAAGCGUGAGAUUGCUCAGUUCGUAAAUGAAUGUGAUGUAUGUCGAAGGGUGAAAGCAGAGCAUCAACGUCCAGCGGGUCUUUGCAUCCAUUGCCCAUUCCCGAGUGGAAGUUCGACCAUAUUGAGAUGGAUUUCGUCACCGGGUUUCCGAAGUCCAAGAAGGGUAAUCAUGCCAUCUUCGUCGUCAUCGACAAGUUGAGUAAAGUGGCUCAUUUUCUUCCAGUCAAGGAAUCCAUCUCCGCAGCUCAGCUUGCAGAGGUGUACACUUCCAGGAUAGUGUCUUUGCACGGCGUGCCUAUGAUGAUUUCUUCGGAUCACACAAGUAUCUUCACUUCCAAGUUCUGGGACUUUUUUCAGUCUGCGAUGGGCACGAAGAUACGCUUCAGCAUAGCUUUUCAUCCUCAGACUAGUGGUCAAGUGCAGAGAGUCAAUCAGGUCCUUGAGGAUAUGCUGAGAGCAUGUGUUAUCUCUUUGGGCAUGAAGUGGGAAGACUGCCUGCCUUUCGCUGAGUUCUCGUAUAACAACAGUUAUUAAGCUAGUUCAGGCAAAGCUUCGUUUGAAUUCUCUAUGGAAGGAAGUGUCGUACCCCGCUCAACUGGUCCGAGACCGGCGAGCGUCAGAUUCUUGGAAAUGACUUGAUAGAAGAAGCUGAAGAGAUGUGUCGGGUCAUUCGGGAUAAUCUCAGAGCAGCGCAGUCCCGUCAGAAGAGCUAUUAUGAUAGCAAGCAUCUUGACAUGUCUUAUGAGCUCGAUGACUUCGUCUAUCUCAAGGUCUCCCCUAUGAAGGGUACACAACGCUUUGGCAUCAAAGCCAAGCUUGUGCCUCGUUUCGUGGGUCCUUUCAGAGUUGUUGGCAAGAGAGGCGACCUUGCAUAUCAGCUCGAGCUCCCGUCAAACUUUGCAAAUGUGCAUGACGUGUUCCAUGUCUCUCAGCUCCGGAGAUGCUUCAAGACUCCCAAGCACACUGUUCAUCUUCAAGACAUCGACCUUCAACCCGACCUAUCCUAUCGUGAGCAUCCAAUUGUGGUUCUCGAGGCGACUGAGCGCAAGACCCGCAACAAGACUUUCAAAUUUCUCAAGGUGCAAUGGUCACACCAUUCCGAUAAAAAGGCCACUUGGGAACGCGAGGAUCACCUCCAUUCUGAAUUCCCAGAGUUCUUUCAGUCUUAGAUCUCGGGGCGAGAUCUUUUUGUAGUGUGGCAGAGUUUGUAAUGCCCCAAGAGUGUAACUUGCCUUAUUUGGAACCUUCUGUAUGUGAGACCAUCUUGUCUUUGCAAUGAGAGUUAUAUUCCAUGUGGUAUUUCAUGUGCACGCCUUGUUUUCUUUUGCAUUCAUGCAUCCAUUCAUCCAUGUCUCUUGUGUUGUUGCUAAUGUGAUCAUGUGUAUGUGUUGUGAUGACAUGUGAUGAUAUGUGGUUCUAUGUGAAGUGUUCUGGAGUGGUGCAAUUGUAAGUAGGAAGCAUCUAUGUUAGUUGCAAUAGGUUUUAUAAAACUCCCCUUCUCUAUUUUCUCAAGCUCAAAAUUCUCUUGCUCCAUUCCGGUUUCAAAAAUGCCCAUGUUUUAGUAUGAUUGUGGUGGAUGUGAUGUUAUGUAUUUGUUGUUUUGAAACUAUGUUUUAGUGGUGCAAAUAUUCACAAAACACAUCAACUAAAUUAUGUUUUGUAAAUAUUUUUAUGCUCCAAAAAUUCCUUUUAUAUUUUAUUUAAAUAGGUCAUAAUUCCUUAUGACCAGGGGUAUUUUUGUUUUAUUUUUAGCUUCAACAGAUUUGCCUAUGUUUUAUUUCUUGUCUCUGUUUGUUUGAAAUUAGCAAACCCCAGUGGGUUUUCUUUUCUUAUCUCGCACCUGCGAGUGGGCUUUCUCCCACAAGCUGGCCCAACUUCCUCCCGCACGCCAGCCUUUCCCUGUAGAUGGCGUCCCCUUCCCCUGUCGCUUUCCGUCGGACUCCCUCAGAGACAGCGCGCCAGCGAGCAACACCGUCUCACGGACGUCGAGGCCGCGCGUCCCUCGCCUCCUCCUCCUCCAUAAAUAACCCUUGGCGUCCGUGCAAGGCCUAGGGUUCCUCCCUAGCCGCCGCCACUCCUUCCCCAUCUCCUCCUCCCUCUCCCUCGUCGGCAGCAGGUAAGAGAGCGAGCUCCUCCGCCAUGGCCGUGACUUGAGAAGGUCCUCGUCGCCGCUGUCGUGCCUCUGCGUCCUCUCCAACCCUUCGGCGAGCAUGCGGGACCUCCAGGGAACCCGUUCCCGCAGCUAGGAGGAGCAGAUCUGCACUGCUACGCCUACUUCGACGACAGCGGCUUCCUCUCCGUCGAUCCCCUCCGCCGCGGCUUCUUCCAUUCCUUCCUCUACUUCCUCUCCGACAGGCACAGCGUCCUCGUCCAUUGGGUGACCUAGCUUCUUCCUUCCCCUUCCCUAUCGCCAGAUCGAGAGUAGGAACCCGUAGCCGCGCCGUGUUCUUCUCUCUAUCGUCGGCGCCGCCGCGUACCGUUGAGCGGUAGAUGUAGGCCUCCUCGAGUAGAGUUAGCUAGUGGAAUGGAACCCUGGAGCCCCUUCUCCCUUCCAUCGACGAGCCGCAGUGAAAUUUGGCGUAUAUCGCCGGCGAGGUGCUUCCCCUGUUCCGGCCACCGUCAGGCAGAGGAAGGACCACAGGGGUUGCUCAAUAGAACCUCCUCUACUCUGUUAAGAUCCACGCACAGCAUAGUGGUAGGGCGGUUUUGUGGCAUCAGGUGGUCGUGGGUUCGAAACCCCGCGGCGCCACCCCUUUUGUUUUGUGGAUUUCGGCACAGUAGCUUCAGUUGAGUGCAUAACCUGUUUACCCUAUCCCUUCUGUCGAACCAGAGUGGUGUAGUGCAGUGGUGUUGGUCCCUGGUGGUGAACCAGGGAGUCUUGGGUUCGAAUCCCCCAAGCCCUUUUAUUUUAUUUUGCCUUUCCUUUUGCUGGUUUUUCUUUUGUUUGCCAUGAUAGUUUCUGUGGAGAGCUAGGGCAGCAUGUAUGGUAUUUUGCUUGCCUCCUACCAGUAGGUUGCCUAGUUAUUUUGCUAGUAUGUGUAGUGAUGCAUGUGUAGGCUUUGUGUGCAUAUGUGUAUUGUGAGCUAGUGAUGUAUGUGGUGUGUGUUUAUAAGUGAGUGAUGCACUAGCUUGUGCAAGUGUGUGUGUGUGUGGGUUCCCCCCCCCCACAUACUUUGUGUUUGUGAUGUGCUUAUGCAUAUGACUUUAUGUGGUGCAACUCCUAUGCAUGUGUGCUUGUGUGGUGCAAGCACCCAAGGAGUGUGUAGGUGUAUGUCAUAUGUGCAUGUGAGUGUGAGAUUUCCAUGUGGAGUUGUGUGUGUGUGUGUGUGUGCAUGUGUGUGUGUGUGUGUGUCACACACAUGCUCAAGGCACCUGGUGUGCCUUGAUUAGCACUUAUGGCAAGCUUGUAUGUGUAGGUGUAGGAAUGCAUGAAGUGAGUAAGUUAGUGUGUGUGUGUUUUAACUAGCAUGUGUAGGUGCUUGAUGUGUGUAUGUGUUUGUGUGCUAAGUCACAUGAACAUGAGGUCUACCCCUCAUGUGCACCAUUGGAUAUGUGAGUGUGUGCAAGUGCAUGUGAGGUGAUGAGCUAGUGGGGUCACAUGUGAUAAAUCACUAUUUACCUCUUUGUGAUUCCAUGCAUUUCUUCUUCUUAGCUUUGUGCCCUUUUGUUCUAUGUAAGUACCUAGGUAUUAUAUAUGUUUUUGGGAUAGAAUCAUCCCAGGAAUCCAAUGGUGGAAUCAGAUUCCACUUUGGUACACUUUCUGGGAAUGUCAUUUUCUGUUUUGUUCAAUGUUUAGAGCUUGGUUCCAUGUGAGAUGUGAUGGGCCCAAGAGGAGGAUUCCGUGUUGUGGUAGUAGAGGGUGAACCCCUCUACAACAUGGUGUUGUUGUUUCAUGUUUAGGAGUUUAUGUGUGCAAGUGGUGCUUAGUAUAAGUAGGCAUGUGGCUGAAAUUUCAGAAACUCCUGAUAUUUUCUUCCCUUGUAGUUGUGCUUGUAAAUGUUCAUGUGUUGGGAAUCAACCCUUGCAUUCAACUCGAAAGUUGGAGCUUUCGUGUUUGUAUAGGUCUCUGUCAAUUUUCAUUCCACUUGGCUUCCUAUAGAUAUUGUUUUGGGUGCUAUCAAAAUGCUUCAGAGCAUAAACAGCUAGUGAGAAUCUGAGAUUUUCACUAAGUCCCUGAAAACUGGUAUUUUUGUCCAUGUUAGCAGUUGUAGAACUUUCUGUGUGAAACUCCUUUGUACUAUAUUUUUGCUCAUGCUUGUAGAGCUUUUGAAUAGUUUCUGUCACAUAUCCUUUUGGCACAUUUGGAUGGCUGUAGGUGCUUUGCAUGUAGCUCUCAAACUGCUAUGAUGCUGUUUUGGAUAGAUUGUAUAGUUUUGAUGUUUUGAUGUUUGUGAGUGCAUAGUUGAUGGUGUUGUGAGUUUCUUUGCACCACCCCAUCUAUACUUGUUUGUUUUGUGAUUUGGCAACCUGGGAAUACCAGAAGUAUGCCAUUGGAGUGUGUUGUGAUGGAUUUGUUCCGUAGAACUCCAUUUCUUGUUUUGUUGUUUCCGGUUGAUCCAUAGCUCCGUUCGUAACGUUCUUUAUAUGUUUUUGCAUCGUUUUCGUGUGAUACAUCCGUUCAUGUCAUCCACAUGCAUGUCAAGAUAGCUUAGAGUGCAGUUCUGUCCAGAAGUUUGUACUUUCUUCUCAUGCAUGUGCAAGUGACUAGAAUAGAGAUGCAUGUUCAUUCUCAUCUCAUGCAUCAUGUGUUUGUUGCAUAUUGUGGUGCUGUUGUUCAUUGGAUGCUAUUUUUAUGUUGGAUAGCAACGAGAUCGGAGAGCGAUUACGUGGAUCCGGGAGAGUACGUGCAGGACGAACAAGAGCAGUUCCAAGCUGAAGACAUCACAGACAAGAUGACAUGACCUUGAUUCCAUCUCUAGACUUGUUAUGCCUAGAUUCACGUUUCCUUCAUCAUAUGCUCGCUGCCUAUCACUGAAAUAAUUGCCUCCUGAUAUUGCCAUGAAACCCAAACACUUUCGCCUCCUAGCAAAUAUUGAAUGGCUAAGUAGGCUUGCUCAGCUUCUAAUGUUAGCGUUGCUAGUUGCAGGUGCAAUUGUCUCAUGUGAUAACAUGUGUUUGAUAUCAUUAUGCUAAAUCUGUUAUUAAAUUAAUGCACCUAUAUACUUGGUAAAUGACGGAAGGCCUAGCCUCUUGUCGGGUGUUUGAUUCCAUAACUGAUCGCUCCUAACAUGUUCGGGGUUGUUAUGGGGACCCCCUUGAUAAAUCUUGUAGUGUUAAAACUUGUCCGGCAGGACCCAACAUUGGUGUUAAUUUGCUAAUUACUUAAUAAUAAUCUGCAUAGGGAAUAGCUACCCCGAGGAAUUAAUCAACAACCCGGGCCAGUGCUCCUCAUAAGUGUUGGUCCAAAUUGAGCAGACUAUGGGGCCACCACAGGGCAACCUGAGGUUUGGUAUACCCGUAGUGUGACUCAUCCGUCGUGUCCUGAGACUGAGAUACGCGGCUCUUAUCAGGGUCGUCGACACGACGGGAGGUCCUGCUAGUCUUGUCUUACCUUAGCGAUAUAUCUUGCGUAUAGGAAUCCCGGCGAAGCUUUGGUUCUCCCCAGAGUUGAGGUUUUUCUCAAAGGAAUCCGACGAGAUCACGAGAUUCGUGAUAGAGGAUUACUUUGCGGCCCGUGACCGUUUGUGAUGGACUAGUUGGAGCACCCCUGCAGGGUUUAAUCUUUCGGAAAGCCGUGCCCGCGGUUAUGUGGCAACUUGGAAUAUUUGUUAACAUCCGGUUAUAGAUAACUUGAACCUAAUCUAAUAAAAUUGCUAACUGUGUGCGUAACCGUGACUGUCCCCUUCGAAGACCUCUCUUCGAUCGGGAACACGGUGGGGUUAUGUUUGACGUAGGUAGGUGUUCAGGGUCACUUAUUGAUCAGCUAGUCAUCGCCCGCUAGUAUAGACCACCAUUAAUAACUUGUUCUACAUAAAUUAGCAACCAUAAAUGCUUAGGAUGCUGCAACAUAAACAUUGAACCUUCCCUACCUAAAACUUGUCUAGUUCUGGCACCGAGGUCAUAGAUUGCUGAGUCCCUGUGGCUCACAGAUUACUUCAACACCCCAACAGGUACAGGUACGCCCGACACAGGUGAUCCCGAUGGCACGCAGCUGGCAUGGCAGUACGAUGAGGAGAACGACCGCUUGUACGUGAACUAUCCAGAAGACUGAGGCAAGGUCGUGAUCGUGGACAAACAUGCAUGGUAGCAUAGCCUUUUCUCAUGUUAUGUAGUCCGUGACGGAACUACCUUGUCUGAAUAAAUGUGUGAUGUAAACUCUGAUAUUAUCUAUGAGAGCUAUGAACUUAGCUGCCACCAUCACUUAGCUGCCACCAUCACUUAGCUGCCUACCUAGGAACCCGGUAGAGGACUAGCUGGGUUAUGAACUUUGAGCCGAAUCUUCUCACACACGCAUGCCCAAAUAGAUUACCCAACAACUGAUUAGACUCAUUUUUUUAUUGAUAUUGGUCAGAAAAGAUAUCUUCAGAUGGUUAUACGGAAGCACACUUGAUAGCAUUUUAGCACCGAUAAUUAGUACGCUCAAGGGCUACAGUCGACAAUAAUAGUAUUGUUGUCGUCGCCGCCAAUAAAGCCAUUGUAACAGCUGUGACAUUGUCUGUCCUUGCUAAGAAACAUCGCUAUCCAUUCAUCAACUUGUUUGGCCAACAGAUAGCGGUUUCGUUUUUUGAAACUUUUGGCUAAGUCUCUGGACAUUGUUUCUCCGGGGAUGCUUAUGAGUUCUCGUUGGAUUGUUCCGGAUGUUUCUGUCAAGAUGGGUAGUUAUUCUUUUCUGGCAUCUCCUAUUGUCUUGGGCAAUUCCGACAUUGAUUUGAUCCUUGGUAUGGACUGGUUGGCCAUGAACAAGGCAUCCAUUGAUUGUGAAGCUUACUCACUCUUCGGAGGACGUGAUUAUCUUCGUGGCGCGUGAUGACACAAUCCGUCUGUUAUCUUUGAAUGAAAAGGGUGAGAUUAAUCCUAUUUCGCAAGUCCCAGUGGUCUGCGAAUAUGAAGAUGUGUUUCCAGAAGAGCUGACAGGAAUGCCUCCGCACCGAGAAAUUGAAUUUGUUAUUGAGCUUGAACCAGGUACUAAGGCUGUGUGCAAACGUCUAACAAAUUGGGUCCAGAAGAGCUGAAGGAACUUAAGAGGCAACUCGAUGAGCAAGAGCGUUUGGGUCUGAUCAGACCGAGCUCGUCUCCUUGGGGCUGUGGAGUUAUGUUUGUCAAGAAGAAGGAUGGCACGGACCGAUUGUGUGUCGAUUACCGUCCAUUGAACAAGAAGACAAUCAGAAACAAGUAUCCACUUCCGAACAUAAAUGAGUUGUUCGAACAGUUGAAAGGAGCUAAGAUCUUCUCCAAGCUCGAUCUUAGAAUGGGCUAUCAUCAAAUUUGCAUUUGCGAAGAGGAUAUUCCGAAGACUGCUUUCAGGACUAGUUUUGGCUCGUAUGAGUAUACGGUCAUGUCUUUUGGUCUGGCAAAUGCUCCACCGACAUUUUGUCAAAUGAUGAACUACAUAUUCUCUUCGUUCAAGAAUGAGUUCGUCUUCCUGUAUCUCGACGAUAUUCUGGUCUUUUCGAAAACUGAGGAAGAACAUGAAGAACAUCUCAGGCUGGUGCUUGAUAAGUCAAGAGAGCACAAAUUCUAUGCCAAGUUUUCCAAAUGUGAGUUCUGGUUGAAAGAAGUCGUCAAUCUUGGGCACAUCAUCCCUGCCGAGGGCAUCAAAGUUGAUAUGUCAAAAGGUGCAGACCAUUGUUCAGUGGGAGCCUCCGCAGAAUGUGAAGCAGCUUCGAAGCUUUCUCGGGCUUGCAAGCUAUUGUAGAAGCUUCGUUGAGAACUUAUCCAAGAUUUCUAAGCCUCUCUCAAGUCUUCUUCAAAAGGGUGUGAAGUAUGCCUGGUCUCCAGAGUGUCAGUUGGCCUUCGACACACGCAAAGAGAAGCUCACCUCUACUCCAGUCUUGGUUCCUCCUGAUGACUCCAAACCUUACCACGUGUUCUGCGACGCCUCUCUUCAAGGUCUUGGUGCAGUUCUGAUGCAAGAGAAGAAAGUGGUGGCUUAUACCUCCGGGUAGUUGCAGCCAGCGGAGAAGAAUUAUCCUGUGCAUGAUCUUGAGCUGGCAGCAGUGGUACAUGCUCUGAUGACUUGGAGACACCUCUUGUUGGAACGAAAGGUUGAAGUGUUCACCGAUCACAAGAGUCUCAAGUACAUCUUCACCCAGCCUAACCUAAAUCUCCGGCAAACUCGUUGGGUGGAAAUGCUCCAAGAUUUUAAUCCGAGCGUUGAGUACACGCCAGGCAAAGCUAAUGUCGGGGCAGAUGCCUUGAGCAGGAAGGCUUAUUGCAACAGUCUCAUUCUGAAGCCUCUCCAGCCUGACCUUUGUGAAUCUUUCAGAAAGCUCAACCUUGAGUUAGUACCUCAGGGAUUUCUUGCAAAUCUUCAGAUCUCUCCUACCUUGGAAGAUCAGGUCCGAGCAGCACAGCUUCUUGAUGCAAUGGUGAAGAAAGUCAAGAUUGGCUAGGCAAAGGGACUUCCCAAAUAUAAGUGCUUCAGUGUUGAUGCCAGAGACACGUUGUUCUUUGAGGAUCGCCUUGUCGUUCCGAAAGGUGAUCUCAGAAAGGUAAUCAUGGAAGAAGCUCAUAACUCUCUGCUCUCAAUACAUCCAGGAAGCUCCAAGAUGUAUCAGGACUUGAAACAGACCUUCUGGUGGACUCAUACGUUUCCAACGUAUCAAUAAUUUUUGAUGGUUUCAUGCUAUUAUCUUGUCAAACUUUGGAUGUUUUGCAUGCCUUUUAUAUAUUUUCUGUGACUAACUUAUUAACUCAGUGCAAAGAGACAGUUCCUAUUUUUUCCAUGUUUUUUACCCCUUUUAGAGGAGGAUUUCGAACGGAGUCCAAACGGAAUGAAACUGCCAAAAAGAUUUUUUCCGGAGCAGAAAAAGAUCGGGGAGCCGGAGAAUCAGGGCAGGGGGCCACCAGGGACCACACAAUCCCUCAUGGCGCGGCCAGAGGGGGCCCGCGGCCCCUUGGCUUGUGGGCUCCCUGAGGCUCCUUUGCCCUAGGUUUUGCGCCUAUAUAUUCCCUAAAAUUCCGUAAAAAAUCAGGAGAUCAUCGAAAGUACUUUUCCGCCGCCGCAAGCUUCUGUCUUCGCAAGAUCCCAUCUGGGGCACGUCUGGUGCCCUGCCGGAGGGGGGAUUCGGACAGGGAGGGCUUCUUCAUCAACACCAUGACCUCCCCGAUGAUGCGUGAGGAGUUCACCAUAGACCUACUGGUCCAUAGCUAGUAGCUAGAUGGCUUCUUCUCUCUCUUGGAUCUUCAAUACAAAGUUCUCCAUGAUCUUCAUGGAGAUCUAUCCGAUGUAAUCUUCUUUUGCGGUGUGUUUGUCGAGAUCCGAUGAAUUGUGGAUUUAUGAUCAGAUUAUCUAUGAAUGUUAUUUGAGUUUCUUCUUAUCUCUCUUAUACAUGAUUUCAUAUCCUUGUAAUUCUCUUCGAGUUGUGGGUUUUGUUUGACCAACUAGAUCUAUGAUUAUUGCAAUGGGAGAAGUGCUUGGUUUUGGGUUCAUACCGUGCGGUGACCUCACCUAGUGACAGAAGGGGUAGCGAGGCACGCAUCAUGUUGUUGUCAUCAAGGGUAAAAAGAUGGGGUUUUCAUCAUUGGUUUGAGAUUAUCCCUCUACAUCAUGUCAUCUUGCUUAAGGCGUUACUCUAUUCGUCAUGAACUCAAUACACUAGAUGCAUGCUGGAUAGCGGUCGAUGUGUGGAGUAAUAGUAGUAGAUGCAGAAAGUAUCGGUCUACUUGUCUCAGACGUGAUGAUGCCUAUAUGUAUGAUCAUUGCCUUAGAUAUCAUCAUGACUUUGCGCGGUUCUAUCAAUUGCUCGACAGUAAUUUGUUCACCCAUCGUGAUAUUUGCUAUUCUGAGAGAAGCCUCUAGUGAACACUAUGGCCCCGGGGUCUAAUCCACACCAUAUUUUCAGCCUUACUCUUUUUACUUCGUUGCACUUUCCGCCUUCAGAUCUCACUUUGCAAUCAAUCUUGAAGGGAUUGAAAACCCCUUUAUAGAGUUGGGUGCAAGCUCUUUUGUGUUUGCGCAGGUACUCUGGACUUGACGAGAUUCUCCUACUGGAUUGAUACCUUGGUUCUCAAACUGAGGGAAAUACUUACUGCUCCUGUGCUGCAUCACCCUUUCCUCUUCAAGGGAAAAACCGACGCAAACAAGAGAAGUAGCAAUAAGAAUUCCUGGUGUUGCCGGGGAAGGACUUUUGUUGUUGUAGCAGAAGAAUUUCUGGCGUCGUUGCUGGGGAAGGACUUUUGUUGCCGUAGCAGAAGAAUUUCUGGCACCGUUGCCGGGGAGGAUCAAUUCAAGAACUCAUCCAAGUAAGUGUCACAAACUCAUCUCUUGCAUUUACUUUGUUUGCGAGUUGCCUCUCAUUUUCCUCUCCCCCACUUCACAAAUCUUUGCAUUUUUCAUUUGCCUUUUUUUCGUUUGCCCUUUUUAUUUCGCUUGCCUUCUGUUCGCUUGUGUGCUAUGUGCCUUCAAUAUGCCUGCAUCUUCGCUUGCUGAAAAUCUAGUGAUAUGGAUCCUCAUCCACUUGCUAAUCUCUUUAAGUGAUCCAAUUAUGUUGAUCCAAUUGCUAGUGAGUUGAGUGCACUUGACUAUUUCUAUGGAGUUUUGCUUGAGAUGCAUGACUCUGAAAAUUGUGAGGAAGAAAUUUAUGAAGUGAUUCACGAGGGCUCCUUGGAUAAAAAGCAUGAUUACAAUGGUUUCACUAUAAAUUCUAUUAGUGACAAUCAUGCUAAAAAUAUGCAAAACCAUAAGCUUGGGGAUGCUAGUUUUGCUAUGUCCACUACUUGUUGCAAUGAUAAUGAUUGGGGUAAUGAUUUUUCUUAUGAUCUUAAAAAUUUGUUUAAGCCUCAUGAUGAAUAUGAUAUUUGCAAUAAUUUUGAAAGUGGGUUUGGAGAAGUCAUGACUUUAGUUGAUGAUAAUCCCACUAUUUUUGAAGAGCGUCAACUUUGCAUGCAUGUGGAUCAUGAAAAGAAUAUCCUAUGUGAUAGUUAUAUAGUUGAAUUCGAAUAUGAUCCCACAUGUAAUUAUUAUGAGAGAGGAAAAUAUGAUGGUAGAAACUUUCAUAUCACUAAAUCACCCCUCGUUAUGUUGAGAUUGCUAUUGUCUCUUUCUUCUUCCUUGCAUAUGGUAACUAUUGGUUGUCUUGACAAUCUGUUUUCCUAUAAAAUGCCUAUGCAUAGGAAGUAUGUUAGACUUAGAUGUGAUUUUCACAUGCUUUAUGAUGCUCUCAUUGUGCUUCAAUUCUUGUCUUUUAUGUGAGCAUCAUUGAAUUAUCAAUGCCGAGCUAAGGACGUUAAACAAUAGCGCUUGUUGGGAGGCAACCCAAUAAAUUUAUCUUUUUUCUUUUUGUUUUGUUGCGUCCACACCAUCAUAAUUCUGUUGUGAUUGUGUUUUUUGUGUUUAUUUUUGUGUUUGAGCCAAGCAAAACCUUUAUGACUAGUCUUGGUGAUGGUUGUUUGAUCCUGCUGGAAAAAGACAGAAACUUUUCUCUCACGAGAUGAUUGUUCAUUUUUAUUCAGAAAGAGCUUUUGAGUUGAUUCUUUUUGCUUCUCGUUUAUAUGCCUUUUGACCAGGCAGUCGUAAUUUUUCAGAAUUUUUGAGGUACCAGAAGUAUACGAAGUAUACAGAUUGCUGCAAACUGGUUUGUUUUUUACAGAUUCUGUUUUCGUUGAGUUGGUUGCUUGUUUUGAUGAAACUAUGGUUAGUACCGGGGGGUACUAGCCAUGGAAAAGUGAGAAUACAGUAGCCCAACACCAAUAUAGAUAGAAUUCAAGUUUGCUACAGUACCAAAAGAGGUGGUAGUUUGUUUUCUUGUGCUAAUGUUAUCACGAGUUUCUGUUUAAGUUUUGUGUUGUGAAGUUUUCAAGUUUUGGGUGAUGUUCUCAUGGACAAAGAGAUAAGGAGUGGAAAGAGCUCAAGCUUGGGGAUGCCCAAGGCAUCCCAAGCCAAAUUCAAGGACAACAAAAAUCCCAAGCUUGGGGAUGCCCCGGGAAGGCAUCCCCUCUUUCCACUACAAGGAAUAUGCUAAUACACGACGCUAUAUUUUCGUCGCUACAUCGUCACGGUUUUUAGUUUACGACGAUCUCACGACGAAAAACCAAGCGUCGAAAACGGAGCGUUAGAAAUGAACAGCAACGAUGUUUUGAUCAAAAUCGUCGUAACUUUUACGACGAUUCAUGGAUCGUCGUAACCUCUACGACGAUCCUAAAUCGUCGUUGACAAUCUAACCCAGUCCUACAUGGCAGUCCUACGUGGCAAAAUUACGACGAAAUCAAAACAUCAUAGUUGAAAUCAGCCCAACCCAUUUCAAUUGAUCAUAUGGCUGGUUUUAUUUUUUGGGGCUUUUUCUUAUUGGGCUUCGUUUCGGCCUUAGCCCAUUUAUAGCCACUUUUAGUUUUUCUUUUUUGAAUUUUUUUUAGCCCUGACCUUUUCAUGCCCAAAUACAUUUGGUCCAGUUUCAGUUUUGCCCUUUUUUCAUUUUUGAAUUCAGCAACUUUUUUCUAGAACUUGGUUUCAUUUCUAAUUAUUGGGCCUUUUCAACCAAUUAUUUGUCCAAUAUUAAAUGCAGCACUAUUUCAUAUUCAAAUCAAGAAAACUCCAAGUCGAAUUAAAAUCAUCCAUAAUAUAACAUCACAUAAUACAUCUCCAGGUUUACAUAAUACAAUAACUCAUCUGAUUCACACUUGACAAUCAGAUACCAAUUUUCACAGCUGAAGCAUCAACCCAGAAGAAUCUCAAAAGAAAAUACAGAAAUUAGCACUCGCUGUGAAGAAGUCAUCCUGCUCUUGCUUCCCCACUCCUAGUUUUGCAUCCCUGAUACCAGCUUUUAUGGGCUCUAGUAUACCUGCAUCCAAACAAAAUAAUGUAUUGUUUAGGCGCAGGAACUAGAUGGCAAUGCUAAAUUGAAAAAAAGUCUUUCGAAGAACAAAAUAUCAUCUCAGGUGAAACUGUAGCGUAAGUUUAAACAAAAUAUGAGGCAAAAAUAAAAGAAAAUGUUCAGAUCUUCAGUAAUAUGAAGUAACAGAUAUACUCUCGUUACCAAAGUUGGCGAGAAAACUGCUGCAGAUUAAUCUUCUCUGGGUUCUUUUAGAGUAGAAUAAAGCUACAAUAUGUGUUGUGAGCCUGUGAUGGUGGUAGCAUACUUAUGUCCUUCAGACCAUUAAAAAGACAGACACUAUGACUGGAACUUGCUUUACAUUACCACCACCGCACGAGAUCGCAACCCACCACCGCACGAGAUCGCAACUCACCACCGCACUGGACUAUAGGACAUGCAUGAACUAUAGGGUAUGCGUACACAGCAGCACUACACCAAUUAAUUUGUAAGCAUUUUUUGCUAUUGAAUUGAUAGCCACUAUUGCAUUGAUAGCCACUACAAAUUAAUUUGUACUAAAAAAAACUAGGCUGAUAAAGGACCUCCACGGGUAGGAACCACCCAUCCAUCAUACGCAAACUAAAGGAUUUCGUCAUGCAAAACAAUGUCUAUCCAGCACCAAGCAAUUUUAUUUUAGGUAACAAUAACAGUGAGUAGCUAGAUGAGUUGCAAGCUAGCUGAAACACCAUUCGUUAAGUACCAAAACUACUCCCUUGGAUAAUAUAAGUGACCACCAGGAACUACCCAUACAUAUAUUCAGCAAGUUUGCAUCAGGUAGGCUAGUGUUAGCUAGCAUGGUAAGCAGAAAAACGAGAAAACUUAAAAACAAAUAGUGACAUGAUGAUUAUGAAAGGACUCUGGCAGUCUAACCAGACGGCAAAGUUGUCAGAAUCGCGACUCGGAUCUUAAAAUCACAAGACUUUACGACCCUACAUGUAGGAAACGACCCAACGCAAGCAUAGUCGUUUUUUGUUGAGUCGCUGUGGAGUCUAGCUACAAGUCGUAGGAUCGUGUAAAAUCGCAUGCUGAGUCGCUACCAUGAACGACUCUAGCUCAAGCUCUAAUCGUGCCUUUGUACUAAAGAUGAACGGUAGAUAUCCAAUACGCUAAGCCCUAUAUAAGUUAUCUCUUUUCCUUCCUGGAUCGUUAUCCUUUCGUGGCCGCCGCGCUGUGCCUCCGUUUCUCCGUCUCUCUGUAUUCUCAUCUAAAUCUGCCCUAGGAAUUGCUGAGAUCCAAUCCGAGCUGGUAAGCAUAUGGAUGAAGAAAGGGAUUGACGAGAAUAUCACAAAGGUGCUCCACUUCGUAGGUAAUACACGAGCUUGAUACUACUUUUUAAAUUAAAAAGUCUCAGAUCUGGGUGGGGUGAAUGGUUGUGCUUGCGCAUGUAUACAACAAGUCUGCUACUACUACUUGUGAAGUCGUGAUAGUAGAAUUCUAGUAAUUAUACGGCUAAUGGCUGAUCACUGUUUCUAGUAUUCUAUCCGAUCCAUCCAUUGUCUCUGUACUGUAUUCUAUCCGAUCCAUCCAUUGUCUCUGUACUAUAAUUUCUAGCCGAUCACUACAAGCCGAUUAAUAGAAUAUCUAGCUGGUCACUAAUUGCUAGACUUGUUGUUAAUGAUCGGCUAGAAAGUCUAGUAAUUAGACUGCUAUCUUACUUAUGUGCUUUACUUCCUAAUUAACACUACUCUUAUUUUUCGUUUUAUUUAUUUUAGGGCAAUCUGUCGAAAGUACCCGAUGAUGUCCGAGCAAUGUUCCUGAAGCUGUUACAAUGUCAGGAAGAACAGAGUGAUGCAAAGAAGAGGAAGUUAGAACAGAUAGCAACUGAUACUCAUGAAGUAAAUGCCAUAGAAGAGAAUGACCAAGAUCAUGUUGGAGAUCAGCUGGCAAACUAGAGUAAAACCCAGACAACUGUGAAUCAAUUCUACAAAAAACUUAGUGAACUAUUUACUAUUGUCCGCUCAGGCUGAACCAGCAUAUUUGUGACUAUGCCCUUUAAUGAACAUAUAUGUCGGAGACCUAUGGUUUAUGCUGAAUUCUACUUCUGUUUAUGAGCUUAUCCUAUAUAAUUUUACCAUGUUAAUUUUUUACAUAUGUACACUACCUCUCGACAUAAUUUCACGAUGAAUUUUUUUUGGUGUGAGUUGUACCAAAAAACAUAUAUUUUAAGCACAUGGACGCUCACUACAAAAACUCGUCCAUUUUGAUUUUGUGUAGCUCACAAAACAUAUUUGUUCAUGAAAUUUUACACGGAAAUGUCUAAAAGUAUUGUACUGGUAGGAUCGCGUAGAAUCUUCGAUUCUACGACUCGAUUCUACCGAAGACUUUCCGAUCCGUUUCAGAAUCACGAUUCUGACAACUUUGCCAGACAGCCAUGGAACGAAGGCCAUAGACCCACACCAUGACCGUGGCUCGAAGGCCACGAGGAUCAUCAGAGCAACUGGGGAUAGAAGGCACGGAGCAGAGGAGGGAGAGGAGCUCACCGUGCCGAUGCCAAACAGCGUCGCCGGCAGCAGUGGGGCAGUCCAAUGGAAGACGACGAAGCUUAGCCUACCUCCAUGCACCUUGCCUGUAAGAGAUGGUAAAGUAGUUUGAGAUAUCACAUUAUUGAAUUGCUUGCAGUGUGACAUGAGCUAGCCAAAAGUAUGUAAGGGACUAAAAAGUUUUAGGAGUCUAGAAUCAUAUAUGCCCCUAGCAUGCAUCUCUCAAAUAGUUGGCAUUCAGCAUUAAAUUUCAACUUUCAUCUGCCCAAUAUUUACCUUAAACACAUAACUAAAAGCAAACACAUAAAAGUGACUCAGACAAAUCGUAUUAUCAGAAUUCCACCCAUAAAGCCAAGCAGCUGACAUAGAUGGGAUUACAUUAGCUUUGUCUAAAUUAUUUUCAUUUUCAUUGUAUACUUAAAUUUUUCUGUCGAAAUAAAGUACAUAGAUAUGUAACUGAAAUUAUUCUAACUUCAUAGUUUACCUUAAAUAAUUACAAAGGUAAAUAAGACAAUUCCUACUGCCAUACUCUGAACGAAUUCUACCAGGCUUUAUGAAGUGUAACACGUCAAUACAAUUAGAUCUUCUAGUUGGAUGGAUCAGAUUUUAUUUCUACUUCUGUCUCUUAGAGUUAACAUGGAGCCUCGAAGGGAGCUCUAGUCAGAAUAGAGGAUGGUGCCCCUGCAUUUGGAAAAGAAAAACGCUACAAGCAUUAUGUUUCUGUGAUGACGAAGCACAUGGACUUGGUGGAGUGUUGCAACUAAUUUUGUUGAUACCUUAUUACACAUCCAUCCGAACCGCCGGCAAAUGCCACAGACUCGUCCUUGAAGCAGCAGUCCAGAAGUGCUGCCUCCGAAUUCGCCUCCAGACGGAGAAUGGAUUUGUCUGCAUCGUACAGCCGCAGCCCCUGCAGAACAAAAUUCCAAUCGAAGCCCUGUCAGCCAUCUCUUCCGCAAAGAUAAAGUGCUGGUUUCGUCUCAAAUAAAUGCAGCUGUAAAGUGAAUGGACUGCAGCAUCUCUCGUGGGAACAUGCACAGAUUAGUCACUAGUCACAGCUAUCAAGUCAGCCUAAGUUGCUACUAAUACAGUAUAUUAUACUUAUUACUUUAGGGAUGCUACCAGAGUUGAUACUCCUAGAAAAUGCAGUACUUGUUACGUUAUCAUUGACGCUAUUCCUUGCAGUGUGACGGCUUUACAAUGAACGACCCUGAAUGGUAGUAGUAGUAUAUUUCACUAAUCAUGGAGAAGACUUAAGACUGAAAUGAAUGCAGAGAAUACGACCAGGGAGGCGAAGCGCUGGUAGCAAAGAGAAGGAGUGGAGCACAUCUGGAGAGCGCGAUAUUGGAUCCCAUACCUAAGAUGAAGCCAAGGGCGCUCACGAGCGCCUUGUUGCAGAUGACAAUGAAGACCGAGGAGACCACGGAGAGGCUGAGCGCCCCCACUGUCCCCAACUGGAACUUCUCCCCCACCACCCCCAUCUCUGCCGGCUGGGUUUGCUAUUGAGCACCCGAAGCAAGAAGCAGCAGCAGCCGAGGAGCUUCCAGACGCGGACCCCCACCGGCAGGACCUGCGCAACAGGAAGAAGAUCACAUUUCGAUCAAGCAACCGCGACAAGAGAUGGGCUUCCCGCUGGUCAAAGCAACCGAGCGGCAACAGCAGCAGCACCGCGGUGCCACCAACCUCUGUGUCAAAAAUCCGAGCGCGUGGGGAGAUCUGAGGAGGGCGGGGGGUGAGGGAUCUGAUCGGAUCGGGGUAAGCUCCGCCCGGACUGGCGGUUGCACGGUUCAGGGUGCGUUCCUGGAUCUGGAUCCUGCAGGAGAGGGAGGGAGCUCUCCUGGAUCUGGAUCCUGAAGGAGAGGUAGAAAAUGGAGGGGAAUGGGGAACAUGGAGGUAUGUUGAAUGGGGAAUGGUGGGUGAGGAGGAUGGCGAGGUGGGCGAUUGGUGGGAGUGGCGGGGAAAGGACAGGAUCGGAAGGGGGGCGGGGACGGGGAGGAGGUGGCGGCGGCGAGGAGAUGGGGAGGAGGGAGGGUCUGAGCUAGGGUUUGGGCUGUGGUUGGGGUUUUCUUUUUUUCUGUAAAUACAUGGAUGGAUGGAUGUGAGAUGGUGAGAUAGAUGGAUGGAUGGAUGGGUGCCAUGUCAUUGAUCCGUGGGAAGAGUUUUGAUUGGUUAGAACAUGUUACGACAUUUUUGUAAUCGUCCUAAAAGUUAUGACGAUCUCAUCUUAUGCGGUUACGACGAUUUUGACUCACAUUGUCGUAAUUUAUAUGUAGAUUUGAUCCCCACAAACGGUUUAUGAUGAUUUUGGAUGAAAUCGUCAUAAAUUUAUGACGAAUUCAUCAACGUCGUCUUAAAAAACGUCAAGUAUGAGCAUAUUUCUUGUAGUGUUCGUCUUCAAUCCAUCGGUAACAUUACUUGGAGCUAUAUUUUUAUUCACCACAUGAUAUGUGUUUUGCUUGGAGUGUCUUGUAUCUUAGGAGUCUUUUCUUUUUGUUGUGUCACAAUCAUCCUUGCUGCACACCUUUUUGAGAGAGAGAGAGAGACAUGCNNNNNNNNNNNNNNNNNNNNNNNNNNNNNNNNNNNNNNNNNNNNNNNNNNNNNNNNNNNNNNNNNNNNNNNNNNNNNNNNNNNNNNNNNNNNNNNNNNNNAACAGCUUGGUUUGGAUUACCACUAUGGGAAGGAGAUCAAUGAUUUGCUGUGUGGGAUUCAUGAUGCCGGCGAUGACGCCAGCGAUCUUCACACAGUGGCCCUUCGGUUUUAUUUGCUCAGGAAACAGGGAUUCAAUGUUUCACCAGGUAUUACAAACAUAACUAAAAUCUCAAAGAGGUGGACAGGUGUGAUUUUCUAUAAAUAUUUGUCCUAAUAGAACUAUGCACUAUACAUGACAAUGCCGCAGAUGUAUUCUUAAAGUUCAUAGAUGCCGAAGGAAAUAUUACCUGCAACGACACAAGAAGCCUUUUGGCCAUGUACAACGCUGCCCAUAUUCGAACCCAUGGUGAAGAAACACUCAGCAGUGCGAUGGCUUACACAAAAGACCAUCUCCAGCGUGCGGUGGAGCAACAAACAAUUCCACCAUCAAUAUUGCUCGAUCAGGUGCGGCGUGCGCAGGAAACACCUCUUUUCAGGAGGCCUCAAAGAGUUGAAGUGCGACACUUCAUCUCAGUUUAUGAGAGAAUNNNNNNNNNNNNNNNNNNNNNNNNNNNNNNNNNNNNNNNNNNNNNNNNNNNNNNNNNNNNNNNNNNNNNNNNNNNNNNNNNNNNNNNNNNNNNNNNNNNNAGCUGACAUUCGAUUAGUUCAUGUGANAUUCAGCCAUCUACGUGAUAUUUAUCGGUAACGUUGWMSUMAMGCAUCGGKGGAGGUCAUGGUGUUGAUGAAGAAGCCCUCCCUGUCCCGAAUCCCCCCUCCGGCAGGGCACCAGACGUGCCCCAGAUGGGAUCUUGCGAAGACAGAAGCUUGCGGCGGCGGAAAAGUACUUUCGAUGAUCUCCUGAUUUUUUACGGAAUUUUAGGGAAUAUAUAGGCGCAAAACCUAGGGCAAAGGAGCCUCAGGGAGCCCACAAGCCAAGGGGCCGCGGGCCCCCUCUGGCCGCGCCAUGAGGGAUUGUGUGGUCCCUGGUGGCCCCCUGCCCUGAUUCUCCGGCUCCCCGAUCUUUUUCUGCUCCGGAAAAAAUCUUUUUGGCAGUUUCAUUCCGUUUGGACUCCGUUCGAAAUCCUCCUCUAAAAGGGGUAAAAACAUGGAAAAAAUAGGAACUGUCUCUUUGCACUGAGUUAAUAAGUUAGUCACAGAAAAUAUAUAAAAGGCAUGCAAAACAUCCAAAGUUUGACAAGAUAAUAGCAUGAAACCAUCAAAAAUUAUUGAUACGUUGGAAACGUAUGAGUCCACCAGAAGGUCUGUUUCAAGUCCUGAUACAUCUUGGAGCUUCCUGGAUGUAUUGAGAGCAGAGAGUUAUGAGCUUCUUCCAUGAUUACCUUUCUGAGAUCACCUUUCGGAACGACAAGGCGAUCCUCAAAGAACAACGUGUCUCUGGCAUCAACACUGAAGCACUUAUAUUUGGGAAGUCCCUUUGCCUAGCCAAUCUUGACUUUCUUCACCAUUGCAUCAAGAAGCUGUGCUGCUCGGACCUGAUCUUCCAAGGUAGGAGAGAUCUGAAGAUUUGCAAGAAAUCCCUGAGGUACUAACUCAAGGUUGAGCUUUCUGAAAGAUUCACAAAGGUCAGGCUGGAGAGGCUUCAGAAUGAGACUGUUGCAAUAAGCCUUCCUGCUCAAGGCAUCUGCCCCGACAUUAGCUUUGCCUGGCGUGUACUCAACGCUCGGAUUAAAAUCUUGGAGCAUUUCCACCCAACGAGUUUGCCGGAGAUUUAGGUUAGGCUGGGUGAAGAUGUACUUGAGACUCUUGUGAUCGGUGAACACUUCAACCUUUCGUUCCAACAAGAGGUGUCUCCAAGUCAUCAGAGCAUGUACCACUGCUGCCAGCUCAAGAUCAUGCACAGGAUAAUUCUUCUCCGCUGGCUGCAACUACCCGGAGGUAUAAGCCACCACUUUCUUCUCUUGCAUCAGAACUGCACCAAGACCUUGAAGAGAGGCGUCGCAGAACACGUGGUAAGGUUUGGAGUCAUCAGGAGGAACCAAGACUGGAGUAGAGGUGAGCUUCUCUUUGCGUGUGUCGAAGGCCAACUGACACUCUGGAGACCAGGCAUACUUCACACCCUUUUGAAGAAGACUUGAGAGAGGCUUAGAAAUCUUGGAUAAGUUCUCAACGAAGCUUCUACAAUAGCUUGCAAGCCCGAGAAAGCUUCGAAGCUGCUUCACAUUCUGCGGAGGCUCCCACUGAACAAUGGUCUGCACCUUUCGACAUAUCAACUUUGAUGCCCUCGGCAGGGAUGAUGUGCCCAAGAUUGACGACUUCUUUCAACCAGAACUCACAUUUGGAAAACUUGGCAUAGAAUUUGUGCUCUCUUGACUUAUCAAGCACCAGCCUGAGAUGUUCUUCAUGUUCUUCCUCAGUUUUCGAAAAGACCAGAAUAUCGUCGAGAUACAGGAAGACGAACUCAUUCUUGAACGAAGAGAAUAUGUAGUUCAUCAUUUGACAAAAUGUCGGUGGAGCAUUUGCCAGACCAAAAGACAUGACCGUAUACUCAUACGAGCCAAAACUAGUCCUGAAAGCAGUCUUCGGAAUAUCCUCUUCGCAAAUGCAAAUUUGAUGAUAGCCCAUUCUAAGAUCGAGCUUGGAGAAGAUCUUAGCUCCUUUCAACUGUUCGAACAACUCAUUUAUGUUCGGAAGUGGAUACUUGUUUCUGAUUGUCUUCUUGUUCAAUGGACGGUAAUCGACACACAAUCGGUCCGUGCCAUCCUUCUUCUUGACAAACAUAACUCCACAGCCCCAAGGAGACGAGCUCGGUCUGAUCAGACCCAAACGCUCUUGCUCAUCGAGUUGCCUCUUAAGUUCCUUCAGCUCUUCUAGACGUUUGCACACAGCCUUAGUACCUGGUUCAAGCUCAADACAAUUCAAUUUCUCGGUSCURRARSCMYWCCYGWMAACGGGGGGGGUUAAACUUUUAAACGGGGGGUUACNNNNNNNNNNNNNNNNNNNNNNNNNNNNNNNNNNNNNNNNNNNNNNNNNNNNNNNNNNNNNNNNNNNNNNNNNNNNNNNNNNNNNNNNNNNNNNNNNNNNGUCUCCCCGUUUAAACGUUUACCCCCCCGUUCGGGUUUAACCGGUUUGGGUCCCCCGUUUUACGGGGUACCCGUAAAGGGUUUACCGUUCCUAACGGUUUAGGAAACCUUUAGGGUUUUUACCUAUUUUUACCGUUUAAAUUUAAACUUUUAGGGGGUACCCCUUUUUCUAAACCAAUUAAUUUGUCCAAUAUUAAAUGCAGACACUAUUUCAUAAUUCAAAUCAAGAAAACUCCAAGUCGAUUAAAAUCAUUCAUAAUAUAACAUCACAUAAUACAUCUCCAGGUUUACAUAAUACAAUAACUCAUCUGAUUCACACUUGACAAUCAGAUACCAAUUUUCACAGCUGAAGCAUCAACCCAGAAGAAUCUCAAAAGAAAAUACAGAAAUUAGCACUCGCUGUGAAGAAGUCAUCCUGCUCUUGCUUCCCCACUCCUAGUUUUGCAUCCCUGAUACCAGCUUUUAUGGGCUCUAGUAUACCUGCAUCCAAACAAAAUAAUGUAUUGUUUAGGCGCAGGAACUAGAUGGCAAUGCUAAAUUGAAAAAAAGUCUUUCGAAGAACAAAAUAUCAUCUCAGGUGAAACUGUAGCGUAAGUUUAAACAAAAUAUGAGGCAAAAAUAAAAGAAAAUGUUCAGAUCUUCAGGAAUAUGAAGUAACAGAUAUACUCUCGUUACCAAAGUUGGCGAGAAAACUGCUGCAGAUUAAUCUUCUCUGGGUUCUUUUAGAGUAGAAUAAAGCUACAAUAUGUGUUGUGAGCCUGUGAUGGUGGUAGCAUACUUAUGUCCUUCAGACCAUUAAAAAGACAGACACUAUGACUGGAACUUGCUUUACAUUACCACCACCGCACGAGAUCGCAACCCACCACCGCACGAGAUCGCAACUCACCACCGCACUGGACUAUAGGACAUGCAUGAACUAUAGGGUAUGCGUACACAGCAGCACUACACCAAUUAAUUUGUAAGCAUUUUUUGCUAUUGAAUUGAUAGCCACUAUUGCAUUGAUAGCCACUACAAAUUAAUUUGUACUAAAAAAACUAGGCUGAUAAAGGACCUCCACGGGUAGGAACCACCCAUCCAUCAUACGCAAACUAAAGGAUUUCGUCAUGCAAAACAAUGUCUAUCCAGCACCAAGCAAUUUUAUUUUAGGUAACAAUAACAGUGAGUAGCUAGAUGAGGUGCAAGCUAGCUGAAACACCAUUCGUUAAGUACCAAAACUACUCCCUUGGAUAAUAUAAGUGACCACCAAGAACUACCCAUACAUAUAUUCAGCAAGUUUGCAUCAGGUAGGCUAGUGUUAGCUAGCAUGGUAAGCAGAAAAACGAGAAAACUUAAAAACAAAUAGUGACAUGAUGAUUAUGAAAGGACUCUGGCAGUCUAACCAGACGGCAAAGUUGUCAGAAUCGCGACUCGGAUCUUAAAAUCACAAGACUUUACGACCCUACAUGUAGGAAACGACCCAACGCAAGCAUAGUCGUUUUUUGUUGAGUCGCUGUGGAGUCUAGCUACAAGUCGUAGGAUCGUGUAAAAUCGCAUGCUGAGUCGCUACCAUGAACGACUCUAGCUCAAGCUCUAAUCGUGCCUUUGUACUAAAGAUGAACGGUAGAUAUCCAAUACGCUAAGCCCUAUAUAAGUUAUCUCUUUUCCUUCCUGGAUCGUUAUCCUUUCGUGGCCGCCGCGCUGUGCCUCCGUUUCUCCGUCUCUCUGUAUUCUCAUCUAAAUCUGCCCUAGGAAUNNNNNNNNNNNNNNNNNNNNNNNNNNNNNNNNNNNNNNNNNNNNNNNNNNNNNNNNNNNNNNNNNNNNNNNNNNNNNNNNNNNNNNNNNNNNNNNNNNNNGGAAGUGAAGAUACUUGUGUGAUCCGAGAAUCAUCAUAGGCACGCCGUGCAAAGACACUAUCCUGGAAGUGUACACCUCUGCAAGCUGAGCUGCGGAGAUGGAUUCCUUGACUGGAAGAAAUCGAGCCACUUUACUCAACUUGUCGAUGACGACGAAGAUGGCAUGAUUACCCUCUUGGACUCGGAAACCCGGUGACGAAAUCCAUCUCAAUAUGGUCGAACUUCCACUCGGGAAUGGGCAAUGGAUGCAAAGACCCGCUGGACGUUGAUGCUCUGCUUUCACCCUUCGACAUACAUCACAUUCAUUUACGAACUGAGCAAUCUCACGCUUCAUGCGAGUCCAUGCUACGGCAACAAAAGUCCUUCCCCAGCAACGCCAGGAAUUCUUCUUGCUACUUCUCUUGUUUGCGUCGGUUUUUCCCUUGAAGACGAAAUGGCGAUGCAGCACAGGAGCAGUAAGUAUUUCCCUCAGUUUGAGAACCAAGGUAUCAAUCCAGUAGGAGAAUCUCGUCAAGUCCAGAGUACCUGCACAAACACAAAAGAGCUUGCACCCAACGCUAUAAAGGGGUUGUCAAUCCCUUCAAGAUUGAUUGCAAAGUGAGAUCUGAAGGCGGAAAGUGCAACGAAGUAAAAAGAGUAAGGCUGAAAAUAUGGUGUGGAGUAGACCCGGGGGCCAUAGUGUUCACUAGAGGCUUCUCUCAAAAUAGCAAAUUUCACGGUGGGUGAACAAAUUACCGUCGAUCAAUUGAUAGAACCGCGCAAAGUCAUGACGAUAUCUAAGGCAAUGAUUAUACAUAUMKKCWUYRCUAAUUCCAAUCUUGCCCUGCACUAUAGAGGGUAACAUUCUACGGGUAACACCCUGNNNNNNNNNNNNNNNNNNNNNNNNNNNNNNNNNNNNNNNNNNNNNNNNNNNNNNNNNNNNNNNNNNNNNNNNNNNNNNNNNNNNNNNNNNNNNNNNNNNNACAAGGGAAGCCAAAGAAUAUUCUCGAGUAUUAGCAGUUGAGUUGUCAAUUUAACCACACCUGAAAGACUUAGUAUCUACAGCAAAGUAUCAGUAGCAAAGUGGUGUGAUAGCAAUAGUAGCGUUAGUAAUAGUAGCAGCAGUGACAGCGGUAGCGACAGAGUAACAGUAGCAACAGUGACAGCAGUAGCGGCAAAGUAAUGUAGCAAGGACCAGUAGGAAAAACUCGUAGGCAUUGGAUCGGUGAUGGAUAAUUAUGCCGGAUGACAUUCAUCAUGCAACAGUUAUAACAUGGGGAGAUAUGUAACUAGCUCGUCAAUGUAAUGUAGGCAUGUAUUCCAUAUGUAGUCAUACGUGCUUAUGAAAAGAACUUGCAUGACAUCUCUUGUCCAUCCCUCCCGUGGCAGCGGGGUCCUAAUGGAAACUACGGGAUAUUAAGGUUCUCCUUUUAAUAGAGAACCGGAACAAAGCAUUAGCACAUAGUGAAUACAUGAACUCCUCAUACUAUGGUCAUCUCCAGGAGUGGUUCCGGCUAUUGUCACUCCGGGGUUGCCGGGUCAUAACACAUAGUAGGUGACUACAACUUGCAAGAUAGGAUUAAUAACACACAUAUAUUGACGAGAACAUAAUAGGUUCAGAUGUGAAAUCAUGGCAUUCGGGCCCAAGUGACAAGCAUUAAGAAUAGCCAAGUACUAGCAACAUCAAUCUAGAACAUAGUGGAUACUAGGGAUCAAUCCUCGUCAAAAACUAACUCGAUUACAUGAUAGAUAUCAUCCAACCCAUCACCGUCCAGCAAGCCUACGAUGAGAUUAGUCACGAACGGUGAAGAGCAUCAUGGAAUUGGCGAUGAAGGAAGGUUGGUGAUGACGAUGGCGACGAUCUCCCCUCUCCGGAGCCCAGAACGGACUCCAGAUCUGCCCUCCAGAGGAAGAGCAGGUGGUGGCGGUGCCUCCGUAUCGUAAAACGCGAUGAACUCUUCUCCUUGAUUUUUUUCCGGAUGAAAGGGACUAAAUAGAGCUGGAGUUGGAGGCGGCGGAGCCCUGAGGGCCCCACAAGCCUGCUAGGCAUGGCCNNNNNNNNNNNNNNNNNNNNNNNNNNNNNNNNNNNNNNNNNNNNNNNNNNNNNNNNNNNNNNNNNNNNNNNNNNNNNNNNNNNNNNNNNNNNNNNNNNNNAUAUGCCUUUUGACCAGGCAGUCGUAAUUUUUCAGAAUUUUUGAGGUACCAGAAGUAUACGAAGUAUACAGAUUGCUGCAAACUGGUUUGUUUUUUACAGAUUCUGUUUUCGUUGAGUUGGUUGCUUGUUUUGAUGAAACUAUGGUUAGUACCGGGGGGUACUAGCCAUGGAAAAGUGAGAAUACAGUAGCCCAACACCAAUAUAGAUAGAAUUCAAGUUUGCUACAGUACCAAAAGAGGUGGUAGUUUGUUUUCUUGUGCUAAUGUUAUCACGAGUUUCUGUUUAAGUUUUGUGUUGUGAAGUUUUCAAGUUUUGGGUGAUGUUCUCAUGGACAAAGAGAUAAGGAGUGGAAAGAGCUCAAGCUUGGGGAUGCCCAAGGCAUCCCAAGCCAAAUUCAAGGACAACWRRAMUCCGUUCGAAAUCCUCCUCUAAAAGGGGUAAAAACCAUGGAAAAAUAGGAACUGUCUCUUUGCACUGAGUUAAUAAGUUAUCACAGAAAAUAUAUAAAAGGCAUGCAAAACAUACCAAAGUUUGACAAGAUAAUAGCCAUGAAACCAUCAAAAAUUAUUAGGAUAACCGUUGGAAANNNNNNNNNNNNNNNNNNNNNNNNNNNNNNNNNNNNNNNNNNNNNNNNNNNNNNNNNNNNNNNNNNNNNNNNNNNNNNNNNNNNNNNNNNNNNNNNNNNNCCACUGUGCUGGAAAGCAAAAAGUAUGGAGUUUGAAUAAGUUCAAAAAAAUGAAAUCCCUUUUGUAAGAGAUGAGUUCUCGUUCGAAACGCUCAUACUUCGGGAGAGAUUGUCCGUUUUGUACACGAAGUGCAUCCAGUUUUUGUCGUAGCCCUCUAAACUUUUUAACACAUGCUAUGUGGGUGAAAUUAUGAUAGCAUGCCAACUUUCAACAUUUUCAGAGUUCAUUUGUAGUGCUUUUCAAUUUUAGGGUCAACUAGCCCAAAAAAACAAAAGUAAAUGCACAAGGAAUACCUAAUAAAGUCAGAAAUUGUUGAAAAUUUAUGAUGUGCCUUUGAAUGGUGCAUUUUAAACACACAAAAAGUAUGGAGUUCAAAUAAGUUCAAAAAAUGAAAUACCUUUGUAACAGAUGAGUUCUCAUUCGAAACCGUGAUACUUCGAGAGAGAUUGUCCGUUUUGUACACGAAAUGCAUCCAGUUUUUGCCGUAACCCUCUCAACUCUAUAGCACAUGCUAUGCGGGUGAAAAUGAUGAUACCAUGCCAACUUUCAACAUUUCUAGAGUUCAUUUGUAGUGCUUUUCAAUUUCAGGCUCAACUAGCUCAAAAAAAUAAGUAAAUUCACGAAAAAUAUCAAAUGAAGUCAGAAAUUUCAUAUUUUUUUGUUAAAAUCCUUAAUAGAAAACAAAAAAAGAGUCAACUAAAAAGAAUCAACUAAAAUAUUAACUAAAAUGAAUGAAUUAAGAAUAAUUUACUAAAAUUUUCAAAGUGCUUAUUUGUUGGAAAGAAUCAAGUAAAACAUUAACUAAAAAGAAACAAAAAAAGAUCUACUCAAUAGAAAACUAAAAUAGAAGAGAAAUAAUAAAUAAAGCAAAGAACAAAAAAAAUGGAAAAAAAUUGAAACUAUAUGAGAAUUUAUAGAGAAAAAUUCAACCUAAAUUCAAAGUGACCUCACUUUGAAUUCAGGUUGAAUUUUUGUCCAUAAUUUCAAAUAUAUUUUCAACUUUUAAAUUUAAAGUCUGUUUAGGCCCAUAAGCCUGCUUUAGAGAGGAGCUCGACACGGUUGGGACAACGGGGCUUAUAAACCAGUGGUGGCUCCUCUCGACAAGCGAGGUGGGACUAAACUUUGGAAUGCCGCCAGCCCAAGCNNNNNNNNNNNNNNNNNNNNNNNNNNNNNNNNNNNNNNNNNNNNNNNNNNNNNNNNNNNNNNNNNNNNNNNNNNNNNNNNNNNNNNNNNNNNNNNNNNNNAAGGGUUACGUUUAACCCCCCCGUUCCCAACUUAGUGGUCGACCACUUGGAGUAUGUGAGUGUGUGCAAGUAGCAUGUGAGGUGAGUUGAGCUUAGUGGGGUCACAUGUGAUAAAUCACUAUUUACCUCUUUGUGAUUCCAUGCAUUUCUUCUUCUUAGCUUUGUGCCCUUUUGUUCUAUGUAAGUACCUAGGUAUUAUAUAUGUUUUUGGGAUAGAAUCAUCCCAGGAAUCCAAUGGUGGAAUCAGAUUCCACUUUGGUACACUUUCUGGGAAUGUCAUUUUCUGUUUUGUUCAAUGUUUAGAGCUUGGUUCCAUGUGAGAUGUGAUGGGCCCAAGAGGAGGAUUCCGUGUUGUGGUAGUAGAGGGUGAACCCCUCUACAACAUGGUGUUGUUGUUUCAUGUUUAGGAGUUUAUGUGUGCAAGUGGUGCUUAGUAUAAGUAGGCAUGUGGCUGAAAUUUCAGAAACUCCUGAUAUUUUCUUCCCUUGUAGUUGUGCUUGUAAAUGUUCAUGUGUUGGGAAUCAACCCUUGCAUUCAACUCAAAAGUUGGAGCUUUCGUGUUUGUAUAGGUCUCUGUCAAUUUUCAUUCCACUUGGCUUCCUAUAGAUAUUGUUUUGGGUGCUAUCAAAAUGCUUCAGAGCAUAAACAGCUAGUGAGAAUCUGAGAUUUUCACUAAGUCCCUGAAAACUGGUAUUUUGUCCAUGUUAGCAGUUGUAGAACUUUCUGUGUGAAACUCCUUUGUACUAUAUUUUUGCUCAUGCUUGUAGAGCUUUUGAAUAGUUUCUGUCACAUAUCCUUUUGGCACAUUUGGAUGGCUGUAGGUGCUUUGCAUGUAGCUCUCAAACUGCUAUGAUGCUGUUUUGGAUAGAUUGUAUAGUUUUGAUGUUUUGAUGUUUGUGAGUGCAUAGUUGANNNNNNNNNNNNNNNNNNNNNNNNNNNNNNNNNNNNNNNNNNNNNNNNNNNNNNNNNNNNNNNNNNNNNNNNNNNNNNNNNNNNNNNNNNNNNNNNNNNNUGUGUGACACACACACACACACACAUGCACACACACACACACACACAACUCCACAUGGAAAUACUCACACUCACAUGCACAUAUGACAUACACCUACACACUCCUUGGGUGCUUGCACCACACAAGCACACAUGCAUAGGAGUUGCACCACAUAUAGUCAUAUGCAUAAGCACAUCACAAACACAAAGUAUGUGGGGGGGGGGGAACCCGACACACACACACACUUGCACAAGCUAGUGCAUCACUCACUUAUAAACACACACCACAUACAUCACUAGCUCACAAUACACAUAUGCACACAAAGCCUACACAUGCAUCACUACACAUACUAGCAAAAUAACUAGGCAACCUACUGGUAGGAGGCAAGCAAAAUACCAUACAUGCUGCCCUAGCUCUCCACAGAAACUAUCAUGGCAAACAAAAGAAAAACCAGCAAAAGGAAAGGCAAAAUAAAAUAAAAGGGCUUGGGGAUUCGAACCCAAGACUCCCUGGUUCACCACCAGGGACCAACACCACUGCACUACACCACUCUGGUUCGACAGAAGGGAUAGGGUAAACAGGUUAUGCACUCAACUGAAGCUACUGUGCCGAAAUCCAAACGGNNNNNNNNNNNNNNNNNNNNNNNNNNNNNNNNNNNNNNNNNNNNNNNNNNNNNNNNNNNNNNNNNNNNNNNNNNNNNNNNNNNNNNNNNNNNNNNNNNNNCUCCUCGAUCUCAAGCCGUCGCCGCCUCCCUCGCCGUGAUCGUCAUCGUCGUUSGCCGUCGCCUCCCUCGCCUUCGCCGUCGUCGUCGUCGCCGUCGCCCGUCCCUCGUCGUCGCCACCUGCCCCCUCCCUCCCGCUCUGGUAAGCCCCCUUCCCCUCUCCUGCUCCACGUAAGCCCCCUCCCCAUCCCGCUCCGGUAAGCCCCCCACCCCCUCCAGGCGUCGUCGCCCCCUCCCCUCCCGCUCUAGGCACCCCAAGGCUGCUGCCAUUUUGAUUUUAGGGCCAUCGGUUCAAUAUGUCAUUUUGAGAUGCAUGUUAAUAAGAAAAUUAAGAUAUGUUUGUUGAAGAUCUUUUGAUGGGCUAACUAGAAAGAAGGAAAAAAUCAUGUUUUUAAAUUUCAUGUAAGUAGGCACAUUAGGUUUGAAUUAGAAAACCAAUGGUUUCAAACAACUAAUUUAAACUUUGGAGAGGAAAAAGGGCACAUACAUAUUUCACCAACCUACAAAUAUCAUCCUUUUGUUGGUGUUAAUGCAUAAAACAGUAGUGAGUUUCUCACUUUUGCUUGCUAAGUUGUGCAAAGUUUUGCCGGAAUGUCAGAGUGGCCUAUGUUUUGCCGGAAUGUUGAUUCAUUUUCGUUCCGGCAAAUUUCAGGCGCUCCAUAUGUCCACUAUUUAGCAAAGGUCAUGCCGGAACUACCUUGUCUGAAUAAAUGUGUGAUAUAAACUCUGAUAUUAUCUAUGAGAUGGCAGAUGAUUCCCUAUUUGUCAUUAUAUUAUUAUGUAUGUGCUAUGUUAUCGUGCUUGCGAAACGCUUAGAUACGCUUCUUUCCAUUUUGGGGCCUCGUUCCCUAAAUCGGAAAGGACCGCAUCUUAGUCGUUACAAGUUGGUAAUCAGAGCCCUACGACCAUAGGAGCCUUUGUGUGAUCGUACUUGGCCGAGUCGAGUCUAGUAAAAUGUUUUGAGUCUUAGUUAUAUCGGAGAGUAGGAUUCUUUCUUCUCCUCUUCGAUUCUCUGGUGAGGUUACCAACUUAAGAAAUCUUAAUUCUACUCCUCUUCUCGCUCAAAUUUUUUUUAGGAUCAGGCGUGUAUUUUUGAAAUCUAUAUGAUAUCGAUGUGAUGGAGUUCUGUCUUGGUGCCUCUUGUCUACCUUGAUUUCUUCCGGGGAGUUGAGCUCCAGGGGAUUCUUGUGGACAUUGCUAUCAUUCAGAUUUCUGAGUAUCUCUGAACGAAGGAUGUUCGUAAUUGCUUCAGUACAAGUAGUGGCAAGAUAACCCCGAUGUCCCCAGUACUGGUGCAGAUUGUUCGGGAGUACUGCCAUACUUUGUAUCGUUGUGAUCACGAGGGUUUGUUGUAGAUGAAUGUCUGAGAUUCUGCUUAUGUGUUGACGGAUGUGAUACAGUGGACGAGUUAGUAUAGGAGUUGUGUGAAUAUUACUCCUUGUAUCCGUGUAUCAGAUUGCAUGACCUGAUAUUUCGGGAAUUCAUAGGUGGGAUAUCAAGUAGUGACUUAUAGGGAAAUCUUCCUACAGAUGCAUGAUGUGAGGUUGGGAUUCGACAUUCAGUGGGUAUGUUUGUUCACGAUCGUCUUACAGCGGUUCUCGUUGUGUCUUAAAGAGUCCGUGUAGCUUGCUACGACUCGGGGAUACUUCGUAAGUCGUGUGCACUACCUUGCACAGGAUGGCUACUGUAAAUUCGAGCCCGUGCGAUCUUAUCCAUGAAGAUGUCGGAUGAAAUCUCGAUCAUAUGUUUGUUCUGAGCAGUUCUAGCUCAUACUUGUUUGAAGUGGUCUUAAUCAGAAUUUUGUCGACAGUCACUUUGAGGAAGCAUUCUUACUAUUUUGUUCGAGUGCAAUUGCUAAUAUUCCUCUUGAGAUGUUCCUGCCUUUUUGAUUCAGCUAUACCGUCAAUUUAUUCAGUGGGCUAAUGUGUUGUCCGUCUUCAGGAUGGCUCCACCAACUCGUCAGAAUCCAGGUCGUGAGGAUGUGCCGCCAUCACCUCCUCCUCCGGAGAAUCCUCUUCCUCCGUCGCCUCCUCCUGCAGAGGCUUGGCAAGCGGUGAUGACUGCUACAAAUGCAAACACUCAGAUGUUGAUACAGUUCUUGCAAGAGAGGACUAAUCAGCAGCAAGGCAACUUCAAUCAUGGUGGCAAUCAGUUUGCUAAUCUGAGUUAGUUCCUGUCAAAUCAGCCGGAGACUUUCACUUCCUGUGACCAGCCAUUUGAUGCUGAGGAUUGGAUCCGCGACAUGAACAAGUACUUUGAAUGCAGCAAUGUUCGUCCAGAGGAUUUCGUCAAGUUUGCAACAUUCCAGCUGAAGGGGCAAGCAUCUAUCUGGUGGCAACAGAUGAAGGAUUCCAGGGGUGCUAGAGUGAACACUUGGGAUGAGUUCUGCCGUGACUACAUAUCCCACUACAUUCCGUCCAGCUUUGUGGAGGAAAUGCGUGAGAAGUUCAGGCGCUUGAAGCAAGGUGGUAACUCUGUGUACAAGUACAACGUCGAGUUCCACGAGCUAGCCCGAUACGCCUUGCAGGAUAUCCCUGAUCAGAAGAGCAGGAUAUAUCAGUUCAGAGGUGGCUUGAAAGAAUAUUUGCAGUUAGCUCUCGCUUUGCACGAUCCUGAGGAGUUCGAUAAGUUCUACAACUUAGCUCUCAAGGCUGAGGCAGCUUUGCUCAGGGUGGAUAAUUCUAAGAAGCGCUUCAGAGAUUCCAACUCGUCUUCCUCAACUCAGGUGGUUCAGAAGCAACAGAAGUAUAGGGUGUCUCCUCCUCCUUAGCACACGACGCAGUUCAAGCAUUCUGGUGGUCGUGGUUCUUCCCACCCACCCAACCCAGCUUUUCAACAGAGAUUCCAGCAGCAGAAGCAAGGGCCUCCUCAGACACAGUACCACCAGCCAGCAGAUGGUACUUGUCACAAGUGUGGGCGGAAGGGUCACUAUGCGAACAAGUGCACUUCUCAGCUCCGUCUUCCGCCUCCUCCUCCAGGCAAACCUCCAAGCAAUGCUCUCGUGAAGUUCAACCCCAGAUCUGCUCGAGUCAACAUGGUGAAUGCGGCUGAGGCAGAAAACUCGUCAGAUGUGAUUAUGGGUAACCUCCUCGUCAAUGAUAUUCAUGCUAAAGUGUUGUUUGAUUCUGGUGCAUCGCAUUCUUUCUUGUCAUAUCCUUUUGCUAGCAAAGCAUGAUUUCCAUCUUCAAGAGUUGGCUAAGUCUCUGGACAUUGUUUCUCCGGGGAUGCUUAUGAGUUCUUCGUUGGGUAGUUAGUUUCCGGGUAAGUGUUUCGUUGUCUAAGAAUGGGUUAGGUUAAUUCUUUUCUUCGGCGAAUCUCCUAUUGUCGUUGGGUCGAAUUUCCGGUACCAAUUUGGUAAUUUUGGUAANNNNNNNNNNNNNNNNNNNNNNNNNNNNNNNNNNNNNNNNNNNNNNNNNNNNNNNNNNNNNNNNNNNNNNNNNNNNNNNNNNNNNNNNNNNNNNNNNNNNUUAAAACCGGGGGGUUUAAAAAACGGUUUUAACCGGGGGUUUUUUUUUUUUUUUAACGGGGGUUUAAAAAAACCCCCCCCCCCCCCCGGGUUUUUUUUUUUAACCCCCGGUUAAAAACCCGGGGGGUAAAAAACGGGGGGGUUAAAAAACGGGGGGGGGUUAAAAAACCGGGUUUUUUUUUUUUUUUAAAACGGGGGGUUUAAAAAAAACCCCCCGGGGGGGGUAAAAAAAACCGGGGGUUUUUAACCCCCCCGGGUAAAAAAAAAAAAACCGGUUUUUAAACGGGGGGGUAAAAAAAAACGGGUUUUAACGGGGUAAAAAAAAAAACCCCGGUUUAAACGGGGUAACCCCCCGUUAAAAAAAAAAAAACGGGAAAACGGUUUUUUUUUUUUUAACCCCCGGGGGGUAAAAAAACCCGAAAGGGGAAAAAAAAAAAACGGGGUAAAACGGUUACCCGGGGGGGGGAAACGGGGGGGACCCGGGGGAAACGGGAAAACGUUACCCGGGGGGGCCCGAACCCSGGGRGGCGGAGAAUCSGGGCACGGGGCCACCAGGGACCCACAAGCCCUCAUGGCGCGGCCAGGGGGGCCCACAGCCCCCUGGCUUGUGGGCUCCCUGAGGCUCCUUUUCUCUAGGUUUUGCGCCUAUAUAUUCCCUAAAAUUCCAUAAAAAAUAAGGAGAUCAUCGAAAGUACUUUUUCGCCGCCGCAAGCUUCUGUCUCCGCAAGAUCCCAUCUGGGGCAUGUUCUGGUGCCCUGUCGGAGGGGGGAUUCGGACACGGAGGGCUUCUUCAUCAACACCAUGACCUAUCCAAUGAUGCGUGAGUAGUUCACCAUAGACCUACGGGUGCAUAGCUAGUAGCUAGAUGGCUUCUUCUCUCUCUUGGAUCUUCAAUACAAAGUUCUCCAUGAUCUUCAUGGAGAUCUAUCCGAUGUAAUCUUCUUUUGCGGUGUGUUUGUCGAGAUCCGAUGAAUUGUGGAUUUAUGAUCAGAUUAUCUAUGAAUCUUAUUUGAGUUUCUUCUGAUCUCUCUUAUGCAUGAUUUCAUAUCCUUGUAAUUCUCUUCGAGUUGUGGGUUUUGUUUGGCCCACUAGAUCUAUGAUUCUUGCAAUGGGAGAAGUGCUUGGUUUUGGGUUCAUACCGUGCGGUGACCUCACACAGUGACAGAAGGGGUAGCGAGGCACGCAUCGUGUUGUUGCCAUCAAGGGUAAAAAGAUGGGGUUUUCAUCAUUGGUUUGAGAUUAUCCCUCUACAUCAUGUCAUCUUGCUUAAGGCGUUACUCUGUUCGCCAUGAACUCAAUACACUAGAUGCAUGCUGGAUAGCGGUCGAUGUGUGGAGUAAUAGUAGUAGAUGCAGAAAGUAUCGGUCUACUUGUCUCGGAUGUGAUGCCUAUAUGUAUAAUCAUUGCCUUAGAUAUCGUCAUGACUUUGCGCGGUUCUAUCAAUUGAUCGACGGUAAUUUGUUCACCCACCGUGAAAUUUGCUAUUUUGAGAGAAGCCUCUAGUGAACACUAUGGCCCCCGGGCUACUCCACACCAUAUUUUCAGCCUUACUCUUUUUACUUCGUUGCACUUUCCGCCUUCAGAUCUCACUUUGCAAUCAAUCUUGAAGGGAUUGAAAACCCCUUUAUAGAGUUGGGUGCAAGCUCUUUUGUGUUUGCGCAGGUACUCUGGACUUGACGAGAUUCUCCUACUGGAUUGAUACCUUGGUUCUCAAACUGAGGGAAAUACUUACUGCUCCUGUGCUGCAUCACCCUUUCCUCUUCAAGGGAAAACCGCGCAAACAAGAGAAAGUAUCAAUAAGAAUUCCUGGUGUUAACACGUGUAAGGUUGGAGUCAUCAGGAGGAACCAAGACUGGAGUAGAGGUGAGCUUNNNNNNNNNNNNNNNNNNNNNNNNNNNNNNNNNNNNNNNNNNNNNNNNNNNNNNNNNNNNNNNNNNNNNNNNNNNNNNNNNNNNNNNNNNNNNNNNNNNNUUCGCAGACCACUGGGACUUGCGAAAUAGGAUUAAUCUCACCCUUUUCAUUCAAAGAUAACAGACGGAUUGUGUCAUCACGCGCCACGAAGAUAAUCACGUCCUCCGAAGAGUGAGUAAGCUUCACAAUCAAUGGAUGCCUUGUUCAUGGCCAACCAGUCCAUACCAAGGAUCAAAUCAAUGUCGGAAUUGCCCAAGACAAUAGGAGAUGCCAGAAAAGAAUAACUACCCAUCUUGACAGAAACAUCCGGAACAAUCCAACGAGAACUCAUAAGCAUCCCCGGAGAAACAAUGUCCAGAGACUUAGCCAACUCUUGAAGAUGGAAAUCAUGCUUUGCUGCAAAAGGNUAUGACAAGAAAGAAUGCGAUGCACCAGAAUCAAACAACACUUUAGCAUGAAUAUCAUUGACGAGGAGGUUACCCAUAAUCACAUCUGACGUAGUUUUCUGCCUCAGCCGCAUUCACCAUAUGUAUAUAUAUAUGUGUGUGUGAGUUAACUUAGUACUAACUUUAACUACGUUUAAUAAGUUGAAAGUUGGGAAACCUAAACGUAAACCNNNNNNNNNNNNNNNNNNNNNNNNNNNNNNNNNNNNNNNNNNNNNNNNNNNNNNNNNNNNNNNNNNNNNNNNNNNNNNNNNNNNNNNNNNNNNNNNNNNNGGUUACUUACCUACGGUUAAACGUAACGUACGUAACUAAUAACUUAUAAGUNUUCCUUUAGUUUAGGGUUGUUAGGUAGGUACUUACGAUUUAAUUUCUUACUUCUUGUCUUCUUAGAGUUAACAUGGAGCCUCGAAGGGAGCUCUAGUCAGAAUAGAGGAUGGUGCCCCUGCAUUUGGAAAGAAAAACGCUACAAGCAUUAUGUUUCUGUGAUGACGAAGCACAUGGACUUGGUGGAGUGUUGCAACUAAUUUUGUUGAUACCUUAUUACACAUCCAUCCGAACCGCCGGCAAAUGCCACAGACUCGUCCUUGAAGCAGCAGUCCAGAAGUGCUGCCUCCGAAUUCGCCUCCAGACGGAGAAUGGAUUUGUCUACAUCGUACAGCCGCAGCCCCUGCAGAACAAAAUUCCAAUCGAAGCCCUGUCAGCCAUCUCUUCCGCAAAGAUAAAGUGCUGGUUUCGUCUCAAAUAAAUGCAGCUGUAAAGUGAAUGGACUGCAGCAUCUCUCGUGGGAACAUGCACAGAUUAGUCACUAGUCACAGCUAUCAAGUCAGCCUAAGUUGCUACUAAUACAGUAUAUUAUACUUAUUACUUUAGGGAUGCUACCAGAGUUGAUACUCCUAGAAAAUGCAGUACUUGUUACGUUAUCAUUGACGCUAUUCCUUGCAGUGUGACGGCUUUACAAUGAACGACCCUGAAUGGUAGUAGUAGUAUAUUUCACUGAUCAUGGAGAAGACUUAAGACUGAAAUGAAUGCAGAGAAUACGACCAGGGAGGCGAAGCGCUGGUAGCAAAGAGAAGGAGUGGAGCACAUCUGGAGAGCGCGAUAUUGGAUCCCAUACCUAAGAUGAAGCCAAGGGCGCUCACGAGCGCCUUGUUGCAGAUGACAAUGAAGACCGAGGAGACCACGGAGAGGCUGAGCGCCCCCACUGUCCCCAACUGGAACUUCUCCCCCACCACCCCCAUCUCUGCCGGCUGGGUUUGCUAUUGAGCACCCGAAGCAAGAAGCAGCAGCAGCCGAGGAGCUUCCAGAGGCGGACCCCACCGGCAGGACCUGCGCAACAGGAAGAAGAUCACAUUUCGAUCAAGCAACCGCGACAAGAGAUGGGCUUCCCGCUGGUCAAAGCAACCGAGCGGCAACAGCAGCAGCACCGCGGUGCCACCAACCUCUGUGUCAAAAAUCCGAGCGCGUGGGGAGAUCUGAGGAGGGCGGGGGGUGAGGGAUCUGAUCGGAUCGGGGUAAGCUCCGCCCGGACUGGCGGUUGCACGGUUCAGGGUGCGUUCUUGGAUCUGGAUCCUGCAGGAGAGGGAGGGAGCUCUCCUGGAUCUGGAUCCUGAAGGAGAGGUAGAAAAUGGAGGGGAAUGGGGAACAUGGAGGUAUGUUGAAUGGGGAAUGGUGGGUGAGGAGGAUGGCGAGGUGGGCGAUUGGUGGGAGUGGCGGGGAAAGGACAGGAUCGGAAGGGGGGCGGGGACGGGGAGGAGGGUGGCGGCGGCGAGGAGAUGGGGAGGAGGGAGGGUCUGAGCUAGGGUUUGGGCUGUGGUUGGGGUUUNNNNNNNNNNNNNNNNNNNNNNNNNNNNNNNNNNNNNNNNNNNNNNNNNNNNNNNNNNNNNNNNNNNNNNNNNNNNNNNNNNNNNNNNNNNNNNNNNNNNGGGCAGAUGAAAGUUGAAAUUUAAUGCUGAAUGCCAACUAUUUGAGAGAUGCAUGCUAGGGCAUAUAUGAUUCUAGACUCCUAAAACUUUUUAGUCCCUUACAUACUUUUGGCUAGCUCAUGUCACACUGCAAGCAAUUCAAUAAUGUGAUAUCUCAAACUACUUUACCAUCUCUUACAGGCAAGGUGCAUGGAGGUAGGCUAAGCUUCGUCGUCUUCCAUUGGACUGCCCCACUGCUGCCGGCGACGCUGUUUGGCAUCGGCACGGUGAGCUCCUCUCCCUCCUCUGCUCCGUGCCUUCUAUCCCCAGUUGCUCUGAUGAUCCUCGUGGCCUUCGAGCCACGGUCAUGGUGUGGGUCUAUGGCCUUCGUUCCAUGGCUGUCUGGCAAAGUUGUCAGAAUCGUGAUUCUGAAACGGAUCGGAAAGUCUUCGGUAGAAUCGAGUCGUAGAAUCGAAGAUUCUACGGAUUGGUUUCGAAACAACGGUCAAUGUUGAUGCAGAUGAGGAACACUAAGUUUUAUGGGUAAUUUGCUCUGAGGCAUUCUAUGAUGUNNNNNNNNNNNNNNNNNNNNNNNNNNNNNNNNNNNNNNNNNNNNNNNNNNNNNNNNNNNNNNNNNNNNNNNNNNNNNNNNNNNNNNNNNNNNNNNNNNNNUUACCUUCGGCGGUUGUCUGGGUAAGGGAACGUUUGUUUGUCCGUAGCAUGGACGUCGCAUGAAGACGUGAGAGUUGUCUCAGUUCGUUAAAUAGAAUAGUGUAUGUAUGUCGAAGGGUAGGAAAGACAGAGCAUCAACGUCCAGCGGGUCUUUGCAUCCAUUGCCCAUUCCCGAGUGGAAGUUCGACCAUAUUGAGAUGGAUUUCGUCACCGGGUUUCCGAAGUCCAAGAAGGGUAAUCAUGCCAUCUUCGUCGUCAUCGACAAGUUGAGUAAAGUGGCUCAUUUUCUUCCAGUCAAGGAAUCCAUCUCCGCAGCUCAGCUUGCAGAGGUGUACACUUCCAGGAUAGUGUCUUUGCACGGCGUGCCUAUGAUGAUUUCUUCGGAUCACACAAGUAUCUUCACUUCCAAGUUCUGGGACUUUUUUCAGUCUGCGAUGGGCACGAAGAUACGCUUCAGCAUAGCUUUUCAUCCUCAGACUAGUGGUCAAGUGCAGAGAGUCAAUCAGGUCCUUGAGGAUAUGCUGAGAGCAUGUGUUAUCUCUUUGGGCAUGAAGUGGGAAGACUGCCUGCCUUUCGCUGAGUUCUCGUAUAACAACAGUUAUUAAGCUAGUUCAGGCAAAGCUUCGUUUGAAUUCUCUAUGGAAGGAAGUGUCGUACCCCGCUCAACUGGUCCGAGACCGGCGAGCGUCAGAUUCUUGGAAAUGACUUGAUAGAAGAAGCUGAAGAGAUGUGUCGGGUCAUUCGGGAUAAUCUCAGAGCAGCGCAGUCCCGUCAGAAGAGCUAUUAUGAUAGCAAGCAUCUUGACAUGUCUUAUGAGCUCGAUGACUUCGUCUAUCUCAAGGUCUCCCCUAUGAAGGGUACACAACGCUUUGGCAUCAAAGCCAAGCUUGUGCCUCGUUUCGUGGGUCCUUUCAGAGACGGAGAAACGGAGGCACAGCGCGGCGGCACGAAAGGAUAACGAUCCAGGAAGGAAAGAGAUAACUUAUAUAGGGCUUAGCGUAUUGGAUAUCNNNNNNNNNNNNNNNNNNNNNNNNNNNNNNNNNNNNNNNNNNNNNNNNNNNNNNNNNNNNNNNNNNNNNNNNNNNNNNNNNNNNNNNNNNNNNNNNNNNNAGUGCAUCUCUUGUAUGGCAAUCCCUACUCAUUCACAUUGAUAUCUAUUAAUGGGCAUCUCCAUAGCCCUUUGAUACACCGAGUCAAUGUGACCAUCUCCUCCUUUUUGUCUCACAACCACCACCACACUCUAUUCCACUUAUAGUGCUAUAUCCAUGGCUCGCGCUCAUGUAUUUGCGUGAUAGUUAUAAAAAGUUUGAGAAAGUAAGAGUGUGAAAGCAAUUACUUGGCCAAUAUCGGGGUUGUGCAUGAUUUACAUUAGUUGUGUGAGGAUGACGGGGCAUAGCCACACUAUAUGAUUUUGUAGGGAUAACUUUCCUUGGCCUUGUUAUUUUGAAAGUUCAUGAUUACUUUGCUAGUUUGCUUGAAGUAUUAUUGUUUUCAUGUCAAUAGCAAACUAUUGUUUCGAAUCUUACGGAUCUGAACAUUCACGUCACGUGAAAUAAGUUGCAAAGGACAACUAUGCUAAGUAGCAUUCCACAUCAAAAAUUCAUUCUUUAUCACUUCCCCACUCGAGAACGAGCAGGAGUUAAGCUUGGGGAUGCUUGAUACGUUUCCAACGUAUCUAUAAUUUUUGAUGGUUUCAUGCUAUUAUCUUGUCAAACUUUGGAUGUUUUGCAUGCCUUUUAUAUAUUUUUUGGGACUAACUUAUUAACUCAGUGCCAAGAGCUUUUUCCAUGUUUUUGACCCCUUUCAGAGGAGGAUUUUGAACGGAGUCCAAAUGGAAUGAAACUGCCAAAAAGAUUUUUUCCGGAACAGAAAAAGAUCGGGGAGGCGGAGAAUCGGGGCACGGGGCCACCAGGGACCCCACAAGCCCUCAUGGCGCGGCCAGGGGGGCCCACAGCCCCCUGGCUUGUGGGCUCCCUGAGGCUCCUUUUCUCUAGGUUUUGCGCCUAUAUAUUCCCUAAAAUUCCAUAAAAAAUAAGGAGAUCAUCGAAAGUACUUUUUCGCCGCCGCAAGCUUCUGUCUUCGCAAGAUCCCAUCUGGGGCACGUCUGGUGCCCUGCCGGAGGGGGGAUUCGGACAGGGAGGGCUUCUUCAUCAACACCAUGACCUCCCCGAUGAUGCGUGAGGAGUUCACCAUAGACCUACUUGUCUUAUGAGCUCGAUGACUUCGUCUAUCUCAAGGCUCCCCUAUGAAGGGUCACAACGCUUUGGCAUCAAAGCCAAGCUUGUGCCUCGUUUCGUGGGUCCUUUCAGAGUUGUUGGCAAGAGAGGCGACCUUGCAUAUCAGCUCGAGCUCCCGUCAAACUUUGCAAAUGUGCAUGACGUGUUCCAUGUCUCUCAGCUCCGGAGAUGCUUCAAGACUCCCAAGCACACUGUUCAUCUUCAAGACAUCGACCUUCAACCCGACUAUCCUAUCGUGAGCAUCCAAUUGUGGUUCUCGAGGCGACUGACGCGCAAGACCCGCAACAAGACUUUCAAAUUUCUCAAGGUGCAAUGGUCACACCAUUCCGAUAAAAAGGCCACUUGGGAACGCGAGGAUCACCUCCAUUCUGAAUUCCCAGAGUUNNNNNNNNNNNNNNNNNNNNNNNNNNNNNNNNNNNNNNNNNNNNNNNNNNNNNNNNNNNNNNNNNNNNNNNNNNNNNNNNNNNNNNNNNNNNNNNNNNNNAAAUGAGAGACCGAACAAACAACGCACCAUCACCGCACACAACACACCACACCCAGGUAGUUGCCUUUGCAACUUAUUUCACGUGACGUGAAANGUUCAGAUCCGUAAGAUUCGAAACAAUAGUUUGCAUUGACAUGAAACAAUAAUACUUCAAGCAAACUAGCAAAGUAAUCAUGAACUUUCAAAAUAACAAGGCCAAGGAAAGUUAUCCCUACAAAAUCAUAUAGUGUGGCUAUGCCCCGUCAUCCUCACACAACUAAUGUAAAUCAUGCACAACCCCGAUAUUGGCCAAGUAAUUGCUUUCACACUCUUACUUUCUCAAACUUUUUAUAACUAUCACGCAAAUACAUGAGCGCGAGUCCAUGGAUAUAGCACUAUAAGUGGAAUAGAGUGUGGUGGUGGUUGUGGAGACAAAAAAGGGAGGAGAAUCGGGUCACAUUGACUCGGUGUAUCAAAGGGCUAUGGNGAUGCCCAUUAAUAGAUAUCAAAUUGGUGAAAUGGAAGUUAACGGGGGAAUUUGGCCCAUUACCAAGGAAGUACGCACUAGAGUACUNNNNNNNNNNNNNNNNNNNNNNNNNNNNNNNNNNNNNNNNNNNNNNNNNNNNNNNNNNNNNNNNNNNNNNNNNNNNNNNNNNNNNNNNNNNNNNNNNNNNCUAGAUGCAUGCUGGAUAGCGGUCGAUGUGUGGAGUAAUAGUAGUAGAUGCAGAAGUAUCGGUCUACUUGUCUCNGACGUGAUGAUGCCUAUAUGUAUGAUCAUUGCCUUAGAUAUCAUCAUGACUUUGCGCGGUUCUAUCAAUUGCUCGACAGUAAUUUGUUCACCCAUCGUGAUAUUUGCUAUUCUGAGAGAAGCCUCUAGUGAACACUAUGGCCCCGGGUCUAAUCCACACCAUAUUUUCAGCCUUACUCUUUUUACUUCGUUGCACUUUCCGCCUUCAGAUCUCACUUUGCAAUCAAUCUUGAAGGGAUUGAAAACCCCUUUAUAGAGUUGGGUGCAAGCUCUUUUGUGUUUGCGCAGGUACUCUGGACUUGACGAGAUUCUCCUACUGGAUUGAUACCUUGGUUCUCAAACUGAGGGAAAUACUUACUGCUCCUGUGCUGCAUCACCCUUUCCUCUUCAAGGGAAAAACCGACGCAAACAAGAGAAGUAUCAAUAAGAAUUCCUGGUGUUGCCGGGGAAGGACUUUUGUUGUUGUAGCAGAAGAAUUUCUGGCGCCGUUGCUGGGGAAGGACUUUUGUUGCCGUAGCAGAAGAAUUUCUGGCACCGUUGCCGGGGAGGAUCAAUUCAAGAACUCAUCCAAGUAAGUGUCACAAACNNNNNNNNNNNNNNNNNNNNNNNNNNNNNNNNNNNNNNNNNNNNNNNNNNNNNNNNNNNNNNNNNNNNNNNNNNNNNNNNNNNNNNNNNNNNNNNNNNNNCGUUGAGUUGGUUGCUUGUUUUGAUGAAACUAUGGUUAGUACCGGGGGGUACUAGCCAUGGAAAAGUGAGAAUACAGUAGCCCAACACCAAUAUAGAUAGAAUUCAAGUUUGCUACAGUACCAAAAGAGGUGGUAGUUUGUUUUCUUGUGCUAAUGUUAUCACGAGUUUCUGUUUAAGUUUUGUGUUGUGAAGUUUUCAAGUUUUGGGUGAUGUUCUCAUGGACAAAGAGAUAAGGAGUGGAAAGAGCUCAAGCUUGGGGAUGCCCAAGGCAUCCCAAGCCAAAUUCAAGGACAACAAAAAUCCCAAGCUUGGGGAUGCCCCGGGAAGGCAUCCCCUCUUUCCACUACAAGGAAUAUGCUAAUACACGACGCUAUAUUUUCGUCGCUACAUCGUCACGGUUUUUAGUUUACGACGAUCUCACGACGAAAAACCAGCGUCGAAAACGGAGCGUCAGAAAUGAWCCGCUCAGGCUGAACCAGCAUAUUUGUGACUAUGCCCUUUAAUGAACAUAUAUGUCGGAGACCUAUGGUUUAUGCUGAAUUCUACUUCUGUUUAUGAGCUUAUCCUAUAUAAUUUUACCAUGUUAAUUUUUUACAUAUGUACACUACCUCUCGACAUAAUUUCACGAUGAAUUUUUUUUGGUGUGAGUUGUACCAAAAAACAUAUAUUUUAAGCACAUGGACGCUCACUACAAAAACUCGUCCAUUUUGAUUUUGUGUAGCUCACAAAACAUAUUUGUUCAUGAAAUUUUACACGGAAAUGUCUAAAAGUAUUGUACUGGUAGGAUCGCGUAGAAUCUUCGAUUCUACGACUCGAUUCUACCGAAGACUUUCCGAUCCGUUUCAGAAUCACGAUUCUGACAACUUUGCCAGACAGCCAUGGAACGAGGCCAUAGACCCANNNNNNNNNNNNNNNNNNNNNNNNNNNNNNNNNNNNNNNNNNNNNNNNNNNNNNNNNNNNNNNNNNNNNNNNNNNNNNNNNNNNNNNNNNNNNNNNNNNNUCCGUCACGCGGAGUGAUAAAUCCCAGUCUUGAUCCAUGCUAACUGAACGGACACCUUCGGAGAUACCUCUAGAGCACCUUCAUAGUCACCCAUUUACGUUGUGACGUUUGAUACACACAAGGUAUUCCUCCGAUGUCAGUGAGUUACAUGAUCUCAUGGUCAUAGGAAUGAAUACUUGACACGUAGAAAACAAUAGCAAUAAAAUGACACGAUCACAUGCWACCUGGGAAUACCAGAAGUAUGCCAUUGGAGUGUGUUGUGAUGGAUUUGUUCCGUAGAACUCCAUUUCUUGUUUUGUUGUUUCCGGUUGAUCCAUAGCUCCGUUCGUAACGUUCUUUAUAUGUUUUUGCAUCGUUUUCGUGUGAUACAUCCGUUCAUGUCAUCCACAUGCAUGUCAAGAUAGCUUAGAGUGCAGUUCUGUCCAGAAGUUUGUACUUUCUUCUCAUGCAUGUGCAAGUGACUAGAAUAGAGAUGCAUGUUCAUUCUCAUCUCAUGCAUCAUGUGUUUGUUGCAUAUUGUGGURSKRUCGCGUAGAAUCUUCGAAUUCUACGACUCGAUUCUACCGAAGACUUUCCGAUCCGUUUCAGAAUCACGAUUCUGACAACUUUGCCAGUACAGCCAUGGAACGAAGGCCAUAGACCCANACCAUGACCGUGGCUCGAAGGCCACGAGGAUCAUCNNNNNNNNNNNNNNNNNNNNNNNNNNNNNNNNNNNNNNNNNNNNNNNNNNNNNNNNNNNNNNNNNNNNNNNNNNNNNNNNNNNNNNNNNNNNNNNNNNNNUUUGUGAAUAUUUGCACCACUAAAACAUAGUUUCAAAACAACAAAUACAUAACAUCACAUCCACCACAAUCAUACUAAAACAUGGGCAUUUUUGAAACCGGAAUGGAGCAAGAGAAUUUUGAGCUUGAGAAAAUAGAGAAGGGGAGUUUUAUAAAACCUAUUGCAACUAACAUAGAUGCUUCCUACUUACAAUUGCACCACUCCAGAACACUUCACAUAGAACCACAUAUCAUCACAUGUCAUCACAACACAUACACAUGAUCACAUUAGCAACAACACAAGAGACAUGGAUGAAUGGAUGCAUGAAUGCAAAAGAAACAAGGCGUGCACAUGAAAUACCACAUGGAAUAUAACUCUCAUUGCAAAGACAAGAUGGUCUCACAUACAGAAGGUUCCAAAUAAGGCAAGUUACACUCUUGGGGCAUUACAAACUCUGCCACACUACAAAAAGAUCUCGCCCCGAGAUCUAAGACUGAAAGAACUCUGGGAAUUCAGAAUGGAGGUGAUCCUCGCGUUCCCAAGUGGCCUUUUAUCGGAAUGGUGUGACCAUUGCACCUUGAGAAAUUUGAAAGUCUUGUUGCGGGUCUUGCGCUCAGUCGCCUCGAGAACCACAAUUGGAUGCUCACGAUAGGACUUAGGUCGGGGUUGAAGGUCGAUGUCUGAAGNUGAACAGUGUGCGUUUGGGGAGUUCUUUGAUAUUGGAUCCUACAUAUUCUACGAAGAUACUUAUCUAGUUNNNNNNNNNNNNNNNNNNNNNNNNNNNNNNNNNNNNNNNNNNNNNNNNNNNNNNNNNNNNNNNNNNNNNNNNNNNNNNNNNNNNNNNNNNNNNNNNNNNNACAUCCGAGACAAGUAGACCGANACUUUCUGCAUCUACUACUAUUACUCCACACAUCGACCGCUAUCCAGCAUGCAUCUAGUGUAUUGAGUUCAUGGCGAACAGAGUAACGCCUUAAGCAAGAUGACAUGAUGUAGAGGGAUAAUCUCAAACCAAUGAUGAAAACCCCAUCUUUUUACCCUUGAUGGCAACAACACGAUGCGUGCCUCGCUACCCCUUCUGUCACUGGGUGAGGUCACCGCACGGUAUGAACCCAAAACCAAGCACUUCUCCCAUUGCAAGAAUCAUAGAUCUAGUGGGCCAAACAAAACCCACAACUCGAAGAGAAUUACAAGGAUAUGAAAUCAUGCAUAAGAGAGAUCAGAAGAAACUCAAAUAAGAUUCAUAGAUAAUCUGAUCAUAAAUCCACAAUUCAUCGGAUCUCGACAAACACACCGCAAAAGAAGAUUACAUCGGAUAGAUCUCCAUGAAGAUCAUGGAGAACUUUGUAUUGAAGAUCCAAGAGAGAGAAGAAGCCAUCUAGCUACUAGCUAUGCACCCGUAGGUCUAUGGUGAACUACUCACGCAUCAUUGGAUAGGUCAUGGUGUUGAUGAAGAAGCCCUCCGUGUCCGAAUCCCCCCUCCGACAGGGCACCAGAACAUGCCCCAGAUGGGAUCUUGCGGAGACAGAAGCUUGCGGCGGCGAAAAAGUACUUUCGAUGAUCUCCUUAUUUUUUAUGGAAUUUUAGGGAAUAUAUAGGCGCAAAACUUAGAGAAAAGGAGCCUCAGGGAGCCCACAAGCCAGGGGGCUGUGGGCCCCCCUGGCCGCGCCAUGAGGGCUUGUGGGGUCCCUGGUGGCCCCGUGCCCCGAUUCUCCGCCUCCCCGAUCUUUUUCUGUUCCGGAAAAAAUCUUUUUGGCUAGUUUCACUUUCCGUUUGGACUCCGUUCAAAAUCCUCCUCUGAARGGUACAAAAACAUAGGAAAAAGCUCUUGGCACUGAGUUAAUAAGUUNNNNNNNNNNNNNNNNNNNNNNNNNNNNNNNNNNNNNNNNNNNNNNNNNNNNNNNNNNNNNNNNNNNNNNNNNNNNNNNNNNNNNNNNNNNNNNNNNNNNAUUGUUUUGAUUGAAGUGUUGACGUUUGAAACUUAUUAUUAUUGAUCGCUAGUUGAUUAUGCCAUUGAUAUGAGUUCCUCUUGAGACCUAAANGUCAUUGCUUAUGUGGUUUGCUCAUGAUCUUGCUCGAAAUCUGAAUAUGUAAGAUAGCAGUCUAAUUACUAGACUUUCUAGCCGAUCAUUAACAACAAGUCUAGCAAUUAGUGACCAGCUAGAUAUUCUAUUAAUCGGCUUGUAGUGAUCGGCUMGAAAUUAUAGUACAGAGACAAUGGAUGGAUCGGAUAGAAUACAGUACAGAGACAAUGGAUGGAUCGGAUAGAAUACUAGAAACAGUGAUCAGCCAUUAGCCGUAUAAUUACUAGAAUUCUACUAUCACGACUUCACAAGUAGUAGUAGCAGACUUGUUGUAUACAUCURCGCRAUCCUACCAGUACAAUACUUUUAGUACAUUUCCGUGUAAAAUUUCAUGAACAAAUAUGUUUUGUGAGCUACACAAAAUCAAAAUGGACGAGUUUUUGUAGUGAGCGUCCAUGUGCUUAAAAUAUAUGUUUUUUUGGUACAACUCACACCAAAAAAAAUUCAUCGUGAAAUUAUGUCGAGAGGUAGUGUACAUAUGUAAAAAAUUAACAUGGUAAAAUUAUAUAGGAUAAGCUCAUAAACAGAAGUAGAAUUCAGCAUAAACCCAUAGGUCUCCGACAUAUAUGUUCAUUAAAAGGGCAUAGUCACAWWURUKYUGGUUCAKCYWRARYKKWCAAUUCCUAAUCCCCUUGAUCUUUGGGUCUACACAAAAUAUCCCAUCUAGUAAGUCUAGUACUUUUGUCUUAGACGCUCAUUCGCUUUGCCAGAAAAAACGGGCCGAAAGAAAUCCAAUCUUUUCGCUCCCCCAACUACGGGGACUUUCCGGAAAGUAACGGANNNNNNNNNNNNNNNNNNNNNNNNNNNNNNNNNNNNNNNNNNNNNNNNNNNNNNNNNNNNNNNNNNNNNNNNNNNNNNNNNNNNNNNNNNNNNNNNNNNNACCCCUGGUCAUAAGGAAUUAUGACCUAUUUAAAUAAAAUAUAAAAGGAAUUUUUGGAGCAUAAAAAUAUUUACAAAACAUAAUUUAGUUGAUGUGUUUUGUGAAUAUUUGCACCACUAAAACAUAGUUUCAAAACAACAAAUACAUAACAUCACAUCCACCACAAUCAUACUAAAACAUGGGCAUUUUUGAAACCGGAAUGGAGCAAGAGAAUUUUGAGCUUGAGAAAAUAGAGAAGGGGGAGUUUUUAUAAAAACCUAUUGCAACUAACAUAGAUGCUUCCUACUUACAAUUGCACCACUCCAGAACACUUCACAUAGAACCACAUAUCAUCACAUGUCAUCACAACACAUACACAUGAUCACAUUAGCAACAACACAAGAGACAUGGAUGAAUGGAUGCAUGAAUGCAAAAGAAAACAAGGCGUGCACAUGAAAUACCACAUGGAAUAUAACUCUCAUUGCAAAGACAAGAUGGUCUCACAUACAGAAGGUUCCAAAUAAGGCAAGUUACACUCUUGGGGCAUUACUGCACAGUGUUCGAGGUUAUGCUUCCACGGUCCAUUUUGCAUGAAAAUAUGUUUAAACAAAAGGAUAUAUACUACAUGAUGUGUGUUAAAAUUUAAGUUGUUUAAUUAAUGCAUAUCGUACAUCUAUUUAGAGUUGUGCAAUGGAAGUAUGCUAGUUCAUUUGAUGCCAGCCUCCAACAGGAAAGUACAAUACUGGUGUGUGCUAAUUAUAUUUAGUUCACCUGCGUCGGAGUGAAUGGCCUGAAACCAAGGNNNNNNNNNNNNNNNNNNNNNNNNNNNNNNNNNNNNNNNNNNNNNNNNNNNNNNNNNNNNNNNNNNNNNNNNNNNNNNNNNNNNNNNNNNNNNNNNNNNNACUCAAACAAAGGAUAUAAUCUAGGUAGAAAUAAUCUUUGCUCUAAUAAUGGAAAGGUAUUCAUAAAGUAAUACCUACACCAGUUUUACUUCUCGAAAUAGAAUUGAGUAACAACAAGGUGGUGAAACAUAGAGCAAGUAUUGUAGCACAAGGGUUCUACGCAAGAUACCCAACGUAUUCCUCCAGAGGUGGAAUCUCUUUCUGUAUAAUUUCUAUUAUUGGCUAGAUGAACUAUAGGGUAUGCGUACACAGCAGCACUACACCAAUUAAUUUGUAAGCAUUUUUUGCUAUUGAAUUGAUAGCCACUAUUGCAUUGAUAGCCACUACAAAGUUAAUUUGUACUAAAAAAAACUAGGCUGAUAAAGGACCUCCACGGGUAGGAACCACCCAUCCAUCAUACGCAAACUAAAGGAUUUCGUCAUGACAAAACAAUGUCUAAUCCAAGCACCAAGCAAUUUUAUUUAGUACAUUUGGUCCAGUUUCAGUUUUGCCCUUUUUUCAUUUUGAAUUCAGCAACUUUUUCUAGUAACUUGGUUUCAUUUCUAAUUAUUGGGCCUUUUCAACAUUAUUGUCCAAUAUUAAAUGCAGCACUAUUUCAUAUUACAAAUCCAAGAAACUCAAGUCGAAUUAAAUCAUUCAUAUAUAACAUCACAUAAUACAUCUCCAGUUACAUAAUACAAUAACUCAUCUNNNNNNNNNNNNNNNNNNNNNNNNNNNNNNNNNNNNNNNNNNNNNNNNNNNNNNNNNNNNNNNNNNNNNNNNNNNNNNNNNNNNNNNNNNNNNNNNNNNNCCACAUACUGUUUCUAUACAACUUCAAGUGAGGGUCUUUACUCUGUUGUGUCCAUUCACUUAUAAGUGUAAUUGAUAAGUUACUGACACACAUAUAUAUAUACAUGUGCAACUUCCAUUGGAUUUUGUUGGACAUUCAAAUUGAUAAGGGAAGAGUUGAUGCCUUCGACCCAUAUCGAGACCCUUGGAACAGUUCCAAAGCCUGCAGGACAUGCUUCAAGGGUAAUUCAAUCAUUCUUGCGCUCUAUCGGUCUCUUUCGAUGAUUUUCUGAUAUAUCAAUUAAUGAAAAACUUAGCAAAUCAUUUUCCUUGUCGGGCAGGGUUUAGAAGCGGUUCAAGUGCGUGACUCCCGGUAUUGAGCAUGAGAAGCUGACCUUUAGAGCGGCUCAUGUAAGUAGUUGCCGGGACCCCGAUCCUAAGCCAUAGGAAUCCAGCCUGUAACACAUCGCAUCCCUUUGUGGUCUCACGCACGGUUAACUCCACGGCUGCAGCCUUACCUUAGCCGGGACCGUUUGCGUCUUUUGACUCACGUAUGCGAUAGUGUCGCUAGCAUUCCAAUGUUUUGGCUGUGUUAUAAGGUGUGAGUAUUGAGUAAGACUCGAAACCUACACACGGUGAAAAAGAUGGGUAUAGAUCCGUCAAGGAUCAAGCCCAGCAACACUACCUUUAAAGGAGUGAUCUCNNNNNNNNNNNNNNNNNNNNNNNNNNNNNNNNNNNNNNNNNNNNNNNNNNNNNNNNNNNNNNNNNNNNNNNNNNNNNNNNNNNNNNNNNNNNNNNNNNNNUACUAUUGUCCGCUUUCAGGCUGAACCAGCUAUAUUUUGUGACUAUAGCCCUUUAAUGAACAUUUAUAUUGUAACGGAGACCUAUUGGUUUAUGCUGAAUUACUACUUCUGUUUAUGUUAGCUUAUCCUAUAUUAAUUUUACCAUGUUAAUUUUUUACACUAAUGUACACUACCUCUCGACAUAAUUUCACGAUGAAUUUUUUUUUGGUGUGAGUUGUACCAAAAAACAUAAUUAUUUUUAAGCACAUGGACGCUACUACUACAAAAAACUCGUCCAUUUUGAUUUUGUUGUAGCUCUACAAAACAUACUUUGUUAACAAUGAAAUUUUUACACGGAAAUGUCUAAAAAGUAUUGUACUGGUAGGAUCGCGUAGAAUCUUCGAUUCUACGACUCGAUUUCUACCGAAAGACUUUCCGAUCCGUUUCAGAAUCACGAUUCUGACAACUUUGCCAGACAGCCAUGGAACGAAGGCCAUAGACCCACACCAUGACCGUGGCUCGAAGGCCACGAGGAUCAUCAGAGCAACUGGGGAUAGAAGGCACGGAGCAGAGGAGGGNNNNNNNNNNNNNNNNNNNNNNNNNNNNNNNNNNNNNNNNNNNNNNNNNNNNNNNNNNNNNNNNNNNNNNNNNNNNNNNNNNNNNNNNNNNNNNNNNNNNAAGCAGCAGUCCAGAAGUGCUGCCUCCGAAUUCGCCUCCAGACGGAGAAUGGAUUUGUCUGCAUCGUACAGCCGCAGCCCCUGCAGAACAAAAUUCCAAUCGAAGCCCUGUCAGCCAUCUCUUCCGCAAAGAUAAAGUGCUGGUUUCGUCUCAAAUAAAUGCAGCUGUAAAGUGAAUGGACUGCAGCAUCUCUCGUGGGAACAUGCACAGAUUAGUCACUAGUCACAGCUAUCAAGUCAGCCUAAGUUGCUACUAAUACAGUAUAUUAUACUUAUUACUUUAGGGAUGCUACCAGAGUUGAUACUCCUAGAAAAUGCAGUACUUGUUACGUUAUCAUUGACGCUAUUCCUUGCAGUGUGACGGCUUUACAAUGAACGACCCUGAAUGGUAGUAGUAGUAUAUUUCACUAAUCAUGGAGAAGACUUAAGACUGAAAUGAAUGCAGAGAAUACGACCAGGGAGGCGAAGCGCUGGUAGCAAAGAGAAGGAGUGGAGCACAUCUGGAGAGCGCGAUAUUGGAUCCCAUACCUAAGAUGAAGCCAAGGGCGCUCACGAGCGCCUUGUUGCAGAUGACAAUGAAGACCGAGGAGACCACGGAGAGGCUGAGCGCCCCACUGUCCCCAACUGGAACUUCUCCCCCACCACCCCCAMUCUCUGCCGGCUGGGUUUGCUAUUGAGCACCCGAAGCAAGAAGCAGCAGCAGCCGAGGAGCUUCCAGACGCGGACCCCCACCGGCAGGACCUGCGCAACAGGAAGAAGAUCACAUUUCGAGUCGAAGGCAACCGCGACAAGAGAUGGGCUUCCCGCUGGUCAAAGCAACCGAGCGGCAACAGCAGCAGCACCGCGGUGCCACCAACCUCUGGUGUCAAAAAUCCGAGCGCGUGGGGAGAUCUGAGGAGGCGGGGGUANAGGGGAGUCGUGGAUCGGAUCGGGGUAAGCUCCGCCGGAUGGCGGUUGCACGGUUCAGGGUGCGUUCCGUGGGAUCUGGGAGUCCGUGGCGAGGGAGAGGGAGGGAGCGUCGUCCGUGGGAGUCGUGGGAUCCGUGGAAAGGNGAGGUAGAAAUGGAGGGAAUGGGGAACAGUAGGAGGUANNNNNNNNNNNNNNNNNNNNNNNNNNNNNNNNNNNNNNNNNNNNNNNNNNNNNNNNNNNNNNNNNNNNNNNNNNNNNNNNNNNNNNNNNNNNNNNNNNNNAUCCCUUAGAGCAUCUCCAGUCGUUUGUCCCCCAUCGCACCUUGACGAAAGCCUUUUUGGCGUUGAGCCGACGCUUUUCUUGCCCUCGGGGCGAGCGAGUUUCCAGCCGUGCCCCCAGGUUUGGGUCCCGGGACGCCAACGGUUUCAAACUUGUCUUUUUCCGGCACCACAAAGUUUGACGAUCGUGCCACAAGUCGGCGAUCAGCAUGCCAUAGUUCGGCGAUCAACACACCCAGUAGUUCGACGAUCAAAAAGGAAGGAUCUUUUUUCUAUUUUUUUUAUUUGGGCUCUUUGGCCUCUUUUUUCUCCUCACAUGGGACAAUGCUCUAAUAAUGAUGAUCAUCACACUUUUAUUUACUCACAGCUCAAAGCUCAAAAUAAUGAUGACUCUAUAGAAAAUGCCUCCGGCAGUGUACCGGGAUGUACAACGAUCUAGCAUGGCGUAUGACGUUGAAAACAUCUCGCUGGCUAUCUUACGAUCAUGCAAUGACAAUAUGAGACGUGAACGGCACGAAGUCAWGAGCAGAGUGGAGUGAUGCAUAUAUNNNNNNNNNNNNNNNNNNNNNNNNNNNNNNNNNNNNNNNNNNNNNNNNNNNNNNNNNNNNNNNNNNNNNNNNNNNNNNNNNNNNNNNNNNNNNNNNNNNNUAGAACGUAGGAAAGGGAAAGGUAGGAACGAAGGUAGGUAAGGGUUUAAGUUUUAGUUUUUGUCUAUGCUAUUGUAGAGUAUCGUUAGGUAAUUGAUAUGUUACUUUCCUACUAAGUUGUAGAAACACCAGAAUUAGACAAAUCACUUAUUCUCUAAGAAAACUGACUUUCGCCCUCGCAUGUUGUUGAAUAGUAUACUCUGUAAAACACAUAUUUUCCCCCUUGCAUGCUGUUAAAGACACUACUCAGCCGAUAUUCCAAUUGUUAAUCUAUAUAUUACAUCGCUUGAUAUAAGAUAAUGUGACAGUUUUAAUACAGAAGUUUAUUUUGGCUUGAAGAGACUACACAACAGAUAUUCCAAUUGUUAAUCUAUAGAUAACACCGCUUGAUAUAAUAUAUGUGGUAGUUUUAUUAUAGAAGUUUAUUUUGGCUUGAAGAGACUACUCAGCAGAUAUUCCAAUUCAGCUUGCAACAAAAUAAAUGUGCAUUUUAUUUAGCCUCAUUCCAUAAGCAGCAAGUAAAAUGCAUUUUAUUUAGCCUCAGUUGGUAAGCAGCAAUCCAACUUACCACUAUAAAUCACACAUCUAUAUAACAUCAUCCUAUCGCGGAUGCUACAUUUAUUGCCUUGGAAAUUGAAUAUGUGAGAAAUNUUUCAUUGGCUAGUUAGAAGUAGUGCCAUCCACUCACAGNNNNNNNNNNNNNNNNNNNNNNNNNNNNNNNNNNNNNNNNNNNNNNNNNNNNNNNNNNNNNNNNNNNNNNNNNNNNNNNNNNNNNNNNNNNNNNNNNNNNUAAUCUGGUUUGUAUUGUCCCUAAACCACUCAUGUGGUGACAAAGGGCGAUCUAGUAUCUUCCUAUGCUAGGCGUGUUAUCCUUCGAUAUCGUGUUUAUUCACUAUCUAUUCACGGGUAAAGGGGACGGUAAUUGGAAUGCCCAGUUCCAUGCUCAAAUCGAAAAGUAUAAUUGCAAACAUAACUCCCCCCUGGUAUUGUUGUUGGUAUGGAUGGCAACCCGAGUAUUACGGCUAGCCGUUGGAGUGUGAUUGAUUCGGUGGUGUGGGAGUCAAACUUUCUUUCUAUUUGGGAACCGCCUAUAGUAUGGUGUAGAAUGGAAGAUGGUGAAAACUAUUGGUCAUUGCCGUUGACAAUGAAAGCUAUGCCACCCGAAAUUAUUUAUCUCUGUCUACAAAGCUUGAGCUCCGGCACCUCUGCAAAUCAAUGCUUCCCUCUGCGAACGGCCUAUCUAUUUAUGUUUCUGUUGAGUCAUCCACUUCUUAUAAAAGCACCAAUUAGAGAGAACCUCUGUCAUUUCUAUGCUUUGCUUUUUAAUUGUUAAUGAGUAUGACUGUGACUGGAUCUUUCUUUGCCAUGAAUUACAAUGUUCAGUCAACCCUUGGUCUUUGAAGGUGCUCUACAUUAUUGUUUUGCGGUUCUCUAGAAGAGCUAGCGAGAUACCAUCUGUUCAUUAUUGCUUCAUGUAUUGUUUUGUAGUUAGGUAAGUUGGUUUAGGUACCGGUUUUAGGUAAACUUUAAUUUAUUAUUGUAUCUCUUAGUUGUAUUAAGUUGUCCUAAUUUGGUAAUUAUUAGGUAACGGGUUUUUACCCGUUUCCUUUAGGUAACGGUUAACCCUUAAAAAGUUUCGUUACGUUAANNNNNNNNNNNNNNNNNNNNNNNNNNNNNNNNNNNNNNNNNNNNNNNNNNNNNNNNNNNNNNNNNNNNNNNNNNNNNNNNNNNNNNNNNNNNNNNNNNNNUCUGCGGAGGCUCCCACUGAACAAUGGUCUGCACCUUUUGACAUAUCAACUUUGAUGCCCUCGGCAGGGAUGAUGUGCCCAAGAUUGACGACUUCUUUCAACCAGAACUCACAUUUGGAAAACUUGGCAUAGAAUUUGUGCUCUCUUGACUUAUCAAGCACCAGCCUGAGAUGUUCUUCAUGUUCUUCCUCAGUUUUCGAAAAGACCAGAAUAUCGUCGAGAUACAGGAAGACGAACUCAUUCUUGAACGAAGAGAAUAUGUAGUUCAUCAUUUGACAAAAUGUCGGUGGAGCAUUUGCCAGACCAAAAGACAUGACCGUAUACUCAUACGAGCCAAAACUAGUCCUGAAAGCAGUCUUCGGAAUAUCCUCUUCGCAAAUGCAAAUUUGAUGAUAGCCCAUUCUAAGAUCGAGCUUGGAGAAGAUCUUAGCUCCUUUCAACUGUUCGAACAACUCAUUUAUGUUCGGAAGUGGAUACUUGUUUCUGAUUGUCUUCUUGUUCAAUGGACGGUAAUCGACACACAAUCGGUCCGUGCCAUCCUUCUUCUUGACAAACAUAACUCCACAGCCCCAAGGAGACGAGCUCGGUCUGAUCAGACCCAAACGCUCUUGCUCAUCGAGUUGCCUUCUUAAGUUCCUUCAGCUCCUAGACGUUUGCACACAGCCUUAGUACCUGGUUCAAGCUCAAUAACAAUUCAAUUUCUCGGUGCGGAGGCAUUCCUGUCAGCUCUUCUGGAAACACAUCUUCAUAUUCGCAGACCACUGGGACUUGCGAAAUNNNNNNNNNNNNNNNNNNNNNNNNNNNNNNNNNNNNNNNNNNNNNNNNNNNNNNNNNNNNNNNNNNNNNNNNNNNNNNNNNNNNNNNNNNNNNNNNNNNNCCUUUUAAGCAACAACUAUGUGAGUUCUUCAUGACUAAUGUGAGUCCAUGGUAUAGAUGCCACUUUCCCCUUCCACCUUUGCUAGCCUCUUAGUGCUGCGCAAUUCUCACCGGUGCACAAACCUACCAUAUGCCUUCCUAAGGCCGAAACGAAGCCCAAAUAAGAAAAAGACCCAAAAAUAAAACCAGCCCAUAUGAUCAAUUGAAAUGGGUUGGGCUGAUUUCAACUAUGAUGUUUUGAUUUCGUCGUAAUUUUGCCACGUAGGACUGCCAUGUAGGACUGGGUUAGAUUGUCAACGACGAUUUAGGAUCGUCGUAGAGGUUACGACGAUCCAUGAAUCGUCGUAAAAGUUACGACGAUUUUGAUCAAAACAUCGUUGCUGUUCAUUUCUAACGCUCCGUUUUCGACGCUUGGUUUUUCGUCGUGAGAUCGUCGUAAACUAAAAACCGUGACGAUGUAGCGACGAAAAUAUAGCGUCGUGUAUUAGCAUAUUCCUUGUAGUGGAAAGAGGGGAUGCCUUCCCGGGGCAUCCCCAAGCUUGGGAUUUUUGUUGUCCUUGAAUUUGGCUUGGGAUGCCUUGGGCAUCCCCAAGCUUGAGCUCUUUCCACUCCUUAUCUCUUUGUCCAUGAGAACAUCACCCAAAACUUGAAAACUUCACAACACAAAACUUAAACAGAAACUCGUGAUAACAUUAGCACAAGAAAACAAACUACCACCUCUUUUGGUACUGUAGCAAACUUGAAUUCUAUCUAURUGUGGUGUUGGGCUACUGUAUUCUCACUUUUCCAUGGCUAGUACCCCCGGUACUAACCAUAGUUUCAUCAAACAAGCAACCAACUCAACGAAAACAGAAUCUGUAAAAAACAAACCAGUUUGNNNNNNNNNNNNNNNNNNNNNNNNNNNNNNNNNNNNNNNNNNNNNNNNNNNNNNNNNNNNNNNNNNNNNNNNNNNNNNNNNNNNNNNNNNNNNNNNNNNNUUCUAGUAUUCUAUCCGAUCCAUCCAUUGUCUCUGUACUGUAUUCUAUCCGAUCCAUCCAUUGUCUGUACUAUAAUUUCUAGCCGAUCACUACAAGCCGAUUAAUAGAAUAUCUAGCUGGUCACUAAUUGCUAGACUUGUUGUUAAUGAUCGGCUAGAAAGUCUAGUAAUUAGACUGCUAUCUUACUUAUGUGCUUUACUUCCUAAUUAACACUACUCUUAUUUUUUCGUUUUUAUUUAUUUUAGGGCAAUCUGUCGAAAGUACCCGAUGAUGUCCGAGCAAUGUUCCUGAAGCUGUUACAAUGUCAGGAAGAACAGAGUGAUGCAAAGAAGAGGAAGUUAGAACAGAUAGCAACUGAUACUCAUGAAGUAAAUGCCAUAGAAGAGAAUGACCAAGAUCAUGUUGGAGAUCAGCUGGCAAACUAGAGUAAAACCCAGACAACUGUGAAUCAAUUCUACAAAAAACUUAGUGAACUAUUUACUAUUGUCCGCUCAGGCUGAACCAGCAUAUUUGUGACUAUGCCCUUUAAUGAACAUAUAUGUCGGAGACCUAUGGUUUAUGCUGAAUUCUACUUCUGUUUAUGAGCUUAUCCUAUAUAAUUUUACCAUGUUAAUUUUUUACAUAUGUACACUACCUCUCGACAUAAUUUCACGAUGAAUUUUUUUUGGUGUGAGUUGUACCAAAAAACAUAUAUUUUAAGCACAUGGACGCUCACUACAAAAACUCGUCCAUUUUGAUUUUGUGUAGCUCACAAAACAUAUUUGUUCAUGAAAUUUUACACGGAAAUGUCUAAAAGUAUUGUACNGGUAGGAUCGCGUAGAAUCUUCGAUUNNNNNNNNNNNNNNNNNNNNNNNNNNNNNNNNNNNNNNNNNNNNNNNNNNNNNNNNNNNNNNNNNNNNNNNNNNNNNNNNNNNNNNNNNNNNNNNNNNNNUUUCAUUGUAUACUUAAAUUUUUCUGUCGAAAUAAAGUACAUAGAUAUGUAACUGAAAUUAUUCUAACUUCAUAGUUUACCUUAAAUAAUUACAAAGGUAAAUAAGACAAUUCCUACUGCCAUACUCUGAACGAAUUCUACCAGGCUUUAUGAAGUGUAACACGUCAAUACAAUUAGAUCUUCUAGUUGGAUGGAUCAGAUUUUAUUUCUACUUCUGUCUCUUAGAGUUAACAUGGAGCCUCGAAGGGAGCUCUAGUCAGAAUAGAGGAUGGUGCCCCUGCAUUUGGAAAAGAAAACGCUACAAGCAUUAUGUUUCUGUGAUGACGAAGCACAUGGACUUGGUGGAGUGUUGCAACUAAUUUGUUGAUACCUUAUUACACAUCCAUCCGAACCGCCGGCAAAUGCCACAGACUCGUCCUUGAAGCAGCAGUCCAGAAGUGCUGCCUCCGAAUUCGCCUCCAGACGGAGAAUGGAUUUGCUACAUCGUACAGCCGCAGCCCCUGCAGAACAAAAUUCCAAUCGAAGCCCUGUCAGCCAUCUCUUCCGCAAANNNNNNNNNNNNNNNNNNNNNNNNNNNNNNNNNNNNNNNNNNNNNNNNNNNNNNNNNNNNNNNNNNNNNNNNNNNNNNNNNNNNNNNNNNNNNNNNNNNNGGUGUUUAGAGUCUUAGAUACUAUUUCAGAAUGGUGGGAUUACAUCAAUGUACUUAACUGUCUUUUAAUUGGCAUAGAUAUCCUGUUGCACAUAACGAGGAUUUAUUAUGUUUUUGCAUAAUAUUCAUCACCAAAUAUAAGAGACAAGCUACAAACUAAAUGGAUCCCAAACUUAUCCAUGAACCAAAAACUGCAAAGAAAAUCGAACAUGACAUAUAUUUUCAGUUGUAAGUAUGUAACCUCGUGUGAAGCCACAUCGUUGAUGACACGACCGAUGACCCAAGAAAACUGCAAAUAAAAUCAAACAUGGCAUAUAUUUUCAGUUUUAAGUAUAUAACCUCGUGUGAAGCCACAUCGUUGAUGACACGGCCAAUGAUGCAAGAAGCUCGCAUGAUUUUGGGAUAGGUCAUGGUCCAUUCGAUGGCAUCAACGCUUGCCCCUAUGACAACGAGGGCAAGGCAUACAAUAUGCAUGCAACAAGAGCUAGGCACCGAGAAUCGCAGGUGAUCCUCAACAGUAACUGAUGUUUCGCUGUCCUCACGCCAUUUUGCCUCGUUGUAGUAGCAUUUCGUAGCAUCGAUUAGCUGCACAAGUACAAUGGUAUAUUUAUUUUUCCUGGGAAAAUUAAUUGUCGAUAUCCAUACACAUAUUUCUUUCAUGUAGCAGAUUUGUCUUACGAGCGAACAUAAAGAAAACAUAAGCUAGGUGAUAACUUCUAUCAACCAAUAUUGUAAUAUUAGUUUUGUAGGUUUUUUGAAACGAAUUCAACAAUUAAGAUGAACCAUGCAACGACUACACUGUUUAUGAGUUAAAAUAUUUUAAACUUCAAAUUUCUGCAGAGCCUCGAUUAUUUCAUCACUUUUAUCUACUUGUACACCCAUGCACCAUACAUCGACUACACUGUUGAUGGGUUAAAAUAUUUUAUACUUCAAAUUUAUGCAGAGCCAUGAUGAUUUCAUCACUUUUAUCUACUUGUACACCCAUGCAAAUGGCCCUGCAUCAAUUGCUAAAUGCGAUUCAGGGGAUCCGUACCAUAGUGCUAGUUGCGUUCCAUACAUAAUGAUCUUAUGCAAGUAUUUAACGAUAUAUUUUUGUUUAAUUGAACAUGUUCAUGAGACAUCGACUUACUAGCUUUUUUACAUAGUUUGCAUGCUUGUUUCCUUGACUAUCCAAGUCUUUUUCAAUAACCUUCAUGGUAGCAAGUACUUUGUUGUAGAAGAACUUCAUGUAACCUGGGAGCUGUUCAGCAGCUUGUUCAUCCCACCUAACAAGAAUGGUUAGUUGUUCCAGAAUUAGUAUCAAGCAACACAUUAAUUGGUUAUUAAAACCACCCUAUCCCACACUUCUAUAUAGAGACCUUUCCAUUGCCAUGGUGAGGAGUUUGCUUUCUUCUAAGGUGCUGUAACUGUCGUAAAUGUCAUCAAAGAUCGAUAUAAAUGUAAAGAACUUAGUGAGCACGAUUCGUCCGUAUGAAUAUUGUGGCUCAAAUAGAACUCCUAGCAUCCAAAAGUGCAUCUCCACCAUCCGGUCUCGUGCGAAGCUCAAAUGGUCUUGGAGUUGAAGUUCUUUCCACCACCUGCAAAUAAACCAUGAGCUCAGAUUGUAAUGGUACGAUAGAUGGUAUAUAUGAAACGCAUGUCAAGAGUUAAGAGGCACCGCGUUGUGUCUGGACUUAGAGUUUAGUGAUGAAAUAUAAAUUCCACCAAGGGAAAGUAGGUGAAAUUAUACCGACAUAAUAGCAGAUUUCAUCAUAGAGAGUCACUUACAAAGUAAGAGCCCUCAGCUCCUGACAGUACAGAGCUUGCAGAAUACUGAAAUCCAGCUUUGCAAGCUCCAAAAUGGCCUCAUUCCUUGUACUCGUGAUAUUUGCUAUUCUGAGAGAAGCCUCUAGUGAACACUAUGGCCCCGGGGUCUAAUCCACACCAUAUUUUCAGCCUUACUCUUUUUACUUCGUUGCACUUUCCGCCUUCAGAUCUCACUUUGCAAUCAAUCUUGAAGGGAUUGAAAACCCCUUUAUAGAGUUGGGUGCAAGCUCUUUUGUGUUUGUGCAGGUACUCUAGACUUGAUGAGANNNNNNNNNNNNNNNNNNNNNNNNNNNNNNNNNNNNNNNNNNNNNNNNNNNNNNNNNNNNNNNNNNNNNNNNNNNNNNNNNNNNNNNNNNNNNNNNNNNNAGUGAUAUUAUUGUAGUUGAAAAAGCUCGAAUAAUUUCGUAUAUACAGCCAAUUCCCUUAUAGAUAUUUGAAAAAAUAUUUUCUAGAACACCAUCUAUUUUGGAGGCGGGAUAAUAGUUAACUGGUCAUACAAACUACAUACCAUAAAAUAUUGGUUAACUAAUAGAAAAGUUAUUUAACUAGAGAAGGAUAACUGGUCUCUGCAUCAAUUGAUGCAUUGAUGUAUGUAGCCAUAUUAAUAGAAGGUAAUAUCACUUUGUUAAUAUGACAAUUUUUCCUCUCUCGUGAAUCAGCGAGAACAAGAACAGAGCUCUGGUGAGAGGCCCGUGAUAUCAACGGUGGAAGCGUGCAUGGAGGAGAACAACUACACUGCAAAGGAAGAUGCAUACAGAAAGCUCAGGGAGCUCAUAAAGGAGUCAUGGAUGGACAUCAUUGAGGAGAUGCUCAAGUCAGCCGCCACACGGCCGACAGCGCCCCUCCUAGAGGCCGUGGUGAAUUCAACACGGAUGUUGGACUUCUUGUACAAGGAUCAAGACGCGUACACCGAUCCACGAGCACUCAAAGUGGUAGUAGAUUCUAUAUAUGCAAAUCCUAUAUAGAGAAAAGUAUUUCAAUUUGUAUAAGCACAUAAUCAUGCUAUGAGAAACCAUAUAACUCACCACUCUAUCAUGCAAUGUAUCCAUGAUAGAACUGUGAGAAAAAAAUGUACUAGGGAUACCCCUUUAGUGAAAGAAUUAUUGUACUCCAAUUGUAUCUUACACAAAUUUUCACGUCCAAACAAUCUGAUUCACAUUUAUGCUUUAGCAGUCAAUAGAUACCAAGUGCUAAGGACCACUAGUACAAUGCUGGUGGUGUGUCGCAGUCGGUGUUAAAGAAAAUAUACAUUUGCUGCUCAUAACGGUUUUAGCAAAUGCAUUUUAGGCAUACUAUUUCCUUUUUUAGGCAAUCGUUUCUUGCCCAAACUGAAUACAGCUCUUGGUGUGGACUUCCAUAUCAUUGUCGAUACAGAACAAUCCAUGUGAGGCCACAUGAAGAAUCCUUUGUGCCCCCACUGUGAAACCGAUAGGCGCAGCUCCGCUACUAACUUCAUGAAAAAUAUGUUUUGUGCGGCCAAAAGUUUCAGAAAACGAAACCGCUAUCUGUUGGCCAAACAAGUUGAUGAAUGGAUAGCGAUGUUUCUUAGCUAGGACAGACAAUGUCACAGCUGUCACAAUGGCUUUAUUGGCGAUGCCAAUAAUACUACUCCCUCCGUUCCAAAAUUCUUGUCUUAGAUUUGUUUAGAUAUGAAUGUAUCUAGUCAAGUUUUAGUAUUUACAUACAUCCACUUCUAAAUAAAGUUAAGACAAAUUUUUUGAGACGGAGGGAGUAUUAUUGUUGGCUGCAGCACUUCAGCAAACUAAUUAUCGGUGCUUGUAGCUCGUGCUAAAAUGCUAUCAAGUGUGCUUCUGUAUAACCAUCUGAAGAUUUCUUUUGUGAUCAAUAUCAAUAAAAAAAUAGUCUAAUCAGUUGUUGGGUAAUCUAUUAGGGCAUGUGAGUUAAUCACGUUGCCCUGUACACAUAAGAUUAGGAAAAAAAGCCAAACCGAGUCCUAGUAGUAUUAGGAUACCUAGUCCUAGUCUAUUUCCAUAGUCUCUUGUGUAUGUGUAUAAAAGACACCCUAGGGGUGGUGAUUGUAACACCAGAUUAGAUAGCAAAGCAAUAUAAAGUAUUACAACGGGAUCGACACGAGCCUGUGGCCAUCAACGAUUCAGUGCCUUCGUGUUUUUACGUUCUUGUUGAGAGAGCCGAGUUGAUCCGUUGCCACGUGAUUGAUCCAAUCAACCGAAGCUAGCCGGGUGAAGCGUAUUCAUACUCAAGUCUCUGGCUAAUUGCACGACGUGUGUACAGGGGCUAAUGUGCUUGUUCGAGUUAGCUUUGCACGUACACAUACGUGGUGCUCCUGGGUGUUUUGAUCUACGGUUUAAAAGCCAACAAUUGGUAUCUAGAGCCUCGACGAUCUACGAUCUACGAUGACGGACAGCGACGCUGAAUCGGUCAAGUCCGGCAGUGGCCGUGCCAAGGUGAACAAGAACGACGACAAGGUGGAGAAGGACGGCAAGUCAGCGACCAGUGGUGGGGAAACGGGCGGCGCCAACGUCCAAGCGCAUCGCAACAUCCCCAUCCAGUACCCGAUGCUCACCGAUGUCAACUAUGGCGUGUGGACGGUGAAGAUGAAGAUUAUUCUCCGAACCCUCCGAGUGUGGCAGGCAAUCACGGACGACGACGUCGAUGACGAGUCCGAUGAAGGUGCCAUGGCCGCCAUAGCCCAGUCCGUGUCGGAUUCCGUGUUGAUAACAUUGGCGGAGUUCGAGACGGCAAGAGAGGCGUGAAACGCACUCAAGGAGAUGACGAUCCGAGAAGAUCGCGUCACCAAGGCUCGGGCACAAGUGCUGAAGCGCCAAUUUCACAAGUUGCAGAUGGAGGAAACUGAAUCGGUGAGCGACUACGCCAUGCGUCUUACUACUUUGGUGGGAGAGAUCCGCGCGCUUGGUGCAAAGCUUGAGGAGACCGAGAUUGUGGAUAAAUUUUUCAGUUCGAUGACUGACAAAUUCACGUACAUCAUCGGCACGCUCGAGCAGCUUUACGACAUCGACGACAUGACCAUAACGGAGGCGAUCGGACGCCUGCAGACGUGAGAAGAGAAUGCUCGUGGUUGUCGAAAAGGCAACGGAGGAGGUAGUGACCAACUCAUGUACUCGCGUGCAGAUUGGGAGUCCCCAAGUAGAAAAGGAAGGCGUGAUAGCAACGAAGGCUCAAGCAACGCAAUGCGCGGCGGACAAACCGGAGAAGGCAAAGGAAAAGGCAAGCCACAAGGUCGUGGUAAGGCAGACCGAUCUAAAGGGUGGAAGUAACGUUACUUGGAUAUGUCCGAGGUCAAGUGUUAUAACUGCAACGAGAUGGGUCACUUUGCAAAGAAUCGUCCGGAGCCUGACAAGCGGGAGAUCAAGGCUAAUUUGGCAAAGCAGGAAGACGAAGGUCCAGGUCUUCUGAUGGCCGAAGUUUGUGAUCUCGCUGAAACGGUGGUUGUGAAACCAAGCCAGAAGCUGCUACUUCAUGAGAAGACUGUGACAACUAAGUUAUUCGGGGAUCAUAAUGUGUCGUGGUAUCUCGACACGUGUGCCAGUAACCACAUGACGGAUGCAAGGAGAAAUUUCUCGAGCUGGAAUAUGAUGUUGAAGGCUCGGUAAAGUUUGGUGAUGGUUCAAAUGUGGAGAUUUGUGGGCAACGAUUUGUCCUCUUCGAGGGUCUCACAGGCGAACAUCGCAUACUCACCGGAGUGUACUACAUCCCACGACUUCGCAACAACAUCAUCUCUAUUGGGAAGCUUGACGAGAAUGGAUGCAAGGUGGAUAUCCAGAACGGAGUGAUGACGAUCUUCGACAACCUCCGAAACGUGCUAGCUCGUGUUACUCGCACGCGGAACAGGCUCUAUAUCCUCAACCUUGGUCAAUCUCAACCGGAGUGUUGGCUCGCCAAGAGUGAUGAUGAUUCGUGGUUAUGGCAUGCUAGAUUUGGACACGUUAACUUCUACGCUAUGAAGAAGAUGUCAAAGAUGGAGAUGGUAUCCCGGAUGCCAGUUAUUGACCAUGUUGACCGAGUAUGUGACGGGUGCUUGGUUGGAAAACAGCACCACAGGUUGUUCCCUGCUGAGUCUACCUAUCGUGUAAGUGAUGCACUCGAGCUGCUCCAUGGUGAUCUAUGUGGCCCUAUCACCCCGGCAACUCACGCAAGAAAGAAGUAUUUCUUCCUUGUGGUAGACGACUACUCGAGAUAUAUGUGGGUCGUUCUCCUAUGAUCUAAAGAUGAGGCGUUUGAAGCGUUCAAGAAGCUGAAGGGUGCAACGGAGAUGGAGCACAAGUUGAAGGUUCGCGCUCUAGGAUAGAUCGCGGCGGAGAGUUUACGUCGAACCAAUUCAACGACUACUACGAGAAGAUUGGCAGAAAAAGGUUCCUCACGGCACCUUACACGCCGCAGCAGAACGGGGUCGUUGAAAGGCGCAACCGAACCGUCGUUGACAUGGCAAGGAGUUUACUCAAGAGCAAGAACCUGUUGGGACUUUUUGAGGAGAAGCUGUCUCGACGGCGGUCUAUCUUCUCAACCGGGCUCCAACAAAGGUGGUGCUCGGCUAGACUCCGUAUGAAGCAAUUUACGGACGUAAGCCGAAUGUGUCUCAUCUACGGACGUUCGGGUGUGUGGCACAUGUGAAGACGGCGGAGCCACAUCUCUCAAAGCUUGUCGAUCGUAGCACCAAGAUGGUGUUCAUCGGAUACGAGAGGAGUUCCGGCACCAAGGCAUACCGCUUCUACGAUCGACAAACCAAGCGUCUACGGAUUUCACGCGACGUCGUGUUUGAAGAAAAUCAACCGUGGAAUUGGAGUGCCGCAACUGACGAUGCUCCAAACGGUAACAUAUUCACAGUAGAAUUUCCAACUGAUGAUGAUGUAGGGGAGGAUGUCCAGGUGGUUGGCAAGACGCCAAACCAAGGUGACCACAAUGUUAGUGAUCAUCAUGGUGCCAACACCGACGACGACGUGCAUAGGUCGCAAGGAGAUAGCGACAACGCCGCGCACGACACAGGCGGAGAUCUCGACGACAACAUCGACAACGAUGCGCAUAGUGACGACGACAAUCAAGAUGAUGGUCACGGUCACGACGACUACGCCGACGACGCGGAUGUCGAUGACACGCUCGGGACUCUGCCAUCUCCCUCAAGUGCAUCAACAUCGACACAAUUUGUGUCACCUCCUUCGCAAGCCACAAUGGACUCCUCAGGGCCUCGUCGCUACAAGACCCUCAAAAACGUCUACAAGUACACAAAGCCAGUUAUGCUCGAGUACUCCGGACUAUGUCUGCUCGGAGUUGAGGAGCCGGCGAACUUUGUAGAGGCGAGCAAAAGUCCUAGCUGGAUGCACGCCAUGGAUGAGGAGAUGAAGGCGAUUGAGAGUAAUGACACGUGGACUUUGGUAACCCCACCUCCAAACCAAAAGGCGAUAUGUUUGAAGUGGGUUUACAAAUUAAAGAAGGACAUGGAGGGUGCCACUGUGAAGUACAAAGCAAGACUCAUUGCAAAGGGCUGCGUACAACAUCAAGGAGUUGACUAUGAUGAGGUGUUUGCACCGGUUGCUCGACUCGAGACGGUGAGAGUGCUCCUAGAUUUGGCAGCACAAGAGGAUUUGAAGGUUCAUCAUAUGGAUGUUAAAUCCGCUUUCCUCAAUGGAGAUCUCACAGAAGAAGUGUACGUAGAACAACCCCUCAGCUACGAGAAGAAAGACGAACAAGCGGAAGUUGAGAAGCUCAAGAAGGCACUUUACGGUCUGAUGCAAGCGCCAAGAGCUUGGAAUUCAAAGUUAGACCAAAGUAUGGUAACGCUCAGGUUCAAAAGAUGUGCCCUCUAUGAUCCGAAGGACAGUCUACAAAGCACCGAAGAAGAGGUGAAGAUUGAAGACACGACCAAAAAGGAGUGUUGUCAUCGAGCUACGGACGAGCCGACGACAGUAAAGACGGUACAUAAAAUGCUGCAAGGGACGGCAAAGGCCAUGCCAAUGAUAACAGUUAUGAGAAGCAGCAAUCGUGUUUGGGACCCAGGUCGGAAGUAAGGACAUCGUGAUAAGGGGGUGAAUGUGAGUUAAUCACGUUGCCCUAUACACAUAGGAUUAGGAAAAAAGCCAAACCGAGUUCUAGUAGUAUUAGGAUACCUAAUCCUAGUCUAUUUCCAUAGCCCCUUGUGGAUGUGUAUAAAAGGCACCCUAGGGGUGGUGCUUGUAACACCAGAUCAGAUAGCAAAGCAAUACAAAGUAUUACGACAGGCGCGACACGAGCCUGUGGCCAUCAACGAUUCAGUACCUUUGCGUUUUUACGUUCUUGUUGAGAGAGCCAAGUUGAUCCGUUGCCACGUGAUUGAUCCAAUCAACCGAAGCUAGUCGGCUGAAACGUAUUCAUACGCAAGUCUCUGAUUAGUUGCACGUACGUGUGUAUAAGGGCUAAUCGAUCAAGCUGUUAGUGUGCUUGUUCGUGUUAGCUUUGCACGUACACAUAAGGGCUAAAAAUGAUGUACGUGCAACUAGCUUUCCAGGAGCACCACGUAUGUGUACGUGCAAAGCUAACUCGAACAAGCACACUAGCAGCUUGAUCGAUUAGCCCUUGUACACACGUACGUGCAACUAGCCAGAGACUUGCGUAUGAAUACGCUUUAGCCGGCUAGCUUCGGUUGAUUGGAUCAAUCACGCGGCAACGGAUCAACUCGGCUCUCUCAACAAGAACGUAAAAACGCGAAGGCACUGAAUCGUUGAUGGCCACAGGCUCGUGUUGAGCCUAUCAUAAUACUUUGUAUUUCUUUGUUAUCUGAUCUGGUGUUACAAGCACCACCCCUAGGGUGUUGGGGAACGUCGCAUGGGAAACAAAAAAUUUCUUACCCGCACGAAGACCUAUCAUGGUGAUGUCCAUCUACGAGAGGGGAUGAGUGAUCUACGUACCCUUGUAGAUCGUACAGCAGAAGCGUUAGUGAACGCGGUUGAUGUAGUGGAACGUCCUCACGUCCCUCGAUCCUCGCCGCGAACAAUCCCGCGAUCAGUCCACGAUCUAGUACCGAACGAACGGCACCUCCGCGUUCAGCACACGUACAGCUCGACAAUGAUCUCGGCCUUCUUGAUCCAGCAAGAGAGACGGAGAGGUAGAAGAGUUCUCCGGCAGCGUGACGGCGCUCCGGAGGUUGGUGAUGACCUUGUCUCAGCAGGGCUCCGCCCGAGCUCCGUAGAAACGUGAUCUAUAGGAAAAACCGUGGAGGUAUGUGGUCGGGCUGCCGUGGAAAAGUCGUCUCAAAUCAGCCCUAAAACCUCCGUAUAUAUAGGUGGGAGGGAGGGGACCUUGCCUUGGGGGGUCGGCCGAGUCCAAGGGGGAAGGCUCCCCCCCAAACCGAGUUGGACUUGGUUUGGUGGGUGGGAGUCCUUCCUUCCCUUCCCACUCCUUUUUUUUAUUUUCUCUUUGAUUUUCUUUCCUAGGCGCAUAGGGCCCUUUUGGGCUGCCCCACCAGCCCACUAAGGGCUGGUGUGCCACCCUCAAGGCCUAUGGGCUUCCCCGGGGUGGGUUGCCCUCCCCGGUGAACUCCCAGAACCCAUUCGUCAUUCCCGGUACAUUCCCGGUAACUCCAAAAACCUUCCGGUAAUCAAAUGAGGUCAUCCUAUAUAUCAAUCUUCGUUUCCGGACCAUUCCGGAAACCCUCGUGACGUUCGUGAUCUCAUCCGGGACUCCGAACAACAUUCGGUAACCGACCAUAUAACUCAAAUACGCAUAAAACAACGUCGAACCUUAAGUGUGCAGACCCUGCGGGUUAGAGAACUAUGUAGACAUGACCCGAGAGACUCCUCGGUCAAUAUCCAAUAGCGGGACCUGGAUGCCCAUAUUGGAUCCUACAUAUUCUACGAAGAUCUUAUCGUUUGAACCUCAGUGCCAAGGAUUCAUAUAAUCCCGUAUGUCAUUCCCUUUGUCCUUCGGUAUGUUACUUGCCCGAGAUUCGAUCGUCAGUAUCCGUAUACCUAUUUCAAUCUCGUUUACCGGCAAGUCUCUUUACUCGUUCCGUAAUACAAGAUCCCGCAACUUACACUAAGUUACAUUGCUUGCAAGGCUUGUGUGUGAUGUUGUAUUACCGAGUGGGCCCCGAGAUACCUCUCCGUCACAUGGAGUGACAAAUCCCAGUCUCGAUCCAUACUAACUCAACGAACACCUUCGGAGAUACCUGUAGAGCAUCUUUAUAGUCACCCAGUUACGUUGCGACGCUUGAUACACACAAAGCAUUCCUCCGCUGUCCGUGAGUUAUAUGAUCUCAUGGUCAUAGGAACAAAUACUUGACACGCAGAAAACAGUAGCAACAAAAUGACACGAUCAACAUGCUACGUCUAUUAGUUUGGGUCUAGUCCAUCACAUGAUUCUCCUAAUGAUGUGAUCCCGUUAUCAAGUGACAACACUUGCCUAUGGCCAGGAAACCUUGACCAUCUUUGAUCAACGAGCUAGUCAACUAGAGGCUUACUAGGGACAGUGUUUUGUCUAUGUAUCCACACAAGUAUUGUGUUUCCAAUCAAUACAAUUAUAGCAUGGAUAAUAAACGAUUAUCAUGAACUAAGAAAUAUAAUAAUAACUAAUUUAUUAUUGCCUCUAGGGCAUAUUUCCAACAGUCUCCCACUUGCACUAGAGUCAAUAAUCUAGUUCACAUCACCAUGUGAUUCCAACGAAUCCAACACCCAUAUAGUUAUGGGGUCUGAUCACGUCUUGCUCGUGAGAGAGGUUUCAGUCAACGGUUCUGAAACUUUCAGAUCCGUGCGUUCUUUACAAAUCUUUAUGUCAUCUUAUAGAUGCUGCUACUAUGUGCUAUUCGGAAAUGCUCCAAAUAUCUACUCUACUAUGCGAAUCUGUUUCACUACUCAUAGUUAUUCGGAUUAGUGUCAAAGCUUGCAUCGACGUAACCCUUUACGACGAACUCUUUAACCACCUCCAUAAUCGAGAAAAAUUCCUUAGUCCAUUAGUUACUAAGGAUAAAUUUUGACCGCUGCUAGUGAUUCAAUCAUGGAUCACUCUCUGUACCUCUCAACAGACCUUGAGUCAAGGCACACAUCAGGUGCGGUACACAACAUGGCAUACUUCAGAUUCUACGACUAAGGCAUAGAAGACGACCUUCGUCUAUUCUCUUUAUUCUGUCGGGGUCGGGUUUUGAGUCUCACUCAAAUUCACACCGCACAACGCAACCAAGAACUCCUUCUUUACUGAUCUAUUUUGAACUCCUUCAAAAACUUGUCAUGGCAUGCAUCUUGUCGAAACUUCCAUUAAGCGCUUUCGAUCCAUCUCCAUAGAUCUUUGAUUCUCAAUGUUCAAGUAGCGCAAUUCAGGUACUCCUUUGAAAACUCCUUUCAAACAACCUUGUAUGCUUUGCAGAAAUUCUACAUUACUUCUGAUCCACAAUAUGUCAACCACAUAUACUUAUCAGAAAUUCUAUAGUGCUCCCACUCACUUCUUUGGAAAUACAAGUUUCUCAUAAACCUUGUACAAACCCAAAAUCUUUGAUCAUCUCAUCAAAGUGUAUAUUCCAACUCCGAGAUGCUUGCACCAGUCCAUUGAAGGAUCACUGGAGCUUGCAUACUUGCUAGUAUCUUUAGGAUCGACAAAACCUUCUGGUUGUAUCACAUACAAUGUUUGCUCAAGGAAACCGUCGAGAAAACAAUGUUUUGACAUCCUACGUGCAAUAUUUCAUAAAUAAUGCAUCAUCAACUAACAUAAUUCUAGCAGACCUUUAGCAUCGCUACGAGUGAGAAAGUCUCAUCAUAGUCAACUGUUUGAUCUUGUUGAAAACAUCUUUGCGACAAGUCGAGCUUUUCUUAAUAGUGACUUAUCACCAUCAUCAUUUGUCUUCUUUUAAAGAUCCAUUUUACUCAAUAGUCCUAUGACCAUCAAGUAGUUCUACCAAAGUCUACACUUUGUUUUCACACAUGGAUCCUCUCUCGGAUUUCAUGGCUUCCAGCCAUUUGUCAGAAUCUGGGCCCACCAUCGCUUUCUCCAUAACUCGUAGGUUCACUGUUGCUCAACAACAUGACCUCCAAGACAGGGUUACCGUAAUACUCUGCAGCAGUAUGCGACCUUGUCGACCUAUGAGGUUUGUAGUAACUUGAUCCGAUGCUUGAUGAUCACCAUCAUCAGCUUUCACUUCAAUUGGUGUAGGCGCCACAGGAACAACUUCCUGCGCCCUGCUACAAUCUGGUUGAAGUGAUGGUUCAAUAACCUCAUCAAGUUCUACUACCCUCCCACUCAAUUCUUUCGAGAGAAACCUUUCCUCGAGAAAGGAUCCGUUUCUAGAAACAAACACUUUGCUUUCGGAUCUGAGAUAGGAGAUGUACCCAACUGUUUUGGAUAUCCUAUGAAGAUGCAUUUAUCCGCUUUGGGUUCGAGCUUAUCAGACUGAAACUUUUUCACAUAAGUGUCAAAGCCCCAAACUUUCAUGAAACGACAGUUUAGAUUUCUCUAAACCUCAGUCUAUACUGUGUCAUCUCAACGGAAAUACGCGGUGCCCUAUUUAAAGUGAAUGCGGUUGUAUUUAAUGCAUAACCCAUAAACGAUAGUGGUAAUUCGAUAAGAGACAUCUUAGCAUGCACCAUACCAAAUAGUGCGUGGCUAUGACAUUCAGACACAUCAUCACACUAUGAUGUUCCAGGUGACAUGAACUGCGAAACAAUUUCCACAUUGUCUUAACUGCGUACCAAAACUCGUAACUCAGAUAUUCAUUUCUAUGAUCAUAUCGUAGACAGUUUAUCCUCUUGUUACGACGAACUUCACUCUGAAACAUAAUUGAACUUUUCAAUAUUUCAGACUUGUGAUUCAUUAAGUAAAUACUCUUGCAUCUACUUAAAUCGUCAUUGAAGUAAGAACAUAAUGAUAUCCACUGCGUGCCUCAGCACCCAUUGGACUGCAUACAUCAAAAUGUAUCACUUCCAACAAGUUACUAUCUUGUUUCAUCUCAAUGAAAACUAGGCCUUGCUCAUGUGGUAUGAUUUGCAUGUCACUAGUGAUUCAAAAUCAAGUGAGUAUAAAGAUCCAUCAGCAUGGAGCCUCUUCAUGCAAUUUAUACCAACAUGACUCAAGCGGCAGUGCCACAAGUAAGUGGUACUAUCAUCAUUACCUCGUUUCUUUUGGAACCAAUAUCAUGAACAUGUGUAACACUACAAUCGAGAUUCAAUAAACCAUUGAAGGUGAUUAUUCAAGCAAAUAGGAUAACUAUUAUUCUUUUAAAUGAAUAAUCGUAUUGCAAUAAACACGAUCCAAUCAUGUUCAUGCUCAACGCAAACACCAAAUAACAAUUAUUUGGGUUUCACCACCAAUCCCGAUGAUAGAGGGAGCGUGUGACGUUUGAUCAUAUCAACCUUGGAAACACUUCCAACAUGUAUCGUCACCUCGCCUUUAGCUAGUCUCUGUUUAUGCCGUAGCUAUCAUUUCGUGUCACUAAUCACUUAGCAACCGAAUCGGUAUCCAAUAUCCUCAUGCUACUAGGAGUACUAGUAAAGUACACAUCAACAUCAUGUAUAUCAAAUAUACUUCUUUCGACUUUUGCCAGCCUUCUUAUCUGCCAAGUAUCUAGAGUUGCUCUGCCUCAGUGACUGUUCCCCUCAUUACAGAAGCACUUAGUCUCGGGUUUGGGUUUAAUCUUGGGUCUCUUCAUUAGUGCAGCAACGGUUUUGCCGUUUCACAAAGUAUCCCUUCUAGCCCUUGCCUUUUCUUGAAACUUAGUGGUUUUACUAACCAUCAACUAUUGAUGCUCCUUCUUGAUUUCUACUUUCGCAGUGUCAAACAUCACGAAUCGCUCAAGGAUCAUUGUAUCUAUCCUUGAUGUGUUAUAGUUCAUCACGAAGCUCUCACAGCUUGGUGGCAGUGACUUUGGAGAACCAUCACUAUCUCAUCUGGAAGAUUAACUCCCACUUGAUUCAAGCGAUUGUCGUACUCAGACAAUCUGAGCACACGCUCAACGAUUGAGAUUUUCUCCUUUACUUUGUGGACAAAGAAUCUUGUCGGAGGUCUUGUACCUCUUAACAAGGGCACAAACAUGAAAUCACAAUUUCAUCUCUUUAGAACAUCACUUAUGUUCCGCGACGUUUCAAAACGUCUUCGGCGCCUUGCUUCUAAGCCAUUAAGUAUUUUGCACUGAACUAUCGUGUAGUCAUCAGAAACGUGUAUGUCGGAUGUUCACAGCAUCCACAGACGACGCUCGAGGUGCAGCACACCUAGUGGUGCAUAAGCCUUCUGUGCAGCAAUGAGGACAAUCCUCGGUUUUACAGACUUAGUCUGCAAAGUUUGCUACUAUCAACUUUCAACUAAAUUUUCUCUAGGAACAUAUAAAAAAUAGUAGAGCUAUAGCGCAAGCUACAUCGUAAUUCGCAAAGACCAUUUAGACUAUGUUCAUGACAAUUAGUUCAAUUAAUCAUAUUACUUAAGAACUCCCACUCAAAAAGUACAUCUCUCUAGUCAUUUGAGUGGUACAUGAUCCAAAUCCACUAUCUCAAGUCCGAUCAUCACGUGAGUCGAGAAUAGUUUCAGUGGUAAGCAUCUCUAUGCUAAUCAUAUCAAUUAUACGAUUCAUGCUCGACCUUUCGGUCUCAUGUGUUCCGAGGCCAUGUCUGCACAUGCUAGGCUGGUCAAGCUUAACCCGAGUGUUCCGCGUGCGCAACUGUUUUGCACCCGUUGUAUGUGAACGUUGAGUCUAUCACACCCGAUCAUCACGUGGUGUCUCGAAACGACGAACUGUCGCAACGGUGAACAGUCGGGGAGAACACAAUUUCAUCUUGAAAUUUUAGUGAGAGAUCACCUCAUAAUGCUACCGUCGUUCUACGCAAAAUAAGGUGCAUAAAAGGAUUAACAUCACAUGAAAUUCAUAAGUGACAUGAUAUGGCCAUCAUCUUGUGCUUCUUGAUCUCCAUCACCAAAGCACCGGCACGAUCUUCUUGUCACCGGCGUCACACCAUGAUCUCCAUCAACGUGUCGCCAUAGGGGUUGUCGUGCUACUCAUGCUAUUACUACUAAAGCUACAUCCUAGCAAAAUAGUAAACGCAUCUGCAAGCACAAACGUUAGUAUAAAGACAACCCUAUGGCUCCUGCCGGUUGCCGUACCAUCGACGUGCAAGUCAAUAUUAUCUAUUACAACAUGAUCAUCUCAUACGUCCAAUAUAUCACAUCACAUCGUUGGCCAUAUCACAUCACAAGCAUACCCUGCAAAACAAGUUAGACGUCCUCUAAUUUUGUUGUUGCAUGUUUUACGUGGUGACCAUGGGUAUCUAGUAGGAUCGCAUCUUACUUACGCAAACACCACAAUGGAGAUAUAUGAGUUGCUAUUUAACCUCAUCCAAGGACCUCCUCGGUCAAAUCUGAUUCAACUAAAGUUGGAGAAACUGACACCCGCCAGUCAUCUUUGAGCAACGGAGUUACUCGUAGCGAUGAAACCAGUCUCUCGUAAGCGUACGAGUAAUGUCGAUCCGAGCCGCUUCGAUCCAACAAUACCGCGGAAUCAAGAAAAGACUAAGGAGGGCAGGAAAAUGCACAUCACCGCCCACAAAAACUUUUGUGUUCUACUCGAGAAGACAUCUACGCAUGAACCUAGCUCAUGAUGCCACUGUUGGGGAACGUCGCAUGGGAAACAAAAAAUUUCCUACGCGCACGAAGACCUAUCAUGGUGAUGUCCAUCUACGAGAGGGGAUGAGUGAUCUACGUACCCUUGUAGACCGUACAGCAAAAGCGUUAGUGAACGCAGUUGAUGUAGUGGAACGUCCUCACGCCCCUCGAUCCGCCCCGCGAACAAUCCCGCGAUCAGUCCACGAUCUAGUACCGAACGGACGGCACCUCCGCGUUCAGCACACGUACAGCUCGACGAUGAUCUCGGCCUUCUUGAUCCAGCAAGAGAGACGGAGAGGUAGAAGAGUUCUCCGGCAGCGUGACGGCGCUCCGGAGGUUGGUGAUGACCUUGUCUCAGCAGGGCUCCGCCCGAGCUCCGCAGAAACACGAUCUAGAGGAAAAACCAUGGAGGUAAUGGGUAGGCUGCCGUGGAAAAGUCGUCUCAAAUCAGCCCUAAAACCUCCGUAUAUAUAGGUGGGAGGGAGGGGACCUUGCCUUGGGGGGGUCGGCCGAGUCCAAGGGGGAAGGCUCCCCCCAAACCGAGUUGGACUUGGUUUGGUGGGUGGGAGUCCUUCCUUCCCUUCCCACUCCUUUUUUUUAUUUUCUCUUUGAUUUUCUUUCCUAGGCGCAUAGGGCCCUUUUGGGCUGCCCCACCAGCCCACUAAGGGCUGGUGUGCCACCCUCAAGGCCUAUGGGCUUCCCCGGGGUGGGUUGCCCUCCCCGGUGAACUCCCAGAACCCAUUCGUCAUUCCCGGUACAUUCCCGGUAACUCCAAAAACCUUCCGGUAAUCAAAUGAGGUCAUCCUAUAUAUCAAUCUUCGUUUCCGGACCAUUCCGGAAACCCUCGUGACGUUCGUGAUCUCAUCCGGGACUCCGAACAACAUUCGGUAACCGACCAUAUAACUCAAAUACGCAUAAAACAACGUCGAACCUUAAGUGUGCAGACCCUGCGGGUUAGAGAACUAUGUAGACAUGACCCGAGAGACUCCUCGGUCAAUAUCCAAUAGCGGGACCUGGAUGCCCAUAUUGGAUCCUACAUAUUCUACGAAGAUCUUAUCGUUUGAACCUCAGUGCCAAGGAUUCAUAUAAUCCCGUAUGUCAUUCCCUUUGUCCUUCGGUAUGUUACUUGCCCGAGAUUCGAUCGUCAGUAUCCGUAUACCUAUUUCAAUCUCGUUUACCGGCAAGUCUCUUUACUCGUUCCGUAAUACAAGAUCCCGCAACUUACACUAAGUUACAUUGCUUGCAAGGCUUGUGUGUGAUGUUGUAUUACCGAGUGGGCCCCGAGAUACCUCUCCGUCACAUGGAGUGACAAAUCCCAGUCUCGAUCCAUACUAACUCAACGAACACCUUCGGAGAUACCUGUAGAGCAUCUUUAUAGUCACCCAGUUACGUUGCGACGCUUGAUACACACAAAGCAUUCCUCCGCUGUCCGUGAGUUAUAUGAUCUCAUGGUCAUAGNNNNNNNNNNNNNNNNNNNNNNNNNNNNNNNNNNNNNNNNNNNNNNNNNNNNNNNNNNNNNNNNNNNNNNNNNNNNNNNNNNNNNNNNNNNNNNNNNNNNGUAAAGUAUCGACAAGCUCAAGCUUCUGAGGCAGAUCAACAGAACGCAAAUCUACUAUCAUUGUCCUCAGUUCUUCUUUCAUUACUUUAGCCUUGUUUUUCAUGAGAAGACACUGCAAGAGCAUGUAGCAUUAGUACUUACUUGGUGUCCCAAUGCAUGUUGUCUUAGACAAUUAGACCUGCACAGUGUUCGAGGUUAUGCUUCCACGGUCCAUUUUGCAUGAAAAUAUGUUUAAACAAAAGGAUAUAUACUACAUGAUGUGUGUUAAAAUUUAAGUUGUUUAAUUAAUGCAUAUCGUACAUCUAUUUAGAGUUGUGCAAUGGAAGUAGUGCUAGUUCAUUUGAUGCCAGCCUCCAACAGGAAAGUACAAUACUGGUGUGUGCUAAUUAUAUUUAGUUCACCUGCGUCGGAGUGAAUGGCCUGAAACCAAGGAAGAAGUCCCCCCAGACGGUGGGGUGGUGAAACAGGUGGCUGCCCUGGUCGUCGUUCAUCACAGGCUGCGAGUGUGGGCAGCGGCGAAUCUCCACAGAGGCUACCAUUGCUGGAGAACGAUGGAGCUCAGCUGAUCACUUGUCUAUGAUAAUGCUAAGGUUAGUGAUGCAUGCCUUGUGAACUGGUUGGCUUUAUAGAUAGAACAGGAGAGGCCCCUAAAUGGCACACGUGUAUAAUACUGGAGACACACAGGAACACUGAAUGCAAAAUUCACGUGAUAUUGUAACUGUCACUUUCAGUAUUGUCACACAAAUGUGCUCAUUAACUAAAAUACAAUAUUCAAUAAGUUAGGUAGAGGUUUGAAAAUUCUAAGACAUGUAUCUCUUUCAUAGUACAUUGUUCCCUUUUGGCAGGCCAUCCAAAAAGAUUCUCCAUGCAUUGCUAUCUUAUAUAUCUAGUAACUGGAGGCACUCGGAGAGACACCAUGUUAAGUCAUGUAAUCUUAAUUUUUUAGAUGGUUGGAUCUCGAAAAUGCAAUGGUGAAUAUGGUUCCACGCACCCACUAUAAGCAGUAAAAUAAAAUAAAAAGGCAAAUAAGUCAAACAAUUCUACAAUUCAAGGUUACCAAACUAGAUCGGUUGUUCUAUUAACUAGAUCGGUUUGUCUAUUAACAAAGUUUAGCAAAGAAAUGGCACCUGUGAUAUUAUUAACGAAGAAGAAAAAAUCGGACCUCCAAAUUACAUCAUGGAUACAAAUCAGAAUUGUUUGGGGGUAGGGAGGGUCUGGGUUGCAACGGGCAGGCCGAGUCCUCAUCCUCGUCGGAGCCGUUGGAGGAAGAGUGAGAGGAGGAGAUACACUGUAGGAAAUAAACUGUGUGGUUCAGAUUAAAUUUUGUAGGAAGUAAACAUAUACACGUGUAUGUCAACUAGAGAUCUGACUGGUGGUACUCCCCUCCUUUCUUUUUCGCUCCGUGCAUAACUUUUUUUUCUCUGUCCUUUCCGAUUUAGUCUGCACCUUACCCAUCCACCCCCGUCCAGUCGGGCCCUUGCGGCUGGACGGUGGCGCUUGGCGCGGGAAGGCUCCCCUGCUGAUCUUCCUUGGCUGCGGCUGCGGGUGGGUCUGGUACCCCUCACCGGUGGGUACAUGUUUGCUGGUGGCCUUGCGGGGAUGUGUGUCGUCUUCCAUGGUGGGCGACACGAGGGUGUGCUCAAUGGGGAGCUUGGUAGGAGGGAUGGGUGGCCUCGAUGCGGUGGAGCCACCUGUCGCCGGCAUAGUUUGUCGGUUCGGAUGUGUCCGCUCCUCCUUCUCCCCCUUCCCUCGUGUUCGGCGGGAACUUGGUUGGAGGAAUGGGUAGCCUCAGUGCGUUCGCAUCACCUUUCGCCGACACGAGGGUGUUGGUCUGGAUUCGUCUGCUCCCCUUUUUCCCCCUUUCCUCGGUUGCAAACGGGUUGGUGCAGGUCUUCCAGCGAAGCACAUGUAGGUAGUUCUGUCGGUUGAGGGUCGCCGGUUGGUGCCUUUGUGUAGAUCUUGGGGUUGUCUGGUUGCAGGGCGGCGGCUCUGGCGGCGGGAGGCGCGGCGUUUGGGGGCGGAGCAUGUGUCUUAGGUGUGGGUGGGCAACGAUGGACGCACGGGCGACGUGGUUGCGGGUGGUUGACGUAGCUAGGGUGCGACAGGGGGGGGGGUUGAGCGCCGAGGUACACCACUUGCCCAGUCCUUUGACUGCCCGAAGAUGGUGGCAGCGGUUGACAUUGUAUCCUUCCUGAAGGCUCUGUCGUGGUGUUUCCACUCUUGUCGUCUUCCCCCGGGUGAAAACCUGAUCUCUGCGAUCGGGUGGUGGCGACUAUCCAUGGUCGCACCCUUAUGGAAGGCACCGUUUUUAUGCAUAUAUUCGUGGUCUGUCCGGUUCACCUCUCUAUUGUGGAUGAUCAUGGUGGAGGUCUCCGUCGGCUCCAAACGAUCCACCUCGCUCAUCUCUAGUUUGCUUGGUUGUCGGUAGGGGGGGAUGUCGUGUCCGGCACCUUUGUAUCUAGCCCUGGGUGUGUGUGUUGUGUGCGGUGAUGGUGCGUGUUUGUUCGGUCUCUCAUUGUAUUUGAUGAUGAUUGCUUUAUAAUAUGAAAUGGGGAACACUUUUUUGAUAAGAAGGUUUUAACUGGAGAACCAGCUGUUGGCACACAGACCGCGGAACUUUUCAUGCACCGCAUGCAAUCCAGCCUCUCCCUUACUUUGUUUCUGGGUUCGUAGUUAUAUGCAUGUGUGGAAAUUCUAAGAUGUCUACUUCCAUGUUAUUCUGUGUGAAUAAAAGUAGCCGAAAAGAUUAUUCAAGUUCCACACACACACUCAACAAGGCUGGGAUGGUGAGUUCAAGUAACUAAUAUAUGUAAAACCUGAUAUGAGUUGUUUACUUUCAUGUAGAUUAAGGAAGAGGCUACAAUGGUGAUGAUUUUAUAAUAAUGUGAUGAUGAUGAACGGGAAAGAACUUAAUUUUCAUGAGAGCAUUGUCGGUGAUGAAUGAAAAUGGGACUACAAUUAUAGGUGUAGUCAUCUAAAGUCGAUGAAGUUGCAGCGGGGUUCAUGGUAAAAUAACUAAGUGUAAAGGACACAAAGAUUCUACAUGAUAACUUUAAGAUGGCAUGCAUAUUCGUCAAUGUGGAUUUUGUUGGAAUUGUAAGAAACAUACGACUUCUAUUACAGAUAGACUUUGUAUUUAAAGGUGGGUUAGAUCUUGGAAUUGGAUACAAUUGUAAAUUAGUUGAUCACAAUAAAAUUAAUCAUGGUGAAUUCAACAUCUUCUUUAUAUGAGAUGGGACCCUGUGUUAACUUUGUUAAGUAUAUUAAUUAAUUGUAUACCUUUUCCUGUAAUUAAGUUCAUAGUUUUCUAAGUGAGGUGUUUAAGCAUUUGAUAAGAUUUUAUCAGGCAUAUCCAGUUAAUUAUUGGGCAAAGGUUCAAGCCCUUGUUGAUUUAACUAGUAAAGUGUCUCACAUAUGUGAGGGCCUCAUCUUUAGUCAUAUAGUGUUUGAAAAAUGAAAUUAUGCUUUUAUGAAUAUUUGAGUUCACAUAGAACGAUAUGAAACAAUCCAUUCUAUAACUACCACGGAUAAAUUCAAAUUAAAUUAUCGGAGUUGCAUUUUCCAUUUAUAAUACUUUCAAAUUUAUGGGUGAAUAACUAGGUAAAUGUAAUAUAUUUAUGGCAUGUAUAUCAUUCGGAUGUAGCCCAUAGUGUUAGUUCUACAUAACAUCAAUAUACCAUUCUAACAUUAAAAUUAUCGCCCACUAACCUUAGAUGUAUGACUAUAAAGUUUUAUGUUUUCCAUAAUGGUGAGUGUCUAAUAAAGCUGAGAUUAUUCUUAUGUGAUGUUUUGAUGGAAUAAUAAUAAAUUAUAUAAAUGGAGUGAAUAUGAAAGUAAUUAUCGACAUAUGUAGGAAAACUAAACAAUGAAAAUAUACAAUUUACUUACCUUUUUCUAGAUCUUUGUCUCUCCGUUACAUUUAUUGUAAUGAAAUAUAUGACGUUGAAGACAUGGAUACUAUCUUCAAGGAGCAAGCUAUGAGAAUUAUUAUGUAUAUGAGUGUGGUUCCAAAAUUUAUGUAUUUUGUUUCCAACUGUGUCAAUGGUGUUAUUUAUCAUAGCUGUAGUUAAAGAAGUGCCACUACAAGUCUUGUAGACUAACCUCUAGUUCAAACUAUAUGUACUAUUAUUUCUAGAAAUUUGUUUAAAUCUCACCUUGUUGUUCCCUUAUUUUAAUAUUUCACAAUCUGGCUCAUAUGUAUUUGUUAUGUCACAUAUGUGUCAUUUUCCUCUCUUUUGCAAGCACGUGUAUAAUUACCCGCCACUGAUCCUCCCCUUGUUCGAUACCGACUAUGCAAAUAAGGUUCUUCAAUCAAUCUCAAAUCCAAUAAAAGAAUCCAAUCUAUUUACGUUUUGGCACCAAUUUGUGAGGUUAUUAGUAUACUAUGGUACAUUAGCAUUGUAAUUGCUAGCUAUAAGCACUAAAAAUAAUCAAUGUGUGCUAGUAUGUGACCAUAUUAGCAUGCCUAAUCUGCAAAAGAGACAAUCACGGAUGGCUGUUUUUUAUAUCAUUAAUUUUUAAGUUAUGUAAAAUAAUUUUUAAUUUUCCAUUCAAUGGUCAGUGUGGAGCUUUUUCUCUCAUAAUAAUAGCAUCCAGUGUUAAGUGCAAUAGUUUAUUAAAUAAUUAUUUUUUAUAUAUUUUUUCACGUUUUAACAUUGUACUAUAAUGCACAUAUUGUUAUCUUUCUGUUACAUUUGUAUAGUCAUCCAUCUAUACAUGUAACUAAGUUUAUAUUUCAUAACCUAUAGAGUAUAUGUUUUUUCCCAGGCGCAAACAACUAAUUUCAGAUAUUAGAUAAGUACACAAAAGUGAUGUAUGUUGAGCUGACACUUGAUUAGUUCAUGUGAUAUUCAGCCAUCUACGUGAUAUUUAUCGGUACGUUGAAGUAAAGCUCGGUGUAAUAGUAAAAAACAGUAAAGCUCAGAGUGCAUCCCAGACGAGUUCCAUGUAAAGAGCCAUUAAUUGGGUUAUUGUCAUUACAUAUAACCAUAUGUAGAGAUUUAAGUUUGUCCCGGGAAAAAUGAUAUGUAAAAUUAAAGGUAUGGUAUUUGACCAGUAGAAUUUUAAAUUCCAACCGCUAGCCACCAAUAUCAGGAUAAUCAUUUGAAGAUACCCGGAAGUGUUCAAAUGUUAUAUCCCUAACUACUAAGAAAAAUGAUAUAACUAUAUAUGAUACCUGACCAUAUAUGAGUUUGUGAGGCAGGCACGCCAAAAAAGGUAACGUGAUAGGCGUUUCUUUCCUCUCGCAACAUGUUACUAUUGACAGCUGAAUGAUCCAGGUUUUUAACAGAUAUAAGAAGAUCCUGUUUAUUUUUGAGGAUUGUACGUAUGAGAUUGUACAGUAUUUUUAGUUAUACAUUGUUUCCUUGGCAAAUGUAUUUCCCUAAACAUAUGUGCAUGGACAUGUGUCACGUAAAUCCUUUGAGGCCCACCAUAUUGUAAAUGUUAAGCUAUCACGGAAUCUUACUUUUAAGAGAUAUAGCAAUCGACGGCUGAUAUCUUCUAAUUAAUGUCGAAUGUGGAAUUUUCUAACAUAGUAUUUCUCUUGCUCCUGGUUCACCUUAUAUUACUUUUAGUAUAUAAUAGAUAGAUAGAUAGAUAAUACAAUAGAAUAGAAGAAUAGACAGAUAGACUUCAGUAUAAUUCACUUAACUUCGUUAACACCAGCUGCAAGCUUCAUUAGUCCGCUCAAGCGCUGCAGCCGACAACGAUGUAUGGCGUGGUCACCAAUAAAGCCGUUGUAACAGCGAUACUGUUGACGUGAUUGUGAAAUAACUAUUCAUUGAGCAGAAAAUUAAAACUAAAAAAUGGCAGUACAUUCAGGACGAGAAAUAUCAUCCAAUUGUGUGGCCGACAAUUGCUUUUGGCUUCACGCAGUGAUGGCGACCUAACAUGUACCGAUUUCUUCCCCUUGUACCUCCUUUAAAAAGAAUGUAGAAAACGUGGGCCAAAAGUUAGGUACGGUUAUGAAGGAGAAAGGAAACUGUGGGCAGGUAGCAAAACACAGGAAACACAUUUUUGGCCGCGAGAAACACAUUAUUUUUAACUCAAUAAUGACGAGCUAACAUAUGUCAUCUUCGUCAUACGUCCUGGACGUCCUUCGAUAGUGGUAUCAUACAAAGGAAGAUAACAGUAGCCUUAUAGCACAGGUAUGGGCGUGUGGCUCUGUAGCGACAACGGAAAUUGACACCAAACGGAAGUUUUCACUUCGGCUAAAAAAUAAAUCGUCUAGAAAAUGAAAAUGCAUAUUUUUUUAGAAAAAGAAGAUUAACUCCUGCCUCUGCAUCUGGGUGGAUGCAUGCGUCUGUUUUAUAUACUCAUAAAGAUUAUACAAAGUAGUACAUCAGGUAGUAGACUGAAGCCAUAAUCUUAGCAACAACUUUCGCUACUCCUAUUUACUUGAUGAAGUGGUGCCGAUAUAGUUCGAGUCUAAUACCAUACAGACUUUGCACAAAUGCCUAACAUUAAAGUCGAAGACCCCAAGCAAGCAGCAUACUAGGUUUGGGGCACAAACCGGUCCGACGCAUUUUCAUGUGUCUUCGUUGUCAUCUUCCACCAAUCCAUCUGUUGAGCAGAAACUACUGCACCGACCUUCCCACGCCUUUCUGCCAUCGACCUCAUCAUGACGCCAGACAGCGUCCUCCUCCUGCGGUAGUCCAUUUUCACGCAUCGGACGUCCAGUCUCCACUACGCCGCUGAGAUCCAUCGCCAUUAAUGUGUAAGAUGAAGCACCACUCCAUCGAAGAAGCCGUCCUCUCAUCCCUUCAGCGUGUGUACACCUCCAAGAAUAACGCCCCCAAGGGGGAAACGACACUAGAACGUCGGCGUCAUCUGAUCUACUGAUCUAGGGUUUCCCCUGAAGGUAGGAGAGAGUGGCCAUGAACCACUCCACAUGAUGCCUUCGAGAAAGGAACGACGCAGACAGGACUGCCACCGCCGGCCUUGGCAGUAGCUGAUAGCAAGUUUUCUCCCAGAUCUGUUCGAAGAGCCUCCCACUACUAGGAAAAACCUUAUAGGUAGGAGCCUAUUAGUAGCGCUGGAACGGAGAAAGUGCUGCUGCUAUUUAGUAGUAGCGCUGGACACAACACAGCGCUACUGCUAAUGUUCUUAGCAGUAGCGCAGGCCCUAUAAUCUGCGCUGCUGAUAAACAGGGACCAACGAGGCCAUCCGGAGUAGCUAUAGUAGCAGCGCCGUUCCUAACCCUGCACUACUGCUGACGUCAAUAUUAGUAGCGUUGCGUAGCAUCUAACGCUACUGCUAAAAGGGGCCCAACGACGUAACCGCGGUAGCUUUAGUAGCCGUGUCGGCGUGGUAAAAGCGCUACUGCUAAGUACAAUAGCGGUAGCGCUUUCUACCUUACCACCGCUACUGCUAUGUUGAGUUAACACCCAUUGUGCCUAAAAAUUUCCUAACUCUCCCCCACUCCCCCACCCCCCCUCUCUCCUCGAUCUCAAGCCGUCGCCGCCUCCCUCGCCGUGAUCGUCAUCGUCGUUGCCGUCGCCUCCCUCGCCUUCGCCGUCGUCGUCGUCGCCGUCGCCUCCCUCGUCGUCGCCACUGCCCCCUCCCCUCCCGCUCUGGUAAGCCCCCUUCCCCUCUCCUGCUCCAGUAAGCCCCCUCCCCAUCCCGCUCCGGUAAGCCCCCCACCCCCUCCAGGCGUCGUCGCCCCCUCCCCUCCCGCUCUAGGCACCCCAAGGCUGCUGCCAUUUUGAUUUUAGGGCCAUCGGUUCAAUAUGUCAUUUUGAGAUGCAUGUUAAUAAGAAAAUUAAGAUAUGUUUGUUGAAGAUCUUUUGAUGGGCUAACUAGAAAGAAGGAAAAAAUCAUGUUUUUAAAUUUCAUGUAAGUAGGCACAUUAGGUUUGAAUUAGAAAACCAAUGGUUUCAAACAACUAAUUUAAACUUUGGAGAGGAAAAAGGGCACAUACAUAUUUCACCAACCUACAAAUAUCAUCCUUUUGUUGGUGUUAAUGCAUAAAACAGUAGUGAGUUUCUCACUUUUGCUUGCUAAGUUGUGCAAAGUUUUGCCGGAAUGUCAGAGUGGCCUAUGUUUUGCCGGAAUGUUGAUUCAUUUUCGUUCCGGCAAAUUUCAGGCGCUCCAUAUGUCCACUAUUUAGCAAAGGUCAUGCCGGAACUACCUUGUCUGAAUAAAUGUGUGAUAUAAACUCUGAUAUUAUCUAUGAGAUGGCAGAUGAUUCCCUAUUUGUCAUUAUAUUAUUAUGUAUGUGCUAUGUUAUCGUGCUUGCGAAACGCUUAGAUACGCUUCUUUCCAUUUUGGGGCCUCGUUCCCUAAAUCGGAAAGGACCGCAUCUUAGUCGUUACAAGUUGGUAAUCAGAGCCCUACGACCAUAGGAGCCUUUGUGUGAUCGUACUUGGCCGAGUCGAGUCUAGUAAAAUGUUUUGAGUCUUAGUUAUAUCGGAGAGUAGGAUUCUUUCUUCUCCUCUUCGAUUCUCUGGUGAGGUUACCAACUUAAGAAAUCUUAAUUCUACUCCUCUUCUCGCUCAAAUUUUUUUUAGGAUCAGGCGUGUAUUUUUGAAAUCUAUAUGAUAUCGAUGUGAUGGAGUUCUGUCUUGGUGCCUCUUGUCUACCUUGAUUUCUUCCGGGGAGUUGAGCUCCAGGGGAUUCUUGUGGACAUUGCUAUCAUUCAGAUUUCUGAGUAUCUCUGAACGAAGGAUGUUCGUAAUUGCUUCAGUACAAGUAGUGGCAAGAUAACCCCGAUGUCCCCAGUACUGGUGCAGAUUGUUCGGGAGUACUGCCAUACUUUGUAUCGUUGUGAUCACGAGGGUUUGUUGUAGAUGAAUGUCUGAGAUUCUGCUUAUGUGUUGACGGAUGUGAUACAGUGGACGAGUUAGUAUAGGAGUUGUGUGAAUAUUACUCCUUGUAUCCGUGUAUCAGAUUGCAUGACCUGAUAUUUCGGGAAUUCAUAGGUGGGAUAUCAAGUAGUGACUUAUAGGGAAAUCUUCCUACAGAUGCAUGAUGUGAGGUUGGGAUUCGACAUUCAGUGGGUAUGUUUGUUCACGAUCGUCUUACAGCGGUUCUCGUUGUGUCUUAAAGAGUCCGUGUAGCUUGCUACGACUCGGGGAUACUUCGUAAGUCGUGUGCACUACCUUGCACAGGAUGGCUACUGUAAAUUCGAGCCCGUGCGAUCUUAUCCAUGAAGAUGUCGGAUGAAAUCUCGAUCAUAUGUUUGUUCUGAGCAGUUCUAGCUCAUACUUGUUUGAAGUGGUCUUAAUCAGAAUUUUGUCGACAGUCACUUUGAGGAAGCAUUCUUACUAUUUUGUUCGAGUGCAAUUGCUAAUAUUCCUCUUGAGAUAUUCCUGCCUUUUUGAUUCAGCUAUACCGUCAAUUUAUUCAGUGGGCUAAUGUGUUGUCCGUCUUCAGGAUGGCUCCACCAACUCGUCAGAAUCCAGGUCGUGAGGAUGUGCCGCCAUCACCUCCUCCUCCGGAGAAUCCUCUUCCUCCGUCGCCUCCUCCUGCAGAGGCUUGGCAAGCGGUGAUGACUGCUACAAAUGCAAACACUCAGAUGUUGAUACAGUUCUUGCAAGAGAGGACUAAUCAGCAGCAAGGCAACUUCAAUCAUGGUGGCAAUCAGUUUGCUAAUCUGAGUUAGUUCCUGUCAAAUCAGCCGGAGACUUUCACUUCCUGUGACCAGCCAUUUGAUGCUGAGGAUUGGAUCCGCGACAUGAACAAGUACUUUGAAUGCAGCAAUGUUCGUCCAGAGGAUUUCGUCAAGUUUGCAACAUUCCAGCUGAAGGGGCAAGCAUCUAUCUGGUGGCAACAGAUGAAGGAUUCCAGGGGUGCUAGAGUGAACACUUGGGAUGAGUUCUGCCGUGACUACAUAUCCCACUACAUUCCGUCCAGCUUUGUGGAGGAAAUGCGUGAGAAGUUCAGGCGCUUGAAGCAAGGUGGUAACUCUGUGUACAAGUACAACGUCGAGUUCCACGAGCUAGCCCGAUACGCCUUGCAGGAUAUCCCUGAUCAGAAGAGCAGGAUAUAUCAGUUCAGAGGUGGCUUGAAAGAAUAUUUGCAGUUAGCUCUCGCUUUGCACGAUCCUGAGGAGUUCGAUAAGUUCUACAACUUAGCUCUCAAGGCUGAGGCAGCUUUGCUCAGGGUGGAUAAUUCUAAGAAGCGCUUCAGAGAUUCCAACUCGUCUUCCUCAACUCAGGUGGUUCAGAAGCAACAGAAGUAUAGGGUGUCUCCUCCUCCUUAGCACACGACGCAGUUCAAGCAUUCUGGUGGUCGUGGUUCUUCCCACCCACCCAACCCAGCUUUUCAACAGAGAUUCCAGCAGCAGAAGCAAGGGCCUCCUCAGACACAGUACCACCAGCCAGCAGAUGGUACUUGUCACAAGUGUGGGCGGAAGGGUCACUAUGCGAACAAGUGCACUUCUCAGCUCCGUCUUCCGCCUCCUCCUCCAGGCAAACCUCCAAGCAAUGCUCUCGUGAAGUUCAACCCCAGAUCUGCUCGAGUCAACAUGGUGAAUGCGGCUGAGGCAGAAAACUCGUCAGAUGUGAUUAUGGGUAACCUCCUCGUCAAUGAUAUUCAUGCUAAAGUGUUGUUUGAUUCUGGUGCAUCGCAUUCUUUCUUGUCAUAUCCUUUUGCAGCAAAGCAUGAUUUCCAUCUUCAAGAGUUGGCUAAGUCUCUGGACAUUGUUUCUCCGGGGAUGCUUAUGAGUUCUCGUUGGAUUGUUCCGGAUGUUUCUGUCAAGAUGGGUAGUUAUUCUUUUCUGGCAUCUCCUAUUGUCUUGGGCAAUUCCGACAUUGAUUUGAUCCUUGGUAUGGACUGGUUGGCCAUGAACAAGGCAUCCAUUGAUUGUGAAGCUUACUCACUCUUCGGAGGACGUGAUUAUCUUCGUGGCGCGUGAUGACACAAUCCGUCUGUUAUCUUUGAAUGAAAAGGGUGAGAUUAAUCCUAUUUCGCAAGUCCCAGUGGUCUGCGAAUAUGAAGAUGUGUUUCCAGAAGAGCUGACAGGAAUGNNNNNNNNNNNNNNNNNNNNNNNNNNNNNNNNNNNNNNNNNNNNNNNNNNNNNNNNNNNNNNNNNNNNNNNNNNNNNNNNNNNNNNNNNNNNNNNNNNNNCACUAGCUAUAUGCAAUUUUCAUGACUAUGACAUAUCAUAUUGCUAUCCAAUGGAACCUAGAGAGAUCACUAGCUAUAUGCAAUUUUCAUGACUAUGACAUAUCAUAUUGCUAUCCAAUGGAACCUAGAGAGAUCACUAGCUAUAUGCAAUUUUCAUAACCUUGGAUCAAAGAACACCGCAUAAAAUUGUAUCACUACAACUAUGAUUUCAAUGGAACAUAUUGAACCAAUCAGAUUUUUCAGAUUGUGGAACACUAUUCCAAUCAGAUUGUGUUCCCUUCAACUAAUCAAAAUUGUUUCAUACAACUAUUUGAAGCGAACCAACUAUGAUUCCAAUGGAACAUAUUAAACACUAGUUGAUUCUAAUACGAUUUUUCAGAUUAUGGAACACUAUUCCAAUCAGAUUGUGUUCCCCUUCAACUAUCAAAAUUGUUUCACUACAACUAUUUGAAGGGAACCAACUAUGAUUCCAAUGGAACAUAUUAAACACUAGUUGAUUCUAAUACGAUUUUUUAGAUUAUGGAACACUAUUCCAAUUAGAUUGUGUUUCCCUUCAACUAAUCAAAAUUGUUUCACUACAACUAUUUGAAGGGAACCAACUAUGAUUGAAACAAAUAAACUUACAAUGUCAUUAUCUUGGAUCAAAGAAAGCCUCAAAACUUACCUCGCCCAUUGGAAGAUCAAGACAUGGCGUUCGAAGCAUAGUUGGAUGACGGCAACACCGCGUUGAUCGGCCGUGUACUAAAGAUCAAGCCCCAAGAACUUCUCAUGAUCCAUUGCGGCGUCAAGCCAUUUUUCCUUCAACUGUUCAAGAAAAAACGGCACCUCCCUGCUCUCGUUCGUCUACACGACAUCGAGCAUGGUCGUGCCAUGUGCGAGCACCUUUCGAAAGCGAGUUGGCAUGGUGGAAGAAAAGAAGGAAAGAAGAGAGGAGAAGAACAGAGAGGGAGAGCGAGAGAGAUGAAGAAACAGAGAAAUGACGACUGUGCUUCGGUUCGUGCUUUUCAUCGCCCGAAACGACGCGGGAUGCAAACCGUUUGGGCCUUUAGUCCCGGAUUGAGCCACCAACCGGGACUAAAUAGGUAUACCAACGGUUGCCACCACUACGCCAGGCCACGUGUUAGGCCUUUAGUCCCGGGUUGAGCCACCAGCCGGGACUAAAGGGGGAUACGAACGAUUGCCACCACCACUGCCCGCCGCGUAGCCCUUUAGUCCCGGUUUGGGACACGAACCGUGAUUAAAGGCUCCUUACGAGCCGGGACUAAAGCCUCGAGGGAGGCAUUGAGAAUUGGGGCGACGUGGCCGGGCCUUUAUUCCCGGCCCAGAGGCAGGCCGGGACUAAAGUGUCCCGGCCAAAGGCCCGUUUUCCACUAGUGAUAGUAAUAUGAAAUCUAGGUUAAAUAGAAAUAAAAGACUAUUCAGAUUAAUAAGGUAAACCUUGUUUAUCGGAAUCUUAUUUUGAAGGAACCUUCAGAUUAACUGUGCUCGUCAUGUGGUAAUUUAAGAAUGUGUGACCGGCCGACAUGUUCUCAGGUGCGCACUAGCAAGGUCAAUGUGAGCAGGAAAUGUGUUGGUUUGUCAUUUAUAGUUUACAAGUACGCCUAGUAUAUUGUGGGAUUAUGUUCCCACUCACUAAUGGGGACGGGGCCUAUAGCCCCGGCCCGUAAGGGGCUUUAGUUCCGGUUCAUCAACCGGGACUAAAGAUGCUCCACGUGGGCGCCUCGUAGCGCCCUAGGGGCAGACCCUUUAGUCCCGGUUCGUUACACGGAUCGGAACUAAAGAGUUUCAGAUUUUGCUUAUUUUUGAGUUUUUUUUUUGAAUGAAAUUAUUUUUGGGUUUUAGGGGUUUAGGGUUUCGGUGUUCGGGAGAUUAACGUGAUGGCUCGUUUGGUGUUCGGGAAUUAGUUUUCAUAUAAUUUAAAUAGAAAUAAUUAUGCAUAUAUAUAUAAGAUUAACUUAUCUUACAAGCGAGCAUAUAUAUACAAUUAUAUGUAGAUCUGAAUUAUCGGGACUAGAGCCCGUCUAUUCGAUUACAUGGACGAACAUCAGUAAUGGCCCCUAGCUACACUAAAUCGUCCUUUGUCAUCUAUAGCUUCCGUCCUCAGAAAUCCCGCAAGCUCCUCUGCAACAGCAAUCGCGCGUUGCUCUGGUAGGACCUUCGUCCUCAUGGCCUUGUGCUAUAUAAGAAGAGGAGAUGAAUAUGAAUAUCAAUCAUGAUAACAAAGAAUGACGGGUAAAAAUAAAGGUGUGAAUGUUCAUUGCUUACGUCGAAUCUGUGAUCCUUGUGCUCAGAGGUAAACGUGCGAAUGGUCUCGCAAACAUAGUAUCCGCAUAGAUGUGUUCCCCGUGGCUGCUGGUCGCACUUUACGAGAAUAGAAUAUAUAUAAUCAGAAUAAUAAUCUAGCAUCAUAAAUGUAUUGAAAAUAGAAGUAUAUCAUACUACUACUUACCUGAGCCGCUCUAAAGGUCAGCUUCUCAGGAAAGUUACCGGGAGUCACGCACUUGAACCGCUUCCAAACCCUGCCCGACAAGGAUAAUGAUUUGCUAAGUUUUUCAUUAAUUGAUAUAUCAGAAAAUCAUCGAAAGAGACCGAUAGAGCGCAAGAAUGAUUGAAAUUACCCUUGGAGCAUGUCCUGCAGGCUUUGGAACUGUUCCAAGGGUCUCGAUAAUGGAUCGAAGGCAUCAACUCUUCCCUUAUCAAUUUGAAUGUCCAACAGAAUCCAAUGAAAGCUGCACAUGUAUAUAUAUAUAUGUGUGUGUGUGUGAGUAACUUAUCAAUUACACUUAUAAGUGAAUGGACACAACAGAGUAAAGACCCUCACCUGAAGUUGUAUGGAAACAGUAUGUGGUCACAGAAAUUUUGAUCUGUUAGAAACCUUAGAAGGUUUUCCUCCGUCUCCUUGGGAUAAUCAGUUAGCGUCGCUAUAUGUAUUUUAUCUGGGUCAAUAAACCCAAUAUUUAGGAUGGUCUUACUUUUACAAUCCAGAAUCUUCAUUCUGCAUAAUAGAGUACAAGUUAUAUAUAGACAAUGAAUUGAAAUAACUAAACAAGUUAUAUGUAGACAACGAAUUGAAAAACUUACAGACAAUAGCNNNNNNNNNNNNNNNNNNNNNNNNNNNNNNNNNNNNNNNNNNNNNNNNNNNNNNNNNNNNNNNNNNNNNNNNNNNNNNNNNNNNNNNNNNNNNNNNNNNNGGGGGGGGGGGGGGGGGGGUGGAGGGGGUGCCAACCUCAUCUGUCCGUACCCACAAUACUCCCAUGCUCCGUACUUGGACUCAGCGAAGAACAUCAAGAAAAAGGAUUACACACACAUAAAGAUUAUUCUCGAUAGUGACAUUUUAACCUUCAGCCUUAUUGGUGGAUAUAUCCAGGUGAAAAAGUACAAGAAUAAAGGGUCGGAUUUCGUUCAUAAGACCGACUUCUGCUGCAUCGAGCAACCAAACGAUAGUAAGGUUGAUGGAUUCUACCUCAUGCUUCACAUGAUCGAGUACAAAAGGGAUAAACAAUGCCUUUAUAUUUCAGCUACUUCCGGCGCGAUGCCAAGAUUGUCAACUGGGCCACAAGAAUAGGAAGGACACCGGAUCAUCGAAUCUGAGCUGAGUUUUAUGACAUACGGUGUGAACUUUAUGAAGUGAUCAUGAAGGAGGUCGUUGAACAAACAGGGAUGUUCUUCCAUGGGCCAAUGAGGCGGGAGAAUGUCCGAGAACUGCUACUCGCUCAGCGUGUGGACCUGAAUGCUUUCACGAAGCUCGGGUCCUUCAUCCCUGAUUAUGAAGAUUGGAGCGUCGACAUGGAGGAGUGAUUGACGAUGACAAUCUGUGUUUAUAAUUAGUACUAGUGUCUUUCAUUGAACUAGCAUAGAUCGCUCUAGUUAAUUAGUUUGUGUAUGAGGAACUUCAUUAUUUAUGUUUACUAUAGGUUGCUUGUAUUUUGCUAACUAUGCCUCUUUGUGUUUCUCAAGUACAUUAUGUUGCAUAUUAUCGUUGAAUUCAUCAACUUACAAUGCAGCUACAUAGAUCGGAGAUGGCGAAGGACUGCUACAUCAUAUUCAUUGGGAGGGUUCCAGGAGUGUACGACCACUGUCCAGACGCUCAGGCCCUGGUUGACAGGUGCCCGGGCACUAGCCACAGAGUGUUCGACGAUAGAGCCGAAGCGGAAAAGAGUUACUUGAGUUGGAUGCCACGGCAAGAGAGGGAGCGAAACCGGUGCCUCAAGAAGUACUACAUAGCCGCGCUCUUGCUCAUACUGAUCACUCUUCUCUUCUACAUAAUGGUUUAUAUAAAGAUGAUGAAACUUGUGGGUGUGCAAUGACCAUGCAGUUGCAUUUAUUCGAGACACGACUUGUGUAUCGUUACUUUCGAGAUGUGAUGAUAUUUCUGUUGGAUAAUGAUGAUGAUGAUGAUGGUAUGACGAGACUAUUUUAUAUGUAUGAUAUGAUGAGAAUAAUAUAUGUUUAUUAUGAUAUGAUGAGACUACUGUAUAAAGCAUGCAAAAAUACGUAGAGGGGGCACAAAUACGUAGAGGGUAAUUAAAUUAUUGAAAGCGGGAAUGUUAGCAAUAACACUGGUAGGAAUAUUCGUAGUAGCGUUGGUAGGAAUAUUAGCAAUAGCACUUGUUUAGCAGCGGCACUUGUUGUCUUCCAGCGCUACUGCUACCGUACUUACCAGUAGUGCUGGUGCUAAAACUUAGGUGUAGCGCCUUAGCAGUAGCGCUGCCACCAACACUACUGGUAUGGGUAAAUCAAGCGCUACUACUAGGCUUUCUCCUAGUAGUGUUAUGAAGACAUGCACAUGCAGUAAUGACUGUGUUUGCGUAGCAGGUUUGUAUCGUGUGAUGCCAAGGAGGAUUCGCCAUUUCAUCUUCAUAACACUGAUAGUGAUGAAUGUAGAUGAUUGAAGGUCUCAUUUCUCCCUUGUGGUGGUAUUUGUUAAAAAUCAGGUACAUGGUAGCGUUGGCCUUAGUAUGGUGCAACAAGAUAGUAUUUUCCUGCAUUGAUUGCAAAUAAAAUCAAAACAAAUUAGUUAACGAAACACAUUAGAGCACAAGAACACAUGUAGAAGUUAUUUAUGUCCGUGGGGGUGUGGGAAGUAGGAAUAUUCAACUUGUGCAUCAUCCAACACAUGUGUGUCAUGCAUAGAUCCACGCCAUCCAGCAAUAACAAACAAAAAUCUCAUGUCAAAAUCGCAAAUAGCCAUGACAUUCUUGUUGGAAAUAUGCCCUAGAGGCAAUGAUAAAUAAUAAUUCUUAUAUUUCCUGUUUAAAGAUAAUCGUUUAUUAUCCAUGCUAUAAUUAUUUGGAAUGACAACAUAGAUACAUGUGUGGAUACAUAGACACAACAAUGUCCCUAGCAAGCCUCUAGUUGGCCAGCCAGUUGAUCAAGGAUAGUCAAGGUUUUCUGGCUAUGUGCAAAGUGUUGUUGCUUGAUAACUGGAUCACAUCAUUAGGAGAAUCAUGUGAUGGACUAGACCCAAACUAUGAAUUUAGCAUAUUGAUCGUGCCGUUUUAUUGCUAUAGUUUUCUGCGUGUCAAGUAUUUGUUCCAAUUACCAUGAGAUCAUAUAACUCACUGGCACCGGAGCAAUGCCUUGUGUGUAUCAAACGUCACAACGGAAGUUUUCCUCUAGAUCGUAUUUCUGUGGAGCUCGGGCGGAGCCCUGUAGGAGUAGAUCCUUCACCACCACCGGAGCGCCGUCACGCUGCCAAAGAACGCAUCUACUUCUGUGUCUUGAUUGCUGGAUCAAGAAGGCCGAAAUCAUCGUCGAGCUGUACGUGUGCUGAAUGCGGAGGUGCCGUCCGUUUGGCACUAGAUCGGAGCGGAUCGUGGGACGGAUCGCGGGACGGUUCGUGGGACGGUUCAAGGGGCGGAUCGAGGGACGUGAGGACGUUCCACUGCAUCAACCGCGUUUCUUAACGUUUCCUGCCGUGCGAUCUACAAGGGUACGUAGAUCCAAAUUUCCUCUCGUAUAUGGACAUCACCAUGAUAGGUCUUCGUGCGCGUAAGAAAAUAUUUGUUUCUCAUGCAACAUUCCCCAACAAUUCUGACUUGUUGAACCUUUCCUGUUGCGAUGCUUGGGUUGCUCACUUGUAGGCACAACACAUUCAAUGUGUGUUCCAUCUAUUACCUCAAUAGCAUCCUUAAAAUGAGGCCAAAAUCUCAAUUUUUUAAGCGAGUCAUGAGGUUGCGUGAAAGAUCCAUCUUUUGGUUGAAUAUAAUCACCGUCCAUACGGUACACACACAACAAGACCUCCUUAAACUUUUUUUUGAUGGUAGACAUAUUGUGUUCAAAUCGAUCCGCAACAUUCUCUAUGGUUUGGUGUGACCCCAAAGUCCACAAGAAUUGUGCCAAUGCUUCUUUGUUUGUAAUGUUGCGAGUUGAUCUUACACCAUACUUCUCAACUAAAAUGUCAUGUAGUGAGUAAAACACUAACCUCCGCUUCUUGAACAUGGAGUAGAAUUCUAGUGGUUGCUUAUCUUUCUUUUCCACCCACUUUCCAUAUGGCAAUCUCUCUUUGCUUAGAAGAUAAUGUACCAUUGCAACAACACAAAAGUCCAAUUCUUCAUUGAUAAUCCCCAAGUGCAAGGAAUCGUUGGAGCAAUUUCCAAAGAUGGAAGUGGUAAGUAUGGAGUGUCGAACCCACAAGGAGCUAAAGGUUAGAUCAAUAUUCUCUCAAGUCCUAUCUGCCACCGAUAUGACUCUAUAUACACCAAACAUUUGCUUAUAUCUAGUAAUGAGAAAUAAAACCGUGUUGUGGGUAUAGAAGGGAUAGCUUUGCAUGAUAUUGGAGAACUAAAAUAUGAAAAUAGUUGUUGCACUCAAUAGAGUUAGAAUAUAUCACAAUAUAUUACAAAUAACAAGUGUGGAAUAAUGAUGGUAUGGUGUGCGGUUCAUCGUAGUAAAUUCAUAACAUGACCGGUAAUCAUUCUUGAAAUAUUAUAUGAGGGAGAGGUAUGAGUUAAAUUCUUUCCGUACUUGGAUCACAUGAGCUUAUGAUUGGAUCUCUAGAAAGCAUCUGCAACUACUAGAAAUCUUGAAGGUAAACCCAACCAUAGAAUUAAACAUAAAGUCCCCUUUACUCCCAUAUGCAAACAACUCCCUUACUCGGAUGCAAGUUUCUAUCACUCUAGCCACCCACUAUAAGCAAAUCAUGAACAUAUUGCAAACCCUAAAAUGUGUGCGCGGCAGGAAGGGCACCAUAGGACAGCAGCAAAAUAAAGCAUACACUUAAAUCAAUCAAGAUCAUCAAUCAACCCAAAGGACAACAUAAAUCUACUCAACAAUCAUAGGAUGGCUACACAUCAUUGAUUAAUAUUAUGUGGCAUGAAACAUCAUGUUCAAAUAGGGAAUUACAAUUGGGUGCGGGAAAUUUGAACGCCAUAGAUAGAUGAGGUAAGGUGAUGGAGAUGAUGAUGUUGAUGAAGAGCCCCUCCUAUCUGAUAGAAAAGGGUCCCAUGAUCCCGAGCCGAUCUUACCUUGGCUCGCAAACCCCAAGUUUGUCUAUCAAGAGCUAAUCUAAUUGUAUUUUUUUCUAGAAUGGAUUUCUUAUGUGGAAUACUAAUGGAUAGGGCCUCGUUGCUAAGUGCUACAAGAUCUAGUGCACUGGAACUCGUGGUUAUGGACCCGAAUCCUUUAGUAUGGAACAUUGUCUUUUCCAAGUAAAAACCCCUAGUAUAUGAAAGAAUGAAAAUGUGCUUUCGUUCUUGUGGAAUAAGAAGCCCUCGUACCUUAAUGAAAGGAAAAUCGUAAUUUUUCCUUAGGUAUUUGACCAAAUAUGAUCGUCCAGUUCCUAUAGAACCUAUCACUAAAAUACCCGAUAGGGCUAAGCAGAACGAAAAGGGUUUUCCAUGAGAUGGUAAAUAAACGUGCAUUCCUACGUAAACCAAUACGCACUUUCUUACGUGAACCAAUUUUUGGUAUAGCUUUUGCCAUAUUUUAUUAUCUCAUAAAUAUGAGUUAGAAAUAAAAAAAAAGAUACAAAUAUAUCUGUUUCAGGGUAAAAUACACCCUUUACUUUAAUUAUUUGAAAUUAUUUUAUUUGGAAUUGGAACAUUUCCGCGGGUACUUUUUUUUUAGUUUUUAGACAGUAAAGUUCUUUUUCGAAAGAUUACCCCUGUCUUUGUUUAUGCUUCGGACUAGAGCAAAUCACUCUAAUUCGUCCACGCCUACGAAUCAGUCGACAUUUUGUACAAAUUUUACGAACGGAAGCUCUUAUUUUCAUAUUUCCGUAUCCUUUUUUAAACUAUGAAUCUAAUAUUUUGGAAAAAAAUAAGUCUCUUCGCUUGAAUUUUAGAACUUAGAAUUUAUUACCCUAGAAAAAAAAAGUUUUUGGUAAUCGACGAAGAUUACCAUAUUGAUAUUCGGGCGCAUGGUAAACAUCAGUACUCCAGUGCAUUUCACCGUCUGAUUCAGAAUAAAUAUGCUUUUGUACCCUUUCUUUAAAAUGUAAAGUGGAUGUUCCGGCACGAAUCUCCGAAAAAAAACCGAUCUACUUCUUUUUGGUAUUUUAGACUAAAUUCUUUUGUUCCUCGAUGCUCAAUCAAACCCUCUUUUUUUAAGAUGGAAUCUUCCUCUGGGCUCUCGUAUUCGUCCUCUGAGUCUUCUUCUGAGUCUUCCUCUAAAGUACCAUAUUUUUCCUCGCCGCUGUGGGAGAAAGUCGCCCAUCAUAUCUAUAGUAUAGAAGAAGACCCCCAAUCCUGCGGUGCCAUCCACGUCGCGCACUUGAUUCCUUCUGUUCAAAACCAUAUCCUUUCUUUGCCUAUUAGACUACCAAUUAUAUCUGUGAUUUCGCUCUGGUCACUAGUAUUUGUAUUAUCGAAUAUCUCCUUUUCACUACUAGUGUACGAUUAUUUCGGAAACCUAAGGACUCGAUCGUAUGGAUAUGGAAAAUACAGGAUUUCCGAUCCUAGCGGGAAAAGGAGGGAAACAGAUACUCAAUUUAAAGUGAGUAAACAGAAUUCCAUACUCGAUCUCAUAGAUCCCUAUAGAAUUCUGUGGAAAGCCGUAUUCGAUGAAAGUCGUAUGUACGGCUUGGAGGGAGAUCUUUCCUAUCUUUCCAGAUCCACCCUACAAUAUGGGGUCAAAAAGCCAAAAAAAUAAGUUAUUUUAGACCUUAUAAAAAGAAAACGGAUUCUUGAACCUCUUUCAAGCUCAUGUCACCUCGAGGUACUGCAGAAAAAAGAACUGCAAAAUCAGAUCCAAUUUUUCGUAAUCGAUUAGUUAACAUGGUGGUUAACCGUAUUAUGAAAGACGGAAAAAAAUCAUUGGCUUAUCAAAUUCUCUAUCGAGCCGUGAAAAAGAUUCAACAAAAGACAGAAACAAAUCCACUAUUGGUUUUACGUCAAGCAAUACGUAGAGUAACUCCCAAUAUAGGAGUAAAAACAAGACGUAAUAAAAAAGGAUCGACGCGGAAAGUUCCGAUUGAAAUAGGAUCUAAACAAGGAAGAGCACUUGCCAUUCGUUGGUUAUUAGAAGCAUCCCAAAAGCGUCCGGGUCGAAAUAUGACUUUCAAAUUAAGUUCCGAAUUAGUAGAUGCUGCCAAAGGGAGUGGGGGUGCCAUACGCAAAAAGGAAGCGACUCAUAGAAUGGCAGAGGCAAAUAGAGCUCUUGCACAUUUUCGUUAAUCCAUGAACAGAAUCUAUGUAUGUAGACACAUGGAUCCGUACAUCUCGAUCGGAAAAAAAUCAAUAGAAGGAGAAUCGGACGAUAUCUUUCUCGAAACAAACAAAAAGGAAAAGAAAGAGAAAACAGAAAUCAUGAUCAACUAAGCCCUCUCGAGGGCUUGCUUAAGAAUAAGAAAGAAGAAUCUUAUGGAAAUAGCAUGGAACUAACUAAUACUAAUAUAUAGAAAUAGAUAUCUAGAAAUAGAAACAAACUAAUAUAUAGAUAAUCGAAAUUGAAAAGAACUGUCUUUUCUGUAUACUUUCCCCGUUCUAUUGCUACCGCGGGUCUUAUGCAAUCGAUCGGAUCAUAUAGAUAUCCCUUCAACACAACAUAUGUCAUUGAAAAGAUCUCGGACAACUCACCAAAGCACGAAAGCCAGUUAGAAAAUGGAUUCCUAUUUGAAGAGUGCCUAACCGCAUGGAUAAGCUCACAUUAACCCGUCAAUUUUGGAUCCAAUUCGGGAUUUUUCUUGGGAAGUUUCGGGAAGAAAUUGGAAUGGAAUAAUAUACAGCUUGGGGAACUUCAAUAUCGACGGGCUUGCUAGCUAAAUGGCAAUUGGCACAUAUAAUUCGCCCAGUUGCUUCUCGUGGGUUUUCAUAACCCUGCUGCGCAAAAAUGGGAUAUGCAUUUGAAAUAGAUGUCCAAGUUAUUACGUAUAUCAUGAUCGAUAUAGAAUACGAUGAUCCCUGUUAAGCAUCCAUGGCUGAAUGGUUAAAGCGCCCAACUCAUAAUUGGUAAAUUUGCGGGUUCAAUUCCUGCUGGAUGCACACGAACCGGAACAUUCCAUAAGUCUAUUGGAACUGGCUCUCUAUCCAUGGAAUCUCAUCCAUCAUCCAUACAUAACGGAUUGGUAUGGUAUAUUCAUACCAUAACAUAAGAACAAUAAGAACUCGAAUUCUUAUCGAUACUGGAACUCAGAGCAUAGGAGGGAAAGUCGAUUUAUGGAUGGAAUCAAAUACGCAGUAUUUACAGAAAAAAGUCGAAUCGGGAUUCACUAAGACAGAAAUAAAGCAUUGGUUCAAACUCUUCUUUGGAUUAAGGUGGUAGCUGUGAAUAGCCAUCGACUACCUGGAAAAGGUAGAAGAAUAGGACCUAUUCUGGGACGUACAAUGCAUUACAGAUGUAUGAUCAUUACCCUUCAACCGGGUUAUUCUAUUCCACUUCUAGAUAGAGAAAAAAACUAAAGGAGAAUGAAUGAAAAAAGACAUAGUUUGGAAGUUAGACCUUUUUAUAAGACUCUCUUUCAAUUUCAAAAAAGAGGACGUUUGAAACUUUUAACAGGCGUAAUCGUGAGUCAACAUGCUAGAACUAGAUAAGGAAGUUUUCUAUAACCUUAAUAAAAAGGAUAAAAAGGUAGUUUUAGUUUAUGACUCCGAUCAUGAGCGAGAAAUCCUUGAUUUGGGAUUGGACAUAGAACCUGGACCCAUCGGAGAGACGUUGAAAGGAGCGUAUCCUGAUGGUAAGAAUUAUACUUUCGUGGAAAUACAGCGCUAUAGACUUCAGUGUGGUAGAGUAUACAUUUUGUUCCUAAUUUUUCUGGACCAAACCUCCGCUCCGACCCAACGAUACAAUGAAUUUUUUCUGUUCAUAUUCAUAAAUAAAAAAGAUUAGGAAUCGCAAUGCUACUAUAUGCGUCCAGAGCAGUAUUUUGAAUACUAUUCUUCUAUAAUCCAUUAUUGCGCGGGGUCUUACUAACAGGACUUCGCGGCACAGGACGGGUCUUCGUCGAAAAGCUAACACCACCUGGCAUUUUCAUACCCUUUCUUUGGGUGGUAUAUCGCCUUUAAAAGUCUAAGAGGGUAGUAGGGGGGAUCUUAAGAGGGUAGUAGGGGAUCUUAAGAGGGUAGUAGGGGAUCUAUAGUAGGUAAGAUAAUUUGCCCUUUGAUUUUGAUUGAAUAUACUAUUUUUCUGCCUUUACCACGCAUUAUUGUAUGCGCUUCUAGAGAAGUACGUAUGCAGGAAGUAAAUUCUAGUCGCUUUCUUUUGAAUCCAAUUUCAAAUUAGAUUAGAAAGAUAGAAAGGCCAUGAGGAUGGGAAAAUAAAAAAAAUAUUUUUAAUUAGUUCUCCUUUUUUGGAAUUUUCUUAUUAUCCUUAUCAUUUUUUUUACAGAAUAUUUUGCAAACUAAAAAAAUACAAUAGUCAAUAUUCCUUAUAAUAGAUAUACUUAAUUAUAUCAUAAGAAUCUUAAGAUAUUUUUCGACUAGAUAGAAAUAGUAAAUUUGAAUUGAGACACCUAUUCCAUGACGGAUUUAAACUUACCUUCUAUUUUCGUGCCUUUAGUAGGCUUAGUAUUUCCGGCAAUUGCAAUGACUUCUUUAUUUCUUUAUGUGCAAAAAAAAGAUUGGUAUCAAAUUGGAUCAGUGAUCGAUUUCUAGGUUUCGUCGUAAACCUAAUUGGUUACUUCCAAUUACGUAAAUCAAUAGUUCAAACCGCACUCAAAGGUAGGGCAUUUCCCAUUGAUAUAGGAACUUUUGUACCAGAAACAAUAGUAUCUCCAAUUAUAGCCCCUGUGGGAUGUAAAAUAUAUCUCUUCUCACCAUCCCCAUAGUGUAUGAGACAAAUGUAUGCAUUUCGAUUAGAGUCGUAUUCUAUGGUUACGAUUCUACCAGAUAUGUCUUUUUGAUUCCGUCGAAAAUCUAUUUUACGGUAUAGGCGCUUAUGACCUCCCCCUCUAUGCCUUGCGGUAGUAAUUUCAGACAAGUUUGGUUAAUUUAGUUUGUUUUUUUGUACUGUAUCAGCACCUAGUUCAUUACUCUUGAUAGAGAGGGAGGAUCCGCCUUCUUAAAUUUCUUUUUCUAUUUAUUUUUCCAUCUAGGAUUAGAACCGUAUACUUGAUAAUAAUAGCAACGGCACAUUAUGGCAAAAAAGAGUUUGAUUCAGAGGGAGAAGAAGCGGCAGAAAUUAGAACAGAAAUAUCAUUUGAUUCGUCAAUCUUUAAAAAAAAAGAUAAGAAGCAAAGUUUCUCCCUUGAGUUUGAGUGAAAAAACGAAAAUGCGAGAAAAAUUGCAAUCCCUACCGCGUAAUAGUGCACCUACAUGCCUUCAUCGACGUUGUUUUUUGACCGGAAGACCUAGAGCUAACUAUCGACAUUUUGGGCUAUCCGAACACGUACUUCGAGAAAUGGUUUAUGAAUGUUUAUUACCAGGUGCAACAAGAUCCAGUUGGUAAGGAUAAAAUACCCUUUCGUAUUUGUAUGGAUUUCUGGAAUAGAUAAUCAUAGAGGAGCCCUGUUUACCAUUCUGUAUAAAUGGACUAUUCUAUUUGUAUAGAUAUGGUAGAGGGACGUAUCGAACCCUCUUUUAUCCACUAGUUACCCCUCUUUAGUUUAAGAGUAUAGAGCAGUUUGGUAGCUCAUAAGUCUCAUAACCUUGGGGUUGAAAAAGGAAAGGUUCAUAGAAUUUUCUUCCCCUUCCCCUUUCCCCGAACUAAAUAGCCCUAAGACCAUUACCAUUAAUUCGUAUUUUCCCAUCAACUAGCUAAAAUUGAUUAACCCUAGGAUUAGGAUCCUUUUUGCUUUUUUCCUCUAUGUUUACAUACCACAGUAAUUUGCUAUAGAGAAUUUUUAAUUUCUAUUAAAUAAAAAUAAGAUAAUAUAAGAUAUUAUAUUAUUACUGGAAUAAAUUGCUAUUUGAUUUGAUACAUUGUGAUCCUUAACGUUGAUGAAUUAAGAAAAACGGAAAGAGAGGGAUUCGAACCCUCGGUAAACAAAAGUCUACAUAGCACUUCCAAUGCUACGCCUUGAACCGCUCGGCCAUCUUUCCUACAUAACUUAUUAUGGAAAAUAAACUGAGUGAAUAGCGAGUUUUCUUAUUCAUGCAGUACAGGUACAACCACAACCGCUCGGGGGUUCCCUAGUGAUCUUAUAUACUAAAUCUUAUAUGGAUCUAAUUUUUUAAAUGGCCUUUAUUAUUUCUUUUUUAUGGGGUUACUAAAUAUUAACCAAAUUUAAUUUAAGAAAUGAGAGAAUUCAGAAUAGCUACGAGAAAGACUAGUCCAAUCCAUAAUGAUGUACCGGAAAAUACAACAUUUUUAUUAUUUGACCAACCAUCAGGAGAAGCAAAUACAAGGGGUACACUAAUUACUAAGACUGAGGAAGUCGCAAUUAAUGCAAAAACAGCUAAUUGGAAAGCAAUAGUCAUAUUUCUAAUCCUCCAAGCUACCAUCAAAUAAAGUUGACUACAUAUUUGAUCCCUCACUUAACCAAAAUUGUAAAAAAAUACAAGAAGUAGGAGGGGUUUAAUCAUGAAUCCAUUGAUUCUUCUCUUUAAUUAAAAUUUAUUACUUAACCUCUUUUUUAUUUGGAUAUGGGGGUGAGAGGAGGUUAUUUAGUCUUUAUUUCACAAGCGGGUAUAGCGGAUCCUGUAUCCGUGUAUACAGUAUACAGAGAUAUAUCGAAAAGGAACUUGUAUCUGAUAUCUUUCUAGAGGUUAAUAAAUAUUUUUAUUUUUUAUAUGGCUAUGUUCUAUUUGUAGGAGUAAAAUAAGGAUUAGGCGGUGGAGAGAUGGCUGAGUGGUUGAUAGCUCCGGUCUUGAAAACCGGUAUAGUUCUAGGAACUAUCGAGGGUUCGAAUCCCUCUCUCUCCUUUUGCUUAUUGAAUACGUUUGUUUCUUUCAUUUUUUUUAUUCUGUCCCUUAUCUUUCUUUCAUAAAAAGGAAUGAAUGGCUCGGCUAGAUAGAAUAACCGAGCCAGAACAGAAAAAAAGUAGAGCAGGUAUAAAUAAGAAAAUCUUAGUUAAGAGGGUUCAUGUAAAGAACAGGUUCCAAAUCACGAUCGAUUCCCUUUUCAAAACCUGCUGCAGCAGCUCGGGCUCUUCCUGCAUGCCAUAAAUGGCCCACAAAAAAGAAGAAUCCUAGAACAAAAUGAGAAGUUGAUAACCAACUUCUAGGAGAGACAUAAUUAACUGCAUUGAUCUCGGUCGCUACGCCACCCACGGAAUUUAAAGAGCCUAAAGGAGCGUGGGUCAUAUAUUCUGCUGAGCGCCGUUCUUGCCAAGUUUGUAUGUCUUUUUUCAACCUACUCAAGUCCAAACCGUUGGGGCCCCUUAGAGGUUCUAACCAUGGAGCACGAAGGUCCCAAAAACGCAUAGUUUCCCCUCCAAAGAUAACCUCCCCAGUUGGGGAACGCAUUAGAUAUUUCCCUAAACCUGUGGGUCCUUGAGCGGAUCCCACAUUAGCUCCAAGACGCUGGUCUCUAACUAGAAAAGUAAAUGCUUGAGCUUGAGAAGCUUCUGGCCCGGUGGGUCCAUAAAACUCACUCGGAUAAGCUGUAUUAUUGAACCAUACAAAACAACAAGCGAUAAAACCAAAGACAGAUAAAGCAGCUAAACUAUAAGACAAGUAAGCUUCUCUAGACCAUACAAAUGCACGGCGAGCCCAUGCCAAGGGUUUGGUUAAAAUAUGCCAAAUUCCCCCAAAUACACAAAUAAAACCCAACCAUACAUGUCCACCAAUUAUAUCUUCUAAAUCAUCUACACUAACAAUCCACCGUUCUCCCCCAAAAGGAGAUUUUAGUAAAUAACCAAAUAUAACACUGGGACUAAGGGUCAAAUUGGUAAUUUUUCUUACAUCUCCCCCCCAGGGGCCCAGGUAUCAUAUACACCGCCAAAAUAAAGAGCCUUGAGUACUAGAAGAAAAGCACCUAGACCUAACAAAAUUAAGUGAAUACCCAAAAUUGUAGUCAUUUUAUUUCUAUCUUUCCAGACAUAACCAAAGAAUGGAAAAGAUUCUUCAAGAGUCUCGGGUCCCAGAAGCGCGUGAUAAAUGCCACCGAAGCCUAAGACUGCGGAGGAAAUUAGGUGAAGUACGCCAGAUACAAAGUAUGGAAAAGUAUCUAGAACUUCCCCCUGGCCCUACUCCCCAACCUAGAGUAGCUAGGUGUGGAAGUAAAAUCAACCCUUGUUCAUACAUGGGCUUUUCUGGUACGAAAUGGGCCACUUCAAAUAGGUUCAUUGCUCCGGCCUAGAAUACGAUUAAUCCGGCAUGGGCUACGUGAGCUCCAAGUAGUUUACCGGACAAAUUGAUAAGUCUGGCGUUCCCAGCCCACCAAGCAAAGCCGGUGGUUUCUUGGUCACGACCAGCUAAAACGAAAGUUCCAUUAAAGAGCGUUUCCACGUGGUAGAACCUCCUCAGGGAAUAUAAGAUUUUCAUGAGGCUGAUCCUGAGCUGCCAUCCACGCACGAAUACCCUCGUUUAAAAGAAUUUUUUUGGUGUAGAAAGUCUCGAAUUCAGGAUCUUCCACUGGACGGAUUUCUUGGGAAACAAAGUCAGAGGCACGUAAGUUCAGAGCCAAGCCAACUACGCCAAUAGCACUCAUCCAUAAACCGGUGACUGGUACAAAUAGCAUAAAGAAAUGUAACCAACGUUUAUUGGAAAAAAGCAACACCAAAGAUUUGGGACCAAAAGCGGUUAGCAGUGACCAUUGAAUAAGUUUCUUCAGCUUGAGUUGGGUUAAAAGCACGGAAGGUAUUUGCACCAUCACCGUCCUCAAAUAGAGUGUUUUCUACGGUUGCUCCAUGAAUAGCGCAUAGCAGAGCCGCGCCUAAUACUCCGGCAACUCCCAUCAUAUGAAAUGGGUUCAACGUCCAAUUAUGAAAUCCUUGGAAGAAAAGGAUGAAUCGAAAUAUCGCUGCUACGCCAAAACUCGGCGCAAAGAACCAACCAGAUUGCCCCAGUGGAUAAAUAAGGAAUACCGAAACAAAAACAUCAAUUGGACCAGAGAAUGAGAUUCCAUUAUAAGGCCGCAAUUGAACAGACCGAGCAAGUUCAAAUUGGCGUAACAUGAAACCUAUUAGUGCAAAAGCCCCGUGGAGAGCUACAAAAGUCCAUAGACCGCCUAAUUGACACCAACGAGUAAAAUCUCCUUGUGCUUCUGGCCCCCAUAGUAGCAACAAAGAGUGCGCUAAACUAUUGGCAGGGGUAGAAACUUCUGCGGUUAAGAAAUUACAACCUUCCAAAUAGGAACUUGCCAAUCCAUGGGUAUACCAAGAAGUUACAAAAGUUGUCCCUGUAAACCAACCCCCUAAAGCGAAAUAAGCACAAGGAAAGAGCAAUAGGCCAGACCAUCCUACAAAAACGAAACGGUCCCUUCGUAACCAGUCAUCCAUAGUAUCAAAUAGAUCAUUUUCUUCUUUAGGAACUCUACCAAGGGCUAUAGUCAUAGUGAUCCUCCUAUUCAAUUACUUCAACCAUUUCCGAGCACCUCAUAUCACUUUCCAAGGCAUAUGAUAGUUUUAUAUCUGUGGACGAUUUCUUUCUCGUUCAAUGCCCUUUUUCAAUGGUCUCGAAGAGAGAAAUUUUCCAUUUUUAUCUAUGGAGUCACAACCGAGGUCGUUGUAAAUCCAUGAAUUUGAUUCGAUUUGUUUUUCUUAUCUUAUACUUAUAGAAAUAAACCUUUGAAUUCAGCAUUAUUCCAAGACUCCUAUUUCAAAGUCUAUCUUUUAAGGGAAAAAUGAAAAUAAAAGUAACCCCUUUUUUCCCAUUCCCUCUCUAUUGCAUGGGGGGAAGAACUAAAAUGGAGGAUUCUGAAAAAAAAAGACCUUCGAAAUCAAUUUUUAUGUGUAGUGCAAAGGAGUUGCGAUUUCUUCUUAUUCCUAUAGAACAUCUAGUAACAAGAAUAUGAAAUCGUAAAUAGCGAAAAAUUCUUGUCUUGCGCGGUCUAUGUCUAAGGAAAUACGAAAAAUUCGCUUAUACAAUUUCAUCUACAUCGAAUUUAUAUAUCAGAAUAGCGGAUAGAGGCAUCAUUCAAGGAGUCAGGUCUACUUACUUUAUGCUUCUUUCCAAUUUUAUGGUGGAUUUGAUAAGAACCCUUUUUGCUUUCUUGAUAAAUAAUCGACAAAAAAAAGCGUUUUUUAUAUAUAGCUUGUUUUAUUAUAAUUAUAACAAGUCCUAUAUGAAAAUGCCCGCUAAAGAGAAAAUCUAUUUGAUUGUCUAUCGGUCAAUAUCGAUUUUUACAAAGAAAAAACAAGAAUUUUCUUCUUUUUUUUAUUAACAUUAAGAAUAAAGAAUAUAACUAAAAUGGAAUUGGCAAUAUAAUUUUUAUAGACUUUUGAAAGAGAAAAAGGGUUUUUUGCAACCGUUAUUUCUUAUUUCUUGCCUAUAUCAUAUCACGGAAACCUUUCGCUUUGGAACGUGGAGAGAUGGCUGAGUGGACUAAAGCGGCGGAUUGCUAAUCCAUUGUACAAUUUUUUUUACCGAGGGUUCGAAUCCCUCUCUUUCCGCUCCCUUGGAUCAUUUGGGACUUUCAAACUGGAAAGAAUUCUGACCCCCGGAUUUUCUCAUAGAUAAAUGUACGAAACAAAUCCAAUUUGUAAGAAAAAAAANNNNNNNNNNCAUUAGAUAAGAAUCCAAAGAUAAAGAGUGAAACAAAGAAUAUCACUACUGUAUAAACAAAAAGUUUGAGAGUAAGCAUUACAUAAUCUCCAAGAUUUUUUUUGAAGGAAUAGAUUACCAGUUUUUCCUUACCACACGGAUCCACUAGGAUGGUUUUUUUUAUACCUAAAAAUGCAAAAAUGAAUUCUGGAAAAAAAUUGCAAGAAUUCAUUUAUAAUAAGAACUCUUAUCAAUAGCAAAAAUAGGGUUAGGUGGUAUUGAAUAGGUAUUGUGUAGGUACCUAAAGGUACCUGCUCAACCUAGGUGCAGGGGAGUAGAAAGGCUGAUCCAAAUUUAUUGCUGUAGCUACCCAUUCAAUGUAGAAUAAUUUAAAUUUUAGAAUUGAGGGUUCAUAAUAUAAAAAUAUAAAACUUCUCGGCUUUUACCCAUUUUAAUUUUUUUUUUGGAAUGAACACAUCAUUCAAUUUGGCAUACAGAGUACUAAAGAUUUCAUCGAAAACUUACAGCAGCUUGCCAAACAAAGGCUAAUAGAAAAAAGAAUAGAGAUAUAACAGGCAUAAUAUCCACGAUUGGAUUGAAAAUAGCAUAAGCUUUGGGCAAUUUGGCAAAUAAAAAACUAGUAGGAUAAAGAACAGAAUUAAAACAGAUACAGGUUAAACUAAGUAUAUUAGGCAUAACAAGCAUUUCAUUCUUGUAGAGUAAAUAAUUGGAUUUUGAUUGAGUUAUUUUUUAAGGGAAAGAAGGAAAAGGCAGAUUCAAAAUCUUUUUUUCUUCAGACUUUCCCAAACACAAAAUACCUCCUUGUAUUCGCACUCUCAAAUGAGAGUGGAAUAAAUUUGACUUUCAUAUAAUAUCUUAAUAGAAUUCCAUGUAAUGAUCAAUGCAUUUUUUUGAUUCUAUAUUAUCCGCAUGUGUAGAAUACUAGCAAGAGAAUAUCUCUUCUUUAUUUAUGUAAUUGAAAUGGUAUUGACGAAUAACAAAUAAACAUAGUAGUGUUUAUUAGUGUCGCAUAAAACCCGAAAUGGGGCGUGGCCAAGUGGUAAGGCAGCGGGUUUUGGUCCCGUUACUCGGAGGUUCGAAUCCUUCCGUCCUAGAUUUUUCUGAUGAAACAAACGGUGAAAUCAUAUAGUACUCCGUAUGAGACAAAAGUUUAUUAAAGAGAAUAAUGAUAUCUUAUGUUUUCUCAGAAAACAUAAUAAAGUCUUAAGUCCAGUCAAAUUGACUACCUUUAUUUUCAUGAAAAAAAUGGGAUCUAGGAGGCACAUUCAGGAUAUGCCUCUACUAUGAUCACUUAAUAAUCACUUAAUAAUCACUUAAUCAUAUUUUUUUCUUCCUUUUGGUCUUCGAGUCGAAGAAGUACCAAAAACAAUUAACUACCAAAAACUUUCAAUCUAUUCAUUGGAAUAGUUUAUUUAGUUAUUAUAGUUAAUUGUUUUUGGUACAGAAAAAAUAUAUUACUAAUAGAAUUCUAAUUCUAGUAAUUAAAUGAAUUAAACUUUUUUGGAGGUUGAUAGUUUAUUUAUUGAGGAAGAGUCAAUCCUUCUCUUCUCACUUCAAGAUUGAUCAUCUCGAGCCAUCCGUUGAGGGUGGAAAUUUAAUAAUAAAUAAGUUUUAAGCAAACUUGUUUAGUCGUCUUUUUCUAUGUUUCAUUCAUAUGAUAGAAUUCGAAUAUGGGUUUAAAUAAAUUGGAUCUUGGCGGAGGCUUCCCGGAUAAAUACUUACUUUCUUUUAUCCAUAUUGCUCCAUAGAUAGCAAGUUUUAAUUUUAAUUAGUAUACAAAAAACAAAACUAAUGACUAUUCAUGAUUCCAUCCAUAUUGGAUCAAUUUUCUAUACCACUUUGCAAUGAAAAGAGGAAUGUUUGUUAUGGUAAAACUUCGUUUAAAAGGAUGUGGUAGAAAGCAACGUGCGACUUGAAGGACAUGAUCGAUUGUGGAUUUUGCUAUCCAUCAUUUUCCAUAGUAAUGAAAAUGCUCUUGGCUCGACAUAGCCUGUUCUAUUCGUUCCGAACCAAAUUUGCGCAGGGUUUAAGUAACAUAGUACACGAUGGAGCUCGAGAGGACAGAGUUUAUUUUUUAUCAAGGGAAAGAAUCUAGGGUUAGUGAAAACUAAUAAAUUAGGCCAACUUUGUCAGUCUAUCCUUAAUAUAGAAAUAAAUCGAAAGGUUAAAAUAAGAAGAAAGUCCAAUAAAAGUAUAUCAGAAUCAAUCCCCCUUAUUAGAUUUCUAUAGAAGAGAUAAAUGCUUUAUCGAAGGAAAUAAGAAAAAAGGGUAUGUUGCUACUCUUUUGAAAGAAAAAAAUAGGAAUUCCCGAAGUAAUGUCUAAACCCAAGGAUUUCACAAAUCAAAGAUAAAGGAUUCCAGAACAAGUAAACACAAUUUUCAAUUGUCUCAACAACAGAGUUGGAUCAGAAUAAGGAAUAAAAGUCAAUUCGUUCGAAAUGAGACAAAGAAAAGAGUUUAAAGACGACUCAAAAUUUUUUGAAGGAUUUUGCCUUCGAAGUUUCUCAGGCAGAAUUAGCCAACUUGAGACAUGAGUAUAAAUGAAAUUUGUUUUUUCUGUAAGGAAAUUAAUGGACGUCAUAGUCUAAUUUCUAUUAUUAUAGACAGAAAUUCGAAUCAUUUUCUCGAGCCGUAUGAGGAGAAAACCUCCUAUACGUUUCUAGGGGGGACAUUGUUUAUCUACAUCUAUCCCAAUAAGCUGUCUAUCGAAUCGUUGCAAUUGAUGUUCGAUCUCGAAGAGAAGGAAGAGAUCUUCGAAAAGUAGGUUUUUAUGAUCCGAUAAAGAAUCAAACUUGUUUAAAUGUUCCAGCUAUUCUCUAUUUCCUUGAAAAGGGUGCUCAACCGACAAGAACUGUUUAUGAUAUUUUAAGGAAGGCGGAAUUCUUUAAAGAAAAAGAAAGAACUUUGAGUUAAUUGAAGAACUAAAUGAAUAAAAAAGUAGGAUAGGAGAAGAUUAUUAGUAUUCCUCGUUGUCUAAUUAUUUAGACACAAUUUACCUCUUUCUUAAUCCUAUUUGGAUUUAUAUCGUGCCAAUCCAACAUAAGCCCCUAUUUUAUUUACUUUUUCUAUCUAAUUUGUUUUCUUACCAUUGUAUUUCCAUUGACAAAGGUCUAUUGAACAAAUAGAAUUUGAAGAUAGAUGGGUCUCUUUAUCCUCACUCCAUAUUUAAUUUUUCUGCUUACACUUCGCUCAAAUGAUAAGGGUGUUCCUCUUGCAUGUAUUCUCAUACAAUAUAAUAUAUAUAUUUUUUAAUAAAAAUCGCUAAAAAAAGGAGAAUUUGGCCAUCGUGAUUAGGGUCGCUCUUUUUUUUCACUUUAGUGGAAUUUAACCGGACCUGUUCGUUUUUCCAUUUGAGUGUUUUUCAUGGUCGAUAAAAUCUUUCUUUUGAUGUCUUGCUAGUUCAAUGUUUUGACAGAAGCGCGUGGUGUAAUUCCAAUGAUUUUUGGAUUUCGAUCGUAUCUAAGAUCCUUUUUUUAUCUGGGUUGCUAACUCAAUGGUAGAGUACUCGACUUUUAAGUGUGACUAUGAUCUUUUACACAUUUGGAUGAAACAACAAAUUCGUCCAGACUCUUGGUAGAGUCUAGAAGACCACGACUGAUCCUCAAAGGUAAUGAAUGGAAAAAAUAGCAUGUCGUAAUAAAAUCAAUCUUUUUUGAAUGGAAUCCAAAAUUACGAUUUUCUGGGUCUAGUGAAUAAAUGGAUAGAGCCUGGCUCCAAUUCUGGUAAAAUAAAAAGCAACGAGCUUAACUUCCGAAUUGGAAGGAUUCCCCGCUCUAAUUAGCCGUUAAAAAUAGAUUAGUGCCGGAUGUGGGGAAAGGUUGGGUUUUCCUAUGAGUGGACCCUUUAUUUUUUCUUUUUUUAGAAAUCCUAAUUAUUCUUGAUUAUGGAUUGAAUAAGGGAUGUUAUGGAUUGAAUGUGUAAAAGAAGCAGUAUAUUGAUAAAGAGGCUGUAUUCCAAAGUCAAAAGAGCGAUUGGCCUGCAAAAAUAAAAAACUUGUUCUGUUCUUUUUUGUAAUUUAGAACAAACAUAAACUAAUUCGGUAGAAAAGGAGCGGAAAAAGAUCCGUGGAUUAGACUCCCUUUCUUUCCAGGGUUUGUAUUAAAAAUGCAACACCCUGUUCUGACCAUAUUGCACUAUGUAUCAUCAUUCGAUAAACCGAGAAAUGCUUCUUCUCUCUGAUUCAAGUAGAAAUACAAAUGGAAAAAUUCGAAGGGUAUUCAGAAAAACAGAAAUCUCGUCAACAAUACUUUGUCUACCCACUUCUCUUUCAGGAGUAUAUUUAUGCAUUUGCUCAUGAUUAUGGAUUAAACGGUUCUGAACCUCUGGAAAUAGUUAGUUGGAAUAACAAGAAAUUUAGUUCACUACUUGUGAAACGUUUAAUUAUUCGAAUGUAUCAGCAGAAUUUUUUGGAUAACUCGGUUAAUCAUCCUAACCAAGAUCGAUUAUUGGAUUACAAUUUUUUUAUUCUGAGUUUUAUUCUCAGAUUCUAUCUGAGGGGUUUGCGAUUGUUGUGGAAAUCCCAUUCUCGCUACGGGAAUUAUCUUGUCCGAAAGAAAAAGAAAUACCAAAGUUUCAGAAUUUACGCUCUAUUCAUUCAAUAUUUCCCUUUUUAGAAGACAAAUUUUUGCAUUUGGAUUAUCUAUCACAUAUAGAAAUACCCUAUCCUAUCCAUUUGGAAAUCUUGGUUCAACUCCUUCAAUACCGUAUCCAAGAUGUUCCAUCUUUGCAUUUAUUGCGAUUCUUUCUCAACUACUAUUCGAAUUGGAAUAGUUUUAUUACUUCAAUGAAAUCCAUUCUUUUUUUCAAAAAGAAAAUAAAAAGACUAGUUAAAUUCCUAUAUAACUCUUAUGUAUCAGAAUAUGAAUUUUUCUUGUUGUUUCUUCGUAAACAAUCUUCUUGCUUACCAUUAGCAUAUUCUGGAACUUUUCUGGAACGAAUCCACUUUUCUAGGAAGAUGGAACAUUUUGGGAUAAUGUACCCUGGUUUUUCUCGGAAAACCUUAUGGUUCUUUAUGGAUCCUCUUAUACAUUAUGUUCGAUAUCAAGGAAAGGCAAUUCUUGCAUCAAAAGGCAGUUUUUUUUUGAAAAAGAAAUGGAAAUGCUACCUUAUCAAUUUCUGGCAAUAUUAUUUCUUUUUUUGGACUCAGCCGCGAAGAAUCCAUAUAAACAAAUUAGAAAACUCUUGCUUCGAUUUUAUGGGAUACCUUUCAAGUGUACCAAAAAGUCCUUUGUUGGUAAGGAAUCAAAUGCUGGAGAAUUCAUUUCUCAUAGAUACUCGAAUGAAAAAAUUCGAUACCAUAGUCCCCGCUACUCUCCUCAUAGGAUACUUAUCAAAAGCUCAAUUUUGUACUGGAUCGGGGCAUCCUAUUAGUAAACCCAUUUGGACGGAUUUAUCAGAUUGGGAUAUUCUUGAUCGAUUUGGUCGGAUAUGUAGAAAUCUUUUUCAUUAUCAUAGUGGAUCUUCGAAAAAAACGGACUUUGUAUCGACUAAAGUAUAUACUUCGAGUUUAUUGCGCUAGAACUUUAGCUCGUAAACAUAAAAGCACGGUACGAACUUUUAUGCAACGAUUGGGUUCGGCAUUUUUAGAAGAAUUUUUUACGGAAGAAGAGCAAGUUUUUUCUUUGAUGUUCACCAAAACAACUCUUUUUUCUUUCAGUGGAUCACAUACUGAGCGUAUUUGGUAUUUGGAUAUUAUAGGUAUCAAUGACCUGGUCAACCCUCUUAAUUAAUCAUUAGACAAAACUAAUAAACAGGAAAGGGUUGAUAAAUGAUCAAGAAAAAACUUUCAUAUUUUUCAUUCUGAAAUGUUCCUUUUAUUAUAAUAAAGAGUAGGUGAAUCAACUUACUAAUUAAAAAAUUAGUAGAACUUCCUCUUUGGAAUAGAAUAUGGCUAUUUCUACAUAGGGAAAGUCGUGUGCAAUGAAAAAUGCAAGCAUGAUUUGGGGAGGGAUUUUUCUCUAUUGUAACAAGGAAGAAUUAUCUACUCCAUCCGACUAGUUCCGGGUUCGAGUCCCGGGCAACCCAUAUAGAAAAGACCCAUCAAAGUUUUUAAGUUUUACUCACUUCAUUUACAAAUACAAAAUUAUUGGUUUGGUUAAUUUAUUUAUAUGGAUAGCCAAUCUUUGGGCUGACUUGGUUGACAUUGGUAUAUAGUCUAUGUUAUACUGUUAAAUAACAAGCCUUCUAUUAUCUAUAUUCUAGUUAAUACGUGUGCUUGGGAGUCCUUGCAAUUUGAAUAAACCAAGAUCUUACCAUGACUGCAAUUUUAGAAAGACGCGAAAGUACAAGCCUGUGGGGUCGCUUCUGCAACUGGAUAACUAGCACUGAAAAUCGUCUUUACAUCGGAUGGUUCGGUGUUUUGAUGAUCCCUACCUUAUUGACCGCAACUUCUGUAUUUAUUAUCGCCUUCAUCGCUGCCCCUCCAGUAGAUAUUGAUGGUAUUCGCGAGCCUGUUUCUAGUUCUUUACUUUAUGGAAACAAUAUUAUCUCUGGUGCUAUUAUUCCUACUUCUGCGGCGAUCGGAUUGCACUUUUACCCAAUUUGGGAAGCUGCAUCUGUUGAUGAGUGGUUAUACAAUGGUGGUCCUUAUGAGAUAAUUGUUCUACACUUCUUACUUGGUGUAGCUUGUUAUAUGGGUCGUGAGUGGGAACUUAGUUUCCGUCUGGGUAUGCGUCCUUGGAUUGCUGUUGCAUAUUCAGCUCCUGUUGCAGCUGCUACUGCUGUUUUCUUGAUUUACCCUAUUGGUCAAGGAAGCUUUUCUGAUGGUAUGCCUUUAGGAAUCUCUGGUACUUUCAACUUUAUGAUUGUAUUCCAGGCAGAGCACAACAUCCUUAUGCAUCCAUUCCACAUGUUAGGUGUAGCUGGUGUAUUCGGCGGUUCCCUAUUCAGUGUUAUGCAUGGUUCCUUGGUAACCUCUAGUUUGAUCAGGGAAACUACUGAAAAUGAAUCUGCUAAUGAGGGUUACAAAUUUGGUCAAGAGGAAGAGACUUAUAAUAUUGUGGCUGCUCAUGGUUAUUUUGGCCGAUUAAUCUUCCAAUAUGCUUGUUUCAACAACUCUCGUUCUUUACACUUCUUCUUGGCUGCUUGGCCUGUAGUAGGAAUCUGGUUCACUGCUUUAGGUAUUAGUACUAUGGCUUUCAACCUAAAUGGUUUCAAUUUCAACCAAUCUGUAGUUGAUAGUCAAGGUCGCGUUAUUAAUACUUGGGCUGAUAUCAUCAACCGUGCUACCUUGGUAUGGAAGUAAUGCACAAACGUAAUGCUCACAACUUCCCUCUAGACUUAGCUGCUGUUGAAGUUCCAGCUAUUAAUGGAUAAGGUUUUUCUGCUAACAUAUAAGAAUUUUUGAAGAAAGAAAAGACAAAAAUACCCAAUAUCUUGUUCUAGCAAGAUAUUGGGUAUUUUGAAUCUUUUUUUUCUUCUUAAUCUUUCUAUUCAGAAUUCAGUUAACGACGAGAUUUAGUAUCCUUUCUUGCAUUUUCAUAACUCGUAAAAUGCCGAGUAGGCACGAAUUCUCCCAAUUUGCGACCUACCAUAGGAUUUGUUAUGUAAAUAGGUAUAUGUUCCUUUCCAUUAUGAAUCGCAAUUGUAUGGCCAACCAUUGUGGGUAGAAUGCUAGAUGCCCGGGACCACGUUACUAUUGUUUCUUUCUCCUCCUUCAUAUUGACCUUUUCUAUCUUUGCCAAUAAAUGAUGAGCUACAAAAGGAUUAGUUUUUUUUCGUGUCACAGCUGAUUACUCCUUUUUUCCUUUUUAAAGAGUGGCAUUCUAUGUCCAAUAUCUCGAUCGAAGUACGGAGGUCAGAAUAAAUAGAAUAAUGAUCAACGGAAAAAAGAAAAAAAAAUCCUUUAGCUGGAUAAGGGGCGGAUGUAGCCAAGUGGAUCAAGGCAGUGGAUUGUGAAUCCACCAUGCGCGGGUUCAAUUCCCGUCGUUCGCCCAUCGCAUUAUUGCAAAUUCCAAAAAUGCAAUUUUCCAUAUUCCUAGUUACGUAUUUACUUACGGCGACGAAGAAUAAAACUAUCGCUAUAUUUUUUCCUUUUCCUAGUUCUUCUUCCAAGCGCAGGAUAACCCCAAGGGGUUGUGGGUUUUUUUCUACCAAUGGGAGCUUUCCCUUCACCGCCCCCAUGGGGGUGGUCCACAGGGUUCAUAACUACCCCUCUUACUACGGGGCGUUUACCUAGCCAACACUUAGAUCCGGCUCUACCCAAACUUUCUUGGUUCACCCCAACAUUACCCACUUGUCCGACUGUUGCUAAGCAAUUUUGGGAUACUAAACGAACCUCCCCAGAUGGUAAUCUUAAAGUGGCCGACUUACCCUCUUUUGCAAUGAGUUUCGCUACAGCACCUGCUGUUCUAGCUAAUUGCCCACCCCUUCCACGUGUGAUUUCUAUGUUAUGCAUGGCCGUGCCUAAGGGCAUAUCGGUUGAAGUAGAUUCUUCUUUUCUCUCAAAAAACCCCUUCCCAAACUGUACAAGCUUCUUCCAAAGCAUACGGCUUUCUAGAUGUAUAUGACCAUCUCUAGACAGAUGGAUCUUAUAUGAAUCAUAUGAUGAAGUACCACAUGAGUGGAUAUAUAUGGAAAGGAAUCCCCAUUUAAAAAAUUCUCCUCCUUAGGCUUCCUCCUCCAUGGCCUCUCCCUAAAUGAGGAUAGGUUCUCCCCUCUGGUCCUUGGCCGCUAUGGCUCGCAGAGAGGCUCUCGCCUCUCCAAAAAUGGAUCUCUCUCCCCCUUUGUGUGUGUGUGUGUGUGUGUGUGCGUGCGUGUUCCUCUCUUGUUUUCUCUAUCGUUUUUUCUCCAGAUUGGUUUCUCAUUGAUACAUAUAGGUUCGGCGGCGAGGAAGAGAGUCUCCCAUAAUUUCUGAUGGUUUAUCUAUUUAUAAGAUUUUAUUGACAUUGGAAUAAUGCAAAGAGGAGUUAUGAGGGCCCACAAGCCAUGACAGACCUUUUACCCCCCUCCCCUGGGCGUGCCUUGUUGGCUUGUGGCCAACAGCCCCCCUCCGGUGGUUCUUCACUCAAAUGUUGCUCAUAUGCUCCAGCAAAAAUUACCAAAAAGUUUCGGGCGGUUCCGAGAACUUUAAUUUCGUGCACAAAAAAACGACACCACGACAAUUCUGUUGAAAACAUCAUCACUCCGGGUUAGAUCUAAUUAAAUCACAAAAAGUGCAUCGAAGCCAUAUAAAAGUAUUGUAAACAUAGAUGAAUAUGACAUGAAUACUUCAUAAAUUAUCGGUUUGUUGGAGAAGUAUCAGCAUCCCCAAGCUUAAUUUAGGCUCCCUCAAGUAGGCAAACGAUAAAAUAAAUAAUUGGUAUCAUCCGCAAUUCCUGAGCCGGCACAUGCAUCUGACGCCCAAACUUUUGGCAGCCAUGACAUCGGCGAACGAUCUCCUCCGCGUGUGCGUGAGCCGUCAACCAAUAAAACCCAUGCCUGAAGGCUUUAGAAGCCAAGGAUCGGGAUCCAGCAUGAUGACCACAGUCGCCCGCAUGAAUCUCAUUGAGGAUCAUACGACCUUCCUCAGAAGAGACGCAUCUUUGAAAUACUCCUCAGGUGCUUCGCUUAUGUAGCCCGCCAUUAUGAAUGACCAUAGAUUUGCACCGACAGACAAUUUGGCGAGCCAGCAGCUCGUCAGCAGGUAACUCGCCUCUGGUGAGAUACGCCAUGUAGGGAAUCGCCCAAACUAGAGUAGCGUGAAGAGCCGCCACGAGUUGAGAUUCGGGGUCUGGUACCGCUAGGUCUUCUUCCGUAGGCAGUUUUACUGACGGGUUAUAUAAUAUAUCCAAAAAGACAUUGGGGGGAACCGUCUUACGCUGCGAACCAAGGCGGGAAAGAGGGUCCGCUGCCUCGUUAAGCCGUCGAUCGAUGUGAUCCACUUGAUAGCCACUGAAGUGACCCGCCACGUCCGACACAGCCCGUCUGUAAGCCGCCAUCAAAGGUUCUCGUUAAUCCCAAGUGCAAGAAACCUGCUGCGCCACUAGAUCGGAAUCACCCAAGCAUCUCACUCUCGUGAGGUUCAUCUCCUUGGCGAGUCACAAACCAUGAAGCAGAGCUUCGUAUUCUGUUGCAUUGUUAGUACAUGGAAACAUGAGUCGGAGGAUACAGAAAAACUUGUCACCGUGAGGCGAAGUUAUCACCACGCCAGCCCCCGAGCCUUCCAACUGCCUGGAUUCGUCAAUGUAGAUGGUCCAAUAUGUAAGAUCUGGUCUUUCCUUAGGGAUUUGUAACUCGGUCCAAUCAUUGAUGAAGUCCACGAGCACUUGAGACUUGAUAGCCGUCCGAGGUGUAUACCGAAUCUGAUGAGGACCCAGCUCGAUGGCCCAUUUAGCAAUCCGUCGAGUGGCCUCUCGGUUAUGUAUGAUAUCGCCGAGGGGAGCGGAGCUGACAACCGUGACCGGGUGUUCAUGAAAGUAAUGCUUCAACUUUCGACUCGCCAUGAAUACCCCAAAAACCAAAUUUUGCCAAUGCGGGUAACGUUGCUUGGAGUGGGUAAGGACCUCACUGAUAAAAUACACUGGCCUUUGGAUGGGGUAUUCCUUCCCUUCAUCAUUUUGCUCGACAACUAUUGCCAUGCUGACUGCUCUGGAAUUGGCCGCAAUGUACAGGAGCAUGGGCUCUUUGUCUGCCGGAGCCGCUAGCACCGACGGGUUAGCUAAUUGUUGCUUCAAGGCUUCGAAAGCAUCAUUGGCCUCAUCUGUCCAUACGAAAUGAUCGGUCUUCUUGAGCAGCUGAUAGAGAGGGAUGGCCUUCUCCCCAAGGCGACUUAUGAAACGGCUCAAAGCCGCGAUUCGACCCGCCAUGCGUUGUACUUGGUUAACGUUGGCUGGUUUCCCAAGCGAAGUAAUCGCUGCAAUCUUCUCUGGGUUUUCCUCGAUUCCUCGUUCUGACACCAAGAAACCCAAUAGCUUCCCCGCGGGGACACCAAAUACGCAUUUGGUGGGGUUAAGCCUCAUUUGGUAAACACGCAGAUUGUCGAAUGUUUCUUUGAGAUCCUCCAACAGCGUCUCCUUGCGGUCAGAUCUAACCACAAUGUCGUCCAUGUAAGCGUGGACGUUACGGCCUAUCUGGUUGUGUAAGCAGUUUUGGAUGCAGCGCUGGUAAGUCGCCCCCGCGCUCUUAAGCCUAAACGACAUGGACACAUAACAGAAAGCUCCGAAAGGGGUUAUGAAGGAUGUCUUUUCCUGAUCCACCACCGCCAUUUUUAUCUGGUGGUAUCCCGAGUAAGCGUCCAAGAAACACACACGUUCGCAACCCGCCGUCGAGUCAAUAAUUUGAUCAAUGCGAGGAAGGGCAAACGGAUCCUUCGGGUAGGCUGUGUUAAGGUCCGUAUAGUCGAUGCACAUGCGUAAAGAGCCGUUCUGCUUGAGUACCAAGACCGGGUUAGCCAGCCACUCCGGGUGAAAAACCUCAAUGAUGAACCCGGCGGCAAGGAGCCGGGCCACUUCUUCUCCAAUCGCCUUAUGGCGCUCUUCGUUAAACCGACGGAGGUACUGCCGUACCGGCUUAACCUUGGGGUCAGUAUUGAGAUGGUGCUCAGCGAAUUCUCUCGGCACACCCGGCAUGUUAGAAGGUUUCCAUGCAAAGAUGUCCCGAUUCUCACGGAUCAAUUCGAUGAGCGCGCUUUCCUAUUUGGGGUCAAGACCCGCCCCAAUAGUGAACUGCUUGGUGGAGUCGCCCGACGUAAAAUCAAUGACCUUGGUGUGGUCUGCUGGUCUGAACUUGAUGGGCGGCUCAGAAUCAAUAGUCGGCUUUUUGAGCGGCGUCAUGUUUGCCGGGUCGACACGGGAUUGGUGAAAUUUAAGCUCCUCGGCCGCGCAAGCUGACUCGGCAUAGGCGGCAUCUCCUUCCUCGCAUUCUUGGACAAUUUUCCUGUCGCCAUGGACGGUGAUGGGACCUUUAGGUCCAGGCAUCUUGAGCUUGAGAUAAACAUAGCACGGGCGGGCCAUGAACUUGGCGUAAGCCGGUCGUCCAAACAGCGCAUGGCAGGGGCUCUUCAUCUUGACAACCUCGAACAAUAGAGACUCGCUCCUGUAGUUUGAUUCCGUGCCAAAAGACACAUUAAGUUUGAUCCGCCCUAUGGGGUAUGCCGACUUACCAGGCACAAUACCGUGGCAAACCGUGGACGAUGGCAUCAGGUCCUUCUCGAGGAGGUUCAUCCGCCGGAAAGUGUCGAAGUAUAAAAUGUUGAUGAUGCUGCCUCCGUCCAUAAGGACUUUGGAAAGGGUGUAUCCCCCGACUUGGGGAGCCACGACCAGGGCUAAGUCGCCAGGGUUGUCGAAUCGGGGUGGAUGGUCUUCCCGGCUCCAUGUUAUGGGUUGCUCUGACCAGUGAAGAUAUCGAGGAAGCGCCGGCUCAGCAACGAAAGUUCUGUGCUUUACCUUACGGCCCCGUUUACACGUGUUAGUGGUGAACACAUGGUACUUCCCGCUGUUCAAUUGCUUGGGGUUGUUUUGGAACCCGCCCCAGUCCUCUUGUCGUUGGGGUCUACUUGCGGGGGAGGUUGUGGGAAUAUUCCUGGUGGGUGAUAUUGCUGGUUAUGAACUUGGUAUUGACCGGCAUUGUGCUGCGACCUGAUACGUCUCCGUCGUAUCUAUAAUUUUUGAUUGUUUCAUGCCAAUNNNNNNNNNNUAUACUUUUGGCAACUUUUUAUACUAUUUUUGGUACUAACAUAUUGAUCCAGUGCCCAGUGCCAGUUCCUGUUUGUUGCAUGUUUUUUGUUUCGCGGAAUAUCCAUACCAAACGAAUUCCAAAUGUAAUAAAAACUUACGGGGAUUUUUUUUGGAAUAUUUAUGAUUUUUGGGAAGAAGAAUCAACGCGAGGCGAUGCAUGGAGUGCCCACAAGCCCUGUGCCACGGCCAGGGGGUGGGCCCUCGGCAGGCAGGCUUGUGGACACUCCUUAAGGCGGUUGGAGCCCUUCUUUCGCCGCAAGAAAGAUAAUAUCCGGGAGAAAGUUGUGUUAAAAUUUCAGCCCAAUCGGAGUUACGGAUCUCCGGAAAUUUAAGAAACGGUGAAACGCAGAAUCUGGAGCGCAGAAACAGAAGGACACAGAGAGAGAGAUCCAAUCUCGGAGGGGCUCUCGCCCCUCCGCCGCCAUGGAGACCAUGGACCAGAGGGGAAACCAUUCUACCAUCUAGGGAGGCGGUCAAGGAAGAAGAAGAAGGAGGGGGCUCUCUCCCCCUUUCUCCCGGCGGUGCCGGAACACCGUGCGGGACAUCAUCGUGUGACGACGAUCUACACCAACACCUCCGUCAUCUUCACCAACAUCUCCAUCAUCUUACCCCAUCUAUAUUCAGCGGUUCAAUCUCCCGCAACCCGCUGUACUCUCUACUUGAACAUGGUGCUUUAUGCUACAUAUUAUUAUCCAAUGAUGUGUUGCUAUCCUAUGAUGUCUGAGUAGAUUAUCGUUGUCCUAUCGGUGAUUGAUGAAUCGCUAUGAUUGGUUUAAUUUGCUUGUAGUUAUGUUGCUGUCCUUUGGUGCCCAUCAUAUGAUCGCGCGUGUGGAUCACACCAUAGGGUUAGUUGUAUGUUGAUAGGACUUUGUAUUGGCAGGCUAGAGUGACAGAAGCUUCAAACCUAGCAUAGAAAUUGAUGCAUAUGGGAUUGAAGGGGGACCAAUAUAUCUUAUUGCUAUGGUUGGGUUUUACCUUAAUGAACGUUAGUAGUUGCGGACGCUUGCUAAUAGUUCCAAUCAUAAGUGCAUAGAAUUCCAAGUAAGAGAUGACAUGCUAGCUGAGGCCUCUCCCACAUGAUACUUGCUAUUGAUCUAGUAACGUAGUCAAUUGCUUAGGGACAAUUCCGCAACUCCUACCACCACUUUUCCACACUCGUUAGACACUCGUAGUUGUUUCUUUAUCUAACCAGCCCCUAGUUUUAUUUACGUCUUCUUUACUUUCUUGCAAGCCUAUUCUAUCACUCCUACAAAGUACUUCUAGUUUCAUACUUGUUCUAGGUAAAGCGAACGUAAAGUGUGCGUAGAGUUGUAUCGGUGGUCGAUAGAACUUGAGGGAAUAUUUAUCCUACCUUUAGCUCCUCGUUGGGUUCGGCACUCUUUCUUAUCGAGAAAGGCUACAAUUGAUCCCCUAUACUUGUGGGUUAUCCAGACCUUUUUCUGGCGCCGUUGCCGAGGAAGCAAUAGUGUGGGGUGAAUAUCCUCGUGUGCGCUUGUUUGCUUUAUCACUAAGUAGAUUUAUUUGUUUUUCUAAGUUGUUCUCUAUCUUUAGUUAUGGAUAUGGAACACGAAAUACCAAAAAAAUUAGGUGUACUUGCUACUCAUGGAGAUGGGGAACCUCCUAAAACCCUCGAGGCUCGUUAUGUGGAAAAUAUUAUGCACUUCUUUAAUAAUCCUAUGAAAGCUCCAUUCAAUUAUAUAAUGGGAUACACGUUGGAUCAACGUGAAUACUUCAGGGAUUAGCGCUUGACUCAAAAAGGGAAACUUUUAUGGGAUCAAAUCCAUUUGUUGAAAUGGUAUGCUUGGGAACUAUGCAAGAGAUAUGGUGUUACUUGUUGCUCUAGGAUGAAGGCUCCACACCUUCCCUUUUCUUGUGAAUUUAAUGAUCAUAGAACCUUGGCUUCUUAUGCUAAUGGUAUAUAUGAUUACUAUGAUGUGGAUCAAAUAGAAGAGUUUGUUGCUUUUAUGGGUGGUUAUGAAAUUGAGGCUCUGUUUAAAAGGUGUGAUGAUAAUGAUGAUGCUCCUUACUGAUCUGAAAAUUUGGCAAUGCUUCGUUAUUGUUAUACUAAUUAUGAAUAUAAUGCCCAUAUUGAACGAUUUAAGGAGAAAUCCUAUGCUGCCCAAGAAGAGCCUAUUAUUUUGCAGGAAACUAUGGAAGAAGAAAAUGUUGAAAUUGUGAGCUCAUUAGAUGAAAAAGAUGAAGAGGAGAGCGAAGAACAAAAGGAGGAAGAGCGGACUAGCUACCCGUGUCCACCUUCUAAUGAGAGUAACUCUUCUACUCAUACAUUAUUUAAUUUCCCUUCGUUCUUACCGAAGGAUGAAUGCUAUGAUCCCUUGGAUUCGUUUGAAAUAUCCCUUUUUCAUGAACUUGAUGCUUGCUAUGCUUGUGGCCAUGAUUCCAAUAUGAAUGAUGCUUAUGAAAUGAGCUAGCUAUAGUUCCUUAUGUUACACAUGAUGAUUUUGAUGAAUAUAAUAUGCAUGUACUUGCUGCUCCUACUUGCAAUUAUAAUGAGAGAGGAACUACAUCUCCACCUCUCUAUGUUUCCAAUACGAUAAAAUUACAAGAAACUGCUUAUGCUAUGUAUUAGCCUUUACUUGAUGUGCAUGAAUUGUUCUUUUAUGACAUGCCAAUGCAUAGGAAGAGACUUAGACUUUGUCAUUGCAUGAUAUAUGUUACCUUGUGUUCGCUACUAAAUUUCAAAUCAUUGCUAAUUAAAAUUGGCUUUGAUAUACCUUGGGAUCCGGGUGGAUCCAUAACUUUAGCACUUUAUGCCUAGCUUAAUGGCUUUAAAGAAAGCACUGCCUGGGAGACAACCCGGAACUUUUAGAGAGUAAUUUAUUUCUGUUCAGUUCUUUUAUUUAGUUUAAAAACAAAAAAAAUAUAGAGGGAAACUUAAAACUUUUUCAAAAAGAGAAGCGAUUGAAAGGUGAUGCAUUGCGGAAGUGAGGGUCGACCUUAAACACUUGUGUUCAUGAUCAUGGAAACAAUGUAGAAUUUUUCAUGGAAGUUUCUCACAAAAAUAAUUAUCCCCUUGUAAAAUUCCUUUAUGUUUUUAAAAAUAAUGUGCCAAGUAAAGCCUUUACGAUCAGUUUGGGUGAUAGUUGUUUGAUCACGCUGAGAAAAGACAGAAACUUUCUGCUCACGAAAUUAAUUUUCAUUUUUAUUCUGGAAGAGCUUUUGAGUUGAUUCUUUUUUAUGCUGAUUCAUAUGCAAAUUUUCCAGACUUUCAUAAUUUUUCAGAUGUUUUGAGAUAACAUAGGUAUACGGAAUAUACCGAUUGCUACAGACUGUUCUGUUUUGACAAAUUCUGUUUUCUAUGCAUUGUUCUCUUAUUUUGAUGAAUCUAUGGGUAGUAUCGGGGGGUAUGAACCAUGGUGAAGUUGGAUUACAGUAGAUAUAAUGCUUAUAUGAAUUUAGAAUGAGUUCACAACAGUACUUGAAGUGGUGAUUUAUUUUAUUAUACUAACGGAUCUCAUGAAGUUUUGUUGAGUUUUGUGUGAUUGAAGUUUUCAAGUUUUGGAUGAGAGCACGAUGGAUGAAGGAAUAAGGAGAGGCAAGAGCCUAAGAUUGGGGAUGCUCGAGGCACUCCAAGGUAAUAUUCAAGGAAGACUCAAGCGUCUAAGCUUGGGAUGCCCCGGAAGGCAUCCCCUCUUUCGUCUACAAUCUAUCGAUAAUUUUACUCGGAGCUAUAUUUUAAUUCGUCACAUGAUAUGUGCAAAUGCUUGGAGCGUCUUUUGUGUUUAUUUUUCCUUUUAAUUUUAUGCACCAUGCUGGUAUGAGAUAGUCCUUGGUUGGCUUUAUAGAAUGCUUCUUGUUCUUCACUUAUAUCUUUUGAAGUUUAGAUUGCCUGUUUCCCUACACAUAGAAAACCGCCAUUUGUAGAAUGCUCUUUUGCUUCACUUAUAUUUGUUAGAGCAGGGCAUAUCUUUUGUAGAAAAAAUUAAACUCUCAUGCUUCACUUAUACCUAUUUAGGGAGUUAACAUGAGUUGGUCAUUCACAUGGUUAGUCAUAAAAUCGUACAUAAAACUUGUAGAUCACUAAAUAUGAUAUGUUUGAUUCCUUGCAACAGUUUUGCGACAUGAAUAUGUGAUAUUAGAGUCAUGCUAGUAAGUAAUUGUGUUUUUUUAGAAAAUACUUGUGUUAAGGUUUGUGAUUCCCGUAGCAUGCACGUAUGGUGAACCGUUAUGUGAUGAAGUCGGAGCAUGAUUUAUUUACUGAUUGUCAUCCUUUGUGUGGAGGUCGGGAUCGCGCGAUGGUUAACUCCUACCAACCUUUCCCCUAGGAGCAUGCGUGUAGUACCUUGUUUCGAUGACUAAUAGACUUUUGCAAUAAGUAUGUGAGUUCUUUAUGACUAAUGUUGUGUCCAUGGAUUAUACGCACUCUCACCCUUCCACCAUUGCUAGCUUCUCUAGUACCGCACAACUUUCAUCGGUGCAUUACACCCACCAUAUAGCCUCUCUCAAAACAGCCACCAUACCUACCUAUUAUGGCAUUUUCAUAGCCAUUCCGAGAUAUAUUGCCAUGCACCUACCACCAUUCCGUCUCAUGACAUGUGCCACCACUUCCAUAUUGCCAUUGCAUGAUCGUAAGAUAGCUAGCAUGAUGUUUCCAUGGCUUGUCCGUUUUUUGAUGACAUUGCUAUGCUAGAUCAUUGUCACGGUACACUACCGAAGGCAUUUCAUAUAGAGUCAUCAUUGCUCUAAGUAUUGAGUUGUAAGUGUGAUGAUCAUUAUUAAUAGAGCAUUGUCCCAUGUGAGGAAAUAAAAGAGGCCAGCGAAGCCCAUUUAUAAAAAAGAGGCCAAAGAUGCCCACCAAAAAAAAGAGGCCAAAGAGCCCACAAAAAAAUGGGAGAAAAGAGAGAAGGGACAAUUGCUACUAUCCUCUUUCCACACUUGUGCUUCAAAUAGCACUAUGAUCUUCAUGACAGAGAGUCUCCUAUGUUGUCACUUCCAUAUACUAGUGGGAAAUUUUCAUAAUAUAACUUGGCUUGUAUAUUCCAAUGACGGGGCUUCCUCAAAAUUGCCCUAGGUCUUCGUGAGCAAGCAAGUUGGGUGCACACCCACUAGUUUCUUUUGUGAGCUUUCAUACACUUAUAAGCUCUAGUGCAUCCGUUGCAUGAUAAUCCCUACUCACUCACAUUGAUAUCUAUUGAUGGGCAUCUCCAUAGCCCGUUGAUACACCUAGUUGAUGUGAGACUAUCUCCUCCUUUUUGUCUUCUCCACAACCACCAUAUUCUAUUCCACCUAUAGUGCUAUGUCCAUGGCUCACGCUCAUGUAUUGCGUGAAAGUAGAAAAAGUUUGAGAACACUAAAGUAUGAAACAAUUGCUUGGCUAAAAUCGGGGUUGUGCAUGAUUUAAAUACGUUGUGUGGGGAAGAUGGAGCAUAGCCAGACUAUAUGAUUUUGUAGGGAUAACUUUCUUUGGCCAUGAUAUUUUGAGAAGACAUGAUUGCUUUGUUAGUAUGCUUGAAAUAUUAUUGUCUUUAUGUCAAAUGAUAGACUAUUGCUUCGAAUCACUCGUGUUUUAGUAUUCAUGCCAUGAUUAGAUUAUAUGAUCAAGAUUAUGCUAGGUAGCAUUCCACAUAAAAAAUUAUAUUUUUUAUCAUUUACUUACUAGAGGACGAGCAGGAAUUAAGCUUGGGGAUGCUGAUACGUCUCCGUCGUAUCUAUAAUUUUUGAUUGUUUCAUGCCAAUAUUCUACAACUUUCACAUACUUUUGGAAACUUUUUAUACUAUUUUUGGGACUAACAUAUUGAUCUAGUGCCCAGUGCCAGUUCCUGUUUGUUGCAUGUUUUUUGUUUCGCAGAAUAUCCAUACCAAACGAAGUCCAAUUUUUUUGUUUCGCAUAAUAAAAACUUACAGGGAUUUUUUUUGGAAUAUUUAUGAUUUUUGGGAAGAAGAAUCAACGCGAGGCAAUGCACGGAGUGCCCACAAGCCCUGUCGCCGCGACCAGGGGGUGGGCCCGCGGCAGGCAGGCUUGUGGACACUUCUUAAGGCGGUUGGAUCCCUUCUUUCGCCGCAAGAAAGAUAAUAUCCAGAAGAAAAUCGUGUUAAAAUUUCAACCCAAUCGAAGUUACGGAUCUCCGGGAAUUUAAGAAAUGGUGAAACCCAGAUUCUGGGAGCGCAGAGACAGAAGGACACAGAGAGAUCGAUCCAAUCUCGGAGGGGCUCUCGCCCCUCCGCCGCCAUGGAGACCAUGGACCAGAGGGGAAACCCUUCUCCUAUCUAGGGAGGAGGUCAAGGAAUAAGAAGAAGAAGGGGGCUCUCUCCGCCUCUCUCCCGGCGGCGCCGGAACGCCGCCCGCAACAUCAUCGUGUGACGGCGAUCUACACCAACACCUCCGUCAUCUUCACCAACAUCUCCAUUAUCUUCCCCCAUCUAUAUUCAGCGGUUCACUCUCCCGCAACCCGCAGUACCCUCUACUUGAACAUGGUGCUUUAUGCUACAUAUUAUUAUCCAAUGAUGNNNNNNNNNNAAGCCCCUAGUUUUAUUUACGUCUUCUUUACUUUCUUGCAACCCUAUCCUAUCACUCCUACCAAGUACUUCUAGUUUCAUACUUGUUCUAGAUAAAGCAAACGUAAAGUGUGCGUAGAGUUGUAUCGGUGGUCGAUAGAACUUGAGAGAAUAUUUGUCCUACCUUCAGCUCCUCAUUUGGUUCGACACUCUUACUUAUCGAGAAAGGCUACAAUUGAUCCACUAUACUUGUGGGUUAUCACGACCCGCCAUGUGGUCCUUGGUUGGGGAAGCCCCCGAACGUGACCUGUCGUGACCCGAACGGGCCGGGUUGCUCCUGCCGCUGGCCCUGCUCGCCGCCUUGACUCCUUUUGAGCGCCUCGGCCUGGAACUCUUACAUGACAUAGCAAUCCUCCCAUGAGUGAGUCGCCGGUCCAUCAGCUGUGGCGUGCUGCGGGCACGGGCCCUUAAGCAUUUCAUGGUAGUUACGCGGUUUCUUCCCAUUGAAGCCCCGUUUCUUCUAACACGGGUUUGUGUUGCCGGCAUUAGUAUUAGCUACAAAUUCCAUGGGACCCUCCUUCUGCCGCUUCUGGCCAUGCCCGCCAUGGUGGUUAUUUCCCCGGUUCUGGAACUGGGGUUGGCCCUUUUGUAACUCGCCCUUGCGGGUAGCUCUAGUUUUAUCAUCGCCCUCCCCGGGAUCCUUAGUGUCAUCCGACUCAGCAUAUCUGGUAAGGGCGUCCAUCAGCUCGCCCAUGUCCUGUACCUUUCGCUUAAGUCUCCCUAGUUUCAGCACCAGAUGCUCGUAGUGGCAAUUUUUCUCCAGGAUCAACACCGCCUCAGCCGCCGAAAUACCUUUCGACGAAUGAAUGACUUCCGCGACUCGCCGGGUCCAAUGAUGGGCCGACUCAUCUGGCCGCUGAACGCAGUGUUGUAAGUCGACGAUGGUCAUCGGGCGCUUGCAGGUCCCUCUGAAGUUCUUGAUGAAGCGCUCCUUCAGUUUUGCCCAAGUGUUGAUACAGUUGGGCGGCAGGUUUUUGAGCCUAGUGCGUGCCGUCCCUUCGAGCAUCAUGGUGAAAUAUUUCGUGCAUAUCGCCUCGCUAACGUCUAGCAUAUCCAUCGCGAGUUCAUAGUUCUCGAUCCAUGAUCCGGGCUCGAGAUCUGGCGAGUAGUUGGGAACCUUCCUGGGUCCUUUGAAGUCCUUCGGCAUGCGCUUGUUGCGCAAAGCUGGCGCGAGACAUGAUACUCCAAUGUGUUUGCCUCCACCAUCCAGGGCGCGGGAGACGGUGGUACGUAGGCCGGAUAGACCUGACCCGCCAUGGCCGUUGGCUCCAUGUGCUGCAAGGCUCGUGCUGCGUCCACAAUAUCCUGGGCUCGUGUGUCAGGCAUCCCAAGCAGAUCAUGUUGGGGGAGCCGUCGCGGCCCGCUGGUUACUACAGGGAAAUCCUCGUGGCGACUUCUGGUGUGACUCGCGUGAGGCAUAGAGUGGAUCCGAUCAAGGCUAUGGGAAUACUGCGCGUGCUGAACCAUGGCCGUUUUCAGCAUCUCAAUGGCGUUUCUAGCUUCUAUCUCGGCCGGGGUGUUUCCAUAAAUUGGAAGAGACUCCAGGUGGCGGGUUGCAGCGAGCACGUUGUCGACGGGGUUUGAGAAGUGACCUCGCGGUGUUUGGAAUCGAGUCGCAUGAGCGUCCAUGGGCUGAUCCGGCGACGGAUUGGGUGGUGGAAUCGUUCCUCCCCUCGAGGCGGCUUGCAGAGGCCGAUCAGGAUCGGCCCCAAGGGUGCGUGGAGUGUGAAAGAGGCGAGUUGGGUGUAAAUCUGCCGGGUCGCGCCCGCCGUGUCUUCUUUGGUGGACGGCAUCGGACGCGCGUUGCUGUAUCCCAAGCCGCCAGCCUUCGGUGUUCAGCUGAUCGGUCUCCGCGGCGAUCGCGGCUCGCUAUGUCUCGAUCCUGGUGGCUUCUGCUUCCAUGUCGCGAUGUGCUUUGGCCAUUGCCUCCCGCAGUUUGGUUAGCUCGGCAUUAACCGACUACUGAUUUUCAGAUGUAACCGGGGUUGCCAUAAGGCUCGUUAUCUCCGCUGCUAGUUCCGUCAUGGUUUGCGCUGGAGGCUUGGACGUUCCCCCGGUCUCGUUGUUGCCAGUAGGGUUCUGAGGAGGCUGCCUGACCCCGCCGUGUAGAUGGCGAUUUGCCGGCAAGAUCUCUCGAGGACUUCGGGAUCCAUCGCCAGCGAAAGCCCCCCGAGCUGCCCUUCCUCAAGGGGGUAGAUCGACGCCGUCUCGCCCAUGGAUGAAUCGCCAUCAGAAUUGAUGGGGGUGACGUCCUGGCCCGCCUCUUCAUCUUGUGAGUCGCCUCCCCCCGUAAAGCCGACGAAGACCUGGUGGCUCUUGUUCCACCGUGUGACGGGGAGGACGUACCUGGCCGGCUCGACGAUGUCGGUGGAGGUGUCCGGCUCAGGAACAAGCGUUCCGAUCAUGCCGAUGAAGAUGUUGAUCUUGCCGAAGGGGACUCGGUAGCCAUAUUCGACAGAAUCGGCCUUCGAUUCGCAUAGUGAGUUGUCGAUGUAAUACUUCCCGCGGUGACUCUUGGUCAUGAUGCCAACCUCAUAGCUUUCUAACCCUGAUAGGGCUCCCUUCGAGAACUCAACUCCACCGUGCGCUUGCCCCACGACGGGCGCCAACUGUCGUGGUUUUGUCACGACAGAUGUCCUCGUGAAAGGACUUAAAGAUGGAGCCAUCACACCUUGGUGGCGACUCAAAGGGGGUGAGCGAAAGCGAGACUCAGAUUUACCCAGGUUCGGCCCCUCGUGAGGAGGUAAAAGCCUACGUCCUGCUUUGUCUAGAUUAAUGGUGGUUUCGAUUACAAGGAGGGCGUAACUCGCCAAACCUAGCUCUUGAUUCUCUCUAACUCGCUUGGCCUUUCCCUGGGACUCGCCUUUAUAUACAGGUCGAGGCCCUAGGGUUUACAAAGUCAUGCCAUCCUACUCUUGGUAGCUUUCCUUAUCUCUAAGUCAUCGUGCUCCCCACGACGAGGAGCUUCCUUGAUGUUCAAUCAUCCGCAUGUUCUUCUUGAAUCGCCAUACAACUCAUGGGCCACUGGACGCAUGACCAAGGGUGAGUCGCCCCUUUGGUGACCCGGCCCAUUACAGGCGGGUUACCCACAGGUAACAUCCCCAACAAAUACCAACAUAUAAUCUCUCAUGCUAAAGUGAUAAUUCCUUCACAAAGUAAAGCAUGGAUCAAGAACCUUACCGAGAAGUAACAACCGAUAGCCUUUAGUCAUUGAAGCAAUUGCAAUUUAUCACAACAUCACAAAGAGUCAAAUAAGAGCUUGUAAAGCAAAUCCACAUACUCAAUCAUUCUUUCGUUCUCUACAAUUGCAUCACAAAGAGUCAAAUAAGAGCUUGUAAAGCAAAUGAGAUCAAAGUUUUAGCUGGACACAGAGAAAGAUAGGGGCUUACAGUUUUGCCUCCCAACUGCUUACAUCAAGGGUAAUGUCAACAAUAAUAAUUCAUGAAUACUUACCUCCAAGUUGACAUAUGAAUAUAGAUCUUUCCCUAGCAUAUGACGUUAGCCAAGAUAAAGGCGAAAUAAGGAAUUGGUGAAGAUCACCAUGACUCUUUCAGGAACAAAAAGUAAAGGUACAAGAUGGGCCCUUCGCAGAGGGAAUCAAAGGUUGUCAUGCGCUUUUGAGGUUUGGAUGCGUGUCCUCUUAGUGCGGAGGAACGUCACUUUAUAUUGCCUCAUGUGAUAAAGAACUUUAUUAUGCAGUCUGUCGCUUUUAUGUGUUCCUCAUCACAGGUUUGUACAAAGCUUAUUUUCCACACACUAAUUGACAUACAUAUUAGAGAGCAAUUUUUAUUGCUUGCAACGAUGACAACUUACUUGAAGGAUCUUAUUCAAUCCAUAGGUAGGUAUGGUGGACACUCAUGGCUAAACUGGUUUGAAGGUUUAUGGAUGCACAAGUAGUAUCUCUACUUGGUGCGGGAGUUUUGGCUAAUAUGAGGUGGAAGCAAUCGUCACAUGCUAAGGGAUCUCUAAUCAUAUAACAUUGUUCGGAGCCAAGCAAACACAAUCCAUUAUGUUGUCUUCCUUGUCCAACAUCUACAUCUAGGCAUGUAAUAGUUUAGUGAGUGUUCACAAUCAUAGAUGGUGUCAUAGAUGAUAUAUUUAUAUGUGAACCUCUCCUUCUUUAUCACUUCCUAUUAAUUGCAACAAUGACCAAGGUCUACGUUUGCCUACCCUCAACAAGUCUCAAUCUUCAUUCUUUUUAUAUGUGAAGCCAUCACUUCCCAUAAGAUCAUUACAUGAUAUGUCAUGCUUUUGUUCUAUUCUCACUCUUUUGAUCAUGGCAAGAGGCAAAGCCCUUCAACUAAGACACUCUUUAUUAUAUGGCUCACGAGCUCGAAUACAUCAGGGGUGACACAAAGCAAGACUCAAGACUAAAACACUAAGACUUUUAAUCUACUAGAGAAAGAGAAAACUUAAAAGGAAAACUAAAACAAAGGUAAAGGCAAAAGAUGUGAUGGUGAUACGAUACCGGGGCAACUCCCCCAAGCUUGGCACAAGCCAAGGGGAUUGCCCAUACCAAUGCUCAGUUGUCUUCCUUUGGUGGUGAUGGUGGUGGAGUUGUUGCAACAUGAGUUUGAUACUCCAUCUUCCAAGGCAUAGGUGCUCCAUCAUGGAAAGAUGAACGAGUCCCCGGAAUCCUCAAAUCUGCAGCCAACCGUAUUGAUUUAAAUCUAUACUCAUACUCACAGUUUUGGUUCUGCAGGUCAUAGAUCUGGGCAUAUAGUUGAUCAAUCCUGUCAUAGAGCCUAGAGAGAUGCUUCCCAAUGUCAAUGGCAUCAAUCCUGUGCUUGUUGGUGAACUCCGUGAUCAUCAUGUGGUUCGCGUCGAGUCCGUGCUCCACCAUCCCUUGGCACUUGAAGACUCGUUGCUCCAUUGCUUCGAGCCUCGUCUCCACGCUUCUGGUCUUCUUAGGCCCCUCAACAUCACAGAUGUGCAACAUCCCCUCACGCAUCUUGAUAGAUUGAGGGUGUUGCAGCACUCCCGUGAGGUAGGGAUUGAUGACCUUCUCGAAGAUCUUGUCCUUCGGAGCUUUUGGGGAAGUCAUAGCGAUCUAGAUCUGCAACAGAAACAGGCUCGAAACGAAAAACAGAGGAAAUCUACGUGAUGCAGGGGUCACACCAAAUGGGAGUAUAUAUAAUGAUUUUUUUUCAGACCAGAAGGAGUACCCCGCACGAAAACGGAAUCCGGGAGGCGCACGAGGUGGCCACAAGCCCUCACGGCGCGGCCAGGGGUGGGCCCGCGCCGUGCAGGCUUAUCGCCUACCCGCGCACUUUCCGGACUACUUCCAAUUUUUGUAUUUUUUCUAAUAUUCCAAAAUGGAGAAAAUUUCCUACUGGAAAAGUUUUGGACUCUGUUUUCUUACUGAAUCACAUACCUCUUCGUUUUCGGAGACUGAAACAGGCUGAUAAAUAUCCCUUAGGUAUUCCUCCGGAGUUAUGGUAUUGAUGAUAUUGCUUUCAACAUUUAUGGGAGUACCUGAGAUAUAAUGCUUGAUUCUCUGCCCAUUUACCACUCUUGGACAAUUACCUUCCGUGUUGUUGAUCUUGAUAGCACCGGAACGAUAUACUUCCUCAACAACAUAGGGACCUUCCCAUUUAGAGAGAAGCUUGCCUGCAAAGAAUCUUAAACGCAAGUUAUAUAGCAAGACAUAAUCACCUACAUUGAACUCACGCUUUUGUAUCCUCUUGUCAUGCCACCUCUUAGCCUUCUCUUUGAACAGCUUGGCAUUCUCAUAUGCCUGAGUUCUCCACUCAUCAAGCGAGCUAAUAUCAAAUAACCUCUUCUCACCGGCAAGUUUGAAAUCAAAGUUGAGCUCUUUGAUUGCCCAAUAAGCUUUAUCCUCUAGCUCAAGAGGUAAAUGACAUGCUUUACCGUACAACAUUUUGUACAGAGACAUGUCCAUGGGAUUCUUAUAGGCAGUUCUAUAAGCCCACAGUGCAUCAUCGAGCUUCUUAGACCAAUUCUUUCUAGACCUGUUGACAGUCUUUUGCAGAAUCAGUUUAAUCUCUCUAUUACUUAGCUCUACUUGACUACUGGACUCAGGGUGAUAGGGAGACGCAAUUCUAUGGUUGACAUCGUACUUAGCAAGCGUUUUACGGAAAGCACCAUGAAUGAAGUGUGAACCACCGUCGGUCAUUAGAUAUCUAGGGACUCCAAAUCUAGGGAAGAUAACUUCUUUCAGCAUCCUGAUAGAGGUGUUGUGAUCAGCACUACUAGUGGGGAUAGCUUCUACCCACUUAGUGACAUAAUCAACACCAACUAGGAUAUGAGUAUACCCAUUGGAUUUUGGAAAAGGUCCCAAAUAAUCAAAGCCCCAAACAUCAAAUGGUUCAAUGACAAGUGAAUAGUUCAUAGGCAUUUCCUGAGUUUGCUAAUAUUACCUAUUCUUUGACAUUCGUCACAAGACAAGACAAACUUACGGGCAUCCUUGAAGAGAGUGAGACAAUAGAAACCUAAUUGCAAUACCUUGUGUGCAGUUCUAUCUCCCGCAUGGUGUCCUCCGUAGGCCUCGGAGAGACACUUCUGUAGGAUCUGUCCCUAUUCAUGUUCAGGUACACAACGUCUAAUAACACCAUCUACUCCUUCCUUAUAAAGGUGAGGAUCACCCCAAAAGUAAUGUCUCAAGUGAAAGAAGAAUUUCUUCUUUUGCUGGUACGUGAAACUAGGUGGUAUGUAUUUGGCAACGAUAUAGUUUGCAUAAUCAGCAUACCACGGUGCACUACGUGAAGCAUUGAUGACAUUCAAUUGCUCAUCAGGAAAGCUAUCAUCAAUAGGUUGUGGGUCAUCAAUAACGUUCUCCAACCUAGGCAAGUUAUCUCCUACUGGGUUAUCAGCACCCUUUCUGUCGACAACGUGCAAAUCAAAUUCUUGUAGCAAGAGAACCCAUCUGAUAAGUCUAGGUUUAGCGUCUUUUUCUCGAUGAGGUACUUAAUAGCAGCAUGAUUAGUGUGAAUAGUGACUUUGGAAUCAACUAUGUAAGACCUAAACUUUUCACAUGCAAACACGACUGCUAAAAACUCCUUCUCCGUAGUAGCACAGUUUCUCUGGGCACUGUCUAGAGUUUUACUAGCGUUAUGAAUAACAUUCAGCUUCUUAUCGACUCUUUGCCCUAGAACAGCACCAACAGCAUAAUCGCUAGCAUCACACAUGAUCUCAAAAGGUAAGUUCCAAUCAGGUGGUUGAACAAUAGGUGCAGUUAUCAAAGCCCUCUUAAGUAUUUCGAAGGCUUCCUCACAAUCAUUGUCAAAGACAAAAGGAAUAUCCUUUUGCAAGAGAUUGGUAAGAGGCCUAGAAAUCUUAGAGAAGUCUUUAAUGAACCUUCUAUAGAAACCAGCAUGACCAAGGAAACUUAUUGUACCUUUGAUAUCUGUGGGGUAUGGCAUUUUCUCGAUUGCAUCAACCUUAGCCUUAUCGACUUCAAUACCUCUUUCAGAAAUUUUAUGUCCUAAGAUGAUGCCUUCAUUAACCAUAAAGUGGCACUUCUCCCAAUUCAAGACAAGAUUGGUGUCUUUACAUCUCUGCAAGACUCGAUCAAGGUUGCUGAGGCAAUCAUCAAAGGAAGACCCGUAGACGGAGAAGUCAUCCAUGAAAACCUCAACAAUCUUUUCACAAAAGUCAGAGAAUAUAGCCAUCAUACAUCUUUGAAAGGUGGCAGGUGCAUUACAUAAGCCAAAAGGCAUACGUCUGUAAGCAAAGGUACCGAAAGGGCAGGUGAAAGUGGUUUUCUCCUGAUCAUAUUGUGCAACUGGUAUUUGGGAGAAACCAGAAUAAUCGUCUAGAAAGCAGAAGUGUGUGUGUUUGGACAACCUUUCUAGCAUUUGGUCGAUAAAAGGCAAAGGGUAAUGAUCUUUCCUAGUGGCUUUAUUCAGUUUCCUAAAAUCGAUCACCAUCCUAUAGCCAGUAAUAAUCCUCUCUGGGAUCAAUUCAUCCUUAUCAUUAGGGACAACGGUAAUGCCUCCCUUCUUAGGAACGCAAUGCACCGGACUCACCCAAUCACUAUGAGCAACAAGAUAGAUGAUACCUGCUUCCAGUAGCUUUAGUAUUUCUUUUCUUACUACUUCUUUCAUCUUAGGAUUUAAUCUCCUUUGAUGAUCAGCAACUGGUUUGAAAUCAGGAUCAGUUUUAAUCUUGUGCUGGCAUAGGGUAGGACUAAUGCCCUUAAGAUCAUCAAGAGUAUAUCCAAUAGUAGCACGGUGCUUCCUCUGAGUUUUUAGUAACUUCUUUUCUUCAUGCUCUGAGAGGCUAGCACUAAUAAUAACAGGAUAUAUCUCCUUUUCAUCAAGGUAGGCAUACUUAAGAGUAUCAGGCAGCUGUUUUAGCUCGAACACAGGAUCACCCUUUGGUGGGGGUGGAUCCCCAAGUAGUUCAACAGGCAAGUUAUUCUUAAGGAUAGGAUAUUGUUCUAGGGCAACUCUAUCUAUCUCAUUCCUUUCAUCCUUAUGCAUAUCGUUUUCAUGCUCAAGCAAGUCUUGCUCUAAGGGAUCAGUAGGAGGCAAUAGAAGCUAAGUCAAUAGUUUCAUCCCUACUAGGCAACUCCUUCUCAUGAGGUUGUCUACCAAACUUAGAGAAAUUGAACUCAUGUGACACACCUUCAAAGCCAACAGUGACAGUUUGCUUCUCACAGUCAAUAUGAGCAUUGACGGUAUUGAGGAAAGGUCCGCCAAAUAUGAUGGGACAAAAGCUAUCUUGUGCGGUAGCAAGAACAAGGAAAUCAGCAGGAUACUUCGUUUUAUCACACAAGACUUCAACAUCCCUAACAAUUCCCACAGGGCAGAUAGUAUGUCUAUUGGCAAGCUGAAUAGUGACAUCAAUAGGCUCUAUCUCAACAGGUGCAAUCUCGUCUUUGAUUUCAUCAUAUAAGGAUUGAGGUAUUGCAUUAACACUAGCACCCAUGUCACAUAAGCCAUGAUAACAAUGAUCUCCUAUCUUAACAGAAACAACAGGCAUGCCAACAACAUGCCUAUGUUUGUCUCUAGCGUGAGGUUUAGCAAUUCUAGCAGCAUCUUCACAGAAGUGAAUAUUAUGUCCCUCAACAUCGUCGGACAGAAGAUCUUUGAUAAUAGAAAUGCUAGGUUCAACUCUAAUUUGCUCAGGGGGUGUAGGUGUUCUAAUAUAGCCUCUACGUAUCACAGUUGAAGCUUUAGAAUGAUCCUUUAUCCUAACAGGGAAAGGUGGUUUCUGAUAUGUCUCCAACGUAUAUAUAUAUUUUGAUGGUUUCAUGCUAUUAUCUUGUCAAACUUUGGAUGUUUUGCAUGCCUUUUAUUUGGGACUAACUUAUUAACUCAGUGCCAAGUGCGAGUUCCUGUUUUUUCCAUGUUUUUGAUCCUUUCAGAGGAGAUUUUGAAACGGAGUCCAAACAGAAGAAAAUCCCCGAAAAGAUUUUUUCUGGAACGGAAGAAGAUCGGGGAGCUUGGGAGCCAAGGCAGGGGAGCCCCAGGGGCCGCACAAGCCCCCACCCCGCGGGGGAGGCUGCGCCAUCCAGGCUUGUGGGCCCCCUGAGUGUCCCCUGACCUAGGGGUUGCGCCUAUAAAUUCCCUAAAAAUCCCCAAAAAAUCAGGAGAUCAUCGAAAGUACUUUUCCGCUGCCGCUAGCUUCUGUCUCCUUAAGAUCCCGUCUGGAGCACGUUCUGGUGCCCUGUCGGAGGGGGGCGGGAAUCGGACACGGAGGGAUUCUUCAUCAACACCAUGACCUCUCCGAUGAUGCGUGAGUAGUUCACCAUAGACCUACGGGACCAUAGUUAGUAACUAUAUGGCUUCUUCUCUCUCUUGGAUCUUCAAUACAAAGUUCUCCAUGAUCUUCAUGGAGAUCUAUCCGAUAUAAUCUUCUUUUGCGGUGUGUUUCUCGAGAUCCGAUGAAUUGUGGAUUUAUGAUCAGGUUAUCUAUGAAUCUUAUUUGAGUUUCUUCUUAUCUCUCUUAUGCAUGAUUUCAUAUCCUUGUAAUUCUCUUUGAGUUGUGGGUUUUGUUUGGCCAACUAGAUCUAUGAUUCUUGCAAUGGGAGAAUUGCUUGGUUUUGGGUUCAUACCAUGCGGUGACCUCACCCAGUGAUAGAAGGGGUAGCGAGGCACGCAUCGUGUUGUUGCCAUCAGGGGUAAAAAGAUGGGGUUUUCAUCAUUGGUUUGAGAUUAUCCCUCUACAUCAUGUCAUCUUGCUUAAAGCGUUACUCUGUUUGUCAUAAACUCAAUACACUAGAUGCAUGCUGGGUAGCGGCCGAUGUGUGGAGUAAUAGUAGUAGAUGCAGAAAGUAUCGGUCUACUUGUCUCGGACGUCAUGCCUAUAUGUAUGAUCAUUGCCUUAGAUAUCGUCAUGACUUUGCGCGGUUCUAUCAAUUGCUCGACAGUAAUUUGUUCACCCACCGUGAUACUUGCUAUUUUGAGAGAAGCCUCUAGUGAACACUAUGGCCCCCAGGGUCUACUCCACACCAUAUUUUCAGCCUUACACUUUUUACUUCGUUGCACUUUCCGCCUUCAGAUCUCACUUUGCAAACAAUCUUGAAGGGAUUGACAACCCCUUUGAAGCGUUGGGUGCAAGCUUGUUUGUGUUUGCGUGGGUACUCUGGACUUGACGAGACCCUCCUUUUGGAUCGAUACCUUGGUUCUCAAACUGAGGGAAAUACUUACUGCUCCUGUGCUGCAUCACCCUUUCCUCUUCAAGGGAAAAACCAACGCAAGCCCAGCCUCUGUCAACGUGUCAAUUUCUGGCGCUGUUGUUUGUGGGAUAGCAGUUUCUCAAUGUAAGCACUAGGAACAACAGGAUCAUUAUAGGCAAGGACUUUCUCUUCAACUGGAGUGGGUUGAACUACAUUGACUUCUAAAGGAGGAUGAUAUUUAAACCACUUCUCUUCGGGGAGAUCAAUAUGAGCAGCAAAUGAUGCACACAAUGAAGCUACUAUCUCAGAGUCAAGUCCAUACUUAGCGCUAAAAUCACUAAAGUUAUUUGUCUCAACAAAGGAUUUAACGCAAUCAAACGUGAAAUUCAUACUUGACUCCUUACCUUCUUCAAGCUCCCAAUCUUCAGAGUUGUGUUUAAUUCUCUCCAAUAAAUUCCAUUUGAAGUCAAUAUCUCUCUUCAUAAAAGAACCGGUACAAGAAGUGUCAAGCAUGGUGCGAUCAUCAUGAGAAAACCGAGCAUAGAAGUUCUAGAUGAUAAUUUCUCUCGAGAGCUCAUGAUUGAGGCAUAAAUAUAGCAUUGAUUUAAGCCUCCCCAAGCUUGAGCGAUGCUUUCUCUGUCACAAGGCCAAAAAUUGUAAAUAUAAUUCCAAUCACGAUGUACUAAAUGCAUAGGAUAAAACUUUUGAUGUAAUUCCAAUUUCAACCGAUUGUAGUCCCACGAUCCAGUACCAUCACAUAGCCUAUACCAUGUCAACGCCUUAUCCUUCAAAGAUAAAGGAAAGACCUUCUUCUUGACCUCAUCCUUGGGCAAACCUGCAAGCUUAAAUAAACCACAAACUUCAUCUACAUAGAUUAGAUGCAAGUCUGGAUGUGAUGUUACAUCUCCUGUAAAAGGAUUAGCGAGCGUUUCUCAAGCAUACCCGUAGGAAAUUCAAAGCAAAUAUUUUCAGUAGGUGCAGAAGGUUGAGGAGCAACUCUUUGUGCUUCCGUUCGAGGUGAAGAUACCCCGAACAAGCCCCUCAAAGGAUUAGUAUCCAUAGUGACAAGUGACAAUAAAUUUCAGCACACUAUAUGAAUGUUUCGUUACCAAGUUCCACUUACCAAAGGCGCUUCACUCCCCAGCAACGGCGCCAGAAAAGAGUCUUGAUGACCCACAAGUAUAGGGGAUCAAUCGUAGUCCUUUCGAUAAGUAAGAGUGUCGAACCCAACGAGGAGCAGAAGGAUCUGGCAAGUGGUUUUCAGCAAGGUAAAAUCUGCAUGCACUGAAAUUGUCGGUAACAAGUGAUUGUGUGGUGAGAUGAUUCGUAGCAAGCAACAAGUAACAAAAGUAGCAACGGUGCAGCAAAGUGGCNNNNNNNNNNNNNNNNNNNNNNNNNNNNNNNNNNNNNNNNNNNNNNNNNNNNNNNNNNNNNNNNNNNNNNNNNNNNNNNNNNNNNNNNNNNCCCUUUUGUAGCAAGGGACAAGCCUGGACAAAGUCUUAUAGGAGGAAAAACGCUCCCGAGGACACACGGGAAUUUUUGUCAUGCUAGUUUCAUCAUGUUCAUAUGAUUCGCGUUCGUUACUUUGAUCGUUUGAUAUGUGGGUGGACCGGUGCUUGGGUACUGCCCUUACUUGGACAAGCAUCCCACUUAUGAUUAACCCCUCUCGCAAGCAUCCGCAACUAUGAAAGAAGAAUUAAGACAAAGUCUAACCAUAGCCAUUAAACUAGUGGAUCCAAAUCAGCCCCUUACGAAGCAACGCAUAAACUAGGGUUUAAGCUUCUGUCACUCUAACAACCCAUCAUCUACUUACUACUUCCAAAUGCCUUCCUCUAGGCCCAAAUAAUGGUGAAGUGUUAUGUAGUCGACGUUCACAUAACACCACUAGAGGAAAAACAACAUACAACAUAUCAAAUUACCGAACGAAUACCAAAUUCACGUGACUACUAUUAGCAUGACUUAUCCCAUGUCCUCAGGAACAAAAGUAACUACUCACAAAGCAUAAUCAUAUUCAUGACCAGAGAGGUAAUGAGUAGCAUCAAGGAUCUGAACAUAAAAUCUUCCACCAAAUAAUCCAACUAGCAUCAAAUACAAAGAGUAAUCAACACUACUAGCAACCUUACAAGUACCAAUAGGAGUCGCGAGACGGAGAUUGGUUACAAGUGAUGAACUAGGGUUUGGAUAUAAGGUGGUGCUGAUGAAGAUGUUGAUGGUGACGAGUUCCCUCCGAUGAGAGGAGUGUUGGUGAUGACGAUGGCGACGAUUUCCCCCUCCGGGAGGGAAGUUUCCCCGGCAGGAUCAUCCUGCCGGAGCUCUAGAUUGGUUCUGCUCAAGUUCUGCCUCGUGGCGGCGGUGAAUCCACGAAAAAGCUCCUCCCCGAUUAUUUCCUGGACGAAACCCUUCAUAUAGCAAAAGAGGGGGGCAAGUGGGCCAGCAAGUUGCCCACAAGCCCUCAUGGCGCGACCUGGGGGGGGGGGGGGNNNNNNNNNNNNNNNNNNNNNNNNNNNNNNNNNNNNNNNNNNNNNNNNNNNNNNNNNNNNNNNNNNNNNNNNNNNNNNNNNNNNNNNNNNNNNNNNNNNNNNNNNNNNNNNNNNNNNNNNNNNNNNNNNNNNNNCGCCCCUGUGGCACUUUUUCGUCCCAGUAUUUUUUAUAAAUCCGGAAAAAAAUCCUCGUUGAUUUUUACGGCUUUUGGAGUUGCGCAGAAUAGGUAUCUCAACUUUGCUCCACUUUCAGGCUAGAAUUCCAGUUGCCAGCAUUCUCCCUCUUCAUGUAAAACCUUGCAAAAUAAGAGAGAAAAGGCAUAAGAAUUGUACCGUGAAGUGAAACAACAGCCAAAGAAGCGAUAAAUAUCAACAUGAAAACAUGAUGCAAAAUGGACGUAUCAAAGCACAAGAAUGAUCAUCAAACUACUCUUGAAAAGAUACAAGUGAAGUUCAUAGAGCAUUCUUCAACGAAUAUAGAGAGACCAAUAUCCAAGCUCAAAAUAUAUAAGUGAAGCACACGAAGCAUUCUAUAAAGCCACACUCACAAGAUUUAAGUGAAGCACAUGAAGAAUUCCAUAAAUCAACCAAGGAUUGUAUCAUACCAGCAUGGUGCAUAAAAUAAAAGGGAAUAGUAAACACAAAAUAUGCUCCAAGAAUAGCACAUGUGAAGGAGUGAAAACUUAGGACCAACAUUGGCUAAUCAAUAAUUGGUGACGAAGAGAGGUGGGAUGCGUAGCAUACCCAAGAUUAGAUUCUUGAAACUUCUUGUAAUAUUUGCUUGGGGUGCCUUUGGAAUCCCAAAUCUUGAGCUAUUGUACCCCGUUCAAUCUUCUCAUAUCCUGGUUUCACAUAAGUCUCAGAAACUUCACCCACACAAAACUUGAAAAGAACUUGUGAGAUAGGUUAGUACACAUAAGAAUAAAUCUACACUUCAUGUACUGCAAAAACAAGCUUCAUAAUAGUUUUCAAACAGUAGUUACUGUAUACUAUCAUUUCCACAAUUUAUAGCUACCAAUAUAAGCCAUUAAAACUCUAGGAUAAGUAGAUAGCAAAAGUAUGACAACAAUCUUUCCAAACGGAACAAUCUGUAGCAAUUCAUUUAAAUAGUGUACUUAUGUAUCACUAAAAAUUCUGAAAAUUUAGGAAAAGCUAAAGCAUAUGUUUGACGGUAUUUUAUAAAAAUGUCAGGAACUUUCCAUGUUUCAGUAAAAUCUCAUAAUUCAAAUACUACAACAAAUGUUUCUGUUUUUGUACAACACACCUCACUCAUGCAAUUCAAGCAUUCUAAAGGCAAUUCGUUGAAAAAAAAAUUGGGAAACAAGAUUAUAAGUAACAUCAAGAAAAUACUAACAAAAUAAAUGAUGCUCCAAGAAAAAAACAUAUUAGGUGAUGAAACAAAAUAUAGCUCCAAGUAAGAUAUACCGAUAGUGUUGAAGAUGAAAGAAGGGAUGCCUUCUGAGGGAUCCCCAAGCUUAGACGCUUGAGUCUUCCUUGGAUAUUACCUUGGGGGUGCCUUGGGCAUAUCCAGGCUUAGGUUUUUGACACUCCUUAUUCUUCUCAUAUCAGUAUCUCACCCAAGAUUUGAAAACUUCAAUCACACAAAACUUAAUAGAAACCUCAUGAGAUCCGCUAGUAUAAUAGGCAAAUCAUAAACUUUAGGUAAUGCUAAAAAAUGAUUCAUAUUUAAUUAUUGCAUAAGGUACUAUAUUCUAACUUCUCCAUGGCUUAUACCUCCCUCAUCCAAUCCAUAGCAUCAUGAAAACAAGCAAACUAUGCAAGCAAAAAACAGGAUCUGUCUAAAACAGAACAGUCUGUAAUGAUCAGCGCAAAUACCAAACUUCUGUAACUCAAACAAUUAUGAAAAAUUAGGAAGUCAUGGGAAACUUAUAUAUUAGUGUUAUGUACAAAAUUCAGAUCAAAAAUAUGUUCUGGUAAAAUCACAAAUAUUCUGCACCGGACGUCAAAGUUUCUGUUUUUGCACUGUAUCUAUUCUACUUAUCAUCCAAAUCAUCCUAAAGGCUUUACUUGGCACAUUAUUGAAAUAAGAUAAAAAAACCAUGAGCACAAAAAAACUGAAAGGAUAAGUGUUGUUUUAUCUCCCAACAAGCGCUUUUCCUUAAAGCCUUUUAGCUAGGCAUGAUAAUUUCAAUGAUGCUCACAUAAGAAUAGUGUAUGAAACAUGAAAAAGUGCAUCAUAAAUAUUAGGAAAAGCACAUUAUUUUUAUGAGAAACUUCCAUGAAAAAUUCUACAUCGUUUCCAUUAGCAUGGACACAAGUGUUCAAGGUCGCCCUCACUUCUCCAAUGCAUAGCUUUCCAAUCGCUUCUAUUAUAAAAGGAAAGUAAUUUUUUUGUGUUUUUAAUUUUUUAUUUGUUACCCACAACUAAAGAAAUAAAACAAUAAAAUAGAAACAAAAGGAAAACAAAAUCUACUUAGUGAUAGAAGCAAACAACCAUACACAAAAAUAUUAACCCCACGAUGUUGCUCCCUGACAACGGCGCCACAAAAGAGCUUGAUAACCCCCAAGUGCAAGGAAUCAUCAUAGCAAUUUCCAAAGAUGGAAAUUGUAAGUAUGGAGUGUUGAACCCACAAGGAGCUAAAGGUAAGAUCAAUAUUCUCUCAAGUCCUAUCUGCCACCGAUACGACUCUACAUACAACAAAUAUUUGCUUCUAUCUAGUAACGAGAAAUGAAACCUCGUUGUGGGUAUAUAGAGGAUAGCUUUGCAUGAUAUUGGAGAACUAAAAUAUGAAAAUUAGUUGUUGCACAAAAUAGAGUUAGAAUAUGUCACAAUAUAUUAUAAAUAGCAAGUGUGGAAUAAUGAUGGUAUGGUGUGCAAUCAUCCUAGGCAAUUGAUAACAAGAUCAAUAAUCAUUCCUGCAAUUUUAUAUGAGGGAGAGGCAUGAGCUAACAUACUUUCCGUACUUUGGUCAUAUGAACUUAUGAUUGGAUCUCUAGAAAGCAUUUGCAACUACUAGAAUCAUUAGGUAAACCCAACCAUAUCAUUGAACAUCAAGUCCCCUUUACUCCCAAACGCAAACAACUCCCUUACUCGGGUGUAAGGUUCUUUCACUCUAGCCACCCACUAUAAGAAAAUCAUGAAAAUAUUGCAAACCCUACAGCAAUAAUUCCCUCACGUGGGCGCGGCAUGAAGGGCACCAUAGGACAGCACCAAAAUAAAACAUACACUCAAAUCAAUCAAGAUCAUCAAUCAUCCCAAAGGACAACAUAAAUCUACUGAAACAUCAUAGGAUGGCACCACAUCAUUGAUUAAUAAUUGGUGGCAUGUUUAAGUAGGGGAUUAUAGCAAGGUGCAAGAGAGUGGACCGCCAUAGAUAGAUGCGGAAGGUGAUGGAGACAGUGAUGUUGAUGAAGACAAUCACCACUGCGAUGGUUCCCCCGGCGGCUCUCUGACGCCAUUGGAAGUGAGGGGGGAAAUCUCCCCCCUUACGCCUCCUCCUCCAUGGCCUCUCCCUAGAUGGGGAGAGGUUCUCCCCUCUGGUCCUUGGGCGCCAUGGCUCCUGGAGGGGUGAGAGCCCUCUGAGAUUGGAUUUCUCUCUUUGAUUCUCUCCUGUUUUCGCUACAGUUUUCUCCCCAUAUUGGUUUUUAUUGAUACAGAGAGUUGUGGCAGUGAGCCAAGAGUCUCUACUAAUUUCUGAGGGUUUCUCUAUUUAUAGGAUUUUUUGGCGUUGGAAUCAUGCAAAGAAGAGUUACGAGGGGCCCACAUGCCAUCAAGGCCCUCCCCCCGUGGGCGCACCCUGUUGGCUUGUGGCCAACAAGGGGGCCCCUCAGCUGGUUCUUCGCUUGAAUGUUGCUAAUAUGUUCCAGAAAAAAUCACCAAAAAGUUUUGGGUGAUUUCGAGAACUUCCAUUUUCCGCACACAAAAGGACACCACGGUAGUUCUGCUCAAAACAACGUCAGUCGGGAUUAGUUCUAAUUAAAUCAGAAAAAGUGCAUCAAAGCCAUAUAAAAGUGUUGUAAACAUAGGUGAAAAUGUCAGAAAUACUUCAGAAAUUAUUGAUACGUUGGAGACAUAUCAUUGAUCCUCCUCUUCAACAGAGAUAUCCAUCUGUUAUAUAAAACAACACACGAGACAUAUCAUUAACAUUUGUCCACAACACAAGAUAAAUGACAGUACAAAUGUAUCAACUGAUUCCACAACAACACAAAUUAGUUCAAAAUAAUACAAAUGAGUGCCCAACAAAGCAAAAUAGUGCACAACAAUAUCUAUGAGUUCCCAACAAAGCAAAUAAGUUUACAUCAAUACAUAUGAGUUCCCUACAAAUAAAAAAAGUGCACACAAAUACAAAUAUUCUAAUCUUUUUUCAUAAAUGUAUUCCAUGCCCUCUUGAUCCAUUCAAGCCUCACACUAGGAUCUUCGUCCUUGAGGGCACCGAAGACAUCACGAUGUUCCUUCUUUUUAAAGAGUUCAAGAUCAUGGAAAUACAUUUCACUUCCAGGUUUACCUUUACCUCCAUCAUUCACCACCAUCUCCUUCAUCCCUGUAAUCUCAUCUCUCACGGGAACCUCCUUCAUUUCAGAUGUCGCUAGAUUUUGACUAGUCUCUCUCUUUUCCCAAAGGUCAGCAAUACACUUAAAUUGUAGUCUUUCCUCACUAUCUUUUGCAAUCUUGUGCACCAUCGCAAGACUAGGUGAAUAAGGACAUGAUCUUUUUUUUGACAUUUAGCUCUCGUAGGUGUCACAUGGGUAACACCUACUUCACAUCCUGAUCAUGCCUCCUCCUCCUCAUCAUCAAUGUUAAUUUGAGAUGUGUCUCAUUUGCCCACCAUUCAUCAUUAGCUGCAGUGGUCUUCGUAAUGGUAUCAAACCCAAUGUCGGAUGACUAUUGGAUUAAUGUCUUCCAAACAACGUAAUAUUUUUUCACAACAUUAUUCAUCACUUAUUCUUGAAUUGCUUUUUGCAAUAUUCUCUCCUCGUGCGCUGAAAAAAUUCCUUAGAAAAUUUUUGUACCCAAUUGGUGUCAAUGUCCCUUCUUUGCCGUGGUUAUUGGCAUUCACUUCUUCCACACACAUAUAAAUGAAAGUCCUAAGACCCACAUUAUUCCAUUAUGCUUUCAUAUGUUUUUCAUCAUGUCAAUAUAAAAAGCAUUGCAAGAAUUAAUAUGUAGGAUAAACAGACCCUCAAUAUUUUUUAUAAUGAAAUACAAUGGUAGCAUCCACAAAGUCAAUCUAUCUUCUAGUACUACUCGGUAGCACACACAUAUCAAAACAUCCAUAUCAUAGCAAACUGUGCAAUCCGUAUCACCACAUCCAUAUCUUUCUAAUGCUACAAAUUGUGCAGUAUCAAAACAUCAAUAUCAUUGUAAGUCUACCUCAAAGUUGCCAAAAAACAAAGGAGGUACACCUUGCCUAUUUGGAGGAGUGGAGGGGAAACGGGAGUCCUUCGCCAGACUGGGGAGUCGGCCAGUGUGGGUCGUCGUCCAUCGGCCUGGAGCACCGUCCGGACCACCCACGAACUGCCACGUCGUGGUACACAGGGGGAGGGAGGGGUCGGCCUAGGGCAGGAGCAGCGACAAGGCAGAGGUCCUUGUCGCCGUCCAUGUCGCCGGAGAUAUCUUCGUGGAGGAGGAGCCGGACCCGGCGGCGGCGGUAAUGAUGACGGCAUGGGACACCCUAGCGAGCGGGGUGGGUGUCGAGAGGGGAUGCUAGAACGAGAGGACCGAGGGAGCGGGGUGCGUUUUGAGCGCUCAUUCGGUCGGGUAGGACGCGGGCUGACCAAGGUCAUUUUUGCUGUAAUUUUUGUAAAAAAUAGGGUCCCUUUACUAUACCCCUUCGGGGUUAAGUGAAAAGCUGCGGGAAGCUCCUCACCCCCAACUUUUUUCAUUGUGAAGAGAGGAGAUGUGAAAAUAAGUUAAGCUAGUAUUUGAAACGAGUUUUUUUUUUUGCAGUUUUACCUUAUUUUAACAAUAAGCUGAAAAAGAGACGACCCUUGUUUUCAUAGCAUAGCUCAAAAGAAUUGGCCCUUAGUUGCCUAGGCACCUGAUACAAGGCUAGACUGAGCAUCUACAAACCGGAACACUAUAGUCGUCCGGGCAUACAGUCCAGCCUGGAAAGAAGAGCGAAUGAAAGAAGCCACCUAUCCAGGCCCUCAUUUUGCCCCCUAAAUAACCGUGAUGUUCAAAAAUCCUUAUAUCCACAUUAAAUAUGAAGACGAUACGUGAAUGUCUAGGCAGCCCUUCACUUAUGAUGUGGUCCACCCCGAACCAUUUUUUUUCUUUUUUUUCUUAUUCUUUUCAUAUUCUCUCACUUUUUCUUUGUACCUACCAACCAUGUGUGCAUUUGAUUGGACAAUUUAGGAAGAAAAUAGGGGACAUGGUUGCAUGUAUGCAUAAAAUAAAGAUUCAAAAGGGAUAUGACCUGAUGUUGCCCGGAUGUGACCGCGGUCAUUUUAUGGCUCAUUUUUUGUGUUCGUAGUUGUAGAUGCUCUUAUAGACUUUGAACCAGAUCGUCUCAGACACGUAUGCCCUAUUAUAUGAUAUUGAUGACGAAGAAAUCUCUUAUAGACUUGAUAGCAUUUUAACACGAACUACAAGCAUGGAUAAUUAGUACGCUCAAGCGCUGCAGCCAACAAUAAUGGUACGUCGUCUUCGCAAAUAAAGUAAUUGUAACAGUGAUAGUAUUUGCCGCAACUAACAAAUGUGGCUACCCGUUCGUGAAGGUGUGGCGAACAGGUAGCUAGGUUUUGUGUUGCAGAAACUUUUGGCAACAAAAACAUAUUUUUCAACCGAAAAAAAAAAGAAUGAUUUUUUCAAGCAGUUAGUAGCAGAGAAGCAUCUAUAUUUCACCGCGGGCUUACAAAAGAUUCUUCCGGUAGUCUCGCGUGGAUGGUUUUGUGGCCACAAUAUAGCGUCGACAUCAGGCGAAUCCAUUUCCUUAUAUGCAGAAUUGAUUGUCUAGAAAACGGAAGUAUGUGCCUAAAAUGGUUUUGCUAAAACUGAUGUGAACGUUUACACAUAAAUAUGCACGCACCGCACACCAGCAUCAUACUACUAGUGGUUCUUAGCAGUGGAUAUCUAUCAACCGGUCAAGCAAGAAUGAACCUCACUCUUUGGACUUCGACGUGUGCGGGAAACACAACUGGAGUACGAUAAUUCUUUCUCUAAAGAAAAAAUUGUCAAGUAAAAAAGCAAUAUAAAAAUAUCUUCAACUUCUCAUCGCAGCCGCCAAUUUUCACUACUGAAAAAAAAACAUGUGUUUCAGCAAAAACAAGUCACACAGAUUAAACAGUUCCAAAAUGGGAUGUAGAGUUUCUGCUCCCCGAGCUCAAAUGAGCUUGGUGUACGCUAAAAUCGAGAAAAAAAUGAAUUGUUUUGUGACAAACAUUAACAAUAGUGUCAAGUGCCUAUAAAAAUUCGUCAUGGAAUCACAUUCCUAAAAGACGUGGUAAGAAAAACAAAAUCGAUACUCUGAAAAUGCUACUUUCAAAAGCACUCUGAAACACUUUUUUUUUUUGCCACGCCUUAUGAGAAUGUGAUUCCAUGAUGAACUUUUGCAAGCCAUUUAAACAUUUAUCCGUGUUUGUCAUAAAAAAACAUUUAUUUUGAAUUUCGUUUUUCUUUACUGUCCACCAAAUUUACUUGAGCUCGGGAGUAGGAGGACACUUUCGUCCAAAACGUCACAAUAGAUACACGUUCAGGAAAUGUGGUUGGCUGGCUUGCAGCAUCGAGCUACCUCAUAUCCCUUGGCAAUUAGUGACAAAGCUGACAAGUAUGUUGGUGGACAGAGGGAGAGGUUGUAUAGUCGGUGGAUAAGGAAAUUGCUAGUACCGUCUAAAGGCGAAUAAAAUCGUGUGGACUUUAAUUUAAGAGGUUGAUGGAACAUCUGUGCAUUUCUGUACCGACCAUUAGUGUCAUGUGCAAAAUGUACACAAGGAGAAGAGAUGCAUCUACGGACCAGCAAGGUAGAAGCCACUAGUAGAAAACGGGCCUUAGGCCGGGACCCUUUAGUCCCGGCCUGCCUCUGGGCCGGGACUAAAGGCCCGGCCACGUCGCCCCAAUUCUCAAUGCCUCCCUCGAGGCUAUAGUCCUGGCCCGUAAGGAACCUUUAGUCCCGGUUCGUGUCUCAAACCGGGACUAAAGGGCUACGCGGUGGGCAGUCUGCAUGUACGCCACCUAUAGUCUCGGUUUGUGUCUCAAACUGGGAGUAAAGUCUCGAAGAAAUCCAUAUCGACUUUGAUGACAUCUUCCAGAUGUACAAUGGCGACGCCCUCGACAAAUCGCUUAUGAGUUNNNNNNNNNNAUCUCUCUAGGUUCCAUUGGAUAGCUAUAGUGAUCUCUCUAGGUUCCAUUGCAUAUGUUCUAUUUGAAUCCUAAAUAUAAUUUUAUCUUUAGUUGUAGUGAAACAUGUUUCCUUAUUGCAGCAGUAUGUAACAUUUGUUCCAUUUUAAUUUGUUUCUGUUGCAGUAGUGACAAGCAUUGUCCAGAACUCAUGGACUUCCUUCGGAGCGGCAUCACUUUUGCUACCGUUGACAUAAGGAACGAAAAGCUGAAGAUGAGGUACAGCUUCGGUAUUGAGAUACCAACUGGUUGCCUCAUUGAUCUCCAAACGGUAUUCAGGCUUCGACAUGUCAGGACUUCGAUGGCUCAUAUGGCAGUUGCCUUGAUCGACGAGGAAUAUGGUGAUAUGAAGACCAGUUUCCCAAAGUCUCAGCACAAAGUUUGGGAGAAGGCCCCACUUGAUCCUAUCAACAUUGAGUAUGCAGCAAAAGAUGCAUACGUUUCAUACGAGUUGUACCGCAAGAUUCGAGUCGUCAACUAUGGCCAGCGUCACCUCGAGGAAGGUGGACAUUUUGAUUCAGACGAUUCAGACGAGUAGUGUUCUCAACAUCGAACACUUGUAUAUAUAUCUAUGGUAGCUAUUAUUAUGUACUGUCUGGACUAGUAUCAUGUACUGCUUGGACCAAUUUAUAUAUGUCUAGUUUCUGUUUGUGCCAUUAUAGUUUCCAAAUUUGAAUGGUUUAGCCCUUUCUAACUUCAUUUGCUACUUUUGAAUGGUUUAGCCCUUUCUAACUUCAUGGUCUCAUGCAUUUCGACCACAUAUAUAUACAAAAAGUCUUCAGUUCAAAUAAGUUCAAAAAAUGAAAUCCCUUUUGUAACAGAUCUGUUUUUGAUUAAAACAGUCAUUUAAAAAUGAAAGACCAUUAGUCUCACGUGGCGUGCAGCGGAACCACGUAGCCCUCUCAACUUUUUAACACAUGCUAUGUGGGUGAAAUGAUGAUAGCAUGCCAACUUUCAACAUUUUCAGAGUUUAUUUGUAGUGCUUUUCAAUUUCAGGGUCAACUAGCUCAAAAAAAAUAAGUAAAUGCACGAAGAAUACCAAAGGAAGUCAGAAAUUGUUGAAAUUUUGUGAUGUGCCUUUGAAAGGUGCAUUUUGAACACACAAAAAGUAUGGAGUUCAAAUAAGUUCAAAAAAAUGAAAUCCCUUUGUAAGAGAUGAGUUCUCGUUCGAAACCCUGAUACUUUGAGAGAGAUUGUCCGUUUUGUACACGAAGUGCAUCCAGUUUUUGUCGUAGCACUCUCAACUUUUUAACACAUGCUAUGUGGGCGAAAUGAUGAUAGCAUGCCAACUUUCAACAUUUUCAUAGUUCAUUUGUAGUGUUUUUCAAUUCAGGGUCAACUAGCUCAAAAAAAAUAAGUACAUGCAUGAAGAAUACCAAAUGAAGUCAGAAAUUGUUGAAAUUUUGUGAUGUGCCNNNNNNNNNNCCUCUCAACUUUUUAACACAUGCUAUGUGGGUGAAAUAAUUAUAGCAUGCCAACUUUCAACAUUUUCAUAGUUCAUUUGUAGUGCUUUUCAAUUUCAGGGUCAACUAGCUCAAAAAAAAAUAAGUAAAUGCACGAAGAAUACCAAAUGAAGUCAGAAAUUGUUGAAAUUUUGUGAUGUGCCNNNNNNNNNNNNNNNNNNNNNNNNNNNNNNNNNNNNNNNNNNNNNNNNNNNNNNNNNNNNNNNNNNNNNNNNNNNNNNNNNNNNNNNNNNNNNNNNNNNNNNNNNNNNNNNNNNNNNNNNNNNNNNNNNNNNNNNNNNNNNNNNNNNNNNNNNNNNNNNNNNNNNNNNNNNNNUGAAUAGUUUGGAUAGUCCAAAUAAUUACUUUUGAAAAUAGAAAAUAGUUUUGAAUUAUUUAUUCAAUUUCAAACACUUUUCAUUAUCAUAGUUUUGUCAAAUUCUCAAAUAUGCAAAAAGAAUUUUAAUAAACAUAGUUUUUAAUUGAAAAUAACAAAAUAGAUAAUAGUUUGGAUAGUCAAAAUAAUUAAUUUUGAAAAUAGAAAAAAUUGAAACUAUAUGAGAAUUCAUAGAGAAAAUUCAAUUUAAAUUCAAAGUGAACUCACUUUGGAUUCAGAAUGAAUUUUCUCCAUAAUUUCGAAUAUAGUUUCAAUUUUCAGUGAGUUUAGGCCCGUAAGCCUUCUUUAGAGAGGAGCUCGAUGGACAAGCUGCGACGGGGCUUAUAAACAAGUGUUAGUCCCCCUCGCUGGGCGAGGUGGGACUAAACUUAUCGUGCAGCCGAGGAGGGGCUUUAGUCCUGGGUGGAGCCACGCCCUGGGACUAAAGACCCCCUUUGGUCCCGGCUGGAACCACGCACCGGGACUAAAGACCCCCUGCUUCCCGCCUCCUGGUCUGCCCGAAAAGAGGCCUUUAGUCCCAGGUCGUGGCUCCACCCGGGACUAAAGGGGGUCCUUAGUCCCGGUUCAAGCAACGCGCCGGGACUAAAGAUCCACCUAUAUAAGCGGGACUUUGAAAAAUUCCAACCCAAAUCGUCCAAUUCUCUUCUUCUUCCUCUCGUUCUCCUGCCCGGCGCGGCACAGCGACGAACUCGACGAUGUCGUCAGGCUGCCCGCCGUCCUCCUCGCCGCCGCCUGCCGUCCUCCUCGCCGCGCGCCGUCGACACCUCCGGCCGGUAAGCCCCCCGCCCCCUCCACCCCAACACUCCGGCCAGUAGAAGAAAAGAAGAAAAAGGAGAAGAAAAGAAGAAAAAGGAGAAGAAAGGAAGAAAAAGGGAAGAAAAGAAGAAAAAUAUUUUUUUUGUCAUUUAAUGCCUAUUGUUAUUAUGUUUGUGCUAGAUUAUUAGGGUUAGUAAUAUUUAUAAUUAGGAAAAAGGAAAAUAAGAAGAGGAGGAGAAGAAAAGAAGAAAAAGGAGAAUAAGAAGAGGAGGAGAGGAGAAGAAGAGGAAAAAUAGAAGAAGAGGAGAAGUAGAAGAAGAGAAAAAAUUAGAAGAGGAGGAGAGGAGAAGUAGAAGAAGAGAAGAGGCGAAGUAGUAGAAGAAGAGGAGAAGUAGAAGUAGAAGAAGAAGUAGAAGAAGAGGAGAAAUAGAAGAAGAGGAAAAAUUAGUUUAGGGUUACAAGAAGAAGAAAUAUUGUAUAGUGUAUAUGCUUAAGUGUUAAUAGUGUUUAUUAGAUUAUUGCUUAAUUUUGCUAUUGUAUAUGCUUAAGUGUUAAUAGUUUAAUUUUCCUAUUGUAUAUGCUUAAGUGUUAAUAGUUUAUUUUUAGCAAGAAAAUUAAUAGAACUAGUUUAUUUUUUUAGUUCAUUUUACGAUGCCUAUCCCACAUCCUCGUCGUCGACUCGGCGGAGGACACCUGGUUGAUCAGAGGGGCCCUGUCCGGGACUGGGCUCCGCCUGACUGGUAUUGGGAGGUGCUACCUUCCGGGGGGCGUAGGUUGGUGAGGAGCCAGCCCGUCGUUGACCCGAUCCUUGUUUGGUGGCGGUCGCGUGGGCCAGUGAGGGUGCCGAGGCUUCCGGACACCGCGGAGGUGGUACGUCACCGUGUCGGCGAGGAGGAUGAACACGUCCGUCGCUACAUGGUUGCGUUGGAGGGCAGGUUCGAGCAUACCUGGCAGGUUCUUCGGGGAUCUCACUGGAGCUAUGAUCCUGUGAUGGUUCCUUCUCUUUGGGUGUCCACCGCCCGCGCCGAUACCCGUCGGGCGCUACGGUUCUAGAUGUAUCAGUGAUGCUAUAUGUAUGAUAGUAUUCGAGGAGUAUUAGUGAUAAUAUUCGACGAUGUACGGACAAAAGAGAUGAUGUAUUUGCUUAUAAUUGAAUGCAUGCUAAUUUGAAUACUACUUUAUUUUACGAUUUGGUUUUGCUUAUUGAAUGCUCAAAUUGGAAAAUUACUCCUACUUUGAAUACUAUGCAGAAAUCUAGGAGUCCCGGGUGGAGCCACGACCCGGGACUAAAGUUGUUUUGGAACGGAGUUCCUGAUAGAAUAAUUCUUUUUUGGUACAAAGGUUAAGAGAAUCCUUUUUUUGCAGAACUAUGGAUCCACAUAUCAGGAACCUCGAAGAGGAAGAACUUCUCGAAGAUAUAAUCAAAGACGGCCCCGACGUUGAACCAGCUGAAUCUCCGUCGUCAUAUCUAAACCUCGACAUUGGAAUGGAGGUCGAGCGACACGAAGAUGAAGCCGAUGGGGCAGGAGAUAGGUCCAAUGACGGAGAAGGUGAUAGCUCCACUAAUGGAGAAGCCGGUGAAGAAAUAAUAAAGUCCGGCGAGGUAUACAUAUGAAGUUCGACAAUCACUUGUAAUAUGUGAAAAAUAUUGGAGAUAGCUCUAUAUUGUACACAUAUACAUUCAUUUGACGAUUGUUUCUCCCUCUUAGGCCUCCACAUCGAGCAAAGCUACAAAACGAGGCCCGACUAGAAAGUUGGAUGCACGGACGCAUUACACCUUUGAGGUGAUAUUGCCUACGGGCGAACCCAAGCUUCCUAAGAAUGCUGCUGACACAUUCAAGAAGCAAUGCGGAGUUCUCAUUAGGGAUCACGUCCCGAUCAGCGUUCGGGAGUGGAACAAGCGCAAAGGGGCAGCCGAUAGUGACUAUGUCGCCGAAAGGUACAAAUAUAAUCUUUGGAAUGAUCUGAUGUCACAUUUCAACCUGCCAGAAUGUGAGAAUGAAGACGCCGCAGACAAACUGAGGGCCAAAGUCAAGCAGUGGACUCUAAAGAAGAUGGCCGAACUGUUCCGUAACUGGAAGAAGAAGCUAUGGAAAAACUAUCUGAAGACAAAGAAAGUGCCAGUAUUCGAGAGGUAUCUAGCCAAGCAGGCGAAUCACUGGAAGGCAUUUCAAGAGUACAAGGAGUCAGAAGAUGCCCAGGCAUUAUCAGAAAAGAACAAGAUAAAUGCCGACAAGAAGAAAUAUCACCACAAGCUGGGGCCAGGGGGCUAUGAGACUGCCAUCCCAAUGUGGGAUAAGAAAGAGCAAGAUCUGCUAGAUAAAGGCAUCGUACCUCAACCACUCCGUGAUGAGUGGGAAUUGAAAGCAAGAAAUUGGUUCCUUGCGCAUGGUGGGUCGUACGACGAAAAAACAGGGGACCUCAUCUGCAAUGACGGUCUUAGGAUACCCAGGGAGAAUUGGAAAAGGAUAGUGAAAGAAAUUAAGGAGGGAAAAAGAAAGUUCACUGCAGAUAGAGAGAAAGAUUUGUUCACACUGGUCCUCGGCAAUGACGAACAUGGAGGACGAACGCGAGGCUUCGGUCCUUCUUACCCGUGGUUGCUUGGGUUUGCCAGAGACCAAGACACUUACAGAAGUCGAGAGAGAGAAAAGAAGCGGCAGCAGAAUGAGGAGAAUGACAAGUUCAACCAGUUGCUUGCCAGGAUUAACGAGCAAUAGAAGCAGAUUGAUGAGCUUAGAGGAGUAGCGCACCAGGAAUAUCCUGCACUUGAUAUUACCGGCGCCCCAUCUAAGCGGAAAAGCAGCGUGGCUGAAUCUGAGGCCCCGCUCGACGAUGCACGAAGAAUGAUAGAGGGCGGUCCCGGCUACCCCGUGGAUGGAAUCAAGGAGUCAACAUCAUGUGAACUCCAUCAGAAAUUCAAGAACAUAUCCAUGAAGGUGGCCGUCGGACAAGCUUUACCUUCUGGCCUUGAUGCACGCUGGCAUGGCCGUGAGAUUCCAGCUGGCUUUGCUAAAGUCGGGGUGGAUGAAAUCAUGACGGGGUUUCAUGAUAUGGAGCUCGACAUAGUUGGACCCGAAGAUGAGAGUACACUCGGAGAAGUACUGGGUGGAGUCAUCCUAUGGGACAAGAACUACAUCAAGCUUCCAGGCUCGGCCCCAAGGACAACACCGCCUCCGACUCGUCGCAGGUCACCUACACCUUCAUUACCUCCAAGCCCUCCACAUGACGUCGGCCAGCACAACACGAGUCCAUCUCGAUCACCGCCGCCGGACUUGGGUCGUCCGUCUCCGACGCCGCCCGCACAGGAUACUAAGCGGAAGCGUGCCACCAAGAAUGCUCCGCCGACGAUUCCUAAGCGACGGAGCCCCCCAAAGCGCAAACGGUCGCCCCUCCCAAAGGUACCUCAUGCUAAUCUUCCUAUCAGACCUUAUGAUCGUACCCCCGAGGAAAACGCCAGGAUAGCAAAGGAACAUCAUGAUGCGCAAAUGAAAAAAAGGAACCCGAGCCCCGCCCGAGAUACACCGAGAAGCAAAUAGCAUGGGCAAAAGACUUCAUGACCCUUCCAUCACAGUAUGACUUACACCAUAAGCCUGAUGACUAUACACGCACAUUGCAGAAGGAAGUGAAAAAGAGCAGAUCACGUGCAAGUGCAAGUGGGAGCAAAUCAAGUUCAACUACAAGCAAGAAAAAAUCAGACGUUCCUCAGCUUGGACAAUAGGCCAAACAGUCGAUCCCACCCCUCAAGGUGUUAACCGAGAAUGUUCCCCUCCGGUGCAGGGGCAAGCUUUUGAAAUAGCAAAGGAGUGGGCGGCUGAAUGUGGUGUCUCGGUUGAAGAUUUGCUGGCUUUCCAAGACGACAGGAUACCCAAGGCUGUGGUAACCCCUAAGCCACAGUUUGUCAUGGGAGAGCCUUUGGUCAGCAAAGAUGAUCUCCCAACAAAUAUGCGUUACUUGCAUCAAUGGUACUUAAGUGAAUCAAAGGAUGGGAGAACGAUGAUCGUGCUGAGUGUCCCAUGAGAGUACUACGGCCGCUCCGAAGAAAUCCAUAUCGACUUUGAUGAACUCUUCCAGAUGUACAAUGGCGACGCCCUCGACAAAUCGCUUAUGAGUUGCUAUUGUCUGUAAGUUUUUCAAUUCGUCGUCUACAUAUAACUUGUUUAGUUAUUUCAAUUCAUUGUCUAUAUAUAACUUGUACUCUAUUAUGCAGAAUGAAGAUUCUGGAUUGUAAAAGUAAGAAUAUCCUAAAUAUUGGGUUUAUUGACCCAGAUAAAAUACAUAUAGCGACGCUAANNNNNNNNNNAUACUCUAUUAUGCAGAAUGAAGAUUCUGGAGUGUAAAAGUAAGAGCAUCAUAAAUAUUGGGUUUAUUGACCCAGAUAAAAUACAUAUAGCGACGCUAACUGAUAAACCCAAGGAGACACAGGAAAACUUUCUAAGGUUUCUAACAGAUCAAAAUUUAUGUGACCACAUACUGUUUCCAUACAACUUCAGGUGAGGGUCUUUACUCUGUUGAGUCCAUUCACUUAUAAGUGUAAUUGAUAAGUUACUGACACACACACACACACACACACACACACACACACACACACACACACACNNNNNNNNNNUGUCCAUUCACUUAUAAGUGUAAUUGAUAAGUUACUCACACACACACACAUAUAUAUAUAUACAUGUGCAGCUUUCAUUGGAUUCUGUUGGACAUUCAAAUUGAUAAGGGAAGAGUUGAUGCCUUCGAUCCAUUAUCGAGACCCUUGGAACAGUUUCAAAGCCUGCAGGACAUGCUCCAAGGGUAAUUUCAAUCAUUCUUGCGCNNNNNNNNNNUAUAUACAUGUGCAGCUUCCAUUGGAUUAUGUUGGACAUUCAAAUUGAUAAGGGAAGAGUUGAUGCCUUCGACCCAUUAUCGAGACCCUUGGAACAGUUCCAAAGCCUGCAGGACAUGCUCCAAGGGUAAUUUCAAUCAUUCUUGCGCUCUAUCUGUCUCUUUCAAUGAUUUUCUGAUAUAUCAAUUAAUGAAAAACUUAGCAAAUCAUUAUCCUUGUCGGGCAGGGUUUGGAAGCGGUUCAAGUGGGUGGCUCCCGGUAACUUUCCUGAGAAGCUGACAUUUAGAGCGGCUCAGGUAAGUAGUAGUAUGAUAUACUUCUAUUUUCAAUACAUUUAUGAUGCUAGAUUAUUAUUUUGAUUAUAUAUAUUCUAUUCUCGUAAAGUGCGACCAGCAGCCACGGAGAACACAUCUAUGCGGAUACUAUGUUUGCGAGACCAUUCGCACGUUUACCUCUGAGCACAACGAUCACAGAUUCGACGUAAGCAAUGAACAUUCACACCUCUAUUUUUACCCGUCAUUCUUUGUUAUCAUGAUUGAUAUUCAUAUUCAUCUCCUCUUCUUAUAUAGCACACGGCCAUGACGACGAAGGUCCUACCAGAGCAACGCGCGGUUGCUGUUGCAGAGGAGCUUGCGACCUUUCUGAGGACGGAAGCUAUAGAUGACAAAGGACGAUUUAGUGUAGCUAGGGGCCUUUACUCAUGUUCGUCCAUGUAAUCGAAUAGACGGGCUCUAGUCCCGAUAAUUCAGAUCUACAUAUAAUUGUAUAUAUAUGCUCGCUUGUAAGAUAAGUUAAUCUUAUAUAUAUAUGCAUAAUUAUUUCUAUUUAAAUUAUAUGAAAACUAAUUCCCGAACACCAAACGAGCCAUCACGUUAAUCUCCCGAACACCUAAACCCUAAAACCCUAAAACCCAAAAAUAAUUUCAUUCUAAAAAAGAACUCAAAAAUAAGCAAAAUCUGAAACUCUUUAGUCCCGGUCCGUGUAACGAACCGGGACUAAAGGGCCUGCCCCUGGGGUGCUACGAGGCGCCCACGUGGAGCAUCUUUAGCCCCGGCUUGUAACAGAGCCGGGACUAAAGGUUAGGCCUUUAGUCCCGCCCCUUUAUUCCCGGUUGUUGAACCGGGACUAAAGCCCCUUACGGGCCGGGGCUAAAGGCCCCGUCCCCACUAGUGUACUCCUUGAAAACGACAUCAACUUUGAUGGACUCGCAUGAAGGACGACGUCGUCAGGCGAGCAUGAAGGGCCACCUAUCAGAAUAUCUGAGCAUUGAAUACUUAGAUGCACUCACCGCCCGUUCCGACACCAUCACUUAGCUGCCUACCUAUAGGAACCUGCUAGAGGACUAGCUGGGUUAGGUUACUCAUAGUGGGGAGUAUCAUAUAAUAGUAUCAUGCAUAUGAUACUAUCUUCAUAAUGCAUAGUAUCAUAAACUAGUAUUAUAGAUAGUCUUAUUUAUUGACAUGCAUGAUACAUAGUACUAUGACAUUUAAUAUUGAUACGGUAUCUACUUAUAUUAUUCUAACCCUCUCUCUCUUCUUUAAUUAUUUGUCACAUCAACAUGUUCGCUAGUCCGAAGAAUAUGAUACUAGCUAUAAUACUUCUGCUAUGGCCAAACUUCCCACACACACACGCGUGCCCUAAUAGAUUACCCAACAACUCAUUAGACUAACCUUUUGAUUGGUAUCGAUGCGAAAGAAAUCUUCCUACGGGAUCACACUUGAUAGCAUUUUAGCACGAGCUACAAGCACCGAUAGUUAGUUUGCUGAAGCGCUGCAGGCAAUAAUAAUAAUAUUUUGUCGUCGCCAAUAAAUCCAUUGUAACAGCUGUGACAGUGUCUGUCCUAGCUAAGAAACAUCUCUAUCCAUUAAUCAACUUGUUUGGCCAACAGAUAAUGGUUUCGUUUUCUGAAACUUUUGGCCGCACAAAACAUAUUUUUCAUGAAGUUAGUAGCGGAGCUGCACCUAUGAGUUUCAUAGUGGGGGGCACAAAGGAUUCUUCAGGGCUUGUUCGGUUAAUCCCCACCACAAGGGGAUUGGAGAGGAUUGGAGGGGAUUAAGGUUGAUUUUGAUUUACAGGGAAUUUAAUCCUCCCCAAUCCACUCCAAUCCCUUUCAAGUUCGUUGCAACCGAACAAGGCCUCAUGUGACCUCACAUGGAUGGUUCUGUAUCGACAAUGAUAUGGAAGUCCACACCAAGCGCUGUAUUCACUUUGGGCAGAAUUGAUUGCCUAAAAAAGGAAAUAGUAUGCCUAAAAUGCAUUUGCUAAAAUCGUUGUGAGCAGCAGAUGCAUAUUUUCUUUAACACCGACUGCGACACUCCACCAGCAUUGUACUGGUGGUCCUUAGCACUUGGUAUAUAUUGACUGCUAAAGCAUAAAUGAAUCUGAUUGUUUGGACGUGAAAACUUGUGUAAGACACCAUUGGAGUACAAUAAUUCCUUCACUAAAGGGGUAGCCCUAGUACAUUUUUUUUCUCACAGUUUUAUCACGGAUACAUUGCAUGAUACAUGAGUGGUGAGUUAUAUGGUUUCUCAUAGCAUGAUUAUGUGCUUAGACAAAUUGAAUUACUUUUCUCUAUAUAGGAUUUACAUAUAUAGAAUCUACCACCACUUUGAGUGCUCGUGGAUCGGUGUACGCGUCUUGAUCCUUGUACAAGAAGUCUAACAUCCGUGUUGAAUUCACCACGGCCUCUAGGAGCGGCGCUGCCGGCCGUGUGGUGGCUGACUUCAGCAUCUCCUCAAUGAUGUCCAUCCAUGACUCCUCUAUGAGCUCCCUGAGCUUUCUGUAUGCAUCUUCCUUUGCAGUGUAGUUGUUCUCCUCCAUGCACGCUUCUACCGUUGAUAUCACAGGCCUCUCACCAGAGCUCUGUUCUUGUUCUCGCUGAUUUACGAGAGAGGAUAAUUUGUCAUAUUGACAAAGUGAUAAUACCUUCUUUUAAUAUAGCUACAUAUAUCAAUGCAUCCAUUGAUGCAGAGACCAGUUAUCCUUCCCUAGUUAAAUAACUUUUCUAUUAGUUAACCAAUAUUUUAUGGCAAGUAGUUUGUAUGACCAGUUAACUAUUAUCCCGGCUCCAAAAUAGAUGGUGUUCUAGAAUAUAGUGUUCCAAAUAUCUAUAAGGGAACUGUCUGUAUAUACGAAAUUAUCCGAGCUUUUUCAACUACAAUAAUAUCACUAGAUUUAAUAAUUUAAGUUCUGUAAGUUUAUAAUUUACAACAGUAUAUGCAUAUAGGUGUUUAGAGUCUUAGAUACUAUUUCAGAAUGGUGGGAUUACAUCAAUGUACUUAACUGUCUUUUAAUUGGCAUAGAUAUCCUGUUGCACAUAACGAGGAUUUAUUAUGUUUUUGCAUAAUAUUCAUCACCAAAUAUAAGAGACAAGCUACAAACUAAAUGGAUCCCAAACUUAUCCAUGAACCAAAAACUGCAAAGAAAAUCGAACAUGACAUAUAUUUUCAGUUGUAAGUAUGUAACCUCGUGUGAAGCCACAUCGUUGAUGACACGACCGAUGACGCAAGAAGCUCGCAUUAUUUUGGGAUAGGACAUGGCCCAUUCGAUGGCGUCAAUGCUUGCCCCUAUGACAAUGAAGGCAAGGCAUACAAUAUGCAUGCAACCAGAGCUAGGCACCGAGAAUCGCAGGUGAUCCUCAACAGUAACUGAAGUUUCGCUUUCCUCACGGCAUUUUGCCUCGUUGUAGUAGCAUUUCGUAGCAUCAACUAGCUGCAUAAUUACAAUGAUAUAUUUAUUUUUCAUGGGAAAGUUAAUUGUCGAUAUCCGUAAACAUAUUUCUUUCAUGUAGCAGAUUUGUUUUAUGAGCGAACAAAAAGAAAACAUAGGCUUCAUAGUAUAGGUGGUAACUUUUACCAACAAAUAUUGUAGUUCUGUAGGUUUUUUGAAACGAAGUCAACAGUUAAGAUGAACCAUGCACCGACUACACCCACGCACCAUACAUCGACUACACUGUUUAUGAGUUAAAAUAUUUUAAACUUCAAAUUUAUGCAGAGCCAUGAUGAUUUCAUCACUUUUAUCUAUUUGUACACCCAUGCAAAUGGCCCUGCAACAAUUGCUAAAUGCGAUUCAGGGGAUCCGUACCAUAGUGCUAGUUGCAUUCCAUACAUAAUGAUCUUAUGCGAGUAUUUAACAAUAUAUUUUUGUUUAAUUAAACAUGUUCAUGAGACAUCGACUUACUAGCUUUUUUACAUAGUUUGCGUGCUUGUUUCCUUGACUGUCCAAGUCUUUUUCAAUAACCUUCAUGGUAGCGAGUACUUUGUUGUAGAAGAACUUCAUGUAACCUGGGAGCUGUUCAGCGGCUUGUUCAUCCCACCUAACAAGAAUGGAUAAAUGUUCCAGAAUUAGUAUCAAGCAACACAUUAAUUGGUUAUUAAAACCACCCUAUGCCAUACAUCUAUAUAGAGACCUUUCCAUUGCCAUGGUGAGGAGCUUGCUUUCUUCUAAGGUGCUGUAACUGUCGUAAAUGUCAUCAAAUAUCGACAUAAAUGUAAAGAACUUAGUUAGCACGAUUCGUCCGUAUGAAUACUGUGGCUCAAAUAAAACUCCUAGCAUCCAAAAGUGCAUCUCCACCAUCCUGUCUCGUGCGAAGCUCAAAUAGUCUUUGAGUUGCAGUUCUUUCCACCACCUGCAAAUAAACCACGAGCUCAGAUUGUAAUGGUACGAGGGAUGGUAUAUAUGAAACCCAUUUCAGGAGUUAAAGGGGCAUCGCGUUGUGUCUGCACUUAGAGAUUAGUGACGAACUAUAAAUUGUACCAAGGGAAAGUAGGUGAAACUUUACCGACAUACUAGCGGAUUUCAUCAUAGUCACUUACAAAGUAAGAGCCCUCAGCUCCUCACAGUACAGAGCUUGCAGAAUACUGAAAUCCAGCUUUGCAAGCUCCAAAAUGGCCUCAUUCCUUGUACUCAUUCUCUCAUAAACUGAGAUGAAGUGUCGCGCUUCAACUCUUUGAGGCCUCCUGAAAAGAGGUGUUUCCAGCGUGCGCCGCACCUGAUCGAGCAAUAUUGAUGGUGGAAUUGUUUGUUGCUCCACCGCACGCUGGAGAUGGUCUUUUGUGUAAGCCAUCGCGCUGUUAAGUGUUUCUUCACCAUGGGUUCGAAUAUGGGCAGCGUUG